rnacentral:lncRNA from 1 species
CCCUCUGUGCGUCUCGAUGAAUCCCAAAGCCGUGCCAUAUGCAUUGUGUCAGCAUGAAAACCAGAAACCUUCAGCCCAUAGUUCUCAAGGACAUGGUUAUCAAAGCUAUAGUUAUGCCAAACCUACACAAAUGAUAGCUGACUCUGUUAAUAUAAGAUCAUAUGAAAAAGCAGACGACAUAAUUUUUUUUUUCUUUUUUGUGAUCCAAGUAAACUAAUAUGGAGUAAAGCAGUUUGUUUAGCUAAGUAAAGGAAAUUGGAUCAGUUAAGUCUAUAGAAGGUGGAAACAGCUAGAAAUCCACCAUAAAAAGAGAGAGAGAGAGGAAACAGCUCUGCAACUGAGCAGAGUAUUUCCUUUCUUUGAUCGGCUUACAACACAUUUUCCUCAACUAACAUAGAUAGCUAUCUAAGGGGGAAAUUGGAGUUUUAGGUUUCAUCAAAUCAAUGAACUGUACCACAUGGGUAGGAGAACAUAGCAUAGAUGUAAAGGCAAACUUGUAACCCAGUAGACAGCAAUGGGAACCCUAGCUUAAAUUGGAAAAGAGCAACAAAACUUGAGGAGAAAUGCACAGCGUAGGCAGUCACCCUAAAUCUUAAACCUGUCACUGCAAAGCAAUGACAAUAAAACUCCAUCUAAUUAAACCAUAAUAUGUGAAAAAUCAAUUAUCCAGAAAUUUACUAAAGCGCAUAACCAGUUGCAAGUCCAAUACUUGAACCGUGCACCAAUCACAAAAUGACUGGUGCAGAUUAUCAAAGAAAUUUCCGCCAACACAUUUCUCCAUACUGCUAACCAGAUGAUAAAUAUUCUAAUUAAAAAAAGCGUGCAUAUGAAAAGGACUAUAAACAAGAAAAAGACGUGGUGAAGGGGGAGGAAGGGUUCACCUUUUUGAUGGAUGGAUCCUCAAAAAAUGGAGCAAAUUCAUUCAAAAGGUCCCUGCCACCACCAUCAAGAAGAUCAACCCAGAUGCAAGACUUCCCAUUUCCAAAAUCUGCUUCUGGUCCAGAAUAAAUACUGAAGCAUAUCACUUCUCCAUGAUCAACAGGUGUCUCUUGCUUCACAUCAAUUUUGGCCACCUAUAAAUAUGCUAUAAUUAGAUUCCUGUAUGCACAAAACUAGGGUAUCUACAUUGAGUAAAAUGUGUGCUUCUAUACAGGAAGACAUGCAAGGAAGAAGUAAAACAGAAGGCAACUAAGUACAUCACUCAUUACCUGCCAACCAAAAAAAAAAAAAAAGGUACCAAUUUCAACUAGAAGAAGAAAAGAACAAAGUACCUCAGUAUCACAUGCAUGGACAAGAUGCUUAUAUUUGUUUGUAAGCAUCCAUACAACCUUCUUUGCGGCAGAAACAUUAUCAACAACCAUAACAUUGCUGUAGAAGCUAGCAAGUUUACUGCGAAGAAUCUCGAGUUUUUCAAUAUUUUCAUUUUCUGAAGCCUUUUUGUUCUGGCCAGUACCUUCUGCAGCAUCAUUCUUAGGAUUCUUUUGAUUGCUUCGCUUAAAACUAACUAGUUUUGGAGGAGGUGUAUAGGAACUACCAUCUUCAAAGCACUCAAUCUCUGAGUUCCUGAAAUCUGACAAGUUGGGAACUGUCAAAACAGUGGCUCCUUUUCUCUCUUGAUAUUCUGCAACUUCCUUUUCAUAUCGCAAGCACUCCAUAUUAGUCUUCUUGUCCAAGGGUAUUUGAUCAUUCACAAAGUCUUCGCUUUUUUCUUCACUGCCAGUAACUUGUUUAGUAACAGCCAUCACAGAUCCAGGAUGAUUCUUAGGAUGGCCACCUACUGCACCAUUUCUGAGAUCUGCUAGUCCCUUAAAAAUGGGCUUCUUCUGCUGCUCAAAUUUCUGAAAAUAAUGUGGCUUAGAACUCGUGAUUGGAGAAUAGAAACUACUGUCUUGCAAGCACUCAGUCUUUGAUGAAGUAAGUGAUCUGUUGUGCUUGGACUCCAGUAUGUUGAUAACAGUAGAAAUGGCAGCUCUUUUUCUAUCUUGAGCUUUUGCAUCUUCCUUCUCAUCUCUCGAGCUCUCUGUAUUUGUCUGACAAGAUUCUACUUCUUUCAUUACAUGCAGUCUGGUCGUUUCUGUCAUCCACCCUCUCGAACUGUGGAUAGUAUUUUUUGCAGAAAAUGUUUCAUUGCUGAAAUUAGAAGGAUUAGGACGAUAGAAGGAUGCAACCUCCAGAAAUUGUUUUCCAUGAAGUUUUUCUCUUUUUUCAUCUAUUUUUGGCAGAUCAAAAGUUCCUUUCGAGGAGUAGUUUCCUUCAAAACUGUUGAGAUCUUGGCAGAAAGGGACCAUCUUAGCUGAUGAAGCACCCACCGAAAGUCUAUAAGCAUAUUUUUUAAUGGGAAAUCUCCUAGCAUUGUUAAAAGAACUAUAAAAUCGGGGAAAACUACUCGACAUCAUAAUGUUGGGAAAGGUAGUGUUCGUUACGCAGCCUUCUCUCCUGAAAUUUUUUUCAAUGGAAACAAUAUCAAAGGCAGCAGAAGGUCAAGCGACCAUGAUAAUAUACAAAUUGCUUCAUCCCAAGUAAGAAAGGGAAACAUCUCAAACAGCGCCAAUAAGAAUUUAGAACCGUAUGCACAGCUCAAAUCCACUGAAAGCUGAACAUCAGUACAGGAUGACAUUUGCAACAUAACAUAUCAUAUCAUAAUCACACAUAGCAACAAUAUGGCAAACCAAAACCCAGUUAACAGAAAUAAAAUGUGGGUGUUACAUAAUCUUCAAAAGUCAAAACCCAGAUAGCAAAAGCUAUGCACGCAAAAAUAUAAUCUCUUUAACUUCUCCAAUUGAACAAAGCAAAACUGUAAGUGGGUAUCAAAUAACCCUAAAAACUCAGAAAGCAAAAGCAAUAAACAGCACAAAAACACAACAAAUAAUUUCAUAAUAUAACAAAUUAGAGCCAAAAUUAUAUAUAUAUAAAAGAAUUGAACCGAACCUUUUAAAAGAAGUGAGAGGGACAUUAGGAGAGGAGCAAGGAGACCACUUUCUGGUGGUGAGAUUCGGGGAGACUCCCAUGACCGUUAUCAAGUUCCCAACUUUUGUUCUGCUAAACAGCAGCUUGUUGCAAGCGGUGCUUGUGCUUGUAAGAGCCGUUUUGAAGGGUUUAAGAGGGGGCAGAACGGUAAUAAAGGUGGGAUUUUGAGGGUGGGGUUUAAGAGUGUGGCGGGUCUGCGUCUGUUUCUGUAGCUGAAAUACCGAGAGUGGCCAUCAACGGUCAGAACUCAGCAGUCGGCACUACUUAACGAGCCAGAGAGUCAGCGACAAUGGUUAAUUGGUUAUUGCUAAAACCCUUACCCUUCGUUGCACUGGCGCCUUCAUUAUUACCUUUUUUUUAUUUUUUUUUUCAAUUUUUUGCUUUUGGGUAAUUUGUCAAAAUCGCCCUUCAGGUAUGGCGUAUUUGCAAAAUAGAUGUCAAGCAUUGUUUAUUUUUGAAAACCCUCUGCAAAAUUUUGAAGUUUUGACAUUUGUUAACUGGUUAAGAGUAAAAUCAAAGAAAUACUUGACAAAGUGAAAUACUCAAGUUUUGCGUAUGUAAUCAUUCAUAAUUAUAAUAAGUUAUCAUUUGUUUGAGACUAAGUUUAAUUUAAAUUUUUGGAUCCUUAGUAUAGUAAUAUUAUAUAAUCAUAAUAAAUAUCAAACCAAAUUCAGUACGUUAACACUUUCUCUCUUAAUUCAUUUAUAAAAACUAUUAAAUUAAUAGACUAAUUACAUCUCUUUGCUCUUUCUUGAUAAAAUCUAAGCCAAAAACUGUCACUUUUGAGGUAAAAUUAAAACAAAAAAAUGAAAAAUAAAGAAAUAUCAUGUUUCUAAUUUUCACAUCAAAUUAAACGCAACGGUAAGUCAACAAAUAAAGAAUGGCUCGUUAAAAGACUAUCAAUUUUGUUAAACACAUUUUGAUUGCAAAAGUCACUGUCUAUAGACAUAAAAUCUUUUUGGAUUUGGUUUUUCUAGUGGAUCUAAAGAAACUAAAUGUGUUUUUUAUAUUACUUAUUUAAUAGUCAUAAGUAAUUAUUUAAUUUCAUAAGCUCUUUUCAAAUUUAUUUUUGGUAUUUAAAAUUUUCAAAUAGAAUUUUUAAAAAUUAAAUAAGUUAUUUUACUUCUAUAUGCAAAGGCUCAAAUUUUAGGCUUUUAGAGUAGAAGUUUAUUUAAUUAUUAAAAUGUUUAAAAGAUCCUCUGUUUAUUUGAUAAUCUUAUUUCAUUUAUUUCAUAAAAUAAUUUUAAAAAACUUAUUUAUUAAAAUAAUUUUAUAUCUUUUAUUAAAUGCUCUUAUUGACAACUAAAUAAUUAAAAAAAUUUUAAAAAAACUCUACUUGUAAAAGUUUUAUUAACAAUAGUUCUACUUAAAUAAGUUUCAUUUAAAAAUCUAUAUUUAAUGGAGCUUAAAAGUAUCAUGAUCAUUUAUUAUUAUGUAUUGGUAUGAAUUUUGCUCUUUUUUUUUUCCUAAAUUGUUUCAUAUGUACUUUUACAAAGAUUUCUCUCUCAAGUCAGGCCUUCAUUGUAUCUAAGGCGUUAUGAUACUUUCUCAGUUAAGUGAUGGUCAACAAAAAAUUUAACAGACGACAAGAGGAUUUCAAUCAAUAAAAUGACUUUUUCCAUCUAAUUGCAAAUAGAUCAUACCUCAGGGGAGGUUACUAAAAAGUACGCACAAGAGAACAAACAUUUUAUACAGUGACUGAUGUCGACUUUGCCACGUGGGUAAUUGUCAUGUGUGGCUGUGUAGUUUUUUCAGAUUCUCUAUUGAUUUUUUAAAAUUUUUAUAAUAAAUCCCACUUUUUAACCAAAAAAAGUAUUUAAACGGAAAUUAAAUCCCUUCGUGAUUUAUUAAAGUUUUGUCUGAGGUGAUGUGUUUGCCUAAUAGUAAUUUGUUUAAAAUUUAAAAUAUAUUAAAGUUAAGUUAUUUAACUUUUACUAUUAAGUGAUAUAAAAUAAGAAAAACAAACAAGUCAGACUUUAAAAAAAAUUUAAAAAUCAUAAAAUUUCAAACUGUAGAUAUUUAACACACAAAUCUUAAUAGGGAUUUCAUCAAAGAAUCAAUAGGUUUUUUAUUUUAGCGUUUCAUUAUUAGUUGGCUGCACCACCUCAACAUAUUAAAAUGAUAUGCUUGUCUUACAAAAAAAUUUCCUACUAAAAUAUUUAUGUGAAUAAAAUUCGAACAUAACCAAAUUUCAAACAUUUUAAUUUCCUCGAGAAGUUUUUAAUGAUUGCACAACCUAGUUAGCAUAUAUUAUUGUUACUACUUACAUUUUUUCCCAAAUACUACAUAAUUUAAAGUAAACACCUGCUUGAUUGGUGAAUAAUGUGAACAAAAUUUAAAUAAUAAAAUUUUACCAAUUAAACUAAUUAAUAUAUAUUUUAUUGAAUAAUUACAUUAAAUAAUACACAUUAUUAAUUUGAAGUUUUCUUAAUACUAGAUUAGUGUACAUUGAGUAAAACCUCGGUUGUUCUUCAAUACUCGAUAUCAUGCCUUGCCUUAAGGAUUUGACAUAUGAUUCCAACAUCAAUUUGGUUGGUGGAACAAUAGAAUCAUAAAUAUUGUAGAAACUAUUUGAAAAUACUUGUUGAAGUUAUUGGGACAAAAAAAAAAAGGGUCCAUUUGAUGUAGGAAAUAAAAAUAAUUUUAAAAAAUUUAAAUAGAAAAAUUGGAAAAAUAAAUUGAACAAAAUAAACAUAAAAAAGUUUAAUCAAGAUUUCAUUGUUGAUUAUGAUCUUUAGCUCAACUUGUGGCUCUAUCAUUGCUCUUUUGCUACAUUAUACAAACAGAACCACAAGAAAAUUCACAGCAAACUAAAACCAUAAAUAAACUAAAGAUUAUUAAAUUAAUAGUAAUGGGGACUGAUUUAUACAAUAAAAAUCCCCUAAAAUGUGGAAAACAUAUACCUUGAAACAAUAUAAUUGCAGUGGACAACGAUUUAUUUUUUUCUCUUUUAAUCUUUCUUAUUAGUGAAAUAAUUAGGUAAAAUUUAAAUUUAAAUUUUGAUACUAACAAUUGAACAAACUUUUUUCAUUGUAUUUAUAAUUAAACCAAUUUUUUCAUUAGAUUAAAAAAAAAAAUAGGAGAGACUAUGAGAGGAUUAUAAGCCAAUUACAGUAUCCAUUUGCAUUCUUCUUCUUAUUUGAAAACUUUUGCCAUCCCUCGACAUCAUCAUGCUUUGUUGUAGUUGUAAUUUCUUUAUUGUUUCUUUUUUUGUGAGCUAAAUACUCUAUUGCGGUUACAACAUCGCUCAUCUUGGCCUUAGUUCCAGCUUCUUCUUGCAGAUUCAUAUGCUGCCAUUGCAACUUCUUUGGUGGUGUUUGGUUGGGAGGAGAGAAUAGAGGAAAUGAAAAUAAUUUAGUUUCUAUCUUUAUUUUCAUUGUUUGGUUGGAUAAAAUAUAUAAGAAUUUAAUUUCCAUUAUCAUUUAAUUUUUUAACUUGUUUAUUUAAUUAAAUUUAAUGAAUGAUUUAAGAAACUUAGCAAAAUAAAUAAACUUGUUUAUUUAUUUAUUUAAUAUGAAAAUAUAAAAAUAUAAAUUAACCGUUGUCGGAACUCUGACGGACUGUCGCCAGAUAGUCGCCCGAUAUCUGCGGGACCAUAGCCAGAACUCUAUUAGACCGUCGCCGGAACUCUAACGGACCGACGUUUUAUAUAUAUAUAUAUAUAUAUAUAGCAAUUUUCCAAUCAGGGAUUCCUGACUUUAAUAAAGUUAGGGAUUAGUUAAAAGACAAAAUAAACACAAACUCCAAUGUAUUGUAUUUUGUCAUAUAAUAUAUUAAAAUUUAAUUUUUUUUGUCUUUUAGCUAAUCUUUGACUUUAAUCAAGUUAGGGAUUGAUAUUAUACAUACAUACAUACAUACAUAUAUAUAUAUAUAUAUGUAUGUAUGUAUGUAUGUAUAUAUAUGGACUUUUUAACAUUAAAAAAAUUUGGCAUUUAUAUUAAAUUGUAUUUCAUUACUAAUAUAGAUAAUUUAGUAUUUAUCGAGAGUUUAGUAUUUAAGGUAAAGGAUAAAUUUGUCCAAAGAAAAAAAUUGUAAUUCUUUUUCCUAUUAAAUUUUAUGUCAAAUUAAAUAAUGAAAUUUAAUUUCACUAUCCUCCUCUACUCAUUUCUUUUCCAUUCUCCUUCAUCCACUCUUUUCCUUCUCUUCCCCCCCCCCCCUUUUUUAAAUUAAUAACCACUAAAGAGGUGGCGGGUUAGGCGGAACUCCUACCUAUCAUAUAAAUCAAUAAAAGGUAAUUACAUUAAGAGGGUAACAUAACCCAAAACCUCCUAAAGCAGAUGUAAAUACAUAAAAGUAAAAGAGAAAAUACACCAUCUAUUGAAACAAUAAAUCAACAAUCCUAUCGUCUGACAUGAGGGAAAGUUUGCGCAUCUAAAUGAAGAAUGCUAGAUAAGCCCGCAUGUAGAUCCUGAGCACACAAGAAAUGUUGGCUAACCCGGUGAGAGCAAGCCUAAUUGGCCAAAAAAUCAACAACAUAUGUAGCCUCCCGAAGUACAUGUCUAAUCACAAUGUGAAAGGAAGAUAUCAAAGGACACACCCAACGUAACAAGUAAAUAUAAUCCUAACGAACAGGGCCCUGCGAGUGAAUCCAAGAAACCACUGUGGUUGGGUUUGAUUCUACCUCAAGUGCAGAGUACCCAAGUUGAGUAGCGAGCUCCAACCCCUCGCAAACAACCAUAAGCUCACCUUCUCCUCCCCUUUCUUUAAACCAGACCUAGCCUUAGGACAAACCUUUUAUAAGGUAGUUCCCUUCUAAUGAAAAUUGCCAAUAACAUAAAUGAUGAUUGAUUUCAUACUUUUACGUUAUUGAAUCUUUUGUAUAGUAAAAUUAUGCUUUGGAGUCAUUUGAAACAAUAAGAGAGUGAAUUAUAAUUCUUCUUUUAACUGUUUUUAAAUUCUUUAGAUGAAGCUGAAUUUUUUACUUUCUUGGUGACCAAUACUUUGGACAAUGAAUUUUUAACUCAUUUGACAAUAUUAUAAAAAUUCACCCUGCCCCUCCCCCCAAUGUUCAUGUUUACUUGUGUAGUGACAGUAUGGGGACUACGUUCCUUCGUAUUACUAAGCUUUAGCUUCUGCUAGGCUCGCCUUCUUUAUAAAAAAAAUAUUAUAAAAAUUCAUAUCGCACUUUAACAAAAUGUAGGAUCUCUUAUUAAAAAAUACACUACAUAUAUUGCGUACUCGUAUGGUUUAGAAUCUUAAAUUUUAUUAAAAUCUAAAAAAACUAUUAUGUCAGUCUUGAUGGAACGACGGUUUCUCUUUAAGGCCAUUCCAUAAGGAUUGCCGCCCUUCGUUUUCCUCAUGUUAAUCCAUAUGAUCCGUCUCUGUAGCGUUAUCCUCAUCACAUCCGUAUGAUCCAUUUCUCUCUCUCUCUCACUCACUCACUCACUUACUCACUUGUAUAUAUAACUAAUACACAGAACAAGCUGCACGUAGAUGUUCUUCGAUGUCCUUAAUUUUUAAUUGUCUUAUUAUUAUAAGGUCCGUUCCUUGCAUCCUUCUACGAGUUCUAAACGAAGUUGGCAUAAUUAUAAGAAUAUUAAUAAUGGUAAAGUUAAUCGAUCGACGGGGUCAAGAAAAAGAAUAGAAUAGAUUAUUUAAUUUCCAACAGCUUAAUUUUGUCUCUCCGCGAAUGUAAUAAUCACAUUUAUUUUACUACUUUUGUCCCCAUUGCUUAUUUUAUCCGCAAAUAUAAUAAUCACACGUUUUUAAAGUAAAGGCCAUUUUGGAAGAAGCCUGUACGGUUUGGAAAGAGGUUUUGAUUGAUAUAUAUAUAUAUAAAGCGAAUUUACUCCAAGGCCUUUGGCGCAACUAUACAUAACAUAGAAAUUACACUUGAAAAGGGUGAAUAAUCAAAUAAAGCAGCGGGUGCUACAACCGACCGUAAAAGAGAGGAAAUCCGCCACAUUUCCUUCUGAAAAGGUCCUUGAUUUUAUCCAAAAGCGUGCUGUGCCUAAGCCCAAAGUCCUUUGCUAUUUUGUUGAUUAGUACUGCCCGUUACAGGCCAAUCCUUGGUCACUCUCAUGAGUAAGGUUUUGUCUGGCCGCCACAAUCAUUAAAACAUGAGGGAAAAUAAAUGGGAAAUUAUCAAUUUUUCAUCUGAUUGGUAAAAAUGCAAAAAUAAUUGAAAAUUUUAGAACUUAUCAUUUUUUUUUUCGCUAGAAAAAAAAAGGGAUUUGACAGAGAAUUAGGUCUUGAUUAUUACUGGUGUAUUGUUGGAAAAAAAGUUGUAAUUAUAAUAUAAAAUUAUGUGACAAAUAUAAUUUUUAAAUAGUAAUUUUAAUAAAAAUAGUAAAGAUUUAUAGGUUUUCACCUUAUAAAUGUAAAAUUAAAUCAAACUUAAUUUUCAAAUCACAACAAUAAUGUUUACCAAAUACUUUUAAUUCUAUUCUUUAAAAAUUACCACUACCCAACCACAAUAACACAAGGCCUUGAUCUAAGUUAAUCCCAAUAAAUUUCUGAUUGUAACUCAAAAAAAUCAUAUUAGAAUUAAAAAAAUCAACACCUAUUUUUUUAUUAAAUUUUUUUAAAUAUCAUAUUAUAUGAACAAAACACAUGCUCGAUUAUUUUUUUUCAAUUAAACCUUGACCAGUAAGGCAAUUUAUUAAAUUAAAAAGCAGGGAACACUUAUUUAGGGGACAUAAUAAACUAUAUCCCGCAAAAUAAUUAAAAAACUGAAACAGUGAGCACUGAACAAUUUUAGAAGAACCAAUACAGAUGGGUGGCCUACAAAACAAGAUGGUUUAGCCGAAAACGAAAAAAAACGAAAAACCAUUACUCCGUAUUAGCAUUAUUAUGAGAGAGGAACUUAGGAGUUUCUGGAAGUUCAGAGUCCCAGCAAGUGAAAGGAGCAGCUUAGGCCCGAAUGAGCUAGGCUGCCGCCACACAGCCCCUCGAAAAGUGUGGCUAAUACGAGAAUUCAUUUGACUCACUAGAUACAACAAUUAAACACAUGCUCGAUCGAAAUGCCAGUGUGAAUGGAAUUGUAAAUCAUCAAAAUCUUUAACCAAUGAUUAACACACUUGUUGUUAUUCAAUGGAGUUGUGAUUUUUACGCCCCUCCAAAGUCCUUAUAAUUAAUCGCCCUUUUACAUACACGUGACUACUAGAAGUUUUGAAAAUUAUGAUACUUUAAUUUAAUUCCCAAUCAACCCUUCAUAAAUAUUUCUAGGUCUCUAAAGUAAUUGUUUACUUUCUAAUGUCCCUUGUAAGUAAAUGAUGAAGGCUGAUUUUGCUUUAUUUCUAUUUUCAGUAUCGCUCAAAGAACAUCAACGGCCCCAUUUGAUUUUCGCUUUGGGUGUGAAGCUAAAAGAUCUAUGUUAUCUUCAAUUAAGUAUUCCUUUUUCUUAAAUGCUCUUUUAUCUCUCUUUUUCUAAAAACUAAAUCAUUCAAAAAAAAAUUGUAAAAUUUCACCCAAUUUAGCCGAAAAAUUGCCAUUUCUACGGUAUUGAUAAUUGAGGAGUGAACAACUUGCAUCUAUCAGCGGGAUUGCGGGAAAAAGAAAACCUAGAAAGAGAGUUUGCUCUUGAAGGGUUGUAAGUUUGUUCAGGGGUUAUUCGUAGAAUAAAUAUUAGAUAAUUGUAAGCACCGAAAUUUAAAAACUCUUUUAAAUGGAUUUGUUUAGAAAAAAAAAGGUUCAUAAGAGUUCCGGAAGGGGUGCUAAUAGCUCAACUCCAUUCAAUAUUCGACGUUAUGUCUUGGCUGGAUGUGAUGAUUCAUUGAUUCCAUUGCAUCAAUCAAUCGUCCGGUGGAAUAUCAUAUUAUUUUGCCUUAAAACAAUUUCUAAUUUCUUUCUUGAAUGUUCUACAACAUUCUGAAAUACAUCAAUUCAUGCUUAAUUUUUUAUUUCAUAAUCCAAAAUUCAAGGGUUCAUUUGAUUUACGAUUCAGAAAUAAUUUUCAAAAAUAAAAAAAUGUGUUGAAGGUUUUAAUGUGUUUAUUUUUCUUUAUGAUUUAUAUUAAUGGCUACCUAAUCAUCUCCCCAUUUAUGUGAAAGAGAUUUGAAUUCUAAACCUCUUUUUUCAAGAAAAGGGAUUUUCACCAACCUAACUAAAUGAUGCAAGUUUUAAUAUGUUUAUAUAAUAUCCAAAAACAAUAAUUUCAACAACUGAAACUUGUUUAAAAUAAUUUCUAAUUAAGUUAAAAAAAACAUGUUUACGAUAUCCCCUGUUCUUUGUGUCUACAUAGUGUAUGGUCCAUCAUGUGCAAAUUUAUGAACUUGAAUCCAGUGGCUCCUGAUAAGAGACACAGCAUUCCAAUAAAAUAGGAUAUUCUUUAUUACAAGCUCACUCCAUAUACAUGUGUGUCUGUGUGUUUGUGCCAAGAAUCAUUGCUAUUAUAACAUGUGCAUUAGAAGAAAUCAUGAUCAUUAUGGAUUACAUAAUUUGGUGGAAGAUGAAUUUGUGAUUUAUGAUAAUUUUCUUAUUAUCAUAAUUUUAAAGGUGAUGAAUCCGUUAUUUAUUAUUAUUUUUAAUAUAUUUAAUGAAUUUUCUUUUUAAGAUAGCGGGGUGUGUAAAGGCCAAAUCAAUUUUUAUGAUAUGUCUUAUAAAAAAUUAUUAAAUUAAUGAUAAUGGAGACUGAUUUAGAAUAGAAAUUGCCAAAACAACAGAAAUGAUGAUUGGUUUCUUACUUUUUGUCUUUUGUAUAAGUUAGACCUUGAAGCCAUUUAAUUGAAGCAAGAGGACAGUGAAUUCAAUUGUUUUUUAAAUUCGCCGGAUGCAGCUGAAUUUUAUUUUUCUUUCUUGAUGAAUAAUACUUUGGACAUUGACUUUUGUUUUGAUUUAAAUUUUUAUCAGCGCAUAUACACGUUCGCGUUGGUUGUCAAUAUAAUGCAAUUAACUUCACUGACGAUAAUGAGUAACAAUAUAUUACAUGUGUUAACACAUUCAAUAUUUAAUUCGAAAUACACCCAGUACAUUAAUAUUUUACAUGACAUGAUACAACACACCCAAAGGAAAAACCACUGUAAGAACCAAGUAAAAUAAUUAGAGGUACAAUACAUAUAAAGAUUGCCAUCCUAUCAUGCAUACAACUUAGAAAUAACGCGUCUACUUCUUCUUCUUCUUCUUCUUCCAAGGAAAAUUAUUCAUAAAUUCCAAGUAAUAGACCUUCCCAUUAGCCAAAAAAUCAGCACAGUUAGGAAACUCCAUGAGUGCUAAAACAAUAACUGGAAAGAUAGCAGCGGCAUAGAGAGCAGCGGUCCAUUUCUUCUCCAUACGAAUGAUGAGUAGAAGUGAAGCCGAGAAAGUAAUCAUGCUUGUUAGUACAGAAAAGAAGAGCAAAGUGAAGCCAACCAUCAACUUGCGCGGAAGUUCUCUAAGGAAAUCAGAUGACUCACGUGGCGACGUGAGGAUGGAGAGGAACAUAACAACGGAUGACAAAGAUAAGGCCAAGGAGGCAACGUCCAUUACAGUAAAAACAUAGAAAAGUGGUGACUUAAGGAAAUGGGGAAAUCCCUUAUCAUUGUUACCUCCAGGUAUCGUGAAGGCAGCUGUAAAGACGACGGUUGCGAUUAGGAUUGCCAGCACGGAGCAUGCCUGAGAGGUUUCUUUGAUCCAUUCUUGUGCUUUCCUAAGUUGAUCUUCAUGUGUUAGAUUAAAGAGGUCACUUGCAGUCAUCUUAUUUUUUUCGUCGCGGUGCAUAGUAUAAUGGCUAGGCAUUAUCUCCUUUACAUGCUGCAUACAAACACACACGCGUUAAAUAGGGACGGAGGCCUAUACACAUAGCCACAUGUGUAGUCAUUAUCUCUGUAGCAUUUUAAAAUAUAGAUUCAAGGUUUUACUCAAUUGUAAAAAAAUUCUAAGAGGGUUGUAAAAGGUUUUACACAAUUAAAGAAAAAAAAGUGUUUUAUAAAAUAAUGAAAUGGUCAAUCACCUGAAAAUAAAUAUACAUAUACAUACAUAUAUACAUAUAUAUAUAGAGAGAGAGUGAGAGAGAGAGGGGGGAAGGGGACAGAGAGAGAGAGAGAAAGUACUAAUUUAGUCCAAAAUUGUGUACUUUAUUAAAGUUUAAGAAAACUAUUAAACCACAUAGUAUAUAUAGGGGGAGAGAGAGAACGAGCUAUUAUUUAAUAACAGAUCUCGUAAGUUAUUAAAGUAAAGAAUAAAUUAAAAGAAAAGUAAAAGUGCAGUGUAUUUUAUCUAGUAAUAUAUAUUAAUGUAUGUGUUUUUCUUGUUUUUUAACUUGUCCCUUAUUUUUGGUAAGUUAAGGAGAUCCUUCAAUGAAAAAAAUUAUUUUACAUAAAUGAAGAUACUCAAAUAUGGUGUCUACACAAAUUUUUUGUGUGGAUUUUAGGUUUUAUAACCGUUUGAAAGCCUUUCACAUUAUUUCAAAAAUAUUUUACACUGUUCUAAAAUCCUAUAUAUAUAUAUAUAUAUAUAUAUGUAUAUAUAUAUAUAACUGAAUAAAUUACAUUUUGUGGGACAAAAUUGAAUAUUAUCGAAGGGCUUACCUCGAACAAUUGUAACUCCUCCUGAAAUUGGAGAACAGGGCCAGGGCGGGUUCCUUCUUUAUAAUGUUUCAUGUCUGCGACAUGGUGCAGUAAUGUGUAGCCUUUUUUGUCAAUUCUUGAAGCCCAUUUGGGCACAGACAGUUGCAUUUUCUUCGUGAUGAGUUCAAAGACUUUAUAUUGACGACGCUUUACGGCCACAUGUAAUAUAUUCUGCUCUUUCUCAUUCAAGUUAUGUAACAAUAUUGCUUGAGGAUGUUGAUGGAUUAUCUCCUUCAAAAUCUCUGUUAUUCCAUUGCUUGCUGCAAAGAGUAGCGUCAACCUGAUUGCCCAAUUCUUAUCCUUUUUAUGAUUAGGAACUCCUUUGAUAGUGCAAUCUUUCUUCACAAACAAUUCGACCAAUUCUCCAGUUGAAAAAUCAACAAAUUUUUUUGCCUUGAUCAUAUUUCCUUUGUUAGAGCAAUCUUUCUUCAGCAGCAAUUCGUCCAAUUCUCCUGCUGAAAAAUCAACAAGUUUUUUUGCGUUGAGCAUAUUUCCUUUGCCUAAUCCUAAGGAAAUUGUGGAAAUAUUAGCUGGCGAAGUUGUGGAACUUUCUGGGUCCGGCGAGAAAAUUUCUGGGUUCGGCAAGGAACUUGUGGAACUUUCGGGGUUCGACGAGGAAAUUUCUGGGUUCGGCAAGGAAGUUGAGGAACUUUCUGGGCUCAGCGAGGAAAUUUCUGGGUUCUGCUCUCCAUCCCCAAGCCAAAGGGUUUCUUCUUUAACCAGCUUUUUGAGCAGUUUAUUCGCAUUUUUAUGCAUUUGCUUUUUCAUCCAGAUUUUCUUUAUCGCCGGACAUCCUGGUCAUGCAUCAACAUCUUGUUAAUUUAUAAACAAUUUCGCACGCAAGUGCGGCAAAUCCAUUCAUCAACUGAAUGAAUUGCUCAAGUUAUGUGACAUUUCCCCUGUUCUGCUGCGUAAUUCAUAAAUGUAGAAGUAAUUAAUGAAAUUAUUGUUGGUCGCACCUUCAAUCACUUGCCUCCAAAUGCCAAUGUACAUCUUCCAAAUUGGAAUUCCUGCAUUUUGAUUAACUGCUCAGGCGCAAUUUUACAACUAUAUGUAUAUUUAUACGAUAUGAAAAAUUAAUGCCACCACAUCAAAAAGGAAACCGCUCCCUACAGUAAAAUACUGUAUGUCUGGACAAAAAUGGCAUGAAGGUGCCACCCUGAAGGUUGUCAAAAGCAGCCAUCCAACCACUCGGCUCAGCCCGAGUGGCCAGGGCUGCUGCCCUCCAAGUUGGAGGGACUUGGAGGGCAGCAGUUCGAAUCCCCAUAAAAAUAUUAUGGGGGUAUUUUCUUUCUCAAUUAAUUUAAGUGAAGGUAGUCUUCUCCCUUACCCAUGAGUGAGGAGUAGACAUCCCUCGAAUAUUUGUGAGGGUUAAAAUCUGGGCAGAGCUCCAUUAGUAAUGAUGUAAUUUGGUCCCAGUACUAGUCUGAUUUGUAAAUAUCAGUUAUAGUCUCAUGUAUAUGAGUUGUAAUCUGAGCAAUAGUCUCAUGUAAUCAAAAAAAAAAAAAAAGCAGCCAUCCAUCUAGAUGGUCAACAUUCAAAGAAGAGGAAUUUUGCAGCAAAUCAAAGAAAAUUCAUAAAGCUAGAUUGACAAAUGGAAGCCAUGCGGAUUGACGAAAUUGAAGCCAUAAUUGGUGGGCUAAAAUCGUUGAUUUUCUUGGCCACUAGUUUGCUAUAAAUAGAAGUGCAGAUGAAGAGCUUAUGCAUUCCAUUAAGAGAGAGCAAUUUAGCAUUUUGAGAGAGUUUAGAGAGCUUGAAAUUAUAAGCUCUUGUUAUUAGUGUUCUGAGAGUUUGGGUGUAUUGGGGUUUUGGGAAGUGAGCUAAAAUACUACAAUACUUGUAACUCCUUUUCACUAGUAAAAUAUUUCAUUCUGUCUUCGCCCGUGGACGUAGGCUAAAAGCCGAACCACGUAAUUUUCUAGUGUCCUCUAUUGUGCUUGUUCUUUAUUUUAUUUCCAAUUUUAUUUUAGCUGCGGUCCUGCUGCACCCACCAAUUUCCUAACAGUGGUAUCAGAGCUAUUGGUUGUAUUUAUUUUUGGAGUCAGGAACUAUUCACGUAUACGGCGUACGAAACUAUUCACGUAUACGGCGUACGGAACUAUUCAUGUAUACGGCGUACGGCACUAUUCACGUAUACGGUGUACGACACUAUUCACGUAUACGAUGUACGACACUAUUCACGUAUACGGCGUACGGCACUAUUCACGUAUACGGUAUACGGCACUAUUCACGUGAAACGGUGGAAGCGAUCCAAGAAUUUUACGGUGCAAAGUAGGGAAUAGUGGUGUGAGUAAAGCAACUGUGUAGUUUUGUACAUGUCUAGGAAAGUUCUGUCACAAAGGCGAUAAGAGCUUAAGGAGUCUGGGUUUUAAGUGGGACUAUUGUGACCCCUCCAGUCUUUCCUGGGAACUUUCCUGGUGUGCAUUCUCACACAUACUCACAACUAUUCAAGGUGGUACACUAGCUUGUGUGCAGUAUUAUCAACAAAAUGGCGGCAAAGUAUGAAAUUGAGAAGUUUAACGGAAAUAAUUUUUCGUUGUGGAAAAUGAAGAUGAAAGCUGUAUUGAGGAAAAAUAAUUGUUUGGCAGCAAUUGGAGAAAGGCCCAUGGAGAUAACUGAUGACAAGUGGAACGAGGUAGACGGCAAUGCCAUUUCUGAUCUACACUUGACACUUGCGGAUGGAGUAUUAUCCAGUGUGGCAGAGAAAAAUACGUCGAAGGAAAUAUGGGAUACUCUCACAAAAUUGUAUGAGGCCAAGUCACUACACAACAAAAUUUUCUUGAAGAGAAAACUCUAUACUCUUCGAAUGGCGGAAUCUACAAUGGUGACCGACCACAUCAACACAUUGAAGACUCUAUUUUCACAACUCACAAUGUUGGGUCAUAAUAUAGAGGAAAAUGAACGUGCAGAGCUUCUACUUCAAAGUCUACCAGAUUCGUAUGAUCAACUCAUCAUCAACCUGACGAACAACAAUCCAGUGGAGAGUCUAGUUUUCGACGAUGUUGCAGCCUCCGUAUUAAAUGAGGAGAGCAGGCGGAAAAAUAAGGAAAACAGACAAGCAAGUUCGCAGCAAGCAGAAGCGCUAUCGGUGACGAGAGGGAGAUCAACGGAACGUGGCCCCAGUGGGAGUCAAAAUCAAGGUAGAUCAAAAUCCAGAAGUAAGAAGAAUGUUAAAUGCUACAAUUGUGGCAAGAAAGGGCACGUCAAGAAAGAGUGUUGGAGUAACCAGAAGAGAAGAGAGGGCAAAGAACCUGAGUCAUCAAAUGCUCAGGGGUGUGUAGCAAGUACCUCGGAUGAUGGCGAAAUUCUUUACAGCGAGGCAACAACUAUUUCAGAAGGCAGAAAAUGACUUUCUGAUGUCUGGCUUAUAGACUCAGGAGCUACCUGGCACAUGACCUCUAGAAGAGAAUGGUUCCACACAUAUGAACCUAUCUCAGGAGGAUCUGUAUAUAUGGGUAACGAUCAUGCCUUGGAGAUCGCUGGUAUUGGUACUAUCAAAAUAAAAAUGUUUGAUGGUACAAUUCGCACAAUUGGGGAGGUACGACAUGUCAACGGCCUGAAGAAAAAUCUAUUGUCUUUGGGACAAAUGGAUAGUCAUGGGUACAAAACUCAUGUGGAGAAUGGAAUUAUGAAGAUCGUUAAAGGCGCGCUUGUAUUGAUGAAGGCAGAAAAGAUCGGUGCUAAUUUAUUCAUGCUUAAAGGAGAAACACUACAGGAGGCUGAUGCGUGUGUCGCGUCAAAUGGAGAAGAAUCAACGAUGAUGUGGCAUCUCAAACUUGGCCACAUGUCAGAACAAGGCUUGAAGAUUCUCUCUGAGCGAAAAUUGCUUCCGGGGCUCAAAUCGGUAAGUUUACCAUUUUGCGAGCAUUGUGUUACAAGUAAGCAGCAUAGAUUAAAAUUCAGUAGAUCUAUUGCUAGAAGUAAAUGCAUUCUAGACUUGAUUCAUUCUGAUGUUUGGGAAUCACCGGAUAUAUCCAUGGGAGGUGCAAAGUACAUGGUGACUUUCAUUGAUGAUUAUUCCAGAAGAUGUUGGGUGUAUCCAAUUAAGAAAAAGUCAGAUGUAUUUCUAGUGUUUAAAGAAUAUAAAGCGCGGGUGGAACUUGAAUCUGGUAAAAGGAUCAAGUGCUUGAGGACAGACAAUGGUGGAGAAUAUACAGACGGAGAGUUUCUUGCUUUCUGUAAGCAAGAAGGUAUUCAGAGGCAGUUCACGGUGGCAUACACUCCUCAACAAAACGGAGUAGCGGAGCGGAUGAACAGAACUCUUACAGAAAGAAUAAGAGCUAUGUUGAGGACUGCUGGUUUACCCAAUUCAUUCUGGGCAGAAGCAGCCAAAACCGCCUGUUAUAUAGUAAAUCGGUCGCCAUCUACAGCUAUUGGGUUGAAGACAGCGAUGGAGAUGUGGACUGGAAAGCCAGCUGAUUAUUCCUACCUACAUGCAUUUGGAUGUCCUGUGUACGUGAUGUACAAUGCCCAAGAAAGAACAAAGCUGGAUCCAAAAUCUAGAAGAUGUAUUUUCUUAGGGUAUGCUGAUGGAGUAAAGGGGUAUCGUCUGUGGGACCCCACUGCCCACAAGAUCGUCAUCAGCAGAGAUGUUAUCUUUAUAGAAGAUCAACUGCAAAGGAAAGAUGAGGAUGAAAGCACUGUAAAAGAAAAGUCAGAGAUUGUACCAGUAUAUGUGGAAAAUAAUCCAGAAGAUUCAGAUUCUUCUGAAGCAGCACCAGAGAACGAGGAACAAGAACCAGUCGAGUCCGAGGCUCCAGAAGUUCGUCGGUCAACUCGUGAGAGACGACCGCCAACGUGGCACUCGGAGUAUGUCACAGAGAUCAACGUUGCAUACUGUCUUUUAACGGAGGAUGGAGAGCCAUCAACUUUCCAUGAAGCUUUAGAAAGCUCAGAUAUUGCUUUGUGGAUGACAGCAAUGCAGGAAGAAAUUGAAGCUCUACACAAGAACAAGACAUGGGAACUUGUACCACUACCACAUGGAAGAAAAGCCAUUGGAAACAAAUGGGUCUACAAGAUCAAGCGUGAUGGUAAUGACCAAGUGGAGCGGUAUCGUGCAAGAUUGGUAGUGAAAGGAUAUGCUCAGAAAGAAGGCAUUGACUUCAACGAGAUAUUUUCGCCCGUGGUUCGACUCACAACAGUCAGAGUAGUCUUGGCAAUGUGUGCUACAUUUGACUUACAUCUAGAGCAGUUAGAUGUGAAAACUGCAUUUCUUCAUGGAGAACUUGAAGAAGAAAUAUAUAUGCUCCAACCAGAAGGUUUUGCAGAAACAGGAAAGGAGAACUUGGUUUGCAGGUUGAACAAAUCUCUAUACGGUCUCAAACAGGCGCCGAGGUGUUGGUAUAAGAGAUUUGAUUCCUUCAUCAUGAGCCUUGGAUACAACAGACUCAGUUCAGACCAUUGUGCAUAUUACAAGAGGUUUGAAGAUAAUGAUUUCAUCAUUUUGCUGUUGUAUGUGGAUGACAUGUUGGUAGCAGGUCCCAACAAAGAUCGAAUCCAAGAAUUGAAGGCACAGUUGGCUAGGGAGUUUGAAAUGAAGGACUUGGGACCAGCAAACAAGAUUCUAGGGAUGCAAAUUCACCGAGACAGAAAUAACAAGAAGAUUUGGCUUUCGCAGAAGAAUUACUUGAAGAAAAUCUUGCGACGCUUCAACAUGCAAGAUUGUAAGUCAAUUUCUACCCCACUUCCUGUUAAUUUCAAAUUAUCCUCAAGUAUGUGUCCUAGUAAUGAAGCAGAGAGGAAGGAGAUGUCUCGAGUACCGUAUGCAUCAGCAGUGGGAAGUUUGAUGUUCGCUAUGAUAUGUACUAGACCGGACAUUGCACAAGCAGUAGGAGCAGUCAGUCGAUACAUGGCAAAUCCUGGUGGAGAGCAUUGGAUAGCUGUUAAGAGGAUUCUGAGAUACAUCAGAGGAACCUCAGAUGUUGCAUUAUGUUAUGGAGGAUCAGAGUUUACUGUCAGGGGCUAUGUGGAUUCAGAUUUUGCAGGAGACCUUGAUAAAAGAAAAUCCACUACUGGUUAUGUGUUUACACUUACGGGAGCAGCUGUAAGCUGGGUUUCGAAACUGCAGACCGUUGUGGCUUUAUCUACAACAGAAGCAGAAUACAUGGCAGCUACACAAGCUUGCAAAGAAGCUAUUUGGAUACAAAGGUUAUUGAAGGAGCUCGGGCACAAACAACAGAAAAUUCUUGUGUUUUGUGAUAGUCAGAGUGCCUUGCACAUUGCAAGGAAUCCAGCCUUUCAUUCCAGGACAAAGCACAUAGGAGUUCAGUAUCACUUCGUUCGUGAAGUAGUGGAAGAUGGAAGUAUGGAUUUGCAGAAAAUCCAUACCAAAGAGAACCUAGCAGAUGUUUUAACCAAGCCGAUAAAUACUGAUAAGUUUAUCUGGAGUAGAUCCUCUUGUGGCCUAGCAGAAACGUAGGCAACAUGAUUAUGGCGAAGUAGAAAGGAUGAUGUGGAGAUUGAUUGAUUUUCAAUCUAAUCUCCAAGUGGGAGAAAUGUCAAAAGCAGCCAUCCAUCUAGAUGGUCAACAUUCAAAGAAGAGGAAUUUUGCAGCAAAUCAAAGAAAAUUCAUAAAGCUAGAUUGACAAAUGGAAGCCAUGCGGAUUGACGAAAUUGAAGCCAUAAUUGGUGGGCUAAAAUCGUUGAUUUUCUUGGCCACUAGUUUGCUAUAAAUAGAAGUGCAGAUGAAGAGCUUAUGCAUUCCAUUAAGAGAGAGCAAUUUAGCAUUUUGAGAGAGUUUAGAGAGCUUGAAAUUAUAAGCUCUUGUUAUUAGUGUUCUGAGAGUUUGGGUGUAUUGGGGUUUUGGGAAGUGAGCUAAAAUACUACAAUACUUGUAACUCCUUUUCACUAGUAAAAUAUUUCCUUCUGUCUUCGCCCGUGGACGUAGGCUAAAAGCCGAACCACGUAAUUUUCUAGUGUCCUCUAUUGUGCUUGUUCUUUAUUUUAUUUCCAAUUUUAUUUUAGCUGCGGUCCUGCUGCACCCACCAAUUUCCUAACAAAGGUGGGUUUGCUCAUUUCGAAAAAGGAGGCACUGCUUCCUUCUUUAACUCGAAUAAAUGAAAAAAAGAAGGAAAAAAAAGAGUGACAGCACCGCAUAGGUAAAAAGAAAAAAUAAUAAAAUAAUUAUUUUAAUUGAAAACGAAGGGAAAUGAAACCUAUAAAUAGAAGGGUUCAUUUCCCUUCUGAGCAUCCAAUUCUUCUCUUCUCUUUGAGAGGAGAAAAAGCUAAGUGAGAGUUGAGUGAUUAGUGAGUGAGAGAUUGGGUGUAUUGGGAUUCUAGGUAGUGAGCCAAAAUAUUACAAUAUUUAUAAUCUUAUUUUCACUAGUAAAAUAUUUUUUUUUCUAUCUUCGUCUAUGGACGUAGGCUAAAAGCCAAACCGUGUAAAUUUUGGUGUCCCUAUGUGAUUAUAUUGUCUUAUUAUUUCUCAAUUUUACUUUAGUUGCCUGUAUACUUCACCAAUCAAUUUCAACAUGUCUUUGUAUCAAUUGGUAGUUAAGGUCCUCAUCAUGAGAAUUUGUACAAGUCCAUAGAAAUUAAAGAAAAAAGGAACUUCAUCUUUUCCCCGUAGUAUUUAAGGUAUUUCACACUUCCCCCCUUAGUAUUUUCAAAAUUGGCAUACUGUUAUUGCGUCUAGAGGAUUCCACUUCACUGUGAUGAUUCUUCAUCUAUAUCUAGUGUAUUUUUGAGUUACCCAAAAAAAAGGGGAAAAAAUCGACAUCUAAAAGAAAAACUAGCUUUUAUAUUAUAUUAUUUAUUGUUUAUUUAGGUCUCAAAACUAAUAUUUUGUUUGGCUUCUAAGAGACAAUUGCUCUAAAAUGAAAGUUUUAGUUAUUAAUGGAAAAUUCGUGGGUAUUUGGUAAAGCUAAACCACUAGAUGUCAUAAAAGUUCUUUUUUUAUUCUCAUUUUUGGAGUAAACUUAUCACUAAAUAAUUGUGAAAAAUAAUCAAUUUAAAAGGCAAACUGAAAAAGUGUUUACAGCUGAGUCGUCAAAAAGAUAGCCAAAACAAAUAUUUUGACUUGUAACCGCAGCAAAAGCUGUUUGUUCGGAUUUUCAUUUUUCAAUUUAUACAGUUAUAAUGAUUAAUGAAACCACUAUAUUAUGAUUAUGAACAAAUUAAAGCUGCCUCAACGCUACCUCUCGUCCGCUUUCUGCAGGCGACGCAAUUGUCAAUUUUACCAGUUUCCAAAUCUUCUUUGUAAUUGUAGUCAACGCAAUCGUCAUCAUCAUACGUUGGAGGACCUGCAAUUAGAAAUUGCAAUUGUAACGGCAUGCACCGAAGUCAACUGGACUAUAUAUCCCCUUACAUAUGGAACUAUAUAUAUGUGUAUAUAUAAUUAAUAUAUAAAAAAUACUAAAGAAAUUGAAGGCUGAUAGAAUGUUAACAGGAAUAAUGGUAUAUCAAGUCGGGCUUACUACAUGGUAAUCUCCCCAGUGAAAGAUCUCUUAAGUUAUUAAGUUAAUUGCCAACACAGUAACCCCGAACGGAUGUAUUUACACUUCAUUAAUCUCUUUCAUAUGGUUUUUGUAUCCACGAAAGCAAGAAAUAAAUGAAUAUAUUCACGUACAAGAAGAGACAAGACUCGUCCAUAUAUCCGCGGUCUUCGAAUAACUCUUGAAAGCAGAUGGCAUUAGAGCUAGUAGUUGAAGACAUGUCAAGCCAUCAGGUCCCUUGGACGUUAGUUUGUUUGCAAGGCCUGAGUCGUGUUUAAGUAACCAAAUAGCAGUGUCUGUACGUAUUCAUGCAAGCAGAUUCAUUAAUUAGUUAAUUAAGAAGACAACGAAUAAAUUUUUAAACUUUAAUUUAACUCUUUUUUUUUUAACAUAACCCAAAACCACCUAAAAUAGAUGUAAAUAAAAUUUAAUUUAACUAUUGAUCUAUAUAUGAAUGAAUGAAAGAGAGAUUUAAUUACUAUAUUUUACCGAUGUGUUGGCCAAGGACAGCCAUAUGAAGAACGGUCUUGCCAUCAUUUCUACGGAAAUGAUGACGUAAGUCACCAACUUGCUCAGACCAGAUUUGCAACAUUUUAGUUUUCCCAAGAGCAGCAGCCCUGUAAACUGGGGUUUCCCCCAAACCGUUUGUAGCCUCAAGUAGAUUUUUGUGCGCAUCACCAGACUGUCUGGAAAAGUCAAUCAAAACCCUGGCCACGUCAAAAUUUUCGACGACGCCCGCUUCGUGAAGACCAUUGUUUCCAAACGCAUCUGUUUGCUUCAAGACUUCAAGUCUGUUCUCCGGUUCUAGCCUUUCGAGCAAUUCCUGGAUCAGCUGAGGGUCUUCCAUGGCCGCUGCAAUGUGAAUUGCUCUGUCCCCGUUGACUGUCCUGUAAUCCAACAAGUCUUUAGCAGUUCGUUGACGAAAGUAAACCAAGAAACCUUGACGGUCUUCAUUUAAGGCCAUUCCAUAAGGAUCCAUCUUUCUCUCUCUCACUCACACUCUUGAAUAUAUAAGCUUUAAUGCAUCAUUGUUGAAGUUCUAAACGAAGUUAUCAAAUUGGCACAAUCACUUUGCAUUUUAUAUUAAUAGAGCUCAAGCAUAUUAAUUAUAAGAAUAAAAUAUAGGUGAAGUUUAUCUCUUGGGUCAGGUAGAAGAUCUUUUGCUGCGAAUAUAAUAAUCACAUUUAUUCUACAGCUUCUGCCUCCAUUGCUUUUGAUUUCCGCAAAUAUAAUAAUCACAUUUAUUCUAAAGUGUUAAAAUACCUGAAAAUUUUGACACUUACGAUUUCUCCACCCGGGUUUUUUUUUAAUAAAAAAAAUCAUCUUUUUUUCGCCUUGACGUUAACGAAGUUGGAAUUUGUUAGGAAAUGCUUGCAAAAUGAAAGUUUUGCUCUUGUAAUAUAAACAAUGUCGGAUUUGAACGUUUAAUAUCAGAAUAUUUUGAUUUGCCCCAAAACAAUUUCUAAUUUCCUUCUUGCAUCUUUUUCGACAUCGUGAAAUACAUUAACCUUAAUCUUCAAUUUUUAUUUCAUAAUGACAUAAUCCAAAAGUUUGAGGAUUCUUUUGAUUUAUGAUUCAAAAAUAUUUUUCAAAACUCAAAACAGAAUCUAAAAAAUUGAGUUGAAGUUUUAAUAUUAUCUGUUUAUUUUUAACAUUUAUCCAAUUCUCUUCCCUAUUAGCGGGGUCGAAAAUUAACCAACUUAAAAAGCCAAACUGACAAGAUGUUUACAGCUGAGCUUUCAAAAAGCUAGCCAAAACAAAUACAGCCCAAGUACAAUCGAGAGUGUUGAGAAGUGAACACAAAUCUGGAAUUGUGGUUGAAUAUGACAUGUCAGUUUGAUUUUUCGAGACUGGAUGAUUUGUCGGUUGUGUGGCACAAGAGAGCCGUAUGACAAGCCUGGUUGAUCAGCCGAGUGAUUAAGUUAAGCACGUGCUGAGGCACACGACUUCACUUAUUCUAAACGGCAGAAGAAGGCAGCGUUUUGGAUGCAGUUACUACACGUGUCUUGAGGCUGGUUUAAACGGCUGGUAAAGCUGUUAAAGAAAGCGGGAAAAUUCUGGGUUUGUUGGGCUGUUACGCUGGCUUCUAGGGGUUGUUUCUAGAGCAAUCUAGGCGUGUAUAUAAGGCUUCAUGGUCUCAUAUUUGGCUUGCUCAAGUGUGUAACAGUUUCUCAGAUUACUUGUAUCUUGUAAACACCAAAUCAGUAAAAGCUUUUUCUCUGCUUCACAGUGGAUGUAGGUCAAUUGGUGGCUGAACCACUUAACUCUUUUGUGUUCGUGUGUGAUUGUUUCUGCUUUCUUUAAGCUUGUUAUCUAUUGAUUCGAAUUGAUGAUUUCACAAAGCUUUAGUUGGUCAUAAAUAGUUCUUAGAUUAAAGCUAAGUCGAGUGAAUCUUGGGGGAUUAAGAUCAGUUCUUGACUGGUUUUGGUCCAACAGAGAGUCGUAUGUGUAAGUUGGUUAUGACUUGUAACCGUAGCUAAAGUUGUUUGUUCGGGUUUUGAUUUUCGAAUUUAGCAUUAUAAAGAAGCCACUAUUUCAUGAUUAUGAACAAAUUAAAUCUGCUCUUUCGCCAUUACUCUUCUCUGCCUAGCUGAUGCGAUUCUGCAAUCCUACCUGUCUUCAAAUCUCUUUUAUAAUUGUAGUCAACGAUAUCCUCAUCCAGAUACGUUUGGAAGACAUGCGAGUAAAAAUGCGAUUGAAUUUAACUCUAUAUAUUUUAAGUUCUAAUGAUGUAGACCUGCAAGUAUUUAUUUAUUUAUUUAUUUUUAAAUUUCUCUUCAUCGUAUAUAAGUAUAAAUGCAAAUUAAAUAAUAAUAAUUUCUCCUAAUUACUUUGCUUAUUGUUUCCACUGCAAAGGCAUGCAUCUAAGUCAACUGGACCAUAUAUCUCACAAGAGAUGGAACUAUAUGUACAUAAUUAAUGUAUAAAAAAUGCUAAAGAAAAUGAGGGUGAAUAGAGCGUUGACAGAAAUAAUAGUAUAGUAAAUCGGGGUUUAUUAUGUUAAUUAAUUGAUUUUUAAUUAAGUAUAAGUCGCUAAUCUCGGCCGGGUGUACUACUGUUUCUGUCAAAAUUUUCAAUCUUACUCAUGUUAUAUAAAUAUCAUGCAUAUGUUUUUCAUAAGAGAACUGAUAUUCAAUCAAAAUACGAACAAAAAUAAAGUAAAUCCGGCCAGGUUUACAUAGUUAAAUGCCAACAUAGUAACCCUGGCUAGGUGUAUAUAUACUGUAUUUGUUGGCGUUUAAGUCUAUUUUAUCAUUUUUUUUUCUCCAUGAAAGCUAGUAAUUAGUUUUAUAUAUCUACGUAUUAAGAAUGUAUGGACAAGACUCGUCCAUAUCUUCAUGCGCUUCGUAAUCUUGAAGAUAAUAAUAAUUUUUUAUACUCUUGAUCUAUAAAGAAAUAAAUUCAUUAAUUUAUGUAUAUAAAUUCACCAUUAAUUACUCAUGAUCACCAGCUCGUUUCUAAAAUGCAGAUUGAAUCAGAGAUUUAAUUAUUAUUACCGAAGUGAUUGGCAAGGACAGCAAUAUGAAGAAUGGAGAUAUUAUCCCAACAAAUCUUGAGCUGUUAGUUGAGCAAAGUAAUUAAUCCAAGAAGCCAUCGUCACAUUCUCUCAUUAAGGCCAUUCCAUAAGCAUCUUCCUUCGUUAUCCUCAUCUCAUCCAUAAACAUAAGCGCCAUCUCGCUUCUCUCUCUCUCACUUGUAUAAUUGAUACACUGAACAAGUUGUGUUCUUCGAUUUCCUUAAGUUUAAUUGUCUCAAUAUAAGUUGGCAUAAUCACUUUGCUUAAUUUCUUAAUGAAGCUCAAGCAUUAUAAGAAUAAAAUAAAGAUAAAGUAUUUAACCUAUCGGGUUCAGAAAAGGAAUAGAACAAAUUAUUUCAACGACUUUUGUCUGCAUUGCUUUUUCAUCGAAUAUACAUAAUAACCACCAAUUCACCAUAUUCUCAUAUAACGUAAAGGCGCUUGUGCUUUGCCUAAGCCUUAAGGUUUUUGCUAUUUUAUAAAGAAAUCAUGACCAUCAUGGAUUACAUUGAAACGACCUGCCCUGAAUCAUAGGGGUGAUUCUAUUUAGUCUCAUCAAACUGAAUACAUAAUAAUAUAAUUAGUAGAGAUUUUGCCGAAAAUUUGACAAAAUUUUCUUUAUAAACAUAACACUUCAAGCUUGUAAAUAUGUAAUACAAGUACUCCCAAAAUAAAUCAAUAUACAAGCAACUCCAAGGAUCAACACUUCAAGCAACUCAGUGAAAAUGCUGAAUUAAUUACUCAUGAUCAACAAGAUUUAUAUUAUGAUUAUAUGUUUAUGUAUAUGUGUAUAAAAUGUUGUUUGUAAAAUUAUUGGACAAUAUCCUUCCUCAGUUACAGUGAUACAGAUAUGAUGAGACUUUUAGGGCCCGUCUGAUCACAUAUAGAGGUUUUAGGCCGUGUGUUCAGAACAUUUAAAAUAUUUAUUUCGCAAACAUGUUUUACUAUAAUAAUUAACUAUGAAAAUAAGUUUUGUAUAUUUUACUCACAGUGACGAUUUUUAGAUUCGAUUAUCGCCCAUGUUGGAGGACUGGUUCUCGUUUGCAGAUCCUUCUAAAUUAAGGAAAUGACAUAAUAAUUUUUCGUAAAUUGAAAUUAGGACUAAAUUUAUGUAAUAAACUUGAAACCAACAUCUAUCCAUAAUUUACAACUUUCGUGCCGAUAAAAUCACUAAAAUAUCAUCGAAUUUGUAAAUCAUUAGAAUACUUUGAAAUUGUAAAUCACUACAAUACCCUUGAAAUGGUAAUUACAUCCGAUCUUCAAUUUUAGAAAUUAUUAAAAUCUAUAUCGAGUCAGAAAUUACAAAAUCGACCUCAAAAUGUGAAAUUACCGAAUUGCCCUCGCUAACGGUAACUCGGAAGGUCAAGUGUGAAAUUUUCAGCCACGAUGAGUCUAAUGGUGCCUGCAGUGACCUCCCACGUGUGGAGACGGUGGCAGAUCGAAGUCCCAAAGUCGUGAGCUUUCCGGCGGCCGAUCGACAGCAAUCCGGCCGUUUCGGGUGGCGGGACUGGUCGGAAAAUGAUGAGGGUGAGCUAAGGAUCAAGAUCCAGGCAGUGGCGUCAUCCAAAACUGGCGGAAUCGACAACGAGAAGAGGUGGGUUUUGCCGCAGCUUUUAGAGCUUCAAAAGGCGGCGUUCCGGUCAGUUUUAGGCGGCGAGUAUGGUACAGAAACGAUGGCCGUCUUCCAAGCUUGAAAUCGGUACCUUGAUCGGCCGGAGAGGGUCGGAAUUGCGAGAUAUGCCCGGGUCGAUUUUGUGUCAACCGGGUCAGGUUUUCCGGGUCGGUUUGACAGCUUCCUCCCUCCCUCUCACACGUGUGGUCUCUUCCUGUCCUUCAAGCCUUUUAUUUAUUUAUUUUUUAUUAUUAUUUUCUUAACCGCUUUUUUUUUUUUCUUCACAUAUGUUACGUACAUAAUUUGGAAGGUGAGGAGUUCGUGAUUUAUGAUGAUUUCUUCGGAAGAAGAUGGAUACGUAACUUAUGAUGAUUUUUUUACCAUAGUUCGGAAGAUGAUGAAUCCAUAAUUUAUGAUGAUUUUUUAAUAUAUAUAUAUAUAAUUUUUGUUUUAAGAUAGUGAGGUUGCAAAGCCCAAAUCAAUUUUUAAUUAAAUCUUAUCAAAAACUAUUAAAUUAAUGGUAAUGGGACCGAUUUACCGUACAAAUUGCCAACAACAUAAAUGGUGAUUGAUUUGUUACUUUUAUGCAAUUUUGUAUAAACUGAGCCUUGGAGCCAUAUGAUACAAGAAGAGUCCGAAUUAUUAUUAUUUCAAUUGUUUCUUAAAUUCGUGGAUGAUGAAGCUGAAUAUUUUUUUUUCCUUUCUUGAUGAAAAAUAUAUUCUUUGGAUAGUGACUUUCAUUCUGAUCUAAAUUUUCAUUUGAGCACAUACAUGUGGGUGUAAGUUGUCAAUAUAAUGCAAUGAUGAUUCUAUAAAAAAAAAAAAAUUCAUAUUGAUGAUAAUGAGUAAACAGAUAGAUCAUACAUUCAUUAUUAAAUUUGAAAUACACACAGUACAUUAUUAUUAUUUGCCACACCAAACCCAUCUUUUACAUGAAGUAAUACGACACACCCAAAGGAAAAAUACAUGUGAGAACAAAUGAGAUAAAUAGCGUUAAUUAGAGCUGCAUUACAUAUAAGGAUUGUCAUCAUAUCAUGCGUACGUAUUAAUUAUUAACGCCAAUGCGUCCUCUUCUUCUUCUUCGAAGGUCCCAAGUAAUCCUUAAAAUUAGCCGCAAAAUUAGCAUAGACAGGAAACUCCAUGAGUGCUAAAACAACCACUGGAAAGAUAGCAGCAGCGUAGAGAGUGGCGGUCCAUUUCUUCCCCAAACGAAUAAUGAGCAUAAGUGAAGCCGAGAAAGUAAUCAUGCUUGUUAAUACAGAGAAGAAGAGUAAAAUGAAGCCAGUCGUCAGCUUGAACGGAAGGUUGCUAAGGAAAUCAGAUGACUCACGUGGCGAGGUGAGGAUAGAUAGAAACAUCACAACGGAUGACAAAGAUAAGGACAGCGAGGCAACGUCCGUUACGGUAAAAACGUAGAAGAGUGGUGACGUAAGGAAAUUGGGAAACCCCCUAUCAUUGUUACCUCCAGGUACCGUGAAGGCAGCUGUAAAGACGACCGUCGCGAUUAGGAUUGCCAGUACGGAGCAUGCCUGAGCGGUUUCUUUGAUCCAUUCUUGUGCUUUCCUAAGUUGAUCUUCAUGUGUUAGAUCGAAGAGGUCACUUGCAGUGAUGUUCUUUUUUUUGUCGCGGUGCAUGGCAUAAUGGCGAGGCAUUAUCUCUUUCACGCGCUGCAUACACACACACACAUAUAUAAUGCAUGGAGUCCAUCAGAAAAUAUAAAUAUAUAAUAUUAGAGUAUGCUUUUAUUUAUAUAAACACAAUGAAUAAAUUAAAUGUACUUAGGGGACAAAAUUGAAUAUUAUAAAAAGGCUUACCUCGAACCACUGUAACUCCUCCUGAAAUUGGAGAACAGGACCAGGGCGGAUUCCUUGCUUAUAAUGUUUCAUGUCUGCAACGUGGUGAAAUAAUGUAUAGCCAUUUUUGUCAAUUCUGGCAGCCCAUUUGGGCACGUACAGUUGCAUUUCCUUCAUGAUGAGUUCAAAGACCUUAUGUUGACGACGCUUUACGGCCACAUGUAAUAUAUUCUGCUCUUUCCGCUCAUUCACGUCAGAUAAUAUUGCUUGAGGAUCUCGUUGGAGUAUCUCCUCCAAAAUUUCUGUUAUUCCGUUGCUAGCUGCAAAGCGUAAUGUCCUAUCCUCUGUUGUGUCGUUUUUACGAUCAUCAACUUCUUCCUUUUUUCUUUCUUUUUCCCUCGGCACCUCGAUCAAUUCUUCAGCUGAAAGAUCAACAAGUUUUUUUCCCAAGAUGUCCCUUCCUUUGCCGAAUCCCAAGGAAAUUGCGGAAAUUUCUUGUUUCUCUUUCGUUGUUUCAGCCUUUUGGGGAUUAGAGGAAGGGUUCAACCUUUCUAUUUCAACCAGCCUUUUGACAAGUACAACCGCAUCUUCAUGCAUUUUCCUUUCCUUCCAGAUUUCCUCAAUCCAUGAACAUCCUGGUCAUGCAUGCAUCAACAUCUUAUUAAUUUAUGAAAAAAAUUUUGCACGCAAACGGCAAAACCGUUCAUCAAAUGAAUUGAAGUUAUUAGACAUUUCCCCUGUACUUCUAAUGUGUCUCACUUAUGUAGAAGUAAUUAAUGAGAUUAUUAUUGGUCGAACCUUUAAUCACUUGCCUCCAAAAACCAAUGCACAUCUUCCGAAUUAAAAUUCCUGCAUUUUGAUUAACCUGAUCAGGAAAAAUUUUACAACUACAUGUACAUAUUUAUGAUAUGAAAAAUUAAUGCUAACACAGCGAAAAGGAAACCGCUCGGACUCAAGUUAUAAGUGAAGCGGUUUGAAUAUGAAGAGACAUGUGGAUGCCAUUUAGUUGAGAUGGUACAUAUUUUUGUCUGUAAUUUGUAGAUAAGGUCCUUAUCAUAAGAACAUGUAUGAGUCCAUAGAAACUAAAGAAAAAGGGAACUUCACCUUUGCCCCAACUAUUUGAGGCGUUAUAUACUUUUCCUCCUGAUAUUUUCAAAAUGGUCAUGUACCCCCGUUGUAAAAAAGAAAAUACAUUAAAACAAUCGUUUCACUAUUUUGUUCUUGAAACAACAUACUUUUAUCCUAGAAAUUAAUGAAUAAAAUAAAAUCUAAAUAAUUAUUUUAAUAUUAAAUUUGUUAAAAUAUAGAUUGCAACAAAUCUCUGAUCAGUCUCUUUUGUCAUUUUUUUCCCCCUAACGUGCCAAUGAAAAUAUGAAAAUCAGACUUUCUAUUUGAUACAGAGAUAUUUUUCAAAGAUCAGGGGGAGAGUGGAUAGUAGCUCGAAUAUUUCGGGGGAACAAAUAGGUUUCUAAAGAAAAAUACAAAACAGGAGUAUACAAUGAUAAUACGAAAGGCUUAUCCGAUUAAAUUUGCAUGCUGUUGUUAAUUUCAUUUGAAAGAACUAACCUUAGUAUUAUUUUAUUUAUUGAUCUUUUAGUCUCAAAAUUAAGACUUCGUUUGGCUUCUAAGCCAUAUAGAUCAAACUUUAGUUAUUAAUAGAAAAUUUAUGGGUAUUUUAUAAAAUUGAGCACCACUAGAUGUCAACUAAAAAUUUGAGUAGAUUUAUCAAUAAGUAACUGUGAAGAAAAAAAAAACCCAACUUAAAAGCCAAACUGACAAAGUGUUUACAAGUGAUUAGUUGUGCAAAAAGCUAGCCAAAACAAAUACAGCCCAAGUACGAUCGACAGUCGUACGCCGUAGCUAACGCCUAAAUCUGUUUGUUCGGAUUUUCAUUUUUCAAUUUAUGGAGUUAUAAUGAUUAAUGAAACCACUAUAUUAUGAUUAUGAACAAAUUAAAGCUGCUCUUUCACCAUUACCUCGCCUCUUCUUCGUGUGGCCCAUGCAAUUGUCAAUCUUAUGAGUCUCCAAAUCUUCUUUGUAAUUGCAGUCGUCAUCCAGAUACGUUUGAAGAAAUGGAAAUAGAACUACGAUUGAAAGUCAAUAUUGUAAGUUCUAAUUAUGUAGCAAAGCAUUUAAAAAUAAAAAAAUUCACUAAUCCCUCUCUAUGUGUAAAUACAAAUUAACUAAAAUGUUUCUUCUAAUUAAUUUGCUUAUUGUUUCCAUUGUAACCGCAUGCACCCAUAUCAACAAGGCUGUAUAUCUCCCUAGAGAUUAAAUUAUAUGUGCAUAUAAUUAAUAUAUUAAAAAUGUUAAAAAAAAUGAAGGCGGAUAGAGUAUUGACAGAUACAACAGUAUCUCAGUCGGGGCGGGUGUACCCUUGUUUGCGUAUACCUUCCAUGAGAACGCUGAUAUUAUGAAAAAAAUACUGAGAAAAAACAACAUUAAAUGCUAUCAAAUUUACAUAAUUAAUUGCUAAUACUGUAACCCCGACCGAGUGUGUAUCCACUUCAUAUGUCGGUGUUUAGUCUCUUUUUCCUUUUUUGUUUCCAAGUAAUUAGUUUAUGUAUAAUAGACUUAAGUCAAUAUUGAUACUUAUUCACUUUUAUAUUUUUCUGCUGUAAAUAUCUUUACGUAUAUUUUAGUUACAACCAACCGUACACAUGCCACUAGGAAUUAGUUGGCACUUGUCAAGGAAUCGGUUGAAAAAAUUCUUCUCUUGUAUUAUAAAUAUUCAGUGAACUCAAAUGAGAAAUAGUGGAGUCAUAUUUUCCAAACCUGACAUCAAACAAUUUAUCCACGUACGAUAAUGGAAAGGACUCCUCAUUUUCUUCAUGUCAUCCGUACUCUUGAAAGCAGUUGGCAUUAGAGCUAGUAGUUCAAGACAUGUCAAGCGAUUAAGCUUUUUGGGCUUGGACGAGGGCCCGUCGGACGUGGACAAGAGCUCGUCGGACGGCGGCGUUGCACGUUUUUCUGCAAGGCUUGAGUCGUGGUCAAGUAACCAAAUAGCAGUCUCUGUACGUAUUUAAGAAAAUUAAUUAAUUAGUUAAGAAAAUAAUAAUAAAUUUUUUAACUCUUGAUCUAUAAACGCAUGAAUUAAUUGGAGAUUUAAUUAUUAUAUAUUACCGAAGUGUUGGCCGAGGACAGCCAUAUGAAGAAUUGUCAUUUUAUCUUCCUUUCUACGGAAAUGACAACGUAAGACACCAACUUGCUCAGUCAAGAUUUGCAACAGUUUAGUUUUCCCGAGAGCAGCAGCCCUGUAAACUGGGGUUUCCCCCAAAUCGUUGCGAGCCUCAACUAGACCCUUGUACGCAUCACCAGACUUUCUGGAAAAGUCAACCAAAACUCUGGCCACGUCAUAAUUUUCGACGACGGCCGCUUCGUGAAGACCAGUGUUUCCAAACUCAUCUGUUUGCUUCAAGGCUUCAAGUCUGGUCUCCGGUGUUAGCCUUUCGAGAAAUUCCUGGAUCAGCCGAGGGUCUUCCAUGGCCGCUGCAAUGUGAAUUGCGGGGUCUCCAUUGGCUGUCCUGUAAUCCAACAACUCUUUAGCAGGCCAAUCAGCAAAGCACUCCAAGAAGCCUCGACAGUCUCCCUUCAAGGCCAUUCCAACAGGAUCUCCCAUCGCCCUCUCUCUCUAUCUCUCUCUCUAUCUCUCUCUCUCUCUCUCUCUCUCUCUUUCUCACUUGUAUAAUUGAUGCACAGAACAAGCUAUACGUGUUCUUCGAUAUCCAUAUAAUUAAUUACUUCCAUCGCCGUCCCUUAUAUAGAAGUUCUAUACGAAGUUGGCAUAAUCACUUUGCCUAUUUUACUAAUAAAGCUCGAGCAUUAUAAGGGAAAAAAAAAAGUUCUAAAGUGACAAAACAGAAAAGAUGAUAAAAGAACAAAGUUCUGAAAAGAGAAGUGAUUAUUGAUGAAAAUUUGUUUACAUUGUACGGUAUUGUUCCCUUACAUUCAUAGAAUGUGAAGUUACCAAAAGACCAAAGUUAAAAGUAAAAUAAAAUUAUUAUGUUUGAGAUAAAAGAGAAAAAGAAUGAGAAAAAGAAAACGCAUUCAAUUAAAAAUGAUAUUUUUUGUUGAUUCAAGAGGCCAAUCACCUCUGAAAUGAAAUUAACUUUUGUCUUUCUAUGUGUUUGGGAACGAUAUAUAAUAUAUGCAAAAACGAACAGUUGUAUCUAAAAUUACAUUUGGGAAAGUAUAAAGAUCACGUUCCACGUCAUAACGUUUGUUAACAAAUGAUGUCAAUAAAAAGAAUAGAAUAUAUAAAUUAUUUCCAGGCUCAAGUUACAGCUCCGAGAAGGUGUAGGGUCCAUGUUGUACAUCAUAAGGUUUGUUAAUCAAUGGUGUCAGAAAAAUAGAGUAGAAUAUAUAUAAUUUAUUUCCACAACUUAAUUUUGUCUCCAUUGCUUUUUCCGCGAAUAUAUAUAAAAAGAGUGGGAGAGAUCCUAACCCUUACUUUAAUAACAUGGUGAUUAUUGUAAACGCGAUUGUGCUUUGACUAGACUAAAGCCUUUUGCUAUUCUACAUGUUAUCAUUAUUUCUCGUCAUGGAGUGGCAGCCAAUCAUUAAGAAAUAAAUAAAAAUGUAAAAAUAUUUGGAAAGUUUAAAACUUAUGAUAGAAUUUGGCCUUAUUUUGUAUAGAUGUGUUGUGAAAAUCAACUGUAUACUAUACUGUAAAUAUAGCUUUGGAAAAAUAUCUUUACAGACUUUUAUCGUACAAUUAUAGAAUAAAAUCAACUUAAUUUCAAAACUAUAGCAGUAACUAUUUAUUAAAUACUUUAUUGAUCUAUUUUAAAAGCUUCCACUGCUCAAUUACAAUACCAAACAAGAUGUUGAUCUAAGAUGGUUCCAACCACAAUAUCAAAUAGGGACUUACAUUCUAUCAGUUAAGUCAUUAAGUUUAUUUCUUUUUUUAACUUAUUACAAAUUUUCAAUCAUUAAGCUAUUAAGCUAUUAAGCCAAUUUUCUUAGCUUCUUAUUUAAUCUAAAAAGUCUGAAUAAUGUUAUUAAAGAUAUUAUUUAAAAUAUUCCUAUCGAACUAAUUUAUUUUCAUCUUUACCUAAAUAUAUAAAACUUACUAAUUAGCAUACUAUUCAUCUUUAUAACUUGUGAGAAUAUAGUAUAUUUUUUAUUUUAAUCUUUUUUAUUUUCUUCAAAUUAGCAUUAUCUAUUUUCAUAAUUUUUUAUGAGUAUUUUUUAUAUGAAACACCAUAAAGUGCAAUAGAAUUGAUUCACACGUUCUAAUUUAGAAUAUUAAAGGGUUGUAUUCACCUGAACAUGAUUCAUGUUAUGAUAGAAUAAUAUCAUAUUUUUGUUCAAUGAGAUUUUAUUAUUUAUUUGACAUUUGAAAUUUAUGAGCGUACAAAUGUAAAAGUAUUGGUUUUUAGAUUUUUAAGUUGAAAAAAAAUAAUUAUUGUUCAAAAAUUCAUAUUAAAAAAAUAUGUUAUUUGGAUUUAAACGUUUAGCUCUAUUCAAAAUUCAGAUUAACUAGGGUCUACUCAAAUUUUAGAUAAAAAAACAAAUGUCACCUAAGUAAAUCUAUGAUGAUACAAGCAUAUUAGUAUUUAAAAAAAAAAUCAGCAUCUUCUUUUUUUAAAUAUUACACAAUAUAAAUUAAGCUUCAUAGAAUGCUGAGUGUGAAUGGAAUUUAAAGCAUAUGGCCAUUCUUCCGUAGCUGUCCUUAUCUCAUCCAUAAGUGCCAUCUCUGUCUCUCACGUAGUCACUGUAUAAUUGAGACACAAAACAAGCUAUACGUGUUCUUCGAUAUCCUUAAUUUUACUUGUCUUAAUAUAUAUGAGUAGGUUUGAUGCAUCCUUCUACAAAUUCUCUAAACUAAGUUGGCAUAAUUAUAAGAAUAAAAUAAAAUUAGUCCGUCGGGUCAGGAAAAAGAAUAGAAUAAAUUAUUUAAUUUCAAAACAACUUUAAUCCUUCCGCGAACAUAAUAAUCACAUUUAUUCUACCGUGUUCUUCGAUAUCCUUAAUUUUACUUGUCUUAAUAUAUAUGAGGUAGGUUUGAUGCACCCAUCUACAAAUUCUCUAAACGAAGUUUGUAAUAAUUAUAAGAAUAAAAUAAAUUUAGUCUGUUGGGUCAGGAAAAAGAACAUAAUAAAUUAUUUAACUUCCAAACAACUUUUGUCUUUCCGCGAAUAUAAUAAUCAAAUUUAUUCUACUGCUUUUGUCUCCAUUGCUUAAUUUGUCCGCGAAUAUAAUAAUCUCCAUUUUAUUUAAGUAAAGGCGAUUGUGUUGUGCCUAAGCGUAAAGCCAUUUGCUAUUUUGGCGGCUACAUGUGUUACAGGCCAAUCCACGUGCCAAGAAUAGACAGGACUUGUCCAUGCAUAUCAUAAAGUACAAUAAAAUUGAUUCAAAUGUUGUAAUUUAGAAUAUUAAAGGGUUGUAUUUGAUAAGGAAAAAGAUGAUAAGGAAAGAACUCAAUCAUUGGAAAAUCAUGAAGAUCAAUUUACGGAAAGAACUCAAUCAUUGAAAAAUCAUGGAGAUUAAUUUGCGGAAUGCAUAGCACUAUCAAAGGGAUUUCCAACGUCUAGAUUAUCUCUAUAGAAUAUCUUCAAUGAUUUAAUUCUUUUAUAAAUAUUCCUUUUAUGCUAGCAGUACAUAAAUGUCAUGCAUUAGUGGGUAUGAUUUGGCCAUUAGUUAGGACAGCAAUAGCUUAAGUUUAGGCCACUUGCUCCUUUAAUCUCACGUAUUGUCUUGUAUAAAUUUAUGGUUUCAGUUGCAAUAAAGGUCAACCAAUUCUCUCACGCUUCAAUUUCUUUAGUAUUCACCUGAACAUGAUUCAUAUUAUGAUAAAAUAAUAUCAUAUUUUUGUUCAAUGAGAUAUUAUUAUUUAUUUGACAUUUGAAUUUUCUGAGCAUACAAAUGUAAAAGUAUUGGUUUUUAGAUUUUUUAAGUUGAAAAAAAAAUUAUUGUUCAGAAAUUCAGAUUAAAAAAAUAUGUCAUUUGAAUUUAAGUGUUCGGCUCCAUUUAAAAUUCAAACUAACUUAGAUUUAUUCAGAUUUUAGAUAAUAAAAAAAAUGUCACCUAAGUAAAUCUAUGAUCAUACAAGCAUAUUAGUAUUUAAAAAAAAAUCAACAUCUUCUUUUCUAAAAAAUUACACAAUAUAAAUUAAGCUUCAUAGAAUGCGAGUGUGAAUGGAAUUUAAAGCAUAAGGCCAUUCUUCCGUGGCUGUCCUUAUCUCAUCCAUAAGUGCCAUCUCUGUCUCUCACUUAGUCACUGUAUAAUUGAGACAUAAAAUAAGCUAUACGUGUUCUUCGAUAUCCUUAAUUUUACUUCUCUUAAUAUAUAUGAAGUAGGUUUGAUGCAUCCUUCCACAAAUUCUCUAAACGAAGUUGGCAUAAUUAUAAGAAUAAAAUAAAGUUAGUCUGUCGGGUCAGGGAAAAGAAUAUAAUAAAUUAUUUAAUUUUCCAAACAACUUCAGUCUUUCCGCGAACAUAAUAAUCACAUUUAAUCUACUGUAUUCUUCGAUAUCCUUAAUUUUACUUGUCUUAAUAUACAUGAGGUAGGUGUUUAACAAAAAAAUAUAUAUUUAUGUAUGAGGUAGGUUUGAUGCAUCCUUCUACAAAUUCUCUAAACGAAGUUUGUUAUAAUUAUAAGAAUAAAAUAAAGUUAAGUCUGAUGGGUCAGGAAAAAGAACAGAAAAAAUUAUUUAAUUUCCAAACAACUUUUGUCUUUCCGCGAAUAUAAUAAUCAAAUUUAUUCUACCUCUUUUGUCUCCACUGCUUAAUUUAUCCGCGAAUAUAAUAAUCUCCAUUUUAUUUAAGUAAAGGCGAUUGUGCUGUGCCUAAGCGUAAAGCCAUUUGCUAUUUUGGCGGCUACAUGUGUUACAGGCCAAUCCACGUGCCAAGAAUAGACAAGACUUGUCCAUGCAUAUCUUCGUGCGCCUCGUACUCUUAAAAGCGGAUGCCAUUAGAGCCAGUGGUUGAAGGCAUGUCAAGCCAUCGUCCUUCUUGGACUUGGUUCUUUUCCAAGACUGGACUCGCGAUUAAGUAACCAAAUAGCAGUGUCUCUGUGCGUGAUAAGUCCACGAAUCAUCAGUUUGAAGCAACUGUGGCAACAUGCGCUGCAUUAGCUAGCCAGGGGUCUACACUCUACACAAAGACCCCUUUAAGGCAAAUUCUGGAUGUUAGAGAGUAUACUAAUGAAGAAUUUGGUCACCUUGAACAUAACUCAAUAGCAACAGACCCGAUAACUCCCAACGGCUCCUAGAAUAUCAUGCAUAAGAUUAAGUCAUGAGAUUGCAUCAACGAUGAAGCCUUUAGUUUAUGUAAAUAUCUUUGUAAUUAUGAGAUGUGUUUUAUUCCUUUUAAAGCAUGAUACAACUUGUAUAUAUGCUGUACGAUUUGUUUGAGUAGAAACAAUCUCAAUUACUUUCUCAUAUUUACAUUUUCCACAGCACGUAUUCAAGCAGGACAGAAAUGUAAUUAAUUAAUUAAUUAAUUAAUUAAAAAGAUAGCAAUAAAUGUUUAAACUCUUGAUAAAUAAAUAAAUAAAUAAAUUCAUUAAUAUAAAUAUAUUCACUACUACUCAUAUAUAAAUAAAUAAAUUCACUAAUAUACAUAUUUUAGUUUUCUAAAACAGAAUGAAUGGAAAGAUUUAAUCAUUAUUACCCAAGUGUUUGGCAAGGACAGCAAUAUUGUCCCAACAAAUCUUCGGCAGUUAGUUGAGCAAAGUAAUCCAAGAAGGCUUCACAGUCUCUCUUUAAGACCAUUUGUUAUCAUCUCCACUGCUAUCUAUCUCUUUCUCACUUGUACAGUUGAUACACGGAACAAGUUGUACGUACGCGUUCUUCGAUAUCCGUAAUUUUAAAAUUGACCAUUUUCUCACACCAAGAAAUCUGGGAUAUGACAUAAUAGAACUAGAUCUCGUUUCUACUGCGGUGUUGUGGGAAAAAAAAGGAUAUAGCUAAAAUAAAAGUCAAUAGUUUAUGAUAAAUAUAGUUUUUAAAUAAUUAAAUAAAAAUAGUAAAGGAUAUUAUAGAUAUUCAUUGUAUAAGUGUGGGAUAAAAUUAACUUAAUUUUCAAAUCAUAAGUCAAUAGUAAUAAAUAUUUGCCAAAGAUUUUAAUGUUGUAGUUUAAAAAGCUACUCUAUGCACAUCCUUGAUUGCACAAGCAUAUUAUUAUUAAAAAAAUUAUUAUCUUUUUUUUUUGUUAAUUACUUCUUUUUCCAAUUAUUGCAAAAUAUAGACAAAACUCAUGCUUGGUCGAACGUUUUUAUUGUUAAUAGAUUAAUGUAAGUUGACUAUAAACUUGGUUGAUAUUCAAUAAUCGACGUAAUGUCUUGGCCGGAUGUGGUUAUUCCAUUGCAUCAAUUAAUUGCGCGGUUGAAUACCAUGAUUGUUUUGCCUUAAAACAUUUUCUAAUUUCUUGCUUGGACGUUCUUCAAUAUUGAGAAAUAUAUUUAAUUUUCUCCGAAUUUUUUUUCUUUCAUAGUGACAUAAUCCAAAAAUUUAAGGGUCCAUUUGAUUACGAUUCAAAAAUAAUUUAAACAAAUAUAAUCUCAAAAUUUGUGUUGAAGUUUUAAUGUGUCUACUUUUUAUUAUUUAGCCUGACAGCACUCAAUUCCCUCUCCACCUAUGUGAACGGAAUUUAACUCCUAAAUCUCUUGUUUCAAGAAACUAAAAGAGAUUUUACUAUCUUAACUAAAUGGUAACUACAAGCUUUAAUGUCUUUAUAUAAUAUUUAAAACAAAUAAUUUCAACAACUGAAACAUGUUUAACAAAAUUUCUAAUUAAUAAAAAAUAAAAAUACUUGUUUAGGUGGUGUGAUUUCAAAGGUAAUAUUUACUUAAGCAUUUACAAUUUUAUUUUCCUUUCAGCUAAUUACAUUAUAUCAAGCAGUAACUUGACCAAAAUAAACAUAAAACAAGCUUCAUCAAGAUUCAAUAUUGAUUAUAUUCUGUUAGCUUCUAUUCUGUUACAUUAUACCUGUUAGGCUUGCCACCAAAUAAAAGCUGGCGCAGUUGUGGGUCACUUUCCACGUUCAUCUACUUAGCAUCAGGACAAUGCUUAGAUGCCCAUUUUCGGAACCUGUUAACGGCAGCUUCUUGCUCUGCUCUGGCCAUCUUCUCAAUCUCAGAAAGAUAUUACCGAUCCACCAACAUCCCCUCAGUUUCCAUUUUAACUAGAAUCUCACCAAAUGGUUGCCAGUAUUCCUGAUAAAAGUCAAACAUGGAUUUUCCUGGAACUGGUUUCCCAUCAAGUUUCCAUGACAUUUCUAAAAGUUUUUUUUUUUUUUUUUCAAGCUCUUAUAAAGCUUCAGUGUGUUUAUUGAAUCAAAGGCAGAAUAAGAGAUCCACAAUUCUCGCUCCUCUAUUUGAAGCUCUUCAACAGGAGCAAUGGUGCUUAUUUUGCCAGCAGAUCCAUCCUUUUUCAACUUUCUCCUGCCAAAGAUAUCUUUCAUUGAUAUUUUGCCCAUGAAACCCUCAUCUGAGUUGUCCUUAGACAUGUCUUUCUGAUAGCUUUCUUAUCCUCAGACAUGACUUUCCGAUCACCUGUAAGUGCUUCAAGACUGUAACCACCCUCUGUGCGUCUCGAUGAAUCCCAAAGCUGUGCUAUACGCAUUGUGUCAGCAUGAAACCAGAAACCUUCAGCCCAUAGUUCUCAAGGACAUGGUUAUCAAAGCUAUAGUUAUGCCAAACCUACACAAAUGAUAGCUGACUCUGUUAAUAUAAGAUCAUAUGAAAAGCAGACGACAUAAUUUUUUUUUUCUUUUUUUGUGAUCCAAGUAAACUAAUAAGGAGUAAAGCAGUUUGUUUAGCUAAGUAAAGGAAAUUGGAUCAGUUAUGUCUAUAGAAGGUGGAAACAGCUAGAAAUCCACCAUAAAAAGAGAGAGAGAGAGAGAGAGAGAGAGCACAGAGAGAGGAAACAGCUCUGCAACUGAGCAGAGUAUUUCCAUUCUUUGAUCAGCGUACAACAUAUUUUCCUCAACUAACAUAAAUAGCUAUCUAAGGGGGAAAUUGGAGUUUUAGGUUUCAUCAAAUCUAUGAACUGUACCACACGGGUAGGAGAACAUAGCAUAGAUGUAGAGGUAAACUUGUAACCCAGUAGACAGCAAUGGGAACCCCAGCUUAAAUUGGAAAAGAGCAACAAAACUUGAGGAGAAAAUGCACAGCGUAGGCAAUCACCGUAAAUCUUAAACCUGUCACUGCAAAGCAAUGACAAUAAAACUCCAUCUAAUUAAACCAUAAUAUGUGAAAAAUCAGUUAUCCAAAAAUUUACUAAAGCGCAUAACCAGCUGCAAGUUCAAUGCUUGAACCGUGCACCAAUCACAUAAUGACUGGUGCAGAUUAUCAAAGAAAUAUCUGCCAAUCCAUUUCUCCAUACUGCUAACCAGAUGAUAAUUAUUCUAAUUAAAAAAAAGCGUGCAUAUGAAAAGAACUAUAAAUAAGAAAAAGACGUGGUGAAGGGGGAGGAAGGGCUCACCUUUUUGAUGGAUGGAUCCUCAAAAAAUGGAGCAAAUUCAUUCAAAAGGUCCCUGCCACCACCGUCAAGAAGAUCAACCCAGAUGCAGGACUUCCCAUUUCCAAAAUCUGCUUCUGGUCCAGAAUAAAUACUGAAGCAUAUCACUUCUCCAUGAUCAACAGGUGUCUCUUGCUUCACAUCAAUUUUGGCCACCUAUAAACAUGCUAUAAUUAGAUUCCUGUAUGCACAAAACUAGGGUAUCUACAUUGAGUAAAAUGUGUGAUUCUAUACAGGAAGACAGGCAAGGAAGAAGUAAAAAAGAAGGCAACUAAGUACAUCACUCAUUACCUGCCAACCAAAAAAAAAAAAAAAAAGUACCAAUUUCAACUAGAAGAAGAAAAGAACAAAGUACCUCAGUAUCACGUGCAUGGACAAGACGCUUAUAUUUGUUUGUAAGCAUCCAUACAACCUUCUUUGCGGCAGAAACAUUAUCGACAACCAUAACAUUGCUAUAGAAGCUAGCAAGUUUACUGCGAAGAAUCUUGAGUUUUUCACUAUUUUCAUUUUCUGAAGCCUUUUUGUUCUGGCCAGUACCUUCUGCAGCAUCAUUCUUAGGGUUCUUUUGAUUACUUCGCUUAGAACUAACUAGUUUUGGAGGAGGUGAAUAGGAACUACCAUCUUCAAAGCACUCAAUCUCUGAGUUCCUGAAAUCUGACAAGUUGGGAACUGUCAAAACAGUGGCUCCUUUUCUCUCUUGAUAUUCUGCAACUUCCUUUUCAUAUCGCAAGCACUCCAUAUUAGUCUUCUUGUCUAAGGGUAUUUGAUCAUUCACAAAGUCUUCGCUUUUUUCUUCACUGCCAGUAACUUCUUGUUUAAUAACAGCCAUCACAGAUCCAGGAUGAUUCGUAGGAUGACCACCUACUGCACCAUUUCGGAAAUCUGCCAGUCCCUAACAAUGGGCUUCUUCUGCUGCUUAAAUUUCUGAAAAUAACGUUGCUUAGAACUCGUGAUUGAAGAAUAGAAACUACUGUCUUGCAAGCACUCAGUCUUUGAUGAAGUAAGUGAUCUGUCAUGCUUGGAUUCCAGUAUGUUGAUAACAGUGGAAAUGGCAGCUCUUUUUCUCUCUUGAGCUUUUGCAUCUUCCUUCUCAUCUCUCGAGCUCUCUGUAUUUGUCUGACAAGAUUCUACUUCUUUCAUUACAUGCAGUCUGGUCGUUUCUGUCAUCCACCCUCUCGAACUGCGGACAGUAUUUUUUGCAGAAAAUGUUUCAUUACUGGAAAUAGAAGGAUUAGGACGAUAGUAGGAUGCAACCUCCAGAAAUUGUUUUUUGUAAAGUUUUUCUUCUCUUUUUUCAUCUAUUUUUGGCAGAUCAAAAGUUCCUUUUGAGGAGUACUUUCCUUCAAAACUGUUGAGAUCUUGGCAGAAAGGGACCAUCUUAGCUGACGCAGCACCCACCGAAAGUCUAUAAGCAUAUUUUUUAAUAGGAAAUCUCCUAGCAUUGUUAAAUGAACUAUAAAAUUGGGGAAAACUACUCAACAUCAUAAUGUUGGGAAAGGUAGUGUUGGUUACGCAGCCUUCUUUCCUGAAAUUUUUUUCAAUGGAAACAAUAUCAAAGGCAGCAGAAGGUCAAGCAACCAUGAUAAUAUACAACUUGCUGCAUGCCAAGUAAGAAAGGCGGAACAUCUCAAACAGCACCAAUAAGAAUUUAGCACCAUAUGCACAGCUCAAACCCACUGAACACUGAACAUCAGUACAGGAUGACAUUAGAGACAUAACAUAUCAUACAUAAUCACACAUAGCAUCGAUAUGACAAACCGAAACCCAGUUAACAGAAAUAAAAUGUGGGUGUUACAUAAUCUUCAAAAGUCAAAACCCAGAUAGCAAAAGCUAUGCACGCAAAAAUACAAUCUUUUUAACCUCUCCAAUUCAACAAAGCAAAACUGUAAGUUGGAAUCAAAUAACCCUAAAAAGUCAGAAUGAAAAAGCAAUAAACAGCACAAAAACACAACAAAUAAUUUCAUAACAUAACAAAUUAGAGCCAAAAAUAUAUAUGUAAAAAAAUUGAACCGAACCUUUUAAAAGAAGUGAGAGAGACAUGAGGAGAGGAGCAAGGAGUCCACUUUCUGGUGGUGAGAUUCGGGGAGACUCCCAUGACCGUUAUCAAGUUCGUAACUUUUGUUCUGCUAAACAGCAGCUUGUUGCCAGUGGUGGUUGUGCUUGUAAGAGCCGUUUUGAAGGGUUUAAGAGGGGGCAGAACGGUAAUAAAGGUGGGAUUUUGAGGGUGGGGUUUAAGAGUAUGGCGGUUCUGUGUCUGUUUCUGUAGCUGAAAUACAGAGUGUGGCCAUCAACAAUCUCAACUCAGCACUACUUGAUGAGGCAGCGACAAUGGUUAUAGCUAAAACCCUUCGUCGCACUGGCGCCCUUUAUUAUUAUUAUUUAUUCUUUUUUUUUUUUUUUUGCUUUUGGGUAAUUUUUCAAAAUCUCCCUUGAGGUAUGGCGAAUUUCCAAGUAGAUGACGAGAAUUGUUUAUUUUUGAAAACCUCUACAAAAUUUUGAAGUUUGACAUUUGUUAACUGGUUGAGUAAAAUCAAAAAAAUACUUGACAAAGUGAAAUACUCAAGCUUUACGUGUGUAAUCAUUCAUAAUUAUAGAUAAUUUACUAUUUAUUUGAGAUUAAGGUUUAACUUAAAUUUUCGGAUUCCUAGUAUAGUAGUAUUAUAGAAUUCAUAAUAAACACCAAACCAAAUCUAGCACUUCAACACUUUCUCUCAUAAUUCAUUUAUAAAAACUAUUAAAUAAAUAGACUAAUCACAUCGCCUUGCUCUUUCUUGACAAUAUUUAAGUAAAAAACUACCACAUUUGAGGUAAAAUUAAAACAAAAAAAUCUAAAAUCUAAAAACAAAAAAUAAAGAAAUUUAAUGUUUCUAAUUUUCUCAUUAAAUUAAAUGUAACGGUAAAUCAAUAAAUACAGAGUGGCUAGUUAAAAAAGACUAUCAAUUUUGUUAAACACAUUUUGAUUGUAAAAGGAUCUAUUUGUACACAUAAAGCAUUUUUGGAUUUGGUUGUUCUAGUGGCUCUAAAGAAAUUAAUUGCCUUUUCAAUAUGACUUAUUUAAUAAACAUAAGUAUUUAUUUAUCUAAUUUAAUGAGCUCUUUUCAAAUUUAUUGUUGUUGUUUAAAUUUUUUGGUAGAACUUCUAAAGGCUAAAUAAGUUAUUUUACUUUUAUCUGCAAAAGCUCAAAUUUGGAGUAGAAGUUAAAAAGUUUUUUUUUAAAUAUUAAAAUAUUUAAAUUAUCCUUUAUUUAUUUGAGAAUAUUAUUCAUUCAUUUCACAAUGUAACUUUAAAAUAAUUUUAUAAUGUUUACUAAAUGCUCUUAUUAACAACUAAAUAAUUAAAAAAAAUUAGAAAAAAAUCUCUACUUACAAAAGUUUUACUGACAAUAAUUCUACUCAAACAAAUUUUAUUUGAAAAGUUAUAUCUAAUAGAGCUUAAAAGUAUCAUGAUCAUUUGUUAUUAUGUAUUGAUACGAGUUUUUUCUUUUAUUUUUAUUUUUUCCCAAAUUUUUUUAUAUGAACUUUUACAAAGAUUUCCCCCUGAAAUUGAGUAUAGACUUGUAGGUAAGUGAGGCCUUGAUUGUAUCUAAGGGCAUUGUGAUGCUUUCUCAGUUAAGAGAUGAUCAACAAAAAAUUUAACAAAUGACGAGAGGAUUUUAAUCAAUAAAAUGACUUUUCCAUCUAAUUGCAAAUAGAUUAUACCUCAGGGGAGGUUACGAAAACGUACGCACAAGAGAACAAACGUUGCAUACAGUGACUGAUGUUGACUUUGCCACGUGGGUACUUGUGAUGUGUGGCUGUGUAGUUUUCAGAUUUCUGUCAAUUUUUAAAAAUUUUUAUAAUAAAUCCCACUUUUUAACCAAAAAAAAAAUUUAUGCGGCGUUUACUAAAUUAAAAUCGGAAUAAAUUUAAAUUGAAAUAGGUAGAAAUGAGAAUGUAGUAGAAUUAAAAUAGAGAAUGAAAAUUAAAAUAAGUUGUUUACCUCAACUUUAAGAAUUAGAAUCGAAAUCAGAAUGAGUUAGAUUUACAUUAAUGUGUUUACUUUAUCUUGUAAUCGGAAUCAGAAUAAAUUAAAUUGUUACAAAUUACUAAAAAGUCGUUAAUAAUAAUGACAAUAAUAUUCAUUAAAAAAAUAAAAUUAAUAAAUAAUAAUAAUAAAUUAAUAAUGAUAAUAUCACCAAUUAAACACGUGCUUGAUCGAAUGCGCGUGUGAACGGAGUUUUAAAUUACCAAGGUCUUUAACCAACAAUUUACACUUGUUGUUAAUCAAUAGAGUUGUGCUUUUGACACCCCUCAAAAGUUAAUCAGGAAUGUUUAGAUCAUAAGAAGAUCCAAAUCCAUUUAAAAUACAUCUUACAACUAGAAGCUUUGAAAAUUAUGAUACUUUAAUUUAAUUCCCAAUCAACCCUUGAUAAAUAUUUCUACAUCUCUAAAGAACUAUCUACUUCCUAAUGUCUAUUGUAAUUAAAUGAUAAGGGCUGAUUUUGUUUUAUUUCUAUUUUCAGUAUCGCUUAGAGAAGGUCGAUGACCUGUUUGAUUUUCAUUUUAGGUGUGAAGCUAAAAGACCUAAGUCAUCUUCAAUUAAAUAUUCUUUUUUUUUUAAAUGUUCUUUUAUCUCUCUUUUUCUAAAACCUAAGUCAUUCAAAAAAAAAAAAUUGUAAAAUUUUACCCAAUUUAGCCGAAAAAUUGCCAUUCUUACUGUACUGAUAAUUGAGGAGUGAACAACUUGCAUCUAUCAGCGGGAUUGCGGGAAAAAGAAAACCUAGAAAGUGAGUUUGCUCUUGAAGAGUUGUAAGUUUCUUCAAGGGUUACUUGUUGAAUAAAUGUCAGAUAAUUGUAAGCACCGAAAUUUAAAAACUCUUUUAAAUGGAUUUAUUUAGAAAAAGUGUUCAUAAGAGUUUUGCUGUUUUGGAGGGGGUGCUAACCGCUCGACUCCAUUCAAUAUUCGACGUUAUGUCUUGGCCGGAUGCGAUGAUUCAUUGAUUCCAUUGCAUCAAUCAAUUGUGCUAUUUUGCCUUAAAGCAAUUUCUAAUUUCUUUCUUGAAUGUUCUACAACAUUCUGAAAUACAUCAAUUUAUGCUUAAUUUUUUAUUUCAUAAUCCAAAAUUUAAGGGUUCAUUUGAUUUACGAUUCAAAAAUAAUUUUUAAAAAUAAAAAAUGAAUUUAAAAAUGUGUUGAAGGUUUUAAUGUGUUCAUUUUUCUUUAUUAUUUAUAUUAAUGGCAACCUAAUCAUCUCCCCACCUAUGUGAGAGAGGUUCGAAUCGUAAACCCUUUUUUCCAAGAAAAGGAAUUCUACCAACCUAAAUAAAUGAUGCAAAUUUUAACAAGUUUAUAUAAUAUCCAAAAACGAUAAUUUGAACAACUGAAACAUGUUUAACGUAAUUUCUAAUUAAAAAAAGAAAAACAUGUUUAGUUGCUGUGAUUUUAAAGGUAAUUCUUAAUGAAGUAUUAAGUUUCAUAAAAUUACAGUCUUGUUUUCCUUUUAGAUAAUUGCAUUACAUCAAGGAGUAUCUUAGAACAAAAUAAAAAUGAAACAAGCUUCGUCAAGAUUUCAAUAUUUAUUAUCUUUAGCUUAGCUUCUAUUCUGUUAUGUUGAACUAAAAAAAGUAAUUAAAUUAAUGGUAUGGAGACUGAUUUACACAACACAAAUUGCCAACAACGUAUACUUUAAUUUGUAGUUAACAUGGAAAAUAUAUACUUCUAAACGGUAUGAUUACAAUAUUCAUUACCAUCAUGCCUCUUCUAGCUGUAUUUUAUGUGUGCCUAAGUAGUGUACGGUCCAUCAUGUGCAAAUUUUAUCAAUUUGAAUCCCGCGGCUCCUGAUAAGAGACACUGCAUUCUAAUAAAAUAUGAAUCAUUGCUCACUUCAUAUAUGUGUAUGUGUGUGUUUGUGUCAAGAAUCACUGCGAAUAUAACAUGUGCAUUGGAAGAAAUCAUUAUCAUUAUGGAUUACAUAAUUUGGUAGUAAAUGAAUUCAUGAUUUAUGAUUAUUUUUUUAUUAUCAUAGUUCAGAAGAUGAUGAAUCCGUGAUUUAUGAUGACUUUUAAUAUAUUUAAUUAUUUUUCUUUUUAAGAUAGAGGGGUGUGCAAAGCCCAAAUUAAUUUUUAUGAUAUAUCUUACCAAAAAUUGUUAAAUUACUGAUAAUAGAGACAGAUUUAGAAUAGAAAUUGCCAAGACAAACAUAAAUGAUGAUUGAUUUCUUACUUUUAUGUUACUGAAUCUUUUGUACAAGUUGGACCUUGAAGCCAUGUUAGACCUUGAAGCCAUUUAAUAGCAACAAGAAGACAGUGAAUUCAAUUGUUUUUUAAAUUCGCCGGAUGAAGCUGAAUUUUCCUUUUCUUUCUUGAUGAAUAAUACUUUGGACAUCGACUUUUAUUCUGAUCUAAAUUUUUAUCAGCGCAUGUACAUGUUCGCGUCAGUUGUCAACAUAAUGCAAUCAACUUAACUGACUAUAAUGAGUAACAAUUAAAUGUAUUACACACAGUACGUUAAUAUUAUUUGUCACACCAAACCCAUCUUUUACAUGACAUGAUACAACACACCCAAAGGAAAAACUAUUGUUAGAACAAGUAAAGUAACUAUCAUGAAUUAGAGCUAAAAUACAUAUAAAGAUUGUCAUCGUAUCAUGCAUAAAACUUAGAUAUAAUGCGUCUACUUCUUCUUCUUCCAAGGAAGCUUAUUCAUAAAUUCCAAGUAAUAGACCUUCCCACCAACCAAAAAAUCAGCACAGUAAGGAAACUCCAUGAGUGCUAAAACAAUCACUGGAAAGAUAGCAGCAGCAUAGAGAGCGGCGGUCCAUUUCAUCUCCAUACGAAUGAUGAGCAGAAGUGAAGCCGAGAAAGUAAUCAUGCUUGUUAGUACAGAAAAGAAGAGCAAAGUGAAGCCAACCAGCAACUUGCGCGGAAGUUCUCUAAGGAAAUCAGAUGACUCACGUGGCGACGUGAGGAUAGAUAGGAACAUAACAACGGAUGACAAUGAUAAGGCCAAGGAGGCAACGUCCAUUAUGGUAAAAACGUAGAAAAGUGGUGACUUAAGGAAAUGGGGAAACCCCUUAUCAUUGUUACCUCCAGGUAUCGUGAAGGCAGCUGUAAAGACGACGGUUGCGAUUAGGAUUGCCAGCACGGAGCAUGCCUGAGAGGUUUCUUUGAUCCAUUCUUGUGCUUUCCCAAGUUGAUCUUCAUGUGUUAUAUUGAAGAGUUCCCUUGCAGUCAUCUUAUUGUUUUCAUCGCGGUGCAUGGCAUAAUGGCGAGGCAUUAUCUCUUUUACACUCUGCAUUAUACACACACGUUAAAUAGGGACGGAGUCCUACAUACGCAUAGCCACAUGUGUAGUCAUUAUCUCUGUAACAUUUUAAAAUAUAGAUUCAAGGUUUUACUCAAUUGUAAAAAACUUCCAAGAGGGUUGUAAAAGGUUUACACAAUUAAAGAAAAAAAAGUGUUUUAUAAAAUCAUGAAAUGGUGAAUCACUUGAGAAUGAAUAUACAUAUACAUCCAUACAUACGUAUAUAUAUAGGGAGAGAGAGAGAGAGAGAGAGAGAGAGAGAGAGAGAGAGAGAGAAGGGGGGAGAGAGUGUACUAAUUUGGUCCAAGAUGUAGGAUUUUAUUAAAGUCUAAGAAAACUAUUAAAUCACAUAGUAUAUAUAGGGGGAGAGAAGGGGAGAGAGAGCGUGUGGAUAAGCUAUUAUUUAAUAAUAGAUCUGAAGUUAUUAAAAUAAAGGAUAAACUAAAUGGCAAGUAAAAGUGCAAUGUAUUUUAUCCAUUAAUAAAUUAAUGUGUGUUGUUCUUGUCUUUUAAUUUAUCCCUUAUUUUGGUAACCUAAAGAGAUCCUUCAUUGAAAAAAAAUAUUUUAUAUAUAUAUAUAUGAAGAUACUUAGGUAUGGCGGCUACACGAAUUUUUGGGUGGAUUUUAGGCUUCACAACCAUAUGAAAACUUUUCACAUUAUUAUAAAAAAUAUUUUACACUGUCCUAAAAUCCUAAAUCUGCAUGAAAAUUUAUGUGCACAAUGGUUUUAUAUAUAUAAGGCCGAAUAAUUACAUUUUAUGGGACAAAAUUAAAUAUUAUCAAAGGGCUUACCUCGAACAAUUGUAACUCCUCCUGAAAUUGGAGAACAGGGCCAGGGCGGGUUCCUUCUUUAUAAUGUUUCAUGUCUGCAACAUGGUGCAAUAAUGUGUAGCCUUUCUUGUCAAUUCUUGAAGCCCAUUUGGGCACAGACAGUCGCAUUUCCUUCAUGAUGAGUUCAAAGACUUUAUAUUGACGACGCUUUACGGCCACAUGUAAUAUAUUCUGCUCUUUCUCAUUCAAGUUAUCUAACAAUAUUGCUUGAGGAUGUUGAUGGAUUAUCUCCUUCAAAAUCUCUGUUGUUCCAUUGCUUGCUGCAAAGAGUAAUGUCAACCUGAACGCCCAAUUCUUAUCCUUUUUAUAAUUAUGAACUGCUUUAUUAGUGCAAUCUUUCUUCACAAACAAUUCGACCAAUUCUCCAGCUGAAAAAUCAACAAAUUUUUUUGCCUUGAUCAUAUUUCCUUUGUUAGUGCAAUAUUUCUUCAACAGCAAUUCGUCCAAUUCUCCUGCUGAAAAAUCAACAAGUUUUUUUGCCUUGAGCAUAUUUCCUUUGCCUAAUCCUAAGGAAAUUGUGGAAAUUUUAUCCGACGAAGUUGUGGAACUUUCUGGGUCCGGCGAGAAAAUUUCUGGGUUCUGCUCUCCAUCCCCAAGACAAGGGGUUUCUUUAACGAGCAUUUUGAGCAGUUUAUCCGCAUUUCUAUGCAUUUGCUUUUUCAUCCAGAUUUUCUUUAUACCGGGACAUCCUGGUCAUGCAUGCAUCAACACCUUGUUAAUUUAUAAACAAAAUUUCGCGCGGCAAGUACGGCAAAUCCAUUCAUCAACUGAAUGAAUUGAUCAAGUUAUGUUACAUUUCCCCUGUUCCUUGUGUAAUUCAUCUAUGUAGAAGUAAUUAAUGAAAUUAUUAUUGAUCGCACCUUCAAUCACUUGCCUCCAAAUGCCAGUGUACAUCUUGUUGAUGUUGAAAUCUGCUCGUCCUUGGCCCGAUCAGAUCUUUACACCAACGUUUAUGUUAUCAACUGUGAGGAUGUCAAUUUCUUCUUGCUUCGACGAUCGCUCUAGUUAUUGAAGUUGGAAUUAUCCUUCCUUUUCCCACUAAGUCUGCGUUCACAAAAAAUGGAUCAGAGACGCCGGUGGUUUUGCCGGCGUAAACCCUCCGAUGCCUAAGUUAGCACAAGGUAUUUACGAGAAAACCGUGCAAUUAAGAUUCGAUAAAUUGCUUAUAAUGGGCUCACAAUUCGUAUUGAAAAUGGUUUGGUUUCAAUUUGGCAGAGUUUUCCCUUCUCUCAAUUUUUCUGUCCCUUUCUUCAUCGAUUUCUUCCCCUUUUAUAGCCGUUGUCCCACGUUUUCAUUCACCCUUCAUCCCUCCUUUUCGGGUAGUGGCAGCCCCUCAUGGAACUCUAACUGCUACAUUGUGGGCAAACGUGGGAUCUCGCAUCUCCCUCAACGGUUCUGGGAAAAGCGCAACUAUCGUGAUUCUGUGAGAUCGUGUCCCCGCUCUUUGGGGGAUGGGUAUUGGCUCGGUAUAUGUCUCUGGUCGGUAUACUCUUCUGGCUGGUACUCGUCUCUGGUCGGCCCAUGUUUGUAGAAGGCUCAUUAUCAGUGUUCUGCUCGUACCACUCGGCUGAGGUGGUCCACCCCGGCGUGGGGAUGAUGGCAUGGCCGAGCUGGUGCUCUUAUUUACCUAACACCAGUCCCCCAGUUUCUGGUCUUGCGAGUGAAACGAGUUGAGAGUAGAAACUGAUAAUCGAAUCUUACCGGCCCGGGGAACUUCCCAUCUGGCCUUCUGUUUACUGGGAUGGACCUGAGGUUCCCUCUCUCAUCUGAGGAGAUUUCUUUUAUCCGAGUAUGGGCCUUUAUGAAUAUAUCUCGUAUAUAUUUGGGCUUAUGCCUCAUCAGGCAUUUUGUAACGGUUAAUGACGUGGCGCUUCCUGACUCUUCGUAUUUGAAAUUUGAAACGACGGGCUAUCCAUCCUCGAUAUAUGGUGAGUGAGUUGGCAUCCCCAUCACUAAAAUGCUUCCAUUUCCCUCUUUUCGUUUCAAAUCCCUAGAUUAAAAUCAUCAUCGUUUUGUUAUUCGUCUCUCCGCCGUUGACCAAAUCCUUCUUUGAACUUUGCUCACACUUCCAGCGUCCGGAGUAUCCACUUGCUGGGUGUUUUCUCUAUCACGACAACGCUAUCAGUGUCAGUCUAUUCCAGGUGUAGCCUUUAACCUCUUCUUUGGCUGUUGUUGAUUGGGUUCUGUGUUGCCCCUUUUUGUAUUCAUGUACUUGGGUUUGUUUUGGUUUCCUUUUGGGACUUCGAUAUGUCAAAUCGGAGAAGGAAGUUGAUUGCAGAUAAGAGUGACGAAGAAACAGAGGAUUCACACCUUGACUUGUCAAUACCCACUGAUUUUUUACGUCCUUCUAGUAGUGUAGGCCCCUCCUAUGGUAGGGAUACCCUUGAGUACCCACGUCCCCUGAUCAUUUUACCUUCCCCUGAAUUAGAGCUUGUAAGAAAUAGAGGGGGACCUGCGUCGGGCUCUGGUGAGAACCACAGUUCUAGUGGGGCUGGGGUCCCUGAAGAAGUGGGUGAUGGUGAGGGAAGCAGUUCCGAGCCGAGCCGACCUCCUAAGAAGAGAAACCUUGGCCAUAGGGUGGAGGCGGAUUCUUACCCUAUUGACUACAUAGCCUAUGCCACCACCCAAACUGAUCUAUUCAAGCUUAGGAACCUCUACAACAUUCCUAAGGAGGUUCUCCUUGUAGUUCCUAGGAAAGGUGACGUUCCUAGUCGGCCUCCGCGGGGGUAUGUGACGAUGCACCUGGAGAGUUUCAGAUUAGGAGCUCGGCUGCCCCUUCAGCGUUAUUUUGCCAAGAUACUGGGGGGUAUGCACCUGGCCCCAGGUCAGUUACAUUCGAAUGGGUGGAGGGUCUCUCGGCUAUGUUCGUAUUAUGGGAGAGGUGUGGAUCAGAGGAGCCCUCCCUUGUUGAAGUGAAACAUUUAUACCAGCUGAGGAGUAGCCCGAAGAAAGCAGGCUGGUAUUAUUUUAUGUCGAGCUCUGCGAAGAAGAAGCCAAUCACCGGCUUCCCUUCCUCAUACAAAAUUUGGAAGAACAAAUUCUUCUUUGUUGGAGGCAAUUGGUGUCCAGCAGCUCGUUCGUUGGGUGGUGAUAUUUACCUUCCAACGCAUUUUGUCACCCCAGGUCGUUCAUUUUUUGCCUAUAUUCUUUCUCAAAUUGCCACUUAUUAGGUUCUUUAACCUUUGUUUUUCCAGAAUCGUGAGGUUUGGUUAAGGAUCUUGAAGACCGACCUUUGCUCCAGGUUGAAACUGCUCUGGUGAACGCGUCUACCUGCCAAGACCUCCUGUCACCAACAAACUUGGUCGGUUCGGGCUUAGUGGACAUUGCUGCCUGAAUGGAUAACAAGAUCCUCAGCGCGAUGAGCAGAAAGCGUGGUCGGGCUCCAAGCAGCUCCAGCAACCCUCCCCCUCCUCCAAAGAAAGUCAGUGUUGGUCAUUCCAAGGUUUCUGUUCCUGCUCUGCCCCCUCCUCCACCUCGUAAGAGCGGUGGGGAAAAAACUACUGACAAGAGUUUUGAGGUCAGCACUCGCUCUGGGGACCGAUCCUCUUCUCUUCCGGCUCGUGAUCAAGGUGACUACCUGACCCCGCAUCAGAGGGACUAUGGAAAGUCAGUGGGACCGAAAAUGGUCCAGGGCAUUGAGAACAUGAAUCUCAAUGAAUUGGCUGGUUCUGUCCAGAGGGUCUCCUUCAAGCUGGCUACCAUAAUUUCUUGUUACAAAAACAGGAUCACGCGCCAUGAGAGGAAGCUUCAAGCUGACGACCAAGAUUUGAAGAAGAGAGUUGAGUCUGCCGACCGCUCGAAGGAAAAGCUGCUUGAUCUGCAGAAACAGAUCGUGGACUUGGAAGAAAAGGUGGCCAUGGCCGAAUCCAACUCUACCAAGCUUGAGGGUGAGUUGGGUGAUCUGAGGUCUGAUCUUCAGGCCACUCAAAGUGAAAGAGAUACCUUGAAGACGACCCUUGAGGGAGAAAUCAAAUCUUUGAGUGAGCAGUUGGCCGAGGUGAAAGGUAAAUCUGCUGAUGUGGAUGAUCGGCUGGAUGCAGAGUAUGACUCUGGGGUUGCUUUCUGCUAUAAGUGCAUCAUGUCUGUGCUUAAGGAAAAGUAUCCCGAGCUGGACAUGAGCAAGCUGGAAGCUGGAGUGCAGAGAUAUAUGGCUGAGGCCGAUCAGGGGGAUAAGGAACAGGGCGAUCAAGACCAGGUGGAGGCUCCCUUAGGAGGGGUGCAGGUGGAGGAAGCAGGAGAUUGUGCUCCUGAAGUUGGUCAAUGGUCGGUGCCUCCUCCCCCCGACAUUGCUGAUCCUCCUCUCCCGGAGAUUGUUGAUCCCUCAACUGUUGAGGCUGCUGAUCCUCAUAACCUUUAGACUUAUUUUUGUAUAAAUUUUGGACUUUCAUUUGUUUGCAAUCGUUUGAACGUUUAUAAAUUUUUAGAUGCUCUCUAUUGGCCUUCUUGUCUGGUUUUUGCUCAUGGAUUGUUUCUGCAAAUAAACUUGACAAUUUAUCUGACUUUGCCUGCUGGUUCUUUAGUGGACCGAGCAGGAAUAAGCAUCCGCUUGCCUUAGUAGAAUUUCGUAAAAUUUCCUGCUGGUCCUUUGUUGACCGAGCAGGAGUAGGCACUUACUUGCCUUAGCAAAAUUUUCAUAAAAUUGCCUGCUGGUCUUUCGUUGACCGAGCAGUAGCAGGCACUUACUUGCCUUAGCAAAAUUUUCGUAAAAUUGCCUGCUGGUCUUUUGUUGACCGAGCAGGAGCAAGCACUUACUUGCCUUAGCAAAAUUUUCGUACAAUUGCCUGCUGGUCGUUCGUUGACCGAGCAGGAGCAGGCACUUACUUGCCUUAGCAAAAUUUUCGUAAAAUUGUCUGCUAGUCUUUCGUUGACCGAGCAGGAGCAGGCACUUACUUGCCUUAGCAAAAUUUUCGUAAAAUUACCUGCUGGUCUAUCGUUGACCGAGCAGGAGCAGGCACUUACUUGCCUUAGCAAAAUUUUCGUAAAAUUACCUGCUGGUCUAUCGUUGACCGAGCAGGAGCAGACACUUACUUGCCUUAACAAAAUUUUCGUAAAAUUGCUUGUUGGUCUUUCGUUGACCGAGCAGGAGCAGACACUUGUUUGCCUUAGUGAAAUUUUUAAUGGGCUUGCUAGUAGGGGGAUUUCAUGCUGAAUUCAUCUUUAUUGAAAUUUGAAUGCAUUACAGAAACACAGAAUAUAUGCAUGUGCAACAAGUCGUCAUGCAUUUAUCAGAAAUAACUUAUCAAAAUGAAGACUUAGUAGAGCACUUUGCUUACUGAAAAUACUUCUUCAAGUGCUCGGCGUUCCACGACCUCUUCACGUCUCGUCUAUCUAGGUACGCUAACUUAUAAGCUCCUGGUCCAGUCGCUCGUAUCACCCUGUACGGGCCUUCCCAUUUCGGGCCAAGAGUGCCAUGGUUAGGAUCCUUAGUGUUUUGAUUCACCUUCCUAAGUACCUAAUCCCCUGCUCGGAAUUGCCUCAUGCGUACGUUCUUGUUGUAAUAACGUAUGACCCUUUGCUGAUACUGGGCCACUUUCUGUGAGGUCCCUUCCCUUUUCUCCUCCAGCAGGUCCAGGCUCAAGCAGAUCUGUUUAUCGUUUUGCUCCUCAUUGAAGUAUUCUGUCCGAUGUGUUCCUACUCUAAUUUCUGCUGGGACUACUGCCUCAUGACCAAAAGCUAAAGCAAACGGGGUUUCCCCAGUGGCGGUUUUGUGAGUUGUCCGGUAAGCCCACAAUACUCCUGGUAGCUCGUCGACCCAAGCUCCCUUCUUCUUUCCCAGUCUUGUUUUCAGGAGUUUCUUUAUUACUUUGUUGGCUGCUUCCACUUGCCCAUUUGCCUGGGGGUGUGCGGGGGUGCAGAACUUCAGGUCCACCCACAGGUUUCGGCAAAAUUCUCUGAAGUUGUUGUUGUCAAAUUGCCUCUCAUUGUCUGUAAUGAUGAUAUAGGGGAUCCCGUAUCUGUAGAUGAUAUUUUUUCAAAUAAAAUCUGUCGUCUUUCUCUCCGUGAUUUGGCUGAGGACUCCCACUUCUACCCACUUGGUGAAGUAGUCUAUCGCUACAAUUGCAUGUGUUGCCGCUCCUCGGCCCUUUGGUAACGGACCAAUCAGGUCGAUUCCCCAUUGAGCAAAAGGCCAAGGGGAUGUCAUAGUGGUCAGUUUUUCUGAGGGUUGUACAGGAACCUCUGCGAAGCUUUGGCAGAUUUUACAAUUCUUUGCCAUCCUUUUCGCAUCCUGGUGCAUGGUUGGCCAAAAGUAUCCUUGCCGGAGUGCCUUGAAGGCUAAAGUUCUUGCUCCCGAGUGAUUUCCACAUAUUCCUUCAUGAAUCUCCCUCAGUACAUAAUCUGCCUCCUCAUCAUCCAAACAUCUCAAAAGGGGUAAGGUGAAUCUUCGGCGGUAGAGCACCCCAUCAAGUAGUGUGUACCUCACUGCUCGGCAUUUUAAUUUUCUUGCUUGCCUUUUGUCCUCCGGUAAAAUGCCAUCGCAGAUGUAUGCGAGAAUCGGGUCCAUCCAGGAUUCUUCAGUGCUUACUCUCAUUACCUCUACUUCCUCCCUUAUACUCGGCGAAGUCCUUACCUCUAGUGGAACUGACUUAGGUAAUUUUGGAUCUACAAUUGCAGCCAUUCUAGCCAACAUAUCUGCUCGGUAAUUCUCAUUCCGGGAUAUCUGCUUUACCUCUACCUCUUUGAAGAGUCCAACCAUUUGCUUCGCCUUCUUCAAAUAAAGCCCCAACUUCUCUUCCCUUACUUGGAAUUGGUCGCAGAGCUGAUUGCAGACUAGCUGAGAAUCUGCUCGGAUUUCUACUCUUUCAGCUCGUAGUGCGUGUGCAAGCCCGAGCCCAGUAAUGAAGGCCUCAUAUUCAGCUUGGUUAUUCGUAAGCUGGAACUCGAAUUUUACUGCAUAAGAUACCUCGAUCCCUUCUGGGCUCCGUAUUACAACUCCUGCUCCGGAUCCCUGUUCACUACGUGACCCAUCAACCAUUACUAGCCACACCCCCUCAGGUUUCUCCUGCUCCAUUGGUUGUUCCUCCCGAAUCUCUUCCCCUAGUUCAGCACGGUCAACUAUAAAAUCGGCCAGGGCUUGGGCUUUGAUUGCUCCUCGGGGCCUGUAGGAUAGGUCAAAUUCGCUCAGCUCCACGGACCAUUUUACUAACCAACCAGAUGCAUUUGGUUUUUGGAGCGUUUGCCGAAGGGGCUGGUCAGUCAUCACAACAAUCUGGUGGGCCUGGAAAUAUGGUCGGAGCUUGCGCGCUGCCGUUAUUAGAGCCAGCGCCCACUUCUCCAUCAGUGAAUAUCUGGUUUCUGCGUCUACCAGGGCCUUGCUUGUGUAGUACACCGGGUGUUGCUUCCCUUCUUCUUCACUGACUAAGACCGAGCUGGUAGCCCAUUUAGAGAUUGCCAAGUACAAAAGCAGUUGGUCACCCUCUCUCGGAGUUGAUAGUAACGGGGCGUGGGCUAGGUAUUCCUUCAGCUGUCCAAAUGCCUCCUCGCAUUCUGAUGUCCAUUCCAUCUUCCUCCAUUUCUUUAUGGUUUGGAAGAAAGGGUGGCACUUAUUAGUGGCUCGCGAAAUGAAUUGGUUCAAUGCUGCCAAUUUCCCUGUAAGGCUCUGAACCUCCUUAACUGUUCGUGGGGACCUCAUUUCUAUCACCGUCCGGAUUUUUUCUGGGUUGGCCUCGAUCCCUCGGUGGCUCACCAAGUAUCCUAAAAAUUUGUCCGAUCUAACCCCAAAUGCACAUUUCUCCGGGUUCAGCUUCAUUCCAUACUUCCUCAGCAAUUCGAAGGUCUCUUCCAAGUGCUUCACAUGAUCUUUCGGUUCUCUUGACUUUGUGAUCAUAUCGUCCACAUAUACCUUCAUAGUGUGAUCGAUCAAUAGUUUGAAGACCUUGUUCACUAACCUUUGAUAGGUAGCUCCUGCAUUUUUUAGGCCAAAAGGCAUCACCCUGUAACAAAACAAACCCAUGUUAGUUAUAAAGGUGGUACUCUCCUCGUCCUGCUCGUUCAUGGGUAUUUGGUUGUAUCCUGAGAAGGCAUCCAUGAAGUUGAGCAGACUAUGCCCCGCCGUUGAAUCCACCAAUUAGUCUAUUUUUGGUAAGGGAAAACUGUCCUUUGGGCAUGCUUUAUUAAGGUCUGUGAAAUCCACACACAUUCGCCAUUUUCCGUUGGCCUUCUUCACCAACACUACGUUGGAAAUCCACUCUGGGUAUUUAGCCUCCCUUAUAAAUCCCGCUUUCAACAGCUUCUCUACCUCGACAUUUAUGGCCUCGUACCUUUCUUGGUUAAAGCACCUCUUUUUCUGCCUAACCGGCCUUGCCUCUUUCCUGAUUGCCAGCUUGUGGCAAGCUAUCCCGCGAUCAAUACCUGGCAUGUCCUCAUGAGACCAGGCAAAUAUAUUUGCAUGGGACUGUAGGCAUUUCACCAGCUCGCCUUUUAUUGCUUCGCCCAAUUCUGACCCGACCUUAACCACUCUGCUUGGGUCACUCUUGCUUACAACAACUCCCUCCAGCUUCUCAACAGGUUCUUGGCGACCCUUUUUUGAAUCCCCUCGGUUAUCUAGAGAGGUAACCUGCAGCGUUUCCUUAGCCGCUGUAGCGUAGCAGCUCCUUGCCAUUCUCUGGUCACCUUUUAUUACGCCAACAACUCCAUUUACUCUGUACUUCAGUGCCAGAUAAUGCGUGGAUAUAACACAUUGACUUAUCCUCAUGAACGGUCUCCCCAGUAUCAUCUGGUAAGGGCUUAUUUCUUCUACUACGACAAAAUCCAGCAUCAUCGUUCUUUCAAACGGCUUUGACCCCACAGUAAUCGGGAGUUCGAUGAUCCCCAUGGGAGUUAACUGUCCCUCUUCAAAUCCCUUCAAGGAUGUAUUCGUCUGCUCCAGCUUCAAGUCUGAAAUCCCCAUAUCAUCUAGGGCCGACUUAAACAGAAUGUCAACUGAGCUGCCCGUGUCCACCAGUAUUCACCGCAAUUCUGUACUAGCCACUAAUGCUUUAAUUACCAGUGCAUCCUCAUGAGGAUAUAAAAUACCCUCUUCGUCGUCCUUCGUCCACAUAAUGGGAACUUGCCGCACUUUUGCCCUCUUGGCUGCUGGCAAAUUGAGAAGCACCUAUUUGCCAGUUAUGGCGUAUGUUCCAUAGUUCUUCCGUGCCCUGUUCGAAUCCCCGACCAAUGUUGGCCCUCCUGCUAUCACACGGAUGGUCGGCUGUUCCCGUUCCAGACCCCUGUCAACUCCUUCAUCCUGCGUGUAUUGUGAUUCAAUGACGGGGAGCACUCAAUCUACAUAUUCAUUCAAGUACCGGUUCCUUACUAAAUCUUCCACCUGAAUCUUUAGAUCACGACAUUGGCUGAUAGUGUGACCGUGAGUGUUGUGAAAUUUGCAGAACCUGCUCUUAUCACGUCGGUGAGCAGAUUUUGUUAUAGGGGCCGGAGGGUAUAACAGACCUCCUUCAAUCCUCUCAUACAAUUCCUCCAUGGAGAUUUUUUAAUGGGGUGUACUGUCUAUAUGCCAAGCUCUGGUCAACCAGUUGAACUGCUCGGCUAUCAUGGAUAUCACCUUGGGCUGGUAUCAUCGGUAGUUGAUCUGGUCGUCCAGCCCUGGAAUUAGUUGCAUGUAACGCUGUGGGAGUGUUGUGAUAAGGGUGGGCAGCCAUCUGCCUGAAUUCUCGCUGCCGCUCCGGGAAUGGGGGGCGCGGAGGUUGAGCUCGGCUGUGUUGGAACUGUUGUGGUCUCUGAAUUAUGGGGUAAAGGCGGGACCGAGCUGAUAUUCCGCCCAUCACUGAGGAUUCCCCAGCUCGUUUUCCCAAUCCGCUCCCAUUCGGGGCUCUCCGUUCCUUUCGUCUCAGCUCUUCUAGCUGUUCACUUUUUAUCCUUGCCGAUUUCUCCUCUUCGAUUUCUAUAUCUCGCAUCGCCUGUUCAUACCCCGCCGAGUAAUUCUGCACUAGGGGGCUUCUUAAGUUAUACCACAAUCGGCCGAUUCUUACACCUUCUUUUAAUCCCCUCAACGCCUGCGGGUGAUUAAAAGCUCCCAAAUCCAGCACGGCCCGGUGAUAUCGUUUUACAAAAUCCUGAAGGGAUUCAUGCUCCUCCUGUUUCAUCCCCACCAGUUCCAUCAUGUCGUCCUCUGGGGCCACUGCUCCACGGAACUGCUCGGCCAACUCUUGGCACAUCUGCUCGUACCCUUUGAUACUUCCUCGUGACAGCUUGCGGUACCAUUCUCGGGCUUGUCCCUCUAGUGUCAAUGGGAACACCCUGCACCUCUGAGAUGGUGUCAACCCCUGGACAACCGUCAUGUCGUUGAAACGUUCAAUAUGCACCAACGGAUCACUUCGCCCGGAGUAUUUGAGGUCGGGGAAGUGGAAAUCUCUUGGGAUUACAGUACCCAUGAUCUCGGUUGAUAAUGGAGACUCUUCAUCUAGUAUUAUCCUCCAACUCGGGGGCUUUCCCUUGCCCUGAAUCUCCUCCAUCACCUGCGCCAAUCUGCGCACCUCUCCCUCCAAUUCUACAGCACGGUCAGGAUCACGUGCAGCUAUCUGAUCUCGCUCCUGUUCGGCAUUCUGUAACCGCUGUCUGAGCUCUCCUUCAUCAACACUGGCCCCUCGAUCAUCAAUUUCUAGUACCCGUCUGGGGCGAGGUUGGUCCCUCAUUUCAUCCACACGUUCUCCUGGAACCCGACCAGUACUUCUAUGGGGAUGCACCCCAUUAGGUUGAUCUGCCGGCGGAGGGAUUUCCUCGACUCUAUGCCUCCGGAGGCUGGGUUCUGCUCCAACUUCAUCUCUCCCCACGAGGGUUUCACAAUCCCUUCUCCGCUCAUCCCUCAGCUCAUACAGUAUGGCCGCGAGCGUCUCCAUUUGUUUCUCCAUCCGCUCCAGUCGAUCUUGCAUCAUCCUCUCUCGAGCUUCAUUCGCAAUUUCCUAGAGAGUGAUUGUCUCCACAGUUUCAUUGUCCUCCCUCAAAGCAUCCUUCCUUGGCACAUCCAUCUCUAAUCGUUCGCUGCUUCUCCGGUAACUACUAAUUUGGUGGUAGUUUUUUAUUCAGCUCCCCAUAGACGGCGCCAAAAUGUUGAUGCUGAAAUCUGCUCGUCCUUGGCCCGACCAAAUCUUUACACCAACGUUUAUGUUAUCAACCGUGAGGAUGUCAAUUUCUUCUUGUUUCGACGAUCGCUCUAGUUAUUGAAGUUGGAAUUAUCCUUCCUUUUCCCACUAAGCCUGCGUUCACAAAAAAUGGAUUAGAGACGCCGGUGGUUUUGCCGGCGUAAACCCUCCGAUGCCUAAGUUAGCACAAGGUGUUUACGGGAAAACUGUGCAAUUAAGAUUCGAUAAAUUGCUUAUAAUGGGCUCACAAUUCGUAUUGAAAAUGGUCUAGUUUCAAUUUGGCAGAGUUUUCCCUUCUCUCAAUUUUUAUGUCCACUUCUUCAUCGAUUUCUUCCCCUUUUAUAGCCGCUGUCCCACGUUUUCAUUCACCCUUCAUCCCUCCUUUUUCGGGUAGUGGCAGCCCCUCAUGGAACUCUAACUGCUACAUUGUGGGCAAACGUGGGAUCUCGCGUCUCCCUCAACGGUUCUGGGAAAAGCGCAACUAUCGUGAUUCUGUGAGAUCGUGUUCCUGCUCUUUGGGGGAUGGGUAUCGGCUCGGUAUAUGUCUCUGGUCGGUAUACUCUUCUGGCUGGUACUCGUCUCUGGUCGGCCCAUGUUUGUAGAAGGCUCAUUAUCAGUGUUCUACUCGUACCACUCGGUUGAGGUGGUCCACCAUGGCGUGGGGAUGAUGGCAUGGCUGAGCUGGUGCUCUUAUUUACCUAACACAUCUUCCAAAUUGGAAUUCCUGCAUUUGGAUUAACUACUCAGCCGCAGUAUUACAACUAUAUGUAUUAUACGAUAUGAAAGUUAAUGCUACCACAUAAAAAAGGAAACCGAUCGGAUCAAUUAAAAAGUUUUUUUUUUUUUUGGGGGGGGGGAAUAAAAUGCCGCACGUCUCUGUAUCAAUUGGUAGUUAAGGUCCUUUUCAUAAGAAUUUCUACAAGUCCAUAGAAAUUAAAGAAAAAAGGAACUUCAUCUUUUCCCCAUAUUAUUUAAGGUAUUUCACACUUCCCCCUUAGUAUUUUCAAAAUUUGCAUACUGUUAUUGCGUCUAGAGGAUUCCACUUCACUGUAACGAUUCGUCAUUUAUAUCUAGUAUACUUUUGAGUUACACCAAAAAAAGAAAAAAAGAAAAAAUCGACGUCUAAAAAGAAAAACUAACUUUUAGUCUAAAAAGAAAAACUAACUUCUAUAUUAUAUUAUCUAUUACUUAUUUAGGUCUCAAAACUAAUAUUCUGUUUGGCUUCUAAGAGACAAUUGCUCUAAAAUGAAAGUUUUAGUUAUUAAUGGAAAAUUCGUGGGUGUUUGGUAAAGCUAAACCACUGGAUGUCAUAAAAGUUCUUUUUUUUUUAUUCUCAUUUUGGAGUAAACUUAUCAAUAAAUAAUUGUGAAAAAUAACCAAUUUAAAAGGCUAACUGGGAAAGCGUUUACAAAUAUUAUGACUUGUAAUCGCAGCUAAAGCUGUUUGUUCGGAUUUUCAUUUUUCAAUUUAAAGAGUUAUAAUGAUUAAUGAAACCACUAUAUGAUGAUUAUGGACAAAUUAAAGCUGCUUGAACACUACCUCUCAUCCGCUUUCUGCAGGUGACGCAAUUGUCAAUUUCACCAGUCUCCAAAUCUUCUUUGUUAUUGCGGUUAACGUAAUCGUCAUCAUCAUACGUUGGAAGACCUGCAAUUAGAAUUAAAAUUGUAACAGCAUGCACCGAAGUCAACUGGACUAUAUAUCCCCUUAGAGAUGGAACUAUAUAUAUGUGUAUAUAUAAUUACUAUAUAAAAAAUACUAAAGAAAUUGAAGGCUGAUAGAAUAUUGACAGGAAUAAUGGUAUAUCAAGUUGGGCUUACUACAUGGUAAUCUCGGCCAGAUGUACCCUUGUUUUUGUUGAAUUGUUCUUUCUUAAUAGUAAUGUUCAGUGAAGGACCUCUUAAGUUAUUAAGUUAAUUGCCAACACAGUAACCCCGAACGGAUGUAUUUACACUUCAUUAAUCUCUUUCAUAUGGUUUUUGUAUCCACGAAAGCAAGAAAUAAAUGAAUAUAUUCACGUACAAGAAGAGACAAGACUCGUCCAUAUAUCCGCGGUCUUCGAAUAACUCUUGAAAGCAGAUGGCAUUAGAGCUAGUAGUUGAAGACAUGUCAAGCCAUCAGGGCCCUUGGACGUUAGUUUGUUUGCAAGGCUUGAGUCGUGUUUAAGUAACCAAAUAGCAGUGUCUGUACGUAUUCAUGCAAGCAGAUUCAUUAAUUAGUUAAUUAAGAAGAUAAAUGAUAAGUUUUUUUAAACUUUAAUUUAACACUUGAUCUGUAAAUGAAUAGAUGAGAGAUUUAUUAAUUAAUUACUACAUAUUACCGAAGUGUUGGCCAAGGACAGCCAUAUGAAGAACGGUCUUGUCAUCAUUUCCAUAGAAAUGGUGAAGUAAGUCGCCAACUUGCUCAGUCAGAUUUGCAACACUUUAGUUUUCCCAAGAGCAGCAGCCCUGUAAACUGGGGUUUCCCCCAAACCGUUUUUAGCUUCAAUUUGAUUUUUGUACGCAUCACCAGACUUUCUGGAAAAGUCAACCAAAACCCUGGCCACGUCGAAGUUUUCGACGAUGGCCGCUUCGUGAAGACCGGUGUUUCCAAACGCAUCUUUUUGCUUCAAAACUUCGAGUCUGUUCUCCGGUUCUAGCCUUUCGAGCAAUUCCUGGAUCAGCUGAGGGUCUUCCAUGGCCGCUGCAACGUGAAUUGCUGAGUCUCCAUUGACCGUCCUGUAAUCCAACAACUCUUCAGGUCGUUGACGAAAGUAAACCAAGAAACCUUGACGGUCUUCAUUUAAGGCCAUUCCAUAAGGAUCCAUCUUUCUCUCUCUCACCCACACUCUUGAAUAUAUAAGCUUUAAUGCAUCAUUGUUGAAGUUCUAAACGAAGUUAUCAAAUUGACACAAUCACUUUGCAUUUAUAUUAAUAGAGCUAUAUUAAUUAUAAGAAUAAAAUAUAGGUGAAGUUUAUCCUUGGUUCAGGCAGAAGAAUAGAAUAUAUUAUAUCCAACAGCUUUGGCGGGUCCUAAUUGCUUUUGCUGCGAAUAUAAUAAUCACAUUUAUUCUACAGCUUCUGCCUCCAUUGCUUUUGAUUUCCGCGAAUAUAAUAAUUACAUUUAUUCUAAAGUGUUAAAAUACCUGAAAAUUUUGACACUUACGAUUUCUCCACCCGGGUUUUUUUUUAUAAAAAAAUCAUCUUUUUUUCGCCUUGACGUUAACGAAGUUGGAAUUUGUUAGGAAAUGCUUGCAAAAUGAAAGUUCUGCUCUUGUAAUAUAAACAAUGUCGGAUUUGGACGUUUAAUAUCAGAAUAUUUUGAUUUGCCCCAAAACAAUUUCUAAUUUCCUUCUUGCAUGUUUUUCGACAUCGUGAAAUACAUUAACCUUAAUCUUCAAUUUUUAUUUCAUAAUGACAUAAUCCAAAAGUUUGAGGAUUCAUUUGAUUUGUGAUUCAAAAAUAUUUUUCAAAACUCAAAACUCAAAACAGAAUCUAAAAAAUUGAGUUGAAGUUUUAAUAUUAUCUGUUUAUUUUUAACAUUUAUCCAAUUCUCUUCCCUAUUAGCGGGGUCGAAAAUUAACCAACUUAAAAAGCCAAACUGACAAGAUGUGUACAGCUGAGCUUUCAAAAAGCUAGCCAAAACAAAUACAGCCCAAGUACAAUCGAGAGUGUUGAGAAGUGAACACAAAUCUGGAAUUGUGGUUGAAUAUGACAUGUCCGUUUGAUGUUUCGAGACUGGAUGAUAUGUCGGUUGUGUGGCACAAGAGAGCCGUAUGACAAGCCUGGUUGAUCAGCCAAGUAAUUAAGUUAAGCACGUGCUGAGGCACACGACUUCACUUAUUCUAAACGGCAGAAGAAGGCAGCGUUUUGGAUGCAGUUACUACACGUGUCUUGAGGCUGGUUUAAACGGCUGGUAAAGCUGUUAAAGAAAGCGGAAAAUUCUGGGUUUGUUGGGCUGUUACGCUGGCUUCUGGGGGUUGUUUCUAGAGCAAUCUAGGCGUGUAUAUAAGGCUUGCUCAAGUGUGUAACAGUUUCUCAGAUUACUUGUAUCUUGUAAACACCAAAUCAGUAAAAGCUCUUUCUCUUUUUCACAGUGGAUGUAGGUCAAUUGGUGGCUGAACCACUUAACUCUUUUGUGUUCGUGUGUGAUUGUUUCUGCUUUCUUUAAGCUUGUUAUCUAUUGAUUCGAAUUGAUGAUUUCACAAAGCUUUAGUUGGUCAUAAUUAGUUCUUGGAUUAAAGCUAAGUCAAGUGAAUCUUGGGGGAUUAAGAUCGAUUCUUGACUGGUUUUGGUCCAACAGAGAGUCGUAUGUGUAAGUUGGUUAUGACUUGUAACCGUAGCUAAAGUUGUUUGUUCGGGUUUUGAUUUUCGAAUUUAGCGUUAUAAAGAAGCCACUAUUUCAUGAUUAUAAACAAAUAAAAGCUGCUCUUUCGCCAUUACUCUUCUCUGCCUGGCUGAUGCGAUUCUGCAAUCCUACCUGUCUUCAAAUCUCUUUUAUAAUUGUAGUCAACGAUAUCCUCAUCCAGAUACGUUUGGAAGACCUGCGAUUAAAAAUGCGAUUGAAUUAGAUUAGUUCUAAUGAUGUAGACCUGCAAGUAUUUAUUUAUUUAUUUUUAAAUUUCACUUCAUCGCGUAUAUGUAUAAAUGCAAAUUAAAUCAUAAUUAUUUCUCCUAAUUAAUUUGGUUAUUGUUUCCACUGCAAAGCCAUGCACCUAAGUCAACUGGACCAUAUAUCUCAUAAGAGAUGAAACUAUACGUACAUAAUUAAUGUAUAAAAAAUGCUAAAGAAAAUGAAGGUGAAUAGAGCUUUGACAGAAAUAAUAGUAUAGUAAAUAGGGGUUUAUUAUGUUAAUUAAUUGAUUUUUAAUUAAGUCUAAGUCGCUAAUCUCGGCCGGGUGUACCACUGUUUCUGUCAAAUUUUUCAAUCUUACUCAUGAUAUAUAAAUAUCAUGCAUAUGUUUUUCAUAAGAGAACUGAUAUUCAGUCAAAAUACUAACAAAAAUAAAGUAAAUCCGGCCAGGUUUACAUAGUUAAAUGCCAACAUAGUAACCCUGGCCAGGUGUAUAUAUACUGUAUUUGUCAGCGUUUAAGUCUAUUUUAUCAUUUUUUUUCUCCAUGAAAGGUAGUAAUUAGUUUAUAUAUCUGCGUAUUAAGAAUGUAUGGACAAGACUCGUCCAUAUCUUCAUGCGCUUUGUAAUCUUGAAGAUAAUAAUAAAUUUUUAUACUCUUGAUCUAUAAAGAAAUAAAUUCAUUAAUUUAUGUAUAUAAAUUCACCAUUAAUUACUCGUUUCUAAAAUGCAGAUUGAACCAGAGAUUUAAUUAUUAUUACCGAAGUGCUUGGCAAGGACAGCAAUAUGAAGAAUGAAGAUAUUAUCCCAACAAAUCUUCAGUUGUUAGUUGAGCAAAGUAAUCCAAGAAGCCAUCAUCACAUUCUCUCAUUAAGGCCAUUCCAUAAGCAUCUUCCUUCGUUAUCCUCAUCUCAUCCAUAAACAUAAGCGCCAUCUCGCUUCUCUCUCUCACUUGUAUAAUUGAUACACUGAACAAGCUGUGUUCUUCGAUUUCCUUAAGUUUAAUUGUCUCAAUAUAAGUUGGCAUAAUCACUUUGCUUAAUUUCUUAAUGAAGCUCAAGCAUUAUAAGAAUAAAAUAGAGAUAAAGUAUUUAACCUAUCGGGUUCAUAAAAGGAAUAGAACAAAUUAUUUCAACGACUUUUGUCUGCAUUGCUUUUUCAUCGAAUAUACAUAAUAACCACCAAUUCACCAUAUUCUCAUAACGUAAAGGCGCUUGUGCUUUGCCUAAGCCUUAAGGUUUUUGCUAUUUUAUAAAGAAAUCAUGACCAUUAUGGAUUACAUUGAAAUGACCUGCCCCGAACUAUAGGGAUGAGUCUAUUUAGUCUCAUCAAACUGAAUAGAUAAUAAUCUAAUUAGCAGAGAUUCUGCCGAAAAUUUGAUAAAGUUUUUUUUAUAAAUAUAACACUUGGAGCUUGUAAAUAUGUAAUACAAGUACUCUCAAAAUAAAUUAAUAUACAAGCAACUUCAAGGAUCAACAUUCUCAGUGAAAAUACUGAAUUAUUACCUAAGAUAUCUCUAGAGUAUCGAAAGAUUAUAUUAGAACUAAUAUUAAUAUACAUUAGUUUAUUCUUAAUCCCAAAAGAAUAAUACAACAAAAUUUAUACAAUCUAAAAAGAAAAAGAUGAUUUGGAUGUCCUAACAAAAAAAGUCAUCUAUAUUUUCUAAUACCAUCACGUGACUAAAACUUAAAAUAUAUCUACAAUCGUUGGGUCGAUUUGGUGUACCUGCAACCUCUUAUUGUGGGGGGAAGGGGGGAAUAUAAUAAAACGAAAUGAGUAUAAAAUUCAUUGAGCUCAGUGAGAGAUAUUAGUUUUUUUUUUGAAAAAUAAAUUUACUAAAAAAAAUAAUUUAAUCUUUCUUUGAACCAUCCCAUCAAAAUAUCAUAAGAAUUUAAAUAAAUUUAUUUAAUUUAAAUCAUGCACUGAUAUAACAAUAAUACAUAAUACUGCAUAAAAUCAAGGAAAUCAUAACACUUAUAAUAACAGAGAGUGAAUGCCGAAAUUAUGACUAAACAAGUACCCAUGAGAAAUAAUCUUGUCAUAUCCUAACCUCAACGGACGGGUAAUGAUUUACUAUCUAGAUACUAUCAUGCCCUCGGGCUACACGAAUAGACAGUGAGUUGCCAUCUCAUAUCUCAUAAUAUCUGUACAUGCAUAAUCUAAUCCCCAAAGGAUAAAAACACCCAAGCACACAGCUCAAAACCUUUAUGUGUAUUUAGACGGGCCCCAAAAGCCUGUAUCUCAUCUGUAUCAUCUGUAUCUGUAUUAUUGUUAUCAUCAUAUCACAUGUAUAUGCCCCCAAAAGGCAGAAGUGCCUCGAAAUAAAUUUUGUUCACGCAUUGAUAUUUUAUUAAAAUGUUUGGUUAAUGAUUUUUCCUAUUGAUUUUGAAUAAAUUAUGAUAGUAUUUUAAAGGCGAGAAAUGUAUUUUUAGAUGUGAUAAUGAAAAGAAAAUGGAUUUUAAGUAUGUUAAAUAGAAAAGAAACAAGAUUUAUAUUAUGAUUAUAUGUUUAUGUAUAUGCGUAUAAAACGUUGUUUGUAAAAUCAUUGGACAAUAUCCUUCCUCGGUUACAGUGAUACAGAUAUAAUGAGGCUUUUAGAGCCCGUCUGAUCACAUAUAAAGGCUUUGGGCCGUGUGUUCAGAACAUUUAAAAUAUUUUAUUUCGCAAACAUAUUUUACUAUCAUAAUUAACUAUGAAAAUAAGUUUUGUAUAUUUUUUUCACAGUGACGAUUUUUAGAUUCGGUUAUCGCCCAUGUUCAAGGACUGGUUCUCACUUGCAGGUCUUUCUAAAUUAAGGAAAUGACAUAAUUAUUUUCCGUAAAUCGAAAUUAGGACUAAAUUUAUGCAAUAAACUCGAAACGAACAUUUAUCCAUAAUUUACAACUUUCGUGUUGAUAAAAUUACUAAAAUACCAUCGAAUCCGUAAAUCAUUAGAAUACUUUGAAAUUGUAAAUCACUACAAUACCCUUGAAAUCGUAAUUACAUCAAAUCCUCAAUUUCAGAAAUUAUUAAAAUCUAUAUUGGGUCAAAAAUUACAAAAUCACCCUCAAAAUGUGAAAUUACCGAAUUGCCCUCGCUAACGGUAACUCGGAAGAUCAAGUGUGAAAUUUUCAGCCACGAUGAGUCUAAUGGUGCCUGCAGUGACCUCCCACGUGUGGAGACGGUGGCAGAUCGAAGUCCCAAAGCCGUGAGCUUUCCGGCGGCCGAUCGACAGCAAUCCGGCCGUUUCGGGUGGCGGGACUGGUCGGAAAAUGAUGAGGAUGAGCUAAAGAUCAAGAUCCAGGCAGUGGCGUCAUCCAAAACUGGCGGAAUCGACAACGAGAAGAGGUGGGUUUUGCCGCAGCUUUUCGAGCUUCAAAAGGCGGCGUUCCGGUCAGUUUUCGGCGGCGAGGGUGGUACAGAAACGAUGGCCGUCUUCCAAGCUUCAAAUCGGUACCUUGAUCGGCCGGAGGGGGUCGGAAUUGCGAGAUAUGGCCGGGUCGAUUUUGUGUCAAACGGGUCAGGUUUUCCGGGUCGGUUUGAUAGCUUCCUCCCUCCCUCUCUCACACGUGUGGUCUCUUCCUGUCCUUCAGGCCUUUUAUUUAUUUAUUUAUUAUUAUUAUUUUCUUAACCGCUUUUUUUUUUUUCACAUAUGUUACGUACAUAAUUUGGAAGGUGAGGAGUUCGUGAUUUAUGAUGAUUUCUUCGGAAGAAGAUGGAUACGUAACUUAUGAUGUUUUUUUUACCAUAGUUCGGAAGAUGAUGAAUCCAUAAUUUAUGAUGAUUUUUUAAUAUAUAUAUAUAUAUAUAUAUAAUUUUGUUUUAAGAUAGAGAGGUUGCGAAGCCCAAAUCAAUUUUUAAUUACAAUCUUAUCAAAAACUAUUAAAUUAAUGGUAAUGAGACCGAUUUACCGUACAAAUUGCCAACAACAUAAAUGGUGAUUGAUUUGUUACUUUUAUGCAAUUUUGUAUAAACUGAGCCUUGGAGCCAUAUGAUACAAGAAGAGUCCGAAUUAUUAUUAUUAUUAUUUCAAUUGUUUCUUAAAUUCGUGGAUGAAGCUGAAUGUUUUUUUUUUUUUCCUUUCUUGAUGAAAAAUAUAUUCUUUGGAUAGUGACUUUCAUUCUGAUCUAAAUUUUCAUUUGAGCAACAUGUGGGUGUAAGUUGUCAAUAUAAUGCAAUGAUGAUUCUAUAAAAAAAAAAAAAAAAAAUUCAUAUUGAUGAUAAUGAGUAAACAGAUAGAUCAUACAUUCAUUAUUAAAUUUGAAAUACACACAGUACAUUAUUAUUAUUUGCCACACCAAACCCAUCUUUUACAUGAAGUAAUACGACACACCCAAAGGAAAAAUACAUGUGAGAACAAAUGAGAUAAAUAGCGUUAAUUAGAGCUGCAUUACAUAUAAGGAUUGUCAUCAUAUCAUGCGUACGUAUUAAUUAUUAACGCCAAUGCGUCCUCUUCUUCUUCUUCGAAGGUCCCAAGUAAUCCUUAAAAUUAGCCGCAAAAUUAGCAUAGACAGGAAACGCCAUGAGUGCUAAAACAACCACUGGAAAGAUAGCAGCAGCGUAGAGAGUGGCGGUCCAUUUCUUCCCCAAACGAAUGAUGAGCAGAAGUGAAGCCGAGAACGUAAGCAUGCUUGUUAAUACAGAGAAGAAGAGUAAAAUGAAGCCAGUCGUCAGCUUGAACGGAAGGUUGCUAAGGAAAUCAGAUGACUCACGUGGCGAGGUGAGGAUAGAUAGAAACAUCACAAUGGAUGACAAAGAUAAGGACAGCGAGGCAACGUCCGUUACGGUAAAAACGUAGAAUAGUGGUGACCUAAGGAAAUGGGGAAACCCCUUUUCAUUGUUACCUCCAGGUAUCGUGAAGGCAGCCGUAAAGACGACGGUCGCGAUUAGGAUUGCCAGCACGGAGCAUGCCUGAGCGGUAUCUUUGAUCCAUUCUUGUGCUUUCCUAAGUUGAUCUUCAUGUGUUAGAUUGAAGAGGUCACUUGCAGUGAUGUACUUUUUUUUGUCGCGGUGCAUGAUAUAAUGGCGAGGCAUUAUCUCUUUUACACGCUGCAUAUGCACACACACAUAUAAUGCAUGGAGUCCAUCCGAAAAUAUAAUAUUAGAGUAUGCUUUUAUUUAUAUAAACACCAUGAAUAAAUUAAAUGUACUUGGGGGACAAAAUUAAAUAUUAUCAAAGGGCUUACCUCGAACCACUGUAACUCCUCCUGAAAUUGGAGAUUAGGACCAGGGAGGAUUCCUUGCUUAUAAUGUUUCAUGUCUGCGACAUGGUGCAAUAACGUAUAGCCUUUUUUGUCAAUUCUGGCAGCCCAUUUGGGCACGUACAGUUGCAUUUCCUUCAUGAUGAGUUCAAAGAGCUUAUGUUGACGACGCUUUACGGCCACAUGUAAUAUAUUCUGCCCUUUCCGCUCAUUCACGUCAGAUAAUAUUGCUUGAGGAUCUCGUUGGAGUAUCUCCUCCAAAAUUUCUGUUAUUCCGUUGCUAGCUGCAAAGCGUAAUGUCCUAUCCUCUGUUGUGUCGUUUUUACGAUCAUCAACUUCUUCCUUAUUUCUUUCUUUUUCCCUCAGCACCUCGAUCAAUUCUUCAGCUGAAAGAUCAACAAGUUUUUUUCCGAAGAUGUCCCUUCCUUUGCCGAAUCCCAAGGAAAUUGCGGAAAUUUCUUGUUUCUCUUUCGUUGUUUCAGCCUUUUGGGGAUUAGAGGAAGGGUUCAACCUUUCUAUUUCAACCAGCCUUUUGACAAGUACAACCGCAUCUUCAUGCAUUUUCUUUUCCUUCCAGAUUUCCUCAAUCCAUGAACAUCCUGGUCAUGCAUGCAUCAACAUCUUAUUAAUUUAUGAAAAAAAUUUUGCACGCAAACGGCAAAACCGUUCAUCAAAUGAAUUGAAGUUAUUAGACAUUUCCCCUGUACUUCUAAUGUGUCUCACUUAUGUAGAAGUAAUUAAUGAGAUUAUUAUUGGUCGAACCUUUAAUCACUUGCCUCCAAAAACCAAUGCACAUCUUCCGAAUUAAAAUUCCUGCAUUUUGAUUAACCUGAUCAGGAAAAAUUUUACAACUACAUGUACAUAUUUAUGAUAUGAAAAAUUAAUGCUAACACAGCGAAAAGGAAACCGCUCGGACUCAAGUUAGAAGUGAGGCGGUUUAAAUAUGAAGAGACAUGUGGAUGCCAUUUAGUUGAGAUGGUACAUAUUUUUGUCUGUAAUUUGUAGUUAAGGUCCUUAUCAUAAGAACAUGUAUGAAGUGUUGGCCGAGGACAGCCAUAUGAAGAAUUGUCAUAUCAUCUUUUUCUCUAUGGGAAUGAUAACUUGAGUCACAAAAUUGCUCAGUCAAGAUUUGCAGCACUUUAGUUUUUCCAAGAGCGGCAGCCCUGUAAACUGGAGUUUCCCCCAAACGAUUUUUAGUCUCAAGUAGAUCCCUGUACGCAUCACCAGACUUUCUGGAAAAGUCAACCAAAACCCUGGCCACGGCGAAAUCUUCGACGACGGCGGCUUCAUGAAGACCAUUGUUUCCAAACUCAUCUGUUUGCUUCAAGGCUUCAAGUCUGGUCUCCGGUGUUAGCCUUUCGAGAAAUUCCUGGAUCAGCCGAGGGUCUUCCAUGGCCGCUGCAAUGUGAAUUGCGGAGUCUCCAUUGGCUGUCCUGUAAUCCAACAACUCUUUAGCAGGCCAAUCAGCAAAGCACUCCAAGAAGCCUCGACAAUCUCCCUUCAAGGCCAUUCCAACAGGAUCUCCCAUCGCCCUCUCUCUCUCUCUCUCUCUCUCUUUCUCACUUGUAUAAUUGAUGCACAGAACAAGCUAUACGUGUUCUUCGAUAUCCAUAUAAUUAAUUACUUCCAUCGCCGUCCCUUAUAUAGAAGUUCUAAACGAAGUUGGCAUAAUCACUUUGCCUAUUUUACUAAUAAAGCUCGAGCAUUAUAAGGGAAAAAAAAAAAAGUUCUAAAGUGACAAAACGGAAAAGAUGAUAAAAGAACAAAGUUCUGAAAAGAGAAGUGAUUAUUGAUGAAAAUUUGUUUACAUUGUACGGUAUUGUUCCCUUAAAUUCAUAGAAUGUGAAGUUACCAAAAGAGCAAAGUUAGAAGUAAAAUAAAAUUAUUAUGUUUGAGAUAAAAGAGAAAAAGAAUAAGAAAAAGAAAACGCAUGCAAUUAAAAAUGAUAUUUUUUGUUGAUUCAAGAGGCCAAUCACCUCUGAAAUGAAAUUAACUUUUGUCUUUCUAUGUGUUUGGGAACGAUAUAUUAUAUAUGCAAAAACGAACAGUUGUAUCUAAAAUUACAUUUGGGAAAGUAUAAAGAUCACGUUCCACGUCAUAACGUUUGUUAACAAAUGAUGUCAAUAAAAAGAAUAGAAUAUAUAAAUUAUUUCCAGGCUCAAGUUACAGCUCCGAGAAGGUGUAGGGUCCAUGUUGUACAUCAUAAGGUUUGUUAAUCAAUGGUGUCAGAAAAAUAGAGUAGAAUAUAUAUAAUUUAUUUCCACAACUUAAUUUUGUCUCCAUUGCUUUUUCCGCGAAUAUAUAUAAAAAGAGUGGGAGAGAUCCUAACCCUUACUUUAAUAACAUGGUGAUUAUUGUAAACGCGAUUGUGCUUUGACUAGACUAAAGCCGUUUGCGAUUCUACAUGUUAUCAUUAUUUCUCGUCAUGGAGUGGCAGCCAAUCAUUAAAAAAUAAAUAAAAAUGUAAAAAUAUUUGGAAAGUUUAAACCUUAUGAUAGAAUUUGGCCUUAUUUUGUAUAGAUGUGUUGUGAAAAUCAACUGUAUACUAUACUGUAAAUAUAGCUUUGGAAAAAUAUCUUUACAGAUUUUUAUCGUAAAAUCAACUUAACUUCUAAAUCAUAGCAGUAACUAUUUAUUAAAUACUUUAUUGAUCUAUUUUAAAAGUUUCUACUGCUCAAUUACAAUACCAAACAAGAUGUUGAUCUAAGUUGGUUCCAACCACAAUACCAAAUAGGAACUUACAUUCUAUCAGUUAAGUCAUUAAGUUUAUUUAUUUUUUUAACUUAUUAAAAAUUUUCAAUCAUUAAGCUAUUAAGCCAAUUUUCUUAGGUUCUUAUUUAAUCUAAAAAGUCUGAAUAAUGUUAUUAAAGAUAUUAUUUAAAAUAUUCCUAUCCAACUAAUUUAUUUUCAUCUUUACCUAAAUAUAUAAAACUUACUAAUUAGCAUACUAUUCAUCUUUAUAACUUGUGAGAAUAUAGUAUAUUUUUUAUUUUCUUCAAAUUAGCAUUAUCUAUUUUUAUAAUUUUUUAUGAGUAUUUUUUAUAUGAAACACCAUAAAGUGCAAUAGAAUUGAUUCACACGUUCUAAUCUAGAAUAUUUAAGGGUUGUAUUCACCUUAACAUGAUUCAUGUUAUGAUAGAAUAAUAUCAUAUUUUUGUUCAAUGAGAUUUUAUUAUUUAUUUGACAUUUGAAAUUUAUGAGCGUACAAAUGUAAAAGUAUUGAUUUUUAGAUUUUUAAAUUAAAAAAAUAAUUAUUGUGAAAAAAUUCAUAUUAAAAAAAUAUGUUAUUUGGAUUUAAACGUUUAGCUCUAUUCAAAAUUCAGACUAAUUUGGGUCUAUUCAAAUUUUAAAUAAAAAAAAAUGUCACCUAAGUAAAUUUAUGAUGAUACUUAAGUAAAUUUAUAAUGAUACAAGCAUAUUAGUAUUUAAAAAAAAUCAGCAUCUUCUUUUUUUAAAUAUUACAAUAUAAAUUAAGCUUAUAGAAUGCGAGUGUGAAUGGAAUUUAAAGCAUAUGGCCAUUCUUCGGUAGCUGUCCUUAUCUCGUCCAUAAGUGCCAUCUCUGUCUCUCACGUAGUCACUGUAUAAUUGAGACACAAAACAAGCUACACGUGUUCUUCGAUAUCCUUAAUUUUACUUGUCUUAAUAUAUAUGAGUAGGUUUGAUGCAUCCUUCUACAAAUUCUCUAAACUAAGUUGGCAUAAUUAUAAGAAUAAAAUAAAGUUAGUCCGUCGGGUCAGGAAAAAGAAUAGAAUAAAUUAUUUAAUUUCAAAACAACUUUAAUCAUUCCGCGAACAUAAUAAUCACAUUUAUUCUACCGUGUUCUUCGAUAUCCUUAAUUUUACUUGUCUUAAUAUAUAUGAGGUAGGUUUGAUGCAUCCUUCUACAAAUUCUCUAAACGAAGUUUGUUAUAAUUAUAAGAAUAAAAUAAAGUUAAGUCUGUUGGGUCAGGAAAAAGAACAGAAUAAAUUAUUUAAUUUCCAAACAACUUUUGUCUUUCCGCGAAUAUAAUAAUCAAAUUUAUUCUACCUCUUUUGUCUCCAUUGCUUAAUUUGUCCGCGAAUAUAAUAAUCUCCAUUUUAUUUAAGUAAAGGCGAUUGUACUGUGCCUAAGCGUAAAGCCAUUUGCUAUUUUGGCGGCUACAUGUGUACAGGCCAAUCCACGUGAGAUACUGAUGUUUUGGAAUGAGAGAAUGAAAUUGAGACAGAAUAUAAUAAUAUGUUUAUAUUACUUUGGGAGUAAAUAAUUUUAAAUUAUAAUUUUAUUUUUAUUUAAAGAAUUAUAAUUUAUAAUUAAAAAAUUAAUAAAAAAUAUAUUUAAAAAUAUAAUAAAUAUUUUAUUAUAUUUGUAAAUUAAUAAUAAUUAUUAAUAUUCUUAAUUAUGUAAAUCAUAAUUUUUUUAAUUAAUUUAAAUUUAAAUUAUGUGAAUAAAAAUUAUUAAUAAUAGCAACACAAAUGAAACAUUAUUAUUGAUAAUAUAGUACAAAAUUAAUAUUUUCUUAAAAUAAAAUAUUUAUUAUUAUUAAUUAAAUAAUUAAUUAAUAUUUAUUAAAAUUAAUGUUUAAUAUUAUUAUUUUUAAUGAAUUUAAUUUAUAAAAUAAAUAAAUAUUAUUAUUUAAAAAUAAUAAAAUAUUAUUAUUUCCUUCUGGUAUCAGAGCCAAGGGAAGGAUAGUGUAAAGCAGAUUUGAGUUUUCAUGUUUUAAAAGCUUGUGUUUUAUUUUGAAGUUUUGUUUUUGUGGUGAAUUCUUACUGGUCGUAAGUCCCGUUUUAGGAGAAGGAUUCCGCUGAGGGCUGUAAAUCCAUACCUGUAGCCAUUUUGACCAAACCAAAAAUAGACCAUAGGUUUUAACCAUGGACCCUCCGAUCUGUAGAACAUCAUCAUUUUCUAGCUCUUCUUCUGGGAAGACUAGUGAUUCAAAGCAUGUUGUGAGUUCAGAAGAAUUCAUUAUUGAGAACUUUGAUAAAGCAAUAGACUGUUGGGAACUUCCAAAGAUUUCUAAAGAAAAGAUUUACAAAACAAAAGCACUUGAUAUUUUAAGAAAUGAUUAUGUUAUAAAGACUGAAGAACGCGAUAUAACUAUCGCAAACCCUUUUGAAACAAUUCACUUGUUUUCAGAAAAAUCUUUAAAAAAACUAAAAGAAAAGAAAUUUAAUUAUAUUCAUAUUGGUCUUAUCCAAGUAGGCAUAAAACCCUUGACCAAAGAAGGCCUGGAUACUUCUAUCCUCGCUGUCCUUAGAGAUGGUCGAUUCAUCUCUUUUGAUGAUUCAUUGCUAAGUAGCAUCGAAUCUAGUCUCUGUAAAGGUCCUAUUUCCUUUGAUUGUUAUCCGAAUAUAACAAUUUCUCUUAAAGACAAAAAUAUUUUGGAAAGCAUGAUUUUACAAAUCAAAACCCAUAACUAUAAUAUGAUUAAAGGUUCUGUUCGAGUUGCAUUAAUUUUCAAAAUCUCAUACAAAGCAAUGAUUUCUGCAUUUAGUACCCAACAUAAAUUCCAGUCAAAAAGAGAUGAAACACUUCUCUUACAGACUGAUUUGUCCAGGGCUAACACAGUCAUUCCCAAAGCAAUCCAAUGGAAAGACAUCAAUCUUCCAUAUGAAUGGAUUCUUGAAGGAGCUGCCCCACCGGCGAUUCCAAAACAACUUGAGCCUAAUACAGAGUUGCAAAAUGUGACUCAGUAUUCAGAUGGUAGAGUUAAAUUGUCCUUCAGAAGAUCUAACUCAACUAGAUUUUCUGAUAAAGAGUCGUGCUCAAGUAUUCCUUCACUAGAAAUGAAAUUUACAAAAAUCCCCUCAAUCAUAAACCAACCUAGGUUUUCCACUUCGGAUAUUCCUAGUUCUUCAAUAAGAUCAGUUGACUACGCCACUAGUAUUCCUCAUCCGAUAUAUACUAGUAGUCAUCAUGGACAAAGACAGGAAGAGAAGGAACCUUCUCCUCCAACCUCUCCUACGUUUUCUGCAGUCACAGAAAAUGUCAUAAAUGUCCUUUUAAAAGAAUUUAUUUUAGACAAAAAUCUUUUACAUAAUGAUUUUUACUCUGAAUCUAAUAAAGAAAAAAGGUUUUGGUUUUUCAAACAUUUUUUAAAUCAAAGAAAAGAAAUCCAACAAGUUUAUUAUGAAUUUGUGAAUCUUCACCAAGUUCAUAUAUUGUUUUUUGAUUGGUUCGAAAUAUAUUCUUCUGAGAACAACAUUGAUUAUCCAUUCAAAGAGUCAAGCCCUAUUACUGUUAGGAAGAAAACCCCUGAGUGGAAACUUUCUGAUAGUGAUAGAACCAUAGAAUCUGAGCAUCCACCUCUUCGGAGUUUAACCGUUGAUCACGGUGAACCUCCUGUCCAAAUUAGGGCAUCACCUUACAGAAUCCCAAAACCCAAUGACACUGAUGCGAAUUUAAGUAGUAUUAUUCAACAGAAUAAUUUCUGUAAUACUAACUUAAACACCAUUGGAAAACAGUUGACUAGGAUAGAAAAUCAGUUCCAGAAGUCAACCAUUACUGUUUCUUUUGUUUCCACUGUUCCAUCAAAAUCGGAUUCUGACAAAAAGCUUAAAACUCCUAUUUUCAAACCUUUUUAGGUUUCGAAAACUAGUCAAAAGCUUGUUCAUGAGUCAAAAUCAGAUUUUGCUAAAGCCAUUAGAGAACAACUAGAUAGAAUUGAAGCUGCUUCAUCCUCAUCUAGUAAAGCUCAAAUAGCUCCUGAUACUCCCCAAUCUAGCAAGAUUGGAGUAUUAGAACAAGAUGACCAAAGUUCUAUAGCCUCUUCUGAUCUCGAAGCCUUCAAAGAAGAACCUAUUCCUAAAGCCAACAAAAUCCAUUGGGAACUUGCCCUUCCCACUGUCAAAUCUCCUCCUGAUUUGACCAUAGACAAUAGACCUAGUGCAUUAAAUCAAUCCCGGUAUAAUGCAUCUUCUGUCUAUGAAUGGAAUAUUGAUGGUAUGUCGGAAUACAAUAUUUUAGGAUUGUUGCAACAAAUGACCAUGGCAGCCAAUGCCUAUAAAACCCAAUCAGGAACUUCGGAUAAGGCAAUUGCAGAAAUCCUUAUUGCCGGUUUUACUGGUCAGCUUAAAGGUUGGUGGGAUCAUCUCCUCACCAAUGAGCAACAAUUAGACAUCCUUAAUGCUAUCCAGAAAGAACAAGAUGCCAUCCCCAUUUUUGAUGAAUUCAAUAAUCCAAUUCAGGAUGCAGUCGCAACCUUAAUUGUUACCAUUUCUCUUCAUUUCAUAGGUGACCCUUCUCACCUUAGAGACAAAAACGCUGAGUUACUACACAAUCUCAGGUGUAGAAAACUUAGUGAUUUCCAGACUUACAAAACCACUUUCUUUACCAGACUCUUCCUUAGAGAUGAUGCAAAUCAUACUACUUGGAAAGAGAAAUUCUUAGCAGGACUGCCUGCCCUUUUAGGUGAAAAGGUUAGGAAUUCCAUUAAAGCUCUUCAUGACAACUGCAUUCCUUAUGAUGAGCUCACCUAUGGUGAACUUGUCAGCUUUGUCAAUAAGGAAGGUUUAAAGAUCUGUCAAGACUUGAAGUUACAAAAACGACUAAAACAGGAGCUUAGACAGUCUAAGCGAGAACUUGGUAGUUUCUGUAAACAAUUCAAUUAUGACCCCUUUAAAGCUUCUAGCUCCAAAGAUUGUAAUGGUAAGUGUUCUUCGAAACCUUACAAGAAACAUUACAAAUCCAAAAGUCAUAGAAAACCCUUUCAUAAUCUUAGAGAAUCUUUUUAUAAGAAACCCUCAAGGCCUUAUAAAAAAUCCAAAUUCCCUAAGAAAAAGGAUUUUAAAGCAGCCAAACCUAAGACCCCUUUCAAUUAUAAAGAAGCCAUAUGCCAUAAGUGUGGUAUAAAGGGCCAUACUGCAAAUUACUGCAGGAUAAAUAGGAAACUUCACGAGCUUGGGCUCGAUGAAGAAACCCUUUCCAAAAUAGCCUCUCUUCUUAUAGAGUCUUCUGACUCUGAGUCUUCCAUGUCGGGAGAUAGUGAACCUUUCCAGGUCGAUGAGUUAAUUGAUUCAGAUACCUCUGCAUCUAGCAGUAGUGAUUCUGAAACAGAUUCGUUUUUAAAGAAAAUCAAUGUUUUGACUAAAGACCAAGAAACUUUUCUUGAACUUGUAAAACAUAUUUCUGAUCCAAAUCUUCAAAAAGAAUAUCUUGAUAAACUUUUGAAAACCUUGGAUUUUAACAAAGUUGAAACCUCUAAAGUCCCAAUUGUUAAAAAGAACUCUUAUGAUCUUACUGAGAUUUUGAAUAAAAAGAAAACAAAGAAAAAUGUUCCUAAUAUUCAAGAUCUUCAAAAAGAAAUAAAAGAAAUCAAAUGUGAGAUUCGUGAUUUAAAAGAAAAAUAAAAAACUGAUUCUGAAACCAUCCAACUACUUUUACAAAAACAGUUGGAGGACAAUUCUGAUAAAGAAAUUGAAUCCGAUGGUAACAAUGAUAACGAACAAAACGUUGGGAACAUCGAAUCUGUCCCUAAUGAUUUUUUAUUUGUUUUAAAACAGGUCACCACAAGAAAGUAUUUAAUUAAAAUAACUUUAAUCUUUUCUAGCGAUUUUGCAAUUGAUGCCAUUGCCCUUUUCGACACUGGUGCAUAUUUAAAUUGCAUUAGAGAAGAUAUUGUUCCAAAAAGAUUUCAUGAGAAUACUAAAGAAAAACUUUCUGCUGCAAAUAAUUCAAGACUUAAAAUCAGUUCUAAAGUUGAAGCUUCUAUUCAUAAUAGUAGUUUUGAAUUUAGAACUUCUUUUGUUCUUACAAAUGAUAUUCAUCAUGCAGUCAUUUUGGGAACACCCUUUAUAAAUCUCAUUACUCCAUAUAUUGUCGACUAUGAUGGUAUUUCUUUCAAAGCAAAAUAAAAAAUUUUUGUUUUCCCUUUUAUUGAAAAACCUAAAACGAGAAAUUUGAAUAUUAUCAAAGCUUGUUCUGUUUAUAAAAAUCACAUAAAUAAUCUUCUCAGGACAAAACAAUCUGAUUUGAUGUUUUUACAAAAAGACCUAAAUUUACAAAGAAUUGAAAGCCAAUUAAGUAAUGAUUUCAUACAACAGAAAAUUUCUGAUUUUAAGGAUCUUAUUACAAAAGAAAUUUGUGUUGACUUACCUUCUGCCUUUUGGAAUAGGAAACAGCACAUGGUCGAUUUACCCUAUGAGACUUCUUUUAAUGAGACACAGAUACCCACUAAAGCUCGUCCUAUUCAAAUGAAUAUGGAUUUAGAAAAACAUUGCAAAGAUGAGAUAAAUGACCUAGUUUCUAAAGGACUCAUUGUAAAAUCUAGAUCACCUUGGUCUUGUGCAGCCUUCUAUGUUAAUAAAAAUUCCGAAAUUGAAAGAGGCACACCUAGACUAGUAAUCAAUUACAAACCCUUAAAUAAAGCUUUAAAAUGGAUUAGGUAUCCCAUACCUAAUAAAAAAUAUUUACUUCAAAAACUUCAUUCUGCCUUUGUAUUUUCAAAAUUUGAUAUGAAAUCAGGGUUUUGGCAAAUCCAAAUUAAACCCAGUGACCGUUAUAAGACAGCUUUUACUGUUCCAUUUGGACAGUACGAGUGGAAUGUCAUGCCUUUUGGUUUAAAGAAUGCACCUCCGGAAUUUCAAAGAAUAAUGAAUGAUAUUUAUAAUCCUUUUUCCGAUUUUUGCAUAGUUUAUAUUGAUGAUGUUUUGAUUUUUUCAAAAUCUAUUGAACAACAUUUUAGCCAUUUAAAGACUUUUUACUAUGCCACCAGGAAGGCUGGUUUGGCAGUCUCAAACUCCAAAGUCUCUUUAUUCCAAACAAAGAUAAGAUUUCUUGGUCAUCACAUUUCUAAAGGAACUAUUGCUCCUAUCGAGCGAUCUCUUAAUUUUGCAGAUAAAUUUCCUGACAAAAUCCUUGACAAAACCCAAUUGCAAAGAUUUUUGGGAAGUUUAAACUAUGUUCUCGAUUUUUGUCCAAAUAUUAACAGGAUUGCAAAACCCUUGCAUGACCGCUUAAAAAAGAAACAUGUUGCAUGGAUUGAUGAGCAUACAAAAAUCAUUAGGACCAUCAAAGCAUCCGUUAAAAGCACCCCCUGUUUAUUCCUUGCAAACCCUGCAUUGCCUAAAAUUGUUGAAACUGAUGCAUCAGAUUUAGGUUAUGGAGGCAUACUAAAACAAAAAGAAAAUAACAAAGAACAAAUUGUACAAUAUGUUUCUGCCCAUUGGAAUGAUUGCCAAAGAAACUAUUCUACCAUCAAAAAAGAGAUUUUAUCAAUUGUUUUAUGCAUCUCAAAAUUCCAAAGUGAUUUAUUAAAUCAAAAAUUCUUACUUAGAAUUGAUUGCAAAGCUGCAAAACAUGUUUUAGAAAAAGAUGUUCAAAACAUUGCAUCAAAACAAAUUUUUGCACGUUGGCAAGCCAUUUUAAGUGUUUUUUAUUUUGAUAUUGAAUAUAUUAAAGGUGAUACAAAUUCUAUUCCUGAUUUUCUAACUCGGGAAUUUCUUCAAAACAGAUAAUGCCUCCAAAAACCAGAAGAGACAAAGGAAAAGGGAUUGCCAAUGACCCAGAACCUAAAGUCACACCUAAAGACUCCUCUCCUCCAAAAGAAAAGCUAUUAUCAUCUGCCAUGCCAAUCAAAUCUUGGAUUGACAUGAUUCAAGAUGAAGAAGCAAAAUCUAAAGCCCUCUCUACCCAUGAGCAAGUAAACCAAUGGAUGAAAUCCAUUUCAAAAUCUCCUGAACUUAUGCUUGGCCUACAAAGCAGCCUUUCUCAAAGCCAAUCACUUUCAAAAGACAUUUCUGAUAAAGAAAGCCCAAAAGAAAUUGCAAAGCCCAGUUCUCAAAAAAUUGUUGUUUCGGGUGAAAGCUCAUCUUCACAGAUCGUUCUUUCACAACCUUCACAAAAGACUUCGGUUUGGUUUGAUAAAACCCAUUCCCAAAAUAUUUUAACAAUAGAAGAUGGGUUUUACCAUUAUGAUCCAUUUCAAACCCUUACAAAGUUUUUCCCCCAAGGCUGGUUUUUUAAACCAUGGGAUUUAACAAAACCCCAGCCUUAUUAUCAAAGUAUUUUAGAAGCCACUGAAUCUGUUAAAUUCAAACAUUUUUUUCUCAGUGACUCCCAUUCUGAGCCGGCUUAUUCAACGGCUACAAUUUUAAAAGUCUUGAGCCCAAAACAGUGGGGUGAUCUACUCCACAAUAAAAAAAGAUUUCCCUCCAAUUUUCAAAUGCGUUUACCACAUUGUUUGACUUUCUCCUACUGGGAUUAUCAACAAGCCUGGUAUAACACAUUUUUCUUACAAAACCCCAAAAAAUCCCAUUCAUGGUUAUUUUUCUUCAAUUCUAAAAUAACCGUGCAAAGUCUUCCAAAUUGGUUUAAACAAUGGUGGAAUUAUUUUGGCCCAAUUCCUGAAAUUCUCACACCAAAUGCCACCCAUUGUUUAACUCUUUUCAAAGCCCAUUAUACCCCUUCUGAAUCAGAGAGAAGAUUUCCUCCCUUUCUCUGUUUCUGUACAAAUUUCUUCCUUCCUUGGGUAUGGAUGUGGAACCUCAAAUACCAUAUUCAUGAUGCCCAAACUGUUUUACAAAGAUCAUUUAAAGUCAAAUGGUGGUCAAAAUUUGAUGAACAGUCAAAAUUGACCGAUAACCUUGUUCGUAACUGGCUUUCUGCCAAAGGAUAUCUCCAACCAGCCAUUAAACAAUCCAAAGCCCAACAAACCUUUUUGAGCCAAAAAUCCAAAGCCCAAUCUCUCCUUGCCAGUGCUAAAACUGAAGAAGAAUACUUCAACGUGAUGCAACAACUUCUAGCCACAAGGUCAGAAACAUCUGUUGCAAGCUCCUCUUCCAGCACCUCCGGCGAUGCAGAACCUUUUAUUUCCCUUGGAGAUGAAAACGAAGAUGAUUGUUUCGGUAUUUUUUCUCCCAUAAAGCAUUAAAGCAUUGUAAAUAAUUAUUUGAUUAUUUACUAAAAAAAAAAAAAAAAAAAGAGAAUAUUUUCCUCGGGUGGUCCUCUGGACACAAGUGAGAGCGCACAUGUCUCUUCACCCGCAUUUAUUUUAAAGUUUCUAAAAUAAGAAAACACUGUAUGUUCCACUGAUCACUGUUUCAAGCAUCCCCGCUCCCGCUACAGUUUAAAGCUACAGCUCCGCUACAGUGCAAAGUCUACUGUGCACUUAAAGAUUUUGUAUAUAAUCUGAAGGAAGACUAAAGACUCCUCAGAUUUUUCGAUUCCUCUCUCUCUCUUCUUCUCUUCCUUCUCUCUUCUUUCUCUCUCUCUCUCUCCUUGGAGACAAAAGAAGUUUUCUGUAUUCAAGGAAUUUUCCUAUAAUCGGUUAAGUUCCUUGUUUUCAGAAUUUUUCUGAAAUCUCGCUUGUAAACUUACAAAGCUGUUGGAUCAAAAGAAAUAAAUGUAAAGCAUUUAAAUUUAAAGCAAUUUCAAUUUCAUGUACAUUUAAAUUUCAGUACUUUAAAUUUCUGCAAUUUACUUUUCUGCAAUUUAAUUUUAUGCACAUUUAAAUUCCAGCAAUUUAUUUCUAAAGCAAUUUUCUUUUCAAAGCAUGCUUGCAGACUGGUCUUUAUCAUAUCUGCCAUAAAAUUUGUACAUUCCUCUGAGGCAAAGAGACCGGAUCUCGAUCCUCAGUUGUAAAUCUUCUCUUCUCCCUCCAUUCCUUCAGAGCACCAUUUCCGGGAUCCGGAUCUGGUACUGUGUAUGUACCCAAGCCUUUAGAUGUAUGUGUUGCUAGGCUUGCUAAAGAAUCUAAUCUAGAUCUGGUAAAAGCACAAUAAAAAGAACCAACCACGUUUAAAGCAACUUAAUUUUAUUUGGUAAAGAAAUAAUUGAUUUUGGUAUAUAAGCUGGACACUCGAGGAUGCGGACUACUGGUCCAAAGCGCUAUUAAAUAUCGGCUUUAAAAUAGUUAAGCCGGAGCGAUUCCUCAGAUAACAACGCUAAGUACCAUAUCAAACAUAAAAUUGACCAACCGCGUUCAACUCUGUUUGAUCAUUGUAUGUUCCAAAGAAUUCCAUAACCAAACUUGGUAAAGCUUAUUUAAAACGAACCAACCACGAUCCAAUUAUUUUAUUAAAGCAAUCAAUAAAGUUUUCAGACGAAAGCACUUCCAUCCUUCGAUCUUGUUAUAUGAGGAAUCGCUCCGGCUUAGCUAUUUUAAAGCCGAUAUUUAAUAGCGCUUUGGACCAGUAGUCCGCAUCCUCGAGUGUCCAGCUUAUAUACCAAAAUCAAUUAUUUCUUUACCAAAUAAAAUUAAGUUGCUUUAAACGUGGUUGGUUCUUUUUAUUGUGCUUUUACCAGAUCUAGAUUAGAUUCUUUAGCAAGCCUAGCAACACAUACAUCUAAAGGCUUGGGUACAUACACAGUACCAGAUCCGGAUCCCGGAAAUGGUGCUCUGAAGGAAUGGAGGGAGAAGAGAAGAUUUACAACUGAGGAUCGAGAUCCGGUCUCUUUGCCUCAGAGGAAUGUACAAAUUUUAUGGCAGAUAUGAUAAAGACCAGUCUGCAAGCAUGCUUUGAAAAGAAAAUUGCUUUAGAAAUAAAUUGCUGGAAUUUAAAUGUGCAUAAAAUUAAAUUGCAGAAAAGUAAAUUGCAGAAAUUUAAAGUACUGAAAUUUAAAUGUACAUGAAAUUGAAAUUGCUUUAAAUUUAAAUGCUUUACAUUUAUUUCUUUUGAUCCAACAGCUUUGUAAGUUUACAAGCGAGAUUUCAGAAAAAUUCUGAAAACAAGGAACUUAACCGAUUAUAGGAAAAUUCCUUGAAUACAGAAAACUUCUUUUGUCUCCAAGGAGAGAGAGAGAGAGAAAGAAGAGAGAAGGAAGAGAAGAAGAGAGAGAGAGGAAUCGAAAAAUCUGAGGAGUCUUUAGUCUUCCUUCAGAUUAUAUACAAAAUCUUUAAGUGCACAGUAGACUUUGCACUGUAGCGGAGCUGUAGCUUUAAACUGUAGCGGGAGCGGGGAUGCUUGAAACAGUGAUCAGUGGAACAUACAGUGUUUUCUUAUUUUAGAAACUUUAAAAUAAAUGCGGGUGAAGAGACAUGUGCGCUCUCACUUGUGUCCAGAGGACCACCCGAGGAAAAUAUUCUCUUUUUUUUUUUUUUUUUUUUAGUAAAUAAUCAAAUAAUUAUUUACAAUGCUUUAAUGCUUUAUGGGAGAAAAAAUACCGAAACAAUCAUCUUCGUUUUCAUCUCCAAGGGAAAUAAAAGGUUCUGCAUCGCCGGAGGUGCUGGAAGAGGAGCUUGCAACAGAUGUUUCUGACCUUGUGGCUAGAAGUUGUUGCAUCACGUUGAAGUAUUCUUCUUCAGUUUUAGCACUGGCAAGGAGAGAUUGGGCUUUGGAUUUUUGGCUCAAAAAGGUUUGUUGGGCUUUGGAUUGUUUAAUGGCUGGUUGGAGAUAUCCUUUGGCAGAAAGCCAGUUACGAACAAGGUUAUCGGUCAAUUUUGACUGUUCAUCAAAUUUUGACCACCAUUUGACUUUAAAUGAUCUUUGUAAAACAGUUUGGGCAUCAUGAAUAUGGUAUUUGAGGUUCCACAUCCAUACCCAAGGAAGGAAGAAAUUUGUACAGAAACAGAGAAAGGGAGGAAAUCUUCUCUCUGAUUCAGAAGGGGUAUAAUGGGCUUUGAAAAGAGUUAAACAAUGGGUGGCAUUUGGUGUGAGAAUUUCAGGAAUUGGGCCAAAAUAAUUCCACCAUUGUUUAAACCAAUUUGGAAGACUUUGCACGGUUAUUUUAGAAUUGAAGAAAAAUAACCAUGAAUGGGAUUUUUUGGGGUUUUGUAAGAAAAAUGUGUUAUACCAGGCUUGUUGAUAAUCCCAGUAGGAGAAAGUCAAACAAUGUGGUAAACGCAUUUGAAAAUUGGAGGGAAAUCUUUUUUUAUUGUGGAGUAGAUCACCCCACUGUUUUGGGCUCAAGACUUUUAAAAUUGUAGCCGUUGAAUAAGCCGGCUCAGAAUGGGAGUCACUGAGAAAAAAAUGUUUGAAUUUAACAGAUUCAGUGGCUUCUAAAAUACUUUGAUAAUAAGGCUGGGGUUUUGUUAAAUCCCAUGGUUUAAAAAACCAGCCUUGGGGGAAAAACUUUGUAAGGGUUUGAAAUGGAUCAUAAUGGUAAAACCCAUCUUCUAUUGUUAAAAUAUUUUGGGAAUGGGUUUUAUCAAACCAAACCGAAGUCUUUUGUGAAGGUUGUGAAAGAACGAUCUGUGAAGAUGAGCUUUCACCCGAAACAACAAUUUUUUGAGAACUGGGCUUUGCAAUUUCUUUUGGGCUUUCUUUAUCAGAAAUGUCUUUUGAAAGUGAUUGGCUUUGAGAAAGGCUGCUUUGUAGGCCAAGCAUAAGUUCAGGAGAUUUUGAAAUGGAUUUCAUCCAUUGGUUUACUUGCUCAUGGGUAGAGAGGGCUUUAGAUUUUGCUUCUUCAUCUUGAAUCAUGUCAAUCCAAGAUUUGAUUGGCAUGGCAGAUGAUAAUAGCUUUUCUUUUGGAGGAGAGGAGUCUUUAGGUGUGACUUUAGGUUCUGGGUCAUUGGCAAUCCCUUUUCCUUUGUCUCUUCUGGUUUUUGGAGGCAUUAUCUGUUUUGAAGAAAUUCCCGAGUUAGAAAAUCAGGAAUAGAAUUUGUAUCACCUUUAAUAUAUUCAAUAUCAAAAUAAAAAACACUUAAAAUGGCUUGCCAACGUGCAAAAAUUUGUUUUGAUGCAAUGUUUUGAACAUCUUUUUCUAAAACAUGUUUUGCAGCUUUGCAAUCAAUUCUAAGUAAGAAUUUUUGAUUUAAUAAAUCACUUUGGAAUUUUGAGAUGCAUAAAACAAUUGAUAAAAUCUCUUUUUUGAUGGUAGAAUAGUUUCUUUGGCAAUCAUUCCAAUGGGCAGAAACAUAUUGUACAAUUUGUUCUUUGUUAUUUUCUUUUUGUUUUAGUAUGCCUCCAUAACCUAAAUCUGAUGCAUCAGUUUCAACAAUUUUAGGCAAUGCAGGGUUUGCAAGGAAUAAACAGGGGGUGCUUUUAACGGAUGCUUUGAUGGUCCUAAUGAUUUUUGUAUGCUCAUCAAUCCAUGCAACAUGUUUCUUUUUUAAGCGGUCAUGCAAGGGUUUUGCAAUCCUGUUAAUAUUUGGACAAAAAUCGAGAACAUAGUUUAAACUUCCCAAAAAUCUUUGCAAUUGGGUUUUGUCAAGGAUUUUGUCAGGAAAUUUAUCUGCAAAAUUAAGAGAUCGCUCGAUAGGAGCAAUAGUUCCUUUAGAAAUGUGAUGACCAAGAAAUCUUAUCUUUGUUUGGAAUAAAGAGACUUUGGAGUUUGAGACUGCCAAACCAGCCUUCCUGGUGGCAUAGUAAAAAGUCUUUAAAUGGCUAAAAUGUUGUUCAAUAGAUUUUGAAAAAAUCAAAACAUCAUCAAUAUAAACUAUGCAAAAAUCGGAAAAAGGAUUAUAAAUAUCAUUCAUUAUUCUUUGAAAUUCCGGAGGUGCAUUCUUUAAACCAAAAGGCAUGACAUUCCACUCGUACUGUCCAAAUGGAACAGUAAAAGCUGUCUUAUAACGGUCACUGGGUUUAAUUUGGAUUUGCCAAAACCCUGAUUUCAUAUCAAAUUUUGAAAAUACAAAGGCAGAAUGAAGUUUUUGAAGUAAAUAUUUUUUAUUAGGUAUGGGAUACCUAAUCCAUUUUAAAGCUUUAUUUAAGGGUUUGUAAUUGAUUACUAGUCUAGGUGUGCCUCUUUCAAUUUCGGAAUUUUUAUUAACAUAGAAGGCUGCACAAGACCAAGGUGAUCUAGAUUUUACAAUGAGUCCUUUAGAAACUAGGUCAUUUAUCUCAUCUUUGCAAUGUUUUUCUAAAUCCAUAUUCAUUUGAAUAGGACGAGCUUUAGUGGGUAUCUGUGUCUCAUUAAAAGAAGUCUCAUAGGGUAAAUCGACCAUGUGCUGUUUCCUAUUCCAAAAGGCAGAAGGUAAGUCAGCACAAAUUUCUUUUGUAAUAAGAUCCUUAAAAUCAGAAAUUUUCUGUUGUAUGAAAUCAUUACUUAAUUGGCUUUCAAUUCUUUGUAAAUUUAGGUCUUUUUGUAAAAACAUCAAAUCAGAUUGUUUUGUCCUGAGAAGAUUAUUUAUGUGAUUUUUAUAAACAGAACAAGCUUUGAUAAUAUUCAAAUUUCUCGUUUUAGGUUUUUCAAUAAAAGGGAAAACAAAAAUUUUUUAUUUUGCUUUGAAAGAAAUACCAUCAUAGUCGACAAUAUAUGGAGUAAUGAGAUUUAUAAAGGGUGUUCCCAAAAUGACUGCAUGAUGAAUAUCAUUUGUAAGAACAAAAGAAGUUCUAAAUUCAAAACUACUAUUAUGAAUAGAAGCUUCAACUUUAGAACUGAUUUUAAGUCUUGAAUUAUUUGCAGCAGAAAGUUUUUCUUUAGUAUUCUCAUGAAAUCUUUUUGGAACAAUAUCUUCUCUAAUGCAAUUUAAAUAUGCACCAGUGUCGAAAAGGGCAAUGGCAUCAAUUGCAAAAUCGCUAGAAAAGAUUAAAGUUAUUUUAAUUAAAUACUUUCUUGUGGUGACCUGUUUUAAAACAAAUAAAAAAUCAUUAGGGACAGAUUCGAUGUUCCCAACGUUUUGUUCGUUAUCAUUGUUACCAUCGGAUUCAAUUUCUUUAUCAGAAUUGUCCUCCAACUGUUUUUGUAAAAGUAGUUGGAUGGUUUCAGAAUCAGUUUUUUAUUUUUCUUUUAAAUCACGAAUCUCACAUUUGAUUUCUUUUAUUUCUUUUUGAAGAUCUUGAAUAUUAGGAACAUUUUUCUUUGUUUUCUUUUUAUUCAAAAUCUCAGUAAGAUCAUAAGAGUUCUUUUUAACAAUUGGGACUUUAGAGGUUUCAACUUUGUUAAAAUCCAAGGUUUUCAAAAGUUUAUCAAGAUAUUCUUUUUGAAGAUUUGGAUCAGAAAUAUGUUUUACAAGUUCAAGAAAAGUUUCUUGGUCUUUAGUCAAAACAUUGAUUUUCUUUAAAAACGAAUCUGUUUCAGAAUCACUACUGCUAGAUGCAGAGGUAUCUGAAUCAAUUAACUCAUCGACCUGGAAAGGUUCACUAUCUCCCGACAUGGAAGACUCAGAGUCAGAAGACUCUAUAAGAAGAGAGGCUAUUUUGGAAAGGGUUUCUUCAUCGAGCCCAAGCUCGUGAAGUUUCCUAUUUAUCCUGCAGUAAUUUGCAGUAUGGCCCUUUAUACCACACUUAUGGCAUAUGGCUUCUUUAUAAUUGAAAGGGGUCUUAGGUUUGGCUGCUUUAAAAUCCUUUUUCUUAGGGAAUUUGGAUUUUUUAUAAGGCCUUGAGGGUUUCUUAUAAAAAGAUUCUCUAAGAUUAUGAAAGGGUUUUCUAUGACUUUUGGAUUUGUAAUGUUUCUUGUAAGGUUUCGAAGAACACUUACCAUUACAAUCUUUGGAGCUAGAAGCUUUAAAGGGGUCAUAAUUGAAUUGUUUACAGAAACUACCAAGUUCUCGCUUAGACUGUCUAAGCUCCUGUUUUAGUCGUUUUUGUAACUUCAAGUCUUGACAGAUCUUUAAACCUUCCUUAUUGACAAAGCUGACAAGUUCACCAUAGGUGAGCUCAUCAUAAGGAAUGCAGUUGUCAUGAAGAGCUUUAAUGGAAUUCCUAACCUUUUCACCUAAAAGGGCAGGCAGUCCUGCUAAGAAUUUCUCUUUCCAAGUAGUAUGAUUUGCAUCAUCUCUAAGGAAGAGUCUGGUAAAGAAAGUGGUUUUGUAAGUCUGGAAAUCACUAAGUUUUCUACACCUGAGAUUGUGUAGUAACUCAGCGUUUUUGUCUCUAAGGUGAGAAGGGUCACCUAUGAAAUGAAGAGAAAUGGUAACAAUUAAGGUUGCGACUGCAUCCUGAAUUGGAUUAUUGAAUUCAUCAAAAAUGGGGAUGGCAUCUUGUUCUUUCUGGAUAGCAUUAAGGAUGUCUAAUUGUUGCUCAUUGGUGAGGAGAUGAUCCCACCAACCUUUAAGCUGACCAGUAAAACCGGCAAUAAGGAUUUCUGCAAUUGCCUUAUCCGAAGUUCCUGAUUGGGUUUUAUAGGCAUUGGCUGCCAUGGUCAUUUGUUGCAACAAUCCUAAAAUAUUGUAUUCCGACAUACCAUCAAUAUUCCAUUCAUAGACAGAAGAUGCAUUAUACCGGGAUUGAUUUAAUGCACUAGGUCUAUUGUCUAUGGUCAAAUCAGGAGGAGAUUUGACAGUGGGAAGGGCAAGUUCCCAAUGGAUUUUGUUGGCUUUAGGAAUAGGUUCUUCUUUGAAGGCUUCGAGAUCAGAAGAGGCUAUAGAACUUUGGUCAUCUUGUUCUAAUACUCCAAUCUUGCUAGAUUGGGGAGUAUCAGGAGCUAUUUGAGCUUUACUAGAUGAGGAUGAAGCAGCUUCAAUUCUAUCUAGUUGUUCUCUAAUGGCUUUAGCAAAAUCUGAUUUUGACUCAUGAACAAGCUUUUUACUAGUUUUCGAAACCUAAAAAGGUUUGAAAAUAGGAGUUUUAAGCUUUUUGUCAGAAUCCGAUUUUGAUGGAACAGUGGAAACAAAAGAAACAGUAAUGGUUGACUUCUGGAACUGAUUUUCUAUCCUAGUCAACUGUUUUCCAAUGGUGUUUAAGUUAGUAUUACAGAAAUUAUUCUGUUGAAUAAUACUACUUAAAUUCGCAUCAGUGUCAUUGGGUUUUGGGAUUUUGUAAGGUGAUGCCCUAAUUUGGACAGGAGGUUCACCGUGAUCAACGGUUAAACUCCGAAGAGGUGGAUGCUCAGAUUCUAUGGUUCUAUCACUAUCAGAAAGUUUCCACUCAGGGGUUUUCUUCCUAACAGUAAUAUGGUUUGACUCUUUGAAUGGAUAAUCAAUGUUGUUCUCAGAAGAAUAUAUUUCGAACCAAUCAAAAAACAAUAUAUGAACUUGGUGAAGAUUCACAAAUUCAUAAUAAACUUGUUGGAUUUCUUUUCUUUGAUUUAAAAAAUGUUUGAAAAACCAAAACCUUUUUUCUUUAUUAGAUUCAGAAUAAAAAUCAUUAUGUAAAAGAUUUUUGUCUAAAAUAAAUUCUUUUAAAAGGACAUUUAUGACAUUUUCUGUGACUGCAGAAAACGUAGGAGAGGUUGGAGGAGAAGGUUCCUUCUCUUCCUGUCUUUGUCCAUGAUGACUACUAGUAUAUAUCGGAUGAGGAAUACUAGUGGCGUAGUCAACUGAUCUUAUUGAAGAACUAGGAAUAUCCGAAGUGGAAAACCUAGGUUGGUUUAUGAUUGAGGGGAUUUUUGUAAAUUUCCUUUCUAGUGAAGGAAUACUUGAGCACGACUCUUUAUCAGAAAAUCUAGUUGAGUUAGAUCUUCUGAAGGACAAUUUAACUCUACCAUCUGAAUACUGAGUCACAUUUUGCAACUCUGUAUUAGGCUCAAGUUGUUUUGGAAUCGCCGGUGGGGCAGCUCCUUCAAGAAUCCAUUCAUCUGGAAGAUUGAUGUCUUUCCAUUGGAUUGCUUUGGGAAUGACUGUGUUAGCCCUGGACAAAUCAAUCUGUAAGAGAAGUGUUUCAUCUCUUUUUGACUGGAAUUUAUGUUGGGUACUAAAUGCAGAAAUCAUUGCUUUGUAUGAGAUUUUGAAAAUUAAUGCAACUGGAACAAAACCUUUAAUCAUAUUAUAGUUAUGGGUUUUGAUUUGUAAAAUCAUGCUUUCCAAAAUAUUUUUGUCUUUAAGAGAAAUUGUUAUAUUCGGAUAACAAUCAAAGGGAAUAGGACCUUUACAGAGACUAGAUUUGAUGCUACUUAGCAAUGAAUCAUCAAAAGAGAUGAAUCGACCAUCUCUAAGGACAGCGAGGAUAGAAGUAUCCAGGCCUUCUUUGGUCAAGGGUUUUAUGCCUACUUGGAUAAGACCAAUAUGAAUAUAAUUAAAUUUCUUUUCUUUUAGCUUUUUUAAAGAUUUUUCUGAAAACAAGUGAAUUGUUUCAAAAGGGUUUGCGAUAGUUAUAUCGCGUUCUUCAGUCUUUAUAACAUAAUCAUUUCUUUAAAAUAUCAAGUGCUUUUGUUUUGUAAAUCUUUUCUUUAGAAAUCUUUGGAAGUUCCCAACAGUCUAUUGCUUUAUCAAAGUUCUCAAUAAUGAAUUCUUCUGAACUCACAACAUGCUUUGAAUCACUAGUCUUCCCGGAAGAAGAGCUAGAAAAGGAUGAUGUUCUACAGAUCGGAGGGUCCAUGGUUAAAACCUAUGGUCUAUUUUUGGUUUGGUCAAAAUGGCUACAGGUAUGGAUUUACAGCCCUUAGCGGAAUCCUUCUCCUAAAACGGGACUUACGACCAGUAAGAAUUCACCACAAAAAUAAAACUUCAAAAUAAAACACAAGCUUUUAAAACAUGAAAACUCAAAUCUGCUUUACACUAUCCUUCCCUUGGCUCUAAUACCAGAAGCAAAAUAAUAAAAUAUUAUUAUUUAAAUAAAUAUAAUAUUUAUUUAUUUUUAUUUUAUUAAAUUUAAUAAAAUAAAUAUGUUUAUAAUUAUUAUUUUUAAUAAAUAUGAUAUUAUUUAUUUUAUUAAAUAUUAUUUAUUUAUUUUAAUUAUGAGAGUAAAAAAGUGAGGUGGGAGUGGACCUCCCCAUGGGAGUGGGAAUCCCACUCUCCCUUAAAAAUGGUAAGUAAACACUGAAGCGGGAGGAAUUCACACUCCACACUCCACACUCUCACUCUAAAAAGUAAACACUACCUUAAAAGCGGAUGACAUUAGAGCCAGUGGUUGAAGGCAUGUCAAGCCAUCGUCUUUCUUGGACUUGGUUCUUUUCCAAGACUGGACUCGCCAUUAAGCAACCAAAUAGCAGUGUCUCUGUGCGUGAUAAGCCAACGAAUCAUCAGUUUGAAGCAACUGUGGCAACGUGCGCUGCACUAGCUAGCCAGGGGUCUACACCCUACACAAAGACCCCUUUAAGGCAAAUUCUGGAUGUUAGAGAGUAUACUAAUGAAGAAUUUGGUCACCUUGAACAUAUAUAACUCAAUAGCAACAGACCCGAUGCCUCCCAACGGCUCCUAGAAUAUCAUGCAUAAGAUUAAGUCAUGAGAUUGCAUCAACGAUGAAGCCUUUAGUUUAUGUAAAUAUCUUUGUAAUUAUGAGAUGUGUUUUAUUCCUUUUAAAGCAUGAUACAACUUGUAUAUAUGCUGUACGAUUUGUUUUGAGUAGAAACAAUCUCAAUUACUUUCUCAUAUUUACAUUUUCCACAGCACGUAUUCAAGCAGGACAGAAAUGUAAUUAAUUAAUUAAUUAAUUAAAAAGAUAGCAAUAAAUGUUUAAACUCUUGAUAAAUAUAUAAAUAAAUAAAUUCAUUAAUAUAAAUAUAUUCACUACUACUCAUAUAUAAAUAAAUAAAUAAAUUCAUUAAUAUACAUAUUUUAGUUUUCUGAAAUACAGAAUGAAUGGAAAGAUUUAAUCAUUAUUACCCAAGUGUUUGGCAAGGACAGCAAUAUGAAGAAUGGAAAUAUUGUCCCAACAAAUCUUCGGCAGUUAGUUGAGCAAAGUAAAUCCAAGAAGGCCUCACAGUCUCUCUUUAAGGCCAAUUGUUAUCAUCUCCACUGCUAUCUAUCUUUUUCUCACUUGUACAGUUGAUACACAAAACAAGUUGUACGUACCCGUUUUUCGAUAUCCAUAAUUUUAAAAUUGACCAUUUUCUCACUCUAAGAAAUUUGGGAUAUGACAUAAUAGAACUAGAUCUCGAUUGUAUUGCGGUGUUGUGAAAAAAAAAAUAUAAUUAAAAUAAAAAUUAAUAUUUUAUGAUAAAUAUAGUUUUUAAAUAAUUUCGAUAAAAAUAAUAAAAAUAUUAUAAAUUUUCAUCGUAUAAGUGUGGAAUAAAAUUAACUUAAUUUUCAAAUCAUAAGUCAAUAAUAAUAAAUAUUUAUCAAAUAUUUUAAUGUUGUAGUUUAAAAAAUUACUCUAUGCACAUCCUUGAUUGUACAAGCAUAUUAUUAUUUAAAAAAUUAUUAUCUAUUUUUUUGUUAAUUACUUCUUUUCCCAAUUAUUGCAAAAUAUAGACAAAACUCAUGCUUGGUCGAACGUUUUUAUUGUUAAUAGAUUAUUGUAAGUUGACUAUAAACUUGGUUGAUAUUCAGUAUUCGACGUAAUGUCUUGGCCGGAUGUGGUUAUUCCAUUGCAUCAAUUAAUUGUACGGUUGAAUACCAUGAUUGUUUUGCCUUAAAACAUUUUCUAAUUUCUUUCUUGGACGUUCUUCAAUAUUGAGAAAUAUAUUUAGUUUUCUCCGAAUUUUUUUUCUUUCAUAGUGACAUAAUCCAAAAAUUUAAGGGUCCAGUUGAUUACAAUUCAAAAAUAAUUUAAACAAAUAUAAUCUCAAAAUUUGUGUUGAAGUUUUAAUGUGUUUACUUUUUAUUAUUUAGCCUGACAGCACUCAAUUCCCUCUCCACCUAUGUGAACGGAAUUUAACUCCUAAAUCUCUUGUUUCAAGAAACUAAAAGAGAUUUUACUAUCUUAACUAAAUGGUAACUACAAGCUUUAAUGUCUUUAUAUAAUAUUUAAAACAAACAAUUUCAACAACUGAAACAUGUUUAACAAAAUUUCUAAUUAAUAAAAAAUAAAAAUACUUGUUUAGGUGGUGUGAUUUCAAAGGUAAUAUUUACUUAAGCAUUUACAAUUUUAUUUUCCUUUCAGCUAAUUACAUUAUAUCAAGCAGUAACUUGACCAAAAUAAACAUAAAACAAGCUUCAUCAAGAUUCAAUAUUGAUUAUAUUCUGUUAGCUUCUAUUCUGUUACAUUAUACCUGUUAGGCUUUGCCACCAAAUAAAAGCUGGCGCAGUUGUGUGUCACUUUGCACGUUCAUCUACUUAGCAUCAGGACAAUGCUUAGAUGCCCAUUUUCGGAACCUGUUAACGGCAGCUUCUUGCUCUGCUCUGGCCACCUUCUCAAUCUCAGAAAGAUAUUCCCGAUCAACCAACAUCCCCUCAGUUUCCAUUUUAACUAGAAUCUCACCGAAUGGUUGCCAGUAUUCCGGAUAAAAGUCAAACAUGGAUUUUCUUGGAACUGGUUUCCCAUCAAGUUUCCAUGACAUUUCUAAAAGUAUUUUUUUUCAAGCUCUUACAAAGCUUCAGUGUGUUUAUUGAAUCAAAGGCAGAAAAAACUAAUACGGAGUAAAGCAGUUUGUUUAGCUAAGUAAAGGAAAUUGGAUCAGUUACGUCUAUAGAAGGUGGAAACAGCUAGAAAUCCACCAUAAAAAGAGAGAGAGAGAGAGAGAGAGCACACAGAGAGGAAACAGCUCUGCAACUGAGCAGAUUAUUUCCUUUCUUUGAUCGGCGUACAACAUAUUUUCCUCAACUAACAUAAAUAGCUAUCUAAGGGGGAAAUUGGAGUUUCAGGUUUCAUCAAAUCUAUGAACUGUACCACACGGGUAGGAGAACAUAGCAUAGAUGUAGAGGUAAACUUGUAACCCAGUAGACAGCAAUGGGAACCGUAGCUUAAAUUGAAAAAGAGCAACAAAACUUGAGAAAAUGCACAGCGUAGGCAGUCACCGUAAAUCUUAAACCUGUCACUGCAAAGCAAUGACAAUAAAACUCCAUCUAAUUAAACCAUAAUAUGUGAAAAAUCAGUUAUCCAGAAAUUUACUAAAGCGCAUAACCAGCUGCAAGUCCAAUGCUUGAACCGUGCACCAAUCACAUAAUGACUGGUGCAGAUUAUCAAAGAAAUAUCCGCCAAUCCAUUUCUCCAUACUGCUAACCAGAUGAUAAUUAUUCUAAUUAAAAAAAAGCGUGCAUAUGAAAAGGACUAUAAACAAGAAAAAGACAUGGUGAAGGGGGAGGAAGGGCUCACCUUUUUGAUGGAUGGAUCCUCAAAAAAUGGAGCAAAUUCAUUCAAAAGGUCCCUGCCACCACCGUCAAGAAGAUCAACCCAGAUGCCGGACUUCCCAUUUCCAAAAUCUGCUUCUGGUCCAGAAUAAAUACUGAAGCAUAUCACUUCUCCAUGAUCAACAGGUGUCUCUUGCUUCACAUCAAUUUUGCCCACCUAUAAACAUGCUAUAAUUAGAUUCCUGUAUGCACAAAACUAGGGUAUCUACAUUGAGUAAAAUGUGUGCUUCUAUACAGGAAGACAUGCAAGGAAGAAGUAAAAAAGAAGGCAACUAAGUACAUCACUCAUUACCUGCCGACCAAAAAAUAAAAAUAAAAGUACCAAUUUCAACUAGAAGAAGAAAAGAACAAAGUACCUCAGUAUCACAUGCAUGGACAAGAUGCUUAUAUUUGUUUGUAAGCAUCCAUACAACCUUCUUUGCGGCAGAAACAUUAUCGACAACCAUAACAUUGCUGUAGAAGCUAGCAAGUUUACUGCGAAGAAUCUCGAGUUUUUCACUAUUUUCAUUUUCUGAAGCCUUUUUGUUCUGGCCAGUACCUUCUGCAGCAUCAUUCUUAGGAUUCUUUUGAUUACUUCGCUUAGAACUAACUAGUUUUGGAGGAGGUGAAUAGGAACUACCAUCUUCAAAGCACUCAAUCUCUGAGUUCCUGAAAUCUGACAAGUUGGGAACUGUCAAAACAGUGGCUCCUUUUCUCUCUUGAUAUUCUGCAACUUCCUUUUCAUAUCGCAAGCACUCCAUAUUAGUCUUCUUGUCUAAGGGUAUUUGAUCAUUCACAAAGUCUUCGCUUUUUUCUUCACUGCCAGUAACUUCUUGUUUAAUAACAGCCAUCACAGAUCCAGGAUGAUUCGUAGGAUGACCACCUACUGCACCAUUUCGGAAAUCUGCCGGUCCCUAACAAUGGGCUUCUUCUGCUGCUUAAAUUUCUGAAAAUAAUGUUGCUUAGAACUCAUGAUUGAAGAAUAGAAACUACUGUCUUGCAAGCACUCAGUCUUUGAUGAAGUAAGUGAUCUGUCAUGCUUGGAUUCCAGUAUGUUGAUAACAGUGGAAAUGGCAGCUCUUUUUCUCUCUUGAGCUUUUGCAUCUUCCUUCUCAUCUCUCGAGCUCUCUGUAUUUGUCUGACAAGAUUCUACUUCUUUCAUUACAUGCAGUCUGGUCGUUUCUGUCAUCCACCCUCUCGAACUGCGGACAGUAUUUUUUGCAGAAAAUGUUUCGUUACUGGAAAUAGAAGGAUUAGGAGGAUAGUAGGAUGCAACCUCCAGAAAUUGUUUUUUGUAAAGUUUUUCUUCUCUUUUUUCAUCUGUUUUUGGCAGAUCAAAAGUUCCUUUUGAGGAGUACUUUCCUUCAAAACUGUUGAGAUCUUGGCAGAAAGGGACCAUCUAAGCUGGCGCAGCACCCACCGAAAGUCUAUAAGCAUAUUUUUUAAUGGGAAAUCUCCUAGCAUUGUUAAAAGAACUAUAAAAUCGGGGAAAACUACUCGAUAUCAUAAUGUUGGGAAAGGUAGUGUUGGUUAUGCAGCCUUCUUUCCCGAAAUUUUUUUCAAUGGAAACAAUAUCAAAGGCAGCAGAAGGUCAAGCAACCAUGAUAAUAUACAACUUGCUGCAUGCCAAGUAAGAAAGGCGGAACAUCUCAAACAGCACCAAUAAGAAUUUAGCACCAUAUGCACAGCUCAAACCCACUGAACACUGAACAUCAGUACAGGAUGAUUCGAGACAUAACAUCUCAUACAUAAUCACACAUAGCAUCGAUAUGACAAACCGAAACCCAGUUAACAGAAAUAAAAUGUGGGUGUUACAUAAUCUUCAAAAGUCAAAACCCAGAUAGCAAAAGCUAUGCACGCAAAAAUACAAUCUUUUUAACCUCUCCAAUUCAACAAAGCAAAACUGUAAGUGGGUAUCAAAUAACCCUAAAAAGUCAGAAUGACAAGCAAUAAACAGCACAAAAACACAACAAAUAAUUUCAUAACAUAACAAAUGAGAGCCAAAAAUAUAUAUGUAAAAAAAUUGAACCGAACCUUUUAAAAGAAGUGAGAGAGACAUGAGGAGAGGAGCAAGGAGUCCACUUUCUGGUGGUGAGAUUCGGGGAGACUCCCAUGACCGUUAUCAAGUUCCCAACUUUUGUUCUGCUAAACAGCAGCUUGUUGCCAGUGGUGGUUGUGCUUGUAAGAGCCGUUUUGAAGGGUUUAAGAGGGGGCAGAACGGUAAUAAAGGUGGGAUUUUGAGGGUGGGGUUUAAGAGUAUGGCGGUUCUGGGUCUGUUUCUGUAGCUGAAAUACGGAGUGUGGCCAUCAACAAUCUCAACUCAGCACUACUUGAUGAGGCAGCGACAAUGGUUAUAGCUAAAACCCUUCGUCGCACUGGCGCCCUUUAUUAUUAUUAUUUAUUCUUAUUUUUAUUUUUUAAUUUUUUUUACUUUUGGGUAAUUUUUCAAAAUCUCCCUUCAGGUAUGGUGAAUUUCCAAGUAGAUGAGAAUUGUUUAUUGUUGAAAACCCUCUACAAAAUUUUGAAGUUUGACUUUUGUUAACUGGUUGAGUAAAAUCAUAAAAUUACUUGACAAAGUGAAAUACUCAAGCUUUACGUGUGUAAUUAUUCAUAAUUAUACACAAUUUACUAUUUAUUUGAGAUUAAGGUUUAACUUAAAUUUUCGGAUUCUUAGUAUAAUAGUAUUAUAGAAUUCAUAAUAAACACCAAACCAAAUCUAGCACUUCAACACUUUCUCUCAUAAUUCAUUUAUAAAAACUAUUAAAUAAAUAGACUAAUCACAUCGCCUUGCUCUUUCUUGACAAUAUGUAAGUAAAAAACUACCGCAUUUGAGGUAAAAUUAAAACAAAAAAAUCUAAAAACAAAAAAUAAAGAAAUUUAAUGUUUCUAAUUUUCUCAUUAAAUUAAAUGUAACGGUAAAUCAAUAAAUAAAGAGUGGCUAGUUAAAAAAGACUAUCAAUUUUGUUAAACACAUUUUGAUUGCAAAAGGUACUAUUUGUACACAUAAAGCAUUUUUGGAUUUGGUUGUUUUAGUGGCUCUAAAGAAAUUAAUUGCCUUUUCAGUAUGACUUAUUUAAUAAACAUAGUAUUUAUUUAUUUAAUUUAAUGAGCUCUUUUCAAAUUUAUUGUUGUUGUUUAAAUUUUUUGGUAGAACUUCUAAAGGAUAAAUAAGUUAUUUUAUUUUUAUCUGCAAAAGCUCAAAUUUGGAGUAGAAGUUAAAAUUUUUUAAAAAUAUUAAAAUUAUCUUUUAUUUAUUUGAGAAUCUUAUUCAUUCAUUCAUUUCACAAUAUAACUCUAAAAUAAUUUUAUAACUUUUACUAAAUGCUCUUAUUGACAACUAAAUAAUUAAAAAAAAUUUAGAAAAAUCUCUACUUACAAAAGUUUUACUGACAAUAAUUCUACUCAAACAAAUUUUAUUUGAAAAGCUAUAUCUAAUAGAGCUUAAAAGUAUCAUGAUAAUUUAUUAUUAUGUAUUGGUACGAGUUUUUUUCUUUUAUUUUUAUUUUUUCCCAAAUUUUUUUAUAUGAACUUUUACAAAGAUUUCCCUCUGAAAUUGAGUAUAGAUUUGUAGGUAAGUGAGGCCUUGAUUGUAUCUAAGGGCGUUGUGAUGCUUUCUCAGUUAAGAGAUGAUCAACAAAAAAUUUAACAAAUGACGAGAGGAUUUUAAUCAAUAAAAUGACUUUUCCAUCUAAUUGCAAAUAGAUUAUACCUCAGGGGAGGUUACGAAAACGUACGCACAAGAGAACAAACGUUGUAUACAGUGACUGAUGUUGACUUUGCCACGUGGGUACUUGUGAUGCGUGGCUGUGUAGUUUUCAGAUUUCUGUCAAUUUUUUAAAAUUUUUAUAAUAAAUCCCACUUUUUAACCAAAAAAAAAUAUUUAUGCGGCGUUUACUAAAUUGAAAUCGAAAUGAAUUGAAAUCGAAAUAAGUAGAAAUGAGAAUGUGGUAGAAUUAGAAUAGAGAAUGAGAAUUAAAAUAAGUUGUUUAUCUCAACUGUAAGAAUCUGAAUCGAAAUCAGAAUGAGUUAGAUUUGCAUUAAUGUGUUUACUUUAUCUUGUAAUCGGAAUCAGAAUAAAUAAAAUUGUUAUAAAUUACUAAAAAGUCGUUAAUAAUAAUGACAAUAAUAUUCAUUAAAAAAUAAAUAAAUAAUAAUAAUAAAUUUAUAAUGAUAAUAUCAAUAAAAAUAAUAAUAACAAUAAUUAAUAAAAAUAAAAUAAUAAAUUUAAUAUAAUCUAAUAGUAAUAACAACAUUUAAAUAUUAUAAAAUAAUAAAUAAAAUUAAUAAAUUUUAAUAAAAUGAUAAUAAUGGCAUUAUUAUUAUUAUUAUUAUUACAACAACAACAACAACAACAACAACAACAACAAUAGCAACAAUAGCAACAACAACAAAAACAACAAUAAUAAUAAAUGACCUACUUGAGGGCAAUAUUAGAGUAUGCUUUAUAUGCAAAACCAUUUCACAAUGUUGUAGACUCAUUUAUAAUAUUAUAAAAAUUCAUAUUGCACUUUAAUAAAGUGUGAGAUCUCUCAUUAAAAAUGAACUAUAUAGAUAUAUAGGGUAGUAAUAUAGUUUAGAAUCUUGAAUCUUAUUAAAGUUUGAAAAAAUAUCAUGUCAAUUUUGACAAAAAUAAUGGUUUCCCUUGAAAGCCACUCCAUAAAGAUCGCCUUUUCGUUUUCCACAUGUAUCCAUAUGAUCUAUCUCUAGCAUUAUCCUCACCACAUCCGUAUGAUCCAUUUCUCUUUCUUUCACUCACUUGUAUAUAUAAUUGAUACACAGAACAAGCUGUAUGUAUAUUGAAAUACAAGUGUGCAACCCAAGAGGGGGGGUGAAUUGAAAUUUUAAAAAUUAUCCUAACAAAUCCACACAACAAGCAAUCUAAUGUCUUAACAAUAAUUGAAAACAAUAAGUUCAAUAAUAGCACAAUAAUUAAAGAGUAAGGGAGAAGAGAAACAAACACACGAAUUUUUACGUGGUUCGGCAAUCCCCGCCUACGUCCACGCCUCCAAGCGAUCCAAGCUCGAGGAUUUCACUAUCCAAGCCUUUCCAAGGCUUCAACGAUUACAAUUGACUUCGAGGUGUCAAUAAACCUUUACAACAAAGAGAUUAUCUCCCAAUCUCUUCACUCAAGUGCCUCACACACUCAAACUCUUACAAAUGAAUUGAAGAAAUGAAGGUUACAAUGGAACUCACUCAAUGAGUAGAUAUUCAAAGAUGAAGAACAAUGAAUGAUUCAAAGAUUUGUGUUUUGAAAGUUGUAAGCUCAAGAUAUCACGUGUGCUUUUUGCUUUUGCUUGUUGGAGAGAGUCAAAAUGAGUUGGAUUUGAGUUCUUAUAGCUUGAGCUCGAAAACUAGCCGUUACUCACAUUCUGGGCUAUCCGGUUUGCCGUUUUAUGGAAUCCGGUAAGCCGGAUUUAUAUUACUGUUAAGGCAAAAUUCAAAAUUUUGCCUAACCGGUUUGCCGGUUACGAAAUCCGGUAUGCCGUUUUCGUUCUGGAUGCUUACUGCCCCGAAUCCGGAUUUCUGAUUUUUAGAAUCCGGUAAGCCGCUUGCUACAGUAACCUGCUACAAUGAAAUUUUUCCCAUAUUUUCAAUUUGACCUCAAAAACUUUAUAAAACUGUAGUAUGGCCCAAAACGUUAUAAAAAUUUGUAAAUAGGUCCAAUUUCAGAAUUUUUAAGUAAUGCUUCGUUAAUCCCAAAACUUUAUGAAAUUAUGAUUUUGCCCAAACUUUGUGAAAUUAUUGAAUGACCCAAAAACAUUUAAAUAAUUUCAAAUAGGUCCAAAUCUGAAAUUUAAAACACUAUCAAAGAUUUUGAAAUUACUUUCAUUUUAGUCCAAAAUGCUUUAAUUCCAUAACAUCAUUUUCUUAUUAUAAAAGCACAAUUCAUAAAUCUUUACUUAAUAAAUACAUGUGGUUUGUUAUCAUCAAAAUCAAUAUUUAUAGCCAUAUAGGCUAACAUAUAUGCUCUUUGGUAUCCUUAAUUUUAAGGCAAAUGCCAAGUUACUUUUAACUGUAAUUUAUGCCACACAUACAAAUCAUGUGGGUCCUAUUAAUAUGUUACUGUCGUUGUGUGUGGCAUAAGUUAUAGUUGAAUAUAACUUAGGGGGUCCUAAUUUUAAUUGUCUUUGUCGUAGUAUCAUAAGGUCAGUUCGAUGCAUCCUUCUACAAGUUCAAAGCGACGUUGGCACAAUUAUAAGAAUAAGAGUAAUGGUAAAGUUAAUCUAUCGAUGGCGUCAGGAAAAAGAAUAGAAUAAAUUAUUUAAUUUCCAACAGCUUAAUUUUGUCUCUUCGUGAAUAUAAUAAUCACAUUUAUUCUACUGCUUUUGUCCCCAUUGCUUAAUUUAUCCGCGAAUAUGAUUUAUGCCACACAUACAAAUCAUGUGGGCCCAUUUAAUCUCUAUAUUUUUAAGAAUAACUCAAAACGUCCUUACCAUUAAAUAUUGACACUUAUGCCAUUAUUUUUUAUUCUUUUUAACAUGCUUUUACAAUAUUACACUCUUGCAGUAAUGUUUCUUUUUGGAUAUUAAUAAAAAAAUAGAUUAUCAAAUUAAACCCAAAAAUAAAAUAAAAAACAAAAAGAUAUAUAUUAAUUUUUGUGGAAGCUCAUGUGUGUUAAAAAAAUUAAUUUUGUAAAAAAUUGAAUUAUCAAUUUUUUAGAAAAAUUAAUAUUUUAACUCCUCAAUAGAGUGUUCCACAAAAAUUUAUAUAUAUAUAUAUAUUGUUUUUAUUUUAUUUUUUGGUGUUAAACUGGUAAUUUUUUUUUUAAUAUUAUCUAAAAAAAGGAAUAUUAUUGUAAUAGGGUAAUAUUGUAAAAAUAAGUUAAAAUGAACAAAAGGUAAUGGCAAGGAUGUCAAUAAUUUAAUGGUAGGGAUGUUUUGAGAUAUUUUUAAAAAUAUAAGGACUAAACGGACACUAAUCUUAAAAUCUUAUUAUUAUUACUUAUUAUUAAAAAAAAAUUGUUAUGGUUUGGUCCAACUGAAAUAUAUUAUAUGUAGCAACAUUCUCAUGAAUAUUUACAAUAAACUUAUAAAUUAGCUGGGCUGAUCAAAAGUCUAGUGUUCACCUUAGUAUAAUUUAUACACAACUUCUACAUAUGUUAUUGUGUAUCUAUCUAUUAUUGGAUUGCAUAAAAUCAUUGGCUUAGAAUUUAUGUCAAAAUUUUAAAUUAAGAUAGCUUAUUCUAUUAAAUAUGAUCUUAUGAAACAAUACAACUGUAUCUUAACAAAUUAAAUUCAAUAUAAUACUAUCUAACAUAUUCUAUAUAUAUAUUUUUAGCUGGUAGUUGAAAUAGGCAUUAAAAUUUAUACGUAUAAACACUAACAAAUUCAAAUUAAUACUUUCUGGGUUAAAUUGAAAUUUAAAAAAAAAUCCCAUCUAUACGUCAAAGAAAUAAAGAAAAACAUGCAACAAUUUACAAAUUAUAUCUAAUUUGGAACAUAAAACGUAAAACACGAGACAUGGAACAAACACGAGCACCGAACAUGAGCACUCAAGCAUUAUCAGAAUAAAAUAAAGUUAACUAUCAGAUCAUGAAAAAGAAUAGAACAAGUUAUUUUAACAACUUUUGUCACCAUUGCUUUUCCCGCGAAUAUAAUAAUCACCAUGUUUUGGAAGCCAAGUGGCAGCAAAUCAUUAAAAAAUAAAUAAAAAUAAAAGAGAAAAUUAUCAUCCUUUUGCUAAAAGGAAAAAUUUAAAACUUACCAUUUUUUUGCUCGUAGUAACCUAGGGUAUUACAUAUUUUAAAUAAUAAUUCUGACAAAAAAAAAUAUUACAUAUUAUUAUUUGAGAAAAAUAAAUUUAACUUUUAAAAUAUAAUAAUAAAUUUUUGGUAAGUAUUUUUAAUUUUAUAACUUAAAAGGUACCACUGCCUACAACAAUAUUAAACAAAACUUUGAUAUUAGUUAAUCCUAAGAAAUUUUUUAUUGCAACUCUUAAGUAAAUUUGUUAUUGUAAAAAAUUCAGUUUUUUUUUUUGGGAAAAAAAAUCAGCAUCUACUUUUUUUAUUCUUCCCAUGUAGCAUAUAACAUAAAGUUAAAAGAUGCUUGAUCGGAUGCGAGUGUGAAUGGAGUUAAAAAAAAAAAAUUCAGCAUCUACUUCUUUAUUCAAUAAUUAACGUACUUUUUAAUUGGUUAAUUAUUUAAUUACAUUAAAAUAUUUCAUAUAUUGAUUUUUUGUUAUUAGAUUAAUGAAUUUUGAGUAAAAACUUGGUUGUUGUUCAAUAUUCGACUUCAUGUCUUGGCCUGAUGUGAUGAUUCCAUUGCAUCAAUUGAUUAUACGGCGCUGGGUGGAAUCUCAUCAUCGUUUUCCCUUGAAACAAUUUCUAAUGACGUAAACCAAAAAUUCUUUUUUACGGUGGAAUAUCAUCAUCGUUUUGCCUUAGCACAAUUUCUAAUUCCUUUCUUGAAUGUCCUUCAACAUUGUGAAAUACAUUAAAUUUUUUCUUAAAUUUUUUAUUCAUAAUGACGUAAUCCAAAAAUUCUUCAAUUUUUUAUUUGAGAAUGGCAUAAUCCAAAAAUUUUAGGGCUCAUAUUUCAUUUAGGAUCAAAAAUAAAUUUCAAAAAAUUAAAAUAGAAUUUAAAAAUUAAUUUCCAUUGGAGUUUUGAUGUUAAUUUUUCUUUUAUUAUUUAGCCUUACAACAACUUAAUCCCCUUCCUAUUCAUGUGAGUGGAUUACGGACCUUAAACCUCUUAUUUUCAACCCAAUAGUCUAUUUCGUUUUGACUAAAUGGCAUCAACAAUGUGUUUAUGCAGUAUCUAAAAAUGAUAAUCCCAACAAUGGAAACGUGUUUAACAUAAUUUUUAAUUAAAUUAAAAAAAAAUUCAUAUUUAGGUGCUGUGAUUUCAAAGAUAUUUUUUAAUGAAAUAUUAAGUGUUUAUAUAAUUACAAUUUCUUUUCCUUUUCGUCAAUUACAUUACAUCAAGCAGAAACUUAAAAGAAAUAAACAUAAAACAAGCUUCAUCAAGAUUUCAAUAAUUGAUUAGUAUCUUUAGCUAAGCUUCUAUUAGGCAGAAACAGAAACUGAUUUACAAUACAAAUGGCCAACAACAUGGAAAAUAUAUCCCUCGAAACAUUACAACUACAAUAAUGUCGCUUGGAUUAUAGUGAAAAUACUGAAUUAUAAGGCUAUUGUGCUGAGAGGAUAAAAGAAAAACAUGCACUGAAAGUGAUGUAACCAACUUGAUUUUUAUUCCUCUGAUCAUUUCAUAUUUAUACAAAGUUGUUGUAUUGUGUUUACAGCUGUAACAUCACAAGAUCAAUGGCCUAGGAAAAAUGGUGAUAAGAACCGUUAUUGUACUGUUGUCUCUUUUUACUGCACAGUCUUAGCCAUCCAUCUUGUUUCUUAAAUCUCAGCUGUUUGAUUGGAUGAAGCUUCUAGACUCUUCAAUUUAAGCCACCCGCCAAUAUUGAAUUCAAUGCAGUAAUACAUCAUAUAGCUUGUGUGCUUAUUAUAGAUUCCUUAUUUUAACUCCCCCUCUCAAGCUCAGUUAUCUGGAUAGACAUUGAGCUUGCUUCUAACGUAUUUAAAGCUUGCUAUUGGCAAGGCUUUGGUCAAGAUAUCUGCUGCUUGAUUCUUAUUGUUUACAUACUUCACUUUCUAGCUCAUUCGCUGUAAUUUCAUCCCUGACGAAAUUUUCAUCGAUUUCAAUGUGCUUCAUUCUUCCAUGAAAUACGGGGUUUUUAGCAAGUGCAAUGGCACUCUUUUUGUCACACCAUACCGUAGGGAUUUGACUGAUUUCUGAUUUCUGAUUUCUGAUUUCUGCAGCUCCAUGGGAGAAUGCUUUGUACUUUGCUUCGGUACUUGACUUGGAUAUAACUUUUUGCUUUUUUGAGCUCCAUGAAACUAGAUUCCCAGCCAAAAGGUUGCUAUACCCACUCGCUGAUCUCCUAUCAUCUUGGUCAAUAGCCUAAUCAGCAUCGGUAUAUGUUGUAUGGUGUGUGAUUUCUAAUUCAAUGUGCAAAUGUACAAAAUAAGUAAUAUACUGAUAAGUAUUCAGAUUAUCUCCGCAUAGACUGAUGUUAUCAAAUUGUCUACGACAAUCUUAACAGUGCAGCUCCAUUCUAAAUUAAAAUAAGACAAUUUUUGAAACUAAAUAACUAGUAAAAAAUGCAAUAAAGAAAAUUCGCACAUCAAACACAAGGAUGUAACCAAUGAGAAUAAAGUAAUUGAGUUAAUAAACUCACUUAAUGACUUUGACUAUUUUUUCAACUACAGUACCAUUGCUACAACAUCUACUACAGCACUAGGCAGAAUCCCUCAUGCAUCCUUAGCUGUCGCCUAUUGGAUAAAUAUAAUACAGUACCAUUGCUACAACAUCUACUACAGCACUGGACAUAAUCUCUCAUGCAUCCUCAGCUGUCGCUUAUUGGAUAUCUUAUAUCUAAUGUAGCUUAACAGUGACCAAUUGUUAUGUCAACAUUAAGUAUAGCAUUAAAUGAUCUAGAUUUGAUUUAUCCUGCAAGGUGAAUCUCCAUGUCUAGUCUUUACUAAUUUUCGAUCAAGUAUGACCCUAUUCAAAUUAAGAUUAACUCAACUUAGGAAACCCAAUGUAAAACCAAAUAUUAUUUUAAUGAGAUCUACAAAGUCAUACAUUUUUUAGGCUCUUUCUUAGUUAGUAUCCACUAAAUGGGUGGUCAGUCAAAAUAUGGAAUUAAAAUAAACAUAAUUAAGACAAAAUGCUAUAGUAAACAUAAAGCAACAAGUAUAUAUCACUAAAACAUCUAUUGAGAUGUUUAUUACUCAACCACAAUCAAAAUCAAUUUAUAAUUUGUGAUAAAAAUAAAUAAAAUUGUUUUAUCCAUCAAAUACAUCCCCAUAAAUAAAUAGAAAACAAGAAAAUUAGAUAAAGAGUUAAAGUCCGCUUAAUCUUACGAUCUUUCCUUCUUGUUCACUAUGAAUCCUCUAUUGCAGCCUGAAAAUCUAUCUUAUUUUAUGUUUUUCUUUUGUUUUUCUCUGUGAUUUUUCUUUGAGUGACGACUUUCUCUUUUCCUUUGCAAGUGUGCUCCUUUUAUAACCCAAAAUUAGGCAACCAAAAGUUUAAGGCCUGCAUCUUCGAUUUUUGAAACUUUAGAUCACAAUCUUUUAAUUGUUGCACGCGAAAUCCAGUCUGUCGUUGCUCCAGGAUUGUACAGCAAAGGCUACAACAUUUGUACUGUUCUAGAUUUGUUUCAAUUCCUCUAUAGCCAAGUUCUUUCAUUGUCUCUACAAAUCUAUUGCAGCAAUAUUUCUUCCUUAAAACUUGAGCUUUCAGUCACCUAUAAUUAUGUAUAUAAUCUAAGCAUAAAUUAUUUUAAAACAACUCAAUUUAUUAAAAAUAAAGCAAAAUGGAUGUUCAUGCAAAAUAUAACUAAAAUGCAAUAAAAAUAUGUCUUUUACUUUAUAAGUAAUCUUGAUUUAAGUUUAAAAGUGUCAUGAUAACUCUUAUUUCAUAGAGUUAUCACUGUAAUUUCCAUUCUUCUUGCUGGAGUGAAAUAGAGAUCAUGGUCUAUAGUUCCUUUAAGGUAUCUUAAUAUUCUCUUACUCCCCUACCAAUGUAUUUGCCUGGGAUCCUGCACAAAUUGAGACAACUUGUUAACACUAUAUGCUAUAUUCGGCCUUGUUAUUGUUGUCUAUUGAAGUGCUCCAAUUACACUCCUAUACAAUGUUUUGUCAUCAAAUGCUCUUCCUCCUUCAUCUUUUUUAACAUUUGACUAUACCUCAGACAUGAGCUUAUGGUAUGCGACUUGGUUUACAAUCAACCAUGUUUGUUUUAGUUAAAACAUCUUGUAUGUACUUUGCUUGACAUAAAUACAUUCCCCUACGAUCUCGCUUAACUUUGAUUCCCAAGAAGUAAUUCAAAUCCCCCGACAUCUUGAGUGCAAAAUUUUGUUUUAAUUUUUUAAUCAUAGCUUCUAUCAUCACAUUAUUAUUUUCGGUUAUCAGUAUAUUAUCAACAAAAAUCAGUUGGUAGACUGAUUUUUCUUUAUUUUUCCAAUAUAACAAGAAAGCAUAUGAGAUUGCAUUCUUGAAUCCCCAGCUCAACAGGGCUCCCUUUAACUUCUCAUACCAAGCUUAUAGAGAAUGCUUUAAACUAUACGGUGCCUUUUUGAGUUUGCACGCAUGGUUUGGCUUCUUUUUAUUUUCAAAACCAUUUGGUUGAGACAUGUAGAUUGUCUCACUUAGCUCCCCUUUGAGGAAGGCAUUAUUCAUGUCUACUUGCUUGUUGUCCUAUCCAUAAGUUAUUACAAGACUCAAGAUGACAUUCACUGUUGAUGAUUUUGCCACAGGGCUGAAGGUUUCAGUGUAGUCUAUUCCUUCUUUAUGAUGAUAUCCUUUUGCAACCAGUCUUGCUUUAUAUCUUGAUACGGUCCAAAUUUGAUUGUACUUUAUACACCCAUUUGUUUCUUAUCACCUUCAUGCGUGUGUCUGGUUCUACAAGCUCCCACAUGUUAUUGUUCAUAAGGGCUUCGUAUUCUUCCUCAAUUACUCUCCUUCACACCUCAUUGGCUAAAGCAUUUUCUAUAUUUGUUGGCAGGUUCUCAACCCCUUAAAGUUCCUUUUGUGCAAGGUAUAUCUUAGGUUUAAAUAUUCCGAACUUGGAUCUUAUCACUAUGAGAUGUGUGGAAAGUUUAAGUUAAGAUUGAAUUUCUAAUGGUUGUUUCGGUUUUAGUGUUUUAUUAUAAUCUGGUUGGUCAUUUGUUGUUUUUUUUAGAAGGCUCAAUGAGUUUUAGUGCAUAUGUGUCAGUAACUACUGGGUUGUGUGUUUGAUUUGGUGUGUUCAAGUCUUGCCUUGAUGAAUUCUCUUCUUCAUUAAAUGUGGCUUGGUUCUGAUCAAAUGGUUCUAUAUGAGCUAUGCAUUUGGCACAUAUAAAAACUGAGUGUAAUUAUAGGUAGAACUGUUGUUUGAUACUUUGUUUUUCACUCCAAAGGACUCAUCUGUUUUAUAUGGAAAAUCACUCUCAUUAAACACAACAUUCCUAGCAAUGUAAAUUCUACCUGAACUGUAAAGGCACUUAUACCCUUUGUGUACUGAACUAUAACAAUUGAAGACAUAUUUUGAUGUAUGAAAUUGUAGCUUGUUCUUGUUUCACGGUCUCAAAUGAGGGUAUCAAGCACAUUUUAAAACUUUUAGAAAGUCAUAAUCAGGUUUUUGUUUGAAAAGCUUUUCAAAUGGUGAUAUGUGAUUAAUAAUUAGUGUAGGCAACCUAUUAAUCAGGUAAACUGAAGUUUUUAUGGCUUCCCACCAUAAUUUCAAAGGCAUUUGUGCUUAGGCUAAUAAUGUCAGUGCAGUCUCUAUAAUAUGCCUAUGUUUUCUUUCCACGUUUUCAUUUUGUGUUGAAGUGUAAAGACAUAAGUGACUAAAAACUAUUCAUUUUCUUUCUAUAUGACCUUUAAGAGGUCUAAACUCACCACUCCAGUCACUUUGUAUGCAUUUUACUUUUCUUUCUAAGGUUCUUUCUAUUUGAGUUAUAAAAUUUAUUAUAGUUCUUGUUGUUUCUGAUUUGGCUAUGAGUGGAAAAAUCCAUGUGUAUCUCUUAUAAUCAUCUAGUAGGCUCAAGUAGUAUCUAUAUCAUUUUCCUGACGUAAAAAGUCCUGGUCCCAAAAUAUUAGUAUAUAGUAAUUCUAAAGGUGCAUGUCUUUUGGUCAGAGAAUUUUAGUGCUUAAGUUUAUGGUUCUUUCUAUAUUGACAAGCUAAACAAAAAGAGAUUAAAGCAUUUUUAUUUAUAACUGAGAUGUUGUUACAAUUUGACACCAUUCUUUUGAGUACAACAUCACUAUGUUGUCUUAAUCUCCUGUGUAAUAGGUCUAAUAGUUUUUCACUCUCAGUUUGUCUUUUAUUAGGCUCAACAGACUCUGCAAACUUCUUAGACAUCACUAACUCAGAACCAAGCUCUACACCACUUGAUCUUUUAUUCUUGCAAACAAAGACUGAAAACAUAAAAGAAACUUCACGGUAGCCCUCUCUAAUUUCUUCUCAUUAGUGCUAUUGACAAGAAACAAUCCUCCAUGAUUAGACCUUUAAAGAUGAGUAGUCCCCAACUUGUCCUUAAUAAUGUAGUAUUUGUUAGUGAAAAGUAUGAUAAGAUUUUAUGUGUGAUUAAACUUGAUAUACUAAGGAGAUUUUUUGAUAUAUUUGGCACAAAAGAUUUUUAUAAAACCUCUUUUCUUACCAACAAGAAUAGGAAAUGACAUUGUGCCAGUGUGUGAGAUUUUUAAUUUGUGUCCAUUUCCAACGAGAAGAAAAGAGUUACCUUUAUAUUCAGGUUGCUGAGGUCAUUGGUGACAUGGUUUGUGGCAUCGUUAUCCAGAUACAAUCCUUGCUCUGAGGCUUCUUUAUUUGUAGCAACAGAGGCAGAUCUUUAUAAUUAUUGUUUUUUUUUUGGCAUGAAAUCUUCUUCAUGUCUGUACCCAUACUCAUUAGUCAUGUGGCCAACCUUGAGGAAAAUCUGACAUGUGACAUUAGGCUUCUAAGUUGAUUUUCUUCCUCCAUUUUUGCCUUUGCCCCUUCCUCUUGAGUUGUUGUUGUGAUUUCUUCUAUUUCCAUUAGUGUUACUAUGGCCUUGGUUUGGGUUUUGACUUCUUCCAAGAUUAUUUCUUCUUCCAUUCAUCCCACACUUGUUGUGUUUUAAAGCCAUGUUUUCCUUAACGGCAGCUUGUGCUUCAGCAGUGGCUUAUUGUUCAAGUCAUGCUUCAUAGCUUAAAAGAAUUGAGUAGAGUUCUUCAAAAAAGAUGUCUUAAAGCCUUGAAGUCAAGCUUACCACCAAAGACUCAUAGCUUCUAUCAAGUCCUGUAAUGAUGUGGUGAGAAAAUCUUCAUUUGACACAAUCUUUCCUACAAUAGCAAGUUCUGUUACCAGAUUUCUCAUCUUAGUGCAAUAUUCAUUAAUUAUCAUGUUCUCUUUUCUUAUGCUAUGCAGUUACAUCCUGAGUGUUAACAUAUACGUAUCUAUAAUAUUGAUUUUGAUAAUAACAAAUAAGAUUAAGAAUGAUUAAGUAUUUAAAAGUCCAAAUUAUUUUUAUACAUUUUAAAUAAAUCAUAAUUUUUAUAAUAUAAAGGUUUUAUACUUAAUGGAAAAAUGAUUUUAUGAAAUUGGUUGUUUUCAAUUUAAUGGUCUAAAUUGAAAAAGUUUUGAGAACUUUGAAAUCAAUAAGUAUUAUUUUGAAAUUCUACGAAUGUACCUAUUUGAAAAGUUUUAUAAAGUUUUGGACCGUAGUAUAAUUUCAAAAAGUUUUGGAAAUUGAUAACUCUAUGAAAUGAGAGUUAUCAUGGCAUUUUUAAAUUUAAAUCAAGAUUAUUUAGUGAGUAAAUGACAUGUUAUUUUUUAACAAAUAUUUUUUAUUUAGAGUAAUUUUUGUGCUUAGAUCAUAUGUAUAAUUGUAUGUCAAAUUUCAAGGAAAGAAUGUUGCUGCAAUAGGCUUGCAAAAAUAAGGAAAAAACUUGACUACAAAAGAAUUGAAACAAGUCUGGAACAGUGUAGAUGCUGAAACCAUUACUGUUGCUGUAGCAAUCCUGAAGCAUUAGCAAAAAAAAUUUCGCGCGAGAUACUUAGAAGAUUGCGAUUUGAAAUUUCCAAAACUGGAAGAUUCACACCCUAGACUUCCAGUUGCUCUAAUUCUAGGCUAUAAAAGAAGUACGCACAUAAAGGAAAAGGGAGAGCCAUCAACCAAUGACAAAAAACUACAAAGAAACAACAAGAAAACAUAAUUUAAAAGAGAGAUUGAAGGCUAAUAGAGGAGAAAUCACAGAAAUAAAAAAGAAAUUAGUUAUUCUUAUUCUUUUCUUAUUUUCUAUUUACUCAUGGGGAUAUAUUGGAUGGAUAAAACUCUGUUGUUUAUUUUUCUAUUGCAAAUCAUGAACUAAAUUUGAUUGUGGUUGAGUGAUAAACAAUCUUAAUGGAUGUUUGAUUGAUAUAUGUGUGUUGCCCUGUGUUUGGUAUAAUAUGUCUUAAUUAAUUUAUUUUAAUUCUCUAUUUCAGCUGACCACCCAUUUAGGGAUACUAGAUAAGAAAGAACCUAAAAAGGUCUGACUUAGUGAAUCUCAUUAAAAUAAUAUUUGGUUUUUAGAUUGCAUUUCCCAAGUUAAGUUAAUCUUAAUUUGAAUGGGGCCAUGCUUGAUUUAAAAUUAGUGAUAAAUUAGACAUAGGGAUUCACCUUGUCGGGUAAAUAGAACCUAGAUCGAUUAAUGUUAUAUUUAAUGUUAGCAUAACAAUUGUCACUGUUAGGUUGUAUUAGAUAUAAGAUAUUCAACAGGUGACAACUGAUGAUGCAUAAGGGAUUCUGCCCAGUGCUGUAGUAAAUGCUGUAGAAACGGUACUGUAAUUGAAAAAUAAUCACGUACUGUAAUUGAAAAAUAAUCAAUGCCAUAAAAUGAGUUUAUUCACUCAACUACUCAAUUCCAUUAGUUUUAUCCGUAUGUUUGACGUGAGAGUUUUCUUUAUUUUAUUUUAUUUAUUGCAUUUUUACUUUAAUUCGUUUAUUAGUUUCAUUAGUUGCUUUACUUUUAUUUAUAAAAAAAACUGCACUGUUAAGUGUAGCAAAUCUGAUAACAAUAAUUCAUAUAGAGACGAUCUGAAUACUCAAGUAUAUUACUUAUUGUGUAUAUUUGCACAUUGACAUCCUUAGCAUUAGAGAUUGUACAAACCGGAAAUCAACAAGAAUAGUUUUGGAAUCCCGAAAAUGGACUUAUUUGUAAGGUUUUAUAAAGUUUUGGGAUAUAAUAUAAUUUUGGAAAGUUUUAAGGUAAAAUUAUAAUUUUAGAAAAUAGUUUCAAUGCAGCAAACUGUUAAUCGUUUAUGGUAAACGGCUAGCCGAUAAUGGGCAGAAAGUUUCUGAAUGAUAACGGUGAUCCGACAAUUUGAAUUGCGGCCUAACAAUAACUUGCUUAAGUUAAAACGUCAAUCCGACUUGUGGCUACCGGCGAUCUGAUUUUGCCUAGAAAAGUCAAGAACGGCUAAUUUUCUUCUCCAACUAUAAAAAGUUAAACUAAAUUCAUUUAAAAAAGAGUUCUUCAAUCUCUAUCAAGCUUAAACUUGUAUAUACAAAUUAUCUUGAGCUUUUAUUUGCUUAUUCAUAUACAUUGAUUCAUUAUUGAGCUAUCAUUUGUGAAUGUACACUUGUGAGAGUGUAAUCUUUGUAAUCGUCAUUUCAAUAUAAAAAAUUGAGUGAUUGUAAGUAUGGGAAACACUUAGGAAAAGUAGUGUGGGAUCAUCUUGAAUUGUAAAGGUUUAUUGACACCUUGGAAGUCAAUUGUAAGCAUCUUGAAGUCUUCAGUUAUAAGGGUUGGUUAGUGGAAUCUUCAAGCUUGGUUUGCUUAGAGGUGUGGAUGUAGACGAGUUGCCGAAUCAUGUAAAAAUCUUGUGUUAGUUUUUCUCUACCUUUACCUCUUUAAAUUUACUUCUUGUUGAAAUUAUUAUUAUUAUUGUUAUUGGUUGUGGUAGUUAUUGGUAUUGAAUUAUGGUAUUGUUUUUGAAAAAUUUUCUAAAACCCAAUUCACCCCCCUCUUGGGCUUCCUAGCUAGCAUUUACUGAGCAUUGUUGUUCUUGCAGCCGAUUGGGAGGAGUAUAUUCUCUCCAACACUGUCCACAACUCAAGAGAAAUUAUGCAGUGGAUCACAACACAUAUGAUGUUAUCUAUGAUUGUAGAAAGGAGUUAGCUGAGUUGUUGUUGAUCUUGUCUAAGCAACACUAAAAAGGCAGAAUUUGGUAUUGUUUUAACUGUGCCAUCAUCUUCAACACUGCUUGUGUGUUUGGUUGGUAUGUCUUGUGAGUCAUCAAUGAGGUGUUCCUAACCAUUGCCACGUAUAGUAGGCAUGACUUAAGCCUUCUAGAUGACAUAGUUCUAUCAAGUUUUAUGGUUAUUAAAAAUAAAAAGUUGAAUGGGGUAUGUGUAGUGAUUGAAUAUGAUGAUUCUUGUGUUUUUUUUUGUGUUUCAAGUGCUUGUUCAAUCGGCACAACUUGCUUAAUUGAACCAAGAUCUUGAGUCACCUCCAUUUCUGGAUAGAGUGCUCUGAUACCAAGUUAAAAUAUUGAUUAUAAGGCUAGUGUACUAUGUUUACAUUACUCUAAUAAUUUCAUAUUUAUGCAAAGUUAUUGUACUAUGUUUACAGCUGUAACAUCACAAGAUCAAUGGCCUAGAUUAAAUGGUGAAUACAUAAAAUAAUAUAAGAACCGUUAUUGUAUUAUUGUCUCUUUUUACUGCACAAUCUCAACCAUCUAUCUUGUUUCUUGAAUAUUAGCCGCUUGUUCUGAUGAAGCUUAUAAACUCUUCAAUUUAAUUGGAUACACCAAACAUCUCCUGAAAUAAUCAUCAAUGAAAGUCACCAUGUACUUUGCACCUCCAUGGAUAUGUCUGGUGAUUCCCAAACAUCAGAAUGAACCAAGUCUAAAAUGCAUUUACUUCUAGUAACAGAUUUGCUAAACUUCAAUCUAUGCUGCUUACUUAUAACCCAAUGCUCGGAAAAUGGUAAGUUUACCGAUUUGAGCUCUGGAAGCAAUUUUUAUUCAGAGAGAAUCUUCAAACCUUAUUCCGACAUGAGGCCAAGUUUGAGAUGCCAUAUCAUCAUUGACUCUUUUUCAUUUGACGAAACACACGCAUCAGCUUCCUGUAGUGUUUCUUCUUUAAGCAUGAAUAGAUUAGCACCGAUUUUUUUUUUUUUGCCUUUAUCAAUACAAGCUCGCCUUUAACAAUCUUCAUAAUCUCAUUUUCAACAUGAGUUUUACACCCAAGAUUAUCUAUAUGUCCUAAAGACAAUAGAUUUUUCUUUAAGUCUUUGACACGUUGUACCUGCUCAAUUGUGUGAAUCGUACCAUCAAACAUUUUAAUUUUGAUAAUACCAAUACCAGCGAUAUCUAAGGCAUGAUCAUCACCCAUGUAUACAGAUCCUCCUUAGAUAGGUUCAUAUGUGUGGAAUCAUUCUCCUCGACAGGUCAUGUGCUAGGUAGUUCCUAAGUCUAUAAGCCAGAUGUCAGAUAAUCAUUUUCUGCUUUUUCAAAUAGUUGUUGCCUCGCUGUAUAGAAUUUCACCAUCAUUCGAGGUACUUGUUACACACCCCUGAGCAUUUGAUGACUUAGGAUCUUAACUUCUUCUUCUCUUCUGGUUGUUUUAACACUCUUUCUUGACAUGCACUUUUUUACAUAGUUGUAACAUUUGACAUUCUUCUGACUUAUUGAUUUCGAUCUACCAUGAUUGUGACUCCCAUUGGGCCCACGUUCUGUUGAUAUCCCUCUCGUUAUCGAUAGUGCUUCUACUUGCUGCGAACUUGCUUGUCUGUCUUCCUUAUUUUUUUUGCAUGCUCUCUUCAUUUAAUACAUAGGCUGCAACAUCAUCGAAGACUAGACUAUCUGCUGGGUUGUUGCUCGUCAGAUUGAUGACAAGUUGAUCAUACGAAUUUGGUAGACUUUAAAGUAGAAGCUCCGCACGUUCAUUUUCCUCUAUAUUAUGACCCAACAUUGUAAGAUGUGAAAAUAAAGUUUUUAAAGUAUUGAUAUGGUCGGUCACUAAUGUUGAUUCCGACAUUCGAAGAGUAUAAAGUCUCUUUUUCAGGAAGAUCUUAUUGUACAACGAUUUGGUCUCGUAUAACUCUGUGGGAGUAUCUCAUAUUUCCUUUGUUACAUUUUUCUCUGCCACAAUGAAUAAUACUCCAUCUGUAAAUGCCAAGUAUAGAUCAGCAAUGGCGUUGCCAUCUAUCUCAUGCCACUUGUCAUCUAUUAUCUGCAUGGGCUUUUCUGUUGGAGAAUUAACAAAUUAAACACUUAAAAAACACAUUAUUUUAUUUCUUCAACAACACUCCUCACCAACUACAACUCUUAUUUUCACUUUUUACAACUCAGAGAUUUUGUUACUUCACUUUAUGCUUAAACCAAAGAGGAAAGGGGUAUUUAUACAUGAAACAAACUAAUCACAAUCAUUUAUUUAUUCAACUACUACAUAAAUCCUCACCAUUCAUUAAAACCUAUAACUCACCUAGUUCACCAACCACAACUACCACAAGAAACUUCUAUGUAUUUGGGCUUAAAUUUAUUCAUCUUGGAUCAAGUUUAUGAUCCAACACCCCUCUUAAACUUGAUCUUGUGACACCAAGCAAACUUCUGAAUUUUAUAAAGUCUUCUUGAUUGAACGGCUUGGUGAAGAUAUCAGCUGCUUGAUCUUGUGAUUUUACAUAAUUGAUUUGCACUGCUUUUCUUGCAAUACGUUCUUUUAUGAAAUGAUAGCGAAUAUCUAUAUGUUUGCUUCGAUCACAAAAGACUGGAUUCUUGGAUAGGGCAAUUGCUGAUUUGUUAUCAACACAAAUCUCACUUGGCUCUUCUUGUGGCAAACCCAACUCCUUCAAUAAAUUUCUGAGCCAAAUUGCUUGACAAACACUUGAUGUGACAGCUACAUAUUCAGCUUCACAUGUGGAUAGCGUGACAAUUGGUUGCUUCUUUAACAUGCAUGUGAAAACAGUAUCUCUCAUAAAGAACACAAAUCCUGUAGUGCUCUUUCGAUCAAUUACAUUUCCACCCCAAUCGCUAUAUCCAACAAGCUUGUAGUCAUUAGAAAAUGAGUAUAACAAGCCGAAAUUAGUUGUACCUUUGAUGUAGCGAAUGAUUCUUUUUGCAGCUUUAAAAUGGGUGGUCUUUGGAUUCUCUAUGUAUCGAAUCACAAGUCCAACAGCACAAAGGAUAUAUGGUCUCAUGCAUGUCAAAUAACGUAGGCUUACGACCAAACUUUUAAAGAAUGUUGGAUUUAUAUCUUUGCCUUCAUCAUGUUUGGAUAACUUGACUUCGCAUUCCACUGGCAUGCUUAUAGGCUUACAAUCAUUCAUCUUGAACUUCUUGAGAAUCUCCUUUGCAUAGAUUUCUUGGGAGAUAAAUAUGUUUUCUUCCUUUUGCUUGACUUCAAUGCCAAGAUAAUAUGCCAUCAGUCCAAUGUCAGUCAUCUCAAACUCUUUGAUCAUCACUCUCUUGAACUCUUCAAAUAAUCUUGGAUCACUUCCAGUGAGAUCAUUCACAUACAAGCACACAAUCAAAAUGUCUCCAUUUUUUUCUUUGACGUAGAAAGCAUAUUCAUAUGGGCAUUUGGUGAAGUCGUUCUCUUGAAAAUACUUAUCAAUUCUGCUUUUCCACGCCCUUGGUGCUUGCUUUAACCCAUAAAGAGCUUUCUUCAAUCUCAAAAAUUUGUCUUCAUGUCAUUUCAUCUCAUGUCAUUUCAUCACAUAUCCUAAUGGUUGUUCGAUAUAAAAUUCUUCUUCAAGGAAUCCAUUCAAGAAAGUAGACUUCACAUCGAUUUGAAAAAUCUUCCAUUUUUUCUAAGCAGCCAAAGAAAUAAUAAGUUUAAUAGUUUCAAGUCGAGUUAUAGGAGCAAAUACCUCGUCGUAGUCUACUAUAGCCUUUUGAAACUAGCCUCGCCUUGUGCCUUUUAAUUUCUCCCUUCGUAUUUCUUUUCGUUUUGUACACCCAUUUGACACCGAUCACCUUGUGACUUUUGGGAAGAAUAGUAAGCUACGAAGUAUCAUUCUUCACAAUGGCUUUGAUUUCUUCAUCCAUUGCAAUUUUUCACUUCUCAUCUAGUUUAGCUUUAUGGAAGUUGACUGGUUCACAAUCAGCAAAGGGGCAAAAGAGAGUUAGAUUAUUAUGUCUCUCAGUUAUCUCAUAGAGAUCUUAAAGAUGGCAGUGAAUCUCCACGUACGGUUUAUGCUGGUGAGACAGGUGGAGUAGCUGGCUCUUGUUGUUCUUCUACAUGUUUUAUCUGUGUAUGAUCAUUUUCUUCAAUGGGAAACAGGUUGAAGUCAUCCACACCAGAGCCAAAAUCUCAUUCUCCUUCUUCAUCAAAAACUACAUCUCAACUAAUCACGAUUUUCCCGUUAUUUGGAUUGUAAAGCUUGUAUCCUUUGGAGUUGUUGUCAUAACCGAUGAAGAUGAACUUCUCACUUUUGUCAUAUAGCUUGACUCUACUUUCGUUUGGUACAUGUACAUGGGCAAUGCUUUCGAAAACUCUAAAUGGGUGAUGCCGGACUUUUUUCCACUCCAAGCUUCUUGUGGCAUCUUGCCCCACACGCUUCUUGUUGGAGAUCAAUUGGAUAAGUAGACUGCACAUGCAACAGAUUUGGCCCAAAAUUCUUUAGGUAGCCUUUUACUUUUAAGCAUGCUUCUUGCCAUGUUGAGGAUGGUUCUGUUCUUUCUUUCUGCAACACCAUUUUGUUGCGGAGAUCUUAGAACUGUCAAAGGGUGUUGAAUUCCAUUUGCUUUACAAAACUCUACGAAUUCUUUGAAAGUGAACUCUCCACCUCGAUCAGAUCUCAUGGCUUUAAUCUGGUAUCCAUUUUCUUUUUCCACUGCAGUUUUAAACUUCUUGAAAGCUUCAAAGACUUCUCAUUUCUACUUAAAAAAAUACACCCAAGUUUUUCUUGAAAAAUUAUCUAUGAAGAGAAGGAAAUAGUUACUUUUACCAAUGGAACUUGGUUUGAAUGAACCACACACAUCAGUAUGAAUGAGCUCAGUGGCUUCUGAGAUCUUAAGUUUGACUCAUUUGGAAAGCUCUUUCUGAAAUGCUUACCAAGUAAACAUCCUUCUCAAAGUUGGUCAGGGUGAUUGAUGUAUGGUAAACCUUUCACUAUGUUCUUUUUGGAUAGUAGCUCCAGUCCUUCAAAGUUGAGAUGCUCAUAUCGAAGAUACCAAGUCUAUGAUGGAUCUUUGUGACAUGCUUUCAGACAUUUUACAACAUCAUUUUGAAUAUGUAAAGGAAACAUUCUAUUCUUCGACAUUUUCACCUUUGUAAUUAGAUUUCCUUUGUCAUUUCUCAGGAAAAGACUACAAUCUUUUAAGUGGAUAUCAUAGCAUUUUUCCAAAAGUUGACCAAAACUGAGGAUGUUGCUUUUCAUAUGGGCACAUAGUAAACAUUCGAAAUUAUUUGGUGGCUACCAUCUUUUACACAAAAAAAAAUAUUACCUUUACCCUUCACUGGUACUUUUGAAUCAUCUCCAAAAACGACACUGCCAUUCACAGAUUCAUUUAGUUCCACGAACAUGCUUCUAUUUCUGCUCAUAUGAUUGCUAGCACAUGUGUCAAGAUACCAUAUAUUUUCUUGACCUCCACAUUGCGUGCUAGUAAAAGUGUGCCAUCUUUACCGUUUUUCUCUUCAGCAUAAUUCACUCUCUCCUCAAUUCUGGUGCUUGGAGCUCUGCAUUCUGAAGCAUAAUGCCCAAACUUUUGACAAUUAUAGCACUGUACUUGAGAUUUGUCAUACCUCGAUCUUGGAUUGCCUCUGCCUCGUCCUCUGGUUGAGGUUUCUCUUUUGGCAUAAUUGGAGCUAUUGUUGUUGAAAUUCCUACCUCGUCUAUGACCACGACCUCUACCUCAUUCUCGACCUCUACCUCGGACAUAGUGCCUUCUCUCGUUGUCGAAGUUUUUUUCUCUUUUCUUUGGAUUGACUUCCAUAUUGAGAAGUUGUUCUUCGAUUCCUUGUUUCUUUUUUAGUUUUUCUUCAUAGAGUUGCAACCUUCUUUGAAGUUGCUCGAUCGUCAUAUCUUUCAGAUCUCUUGUUUCCUCAAUUGUCACAAUAAUAUGGUCAAACUUCGAGUCUACUAAUCAAAGUAUCUUUUCAAUGAUCCUUACCUCUUUUAACUCCUCGCCAUUUUUUUUAAUUCAUUAGAAACGGUCACAACCCGAGUAAAGUAGUAAAAAAUUAACUCUGACGCCUUCACGUGUAAGGACUCAAAUUCUCCUUAUAAUGUUUGGAGACGAACCUUCUUAACUUGCUCUGCUCUUUUGUAAGAGGUCUGUAGUUUCUCUCAUGCUUCUUUUAAGGAGGUUAUACCAGCAAUAUUUUCAAAAGCAUCUUCAUCUAAUGAUUGAAAGAUAAGAUACUUUGCUUUAUUCUCUUUCUUCUUUAAGUCUUUUAAAUUCUCCUUCUGCACCGCAAUUAAAUUGGCUUUAUUUUUUAGCACAAUAAAGCCUUUCUCCACAACAUCUCAUACGUUAUGUGCACCAAAUAGAGCCUUCAUUUUAAUACUCCAGUUGUAGAACUUGCUUCUCUUUAAUUAUGGAACUUGAAAUGACAUCAUACCACCAUUUUCCAUAACUCAAAAAUUGAGUGAGAAUUUAGAGAUUCUGAAAGCACAGAUGGAUCCGGCACGUUGAAAAACCUUAGGAAGGACUCGAGUCAACUUUCGAUCAACGGUCAAUGUCGGUCAACGUCAGCUUAGUAGUCUUGGUUCGGCUCGAGUUUGCGCGGUUUGACUUGAUUCAGUUCAGCUCAGCUCGGCUUGGUUCGGUUCGGUUCGGCUUAGCUUGGUUCAACUCGGUGAGUCAACUCAACUUCAGGGAAGAAAAGUUUCGGCGGCGAGUGUGGACCCAUCCGGCCUCCAAUCGGGAUGAUGUUUGAGACGUCAUGUUCCUCUCGUCACGAUCUUCGAUUUGAUAUGCUAUAUGACUAUAUAUAGCAUCGAACACUAGCUCUGAUACCACUUUAUUGGAGAAUUAACAAAUUAAACACUUAAAAAUACACUAUUUUAUUUCUUCAACACUCUUCACCAACUACAAUUCUUAUUUUUCACUUUCUACAACUUAGAGAUUUUGUUAUUUCACUUAAUGCUUAAACCAAAGGGGAGAGGGAAUACAUGAAACAAACUAAUCACAACCAUUCAUUUAUUCAACUACUACAUAAAUCAUCACUAUUCAUUAAAACUUACCACUAACCUACUUCACCAACCACACCUACCAUACCUAUCACAAGAACCUUCUAUAUAUUUGGGCUUAAAUUUAUUCAUCUUGGAUCAAGUUUAUGAUCCAACAUUUCCUUCAAUUGCUGCCAACCAAUUAUUUUUCCUUAAUAUAGUUUUCAUCUUUAUUUUCCACAACGAAAAAUUAUUUCCGUUGAACUUCUCAAUUUCAUAUUUUGCCGAUAUCACUUUUCACCACGAACUAACUUUGCUAGGAUCGGCUCCCACCAUUUCACGUAAACAAUAAUCGUAUAAUGAACAGUUGCGUGUACGUGAAUAGUACCUUUUAUGUAAACAGUACCCCGACUCUAAAAAUACAACCAGUAGAUCUGAUACUAGUGUUAGUAAAUUGAUGGGUGAAGCAGGGCCACAACUAAAAUAAAAUUAGAAGAAAAUAAAGAACAAGCACAAAGAGAACACCAGAAAAUUGCGUAAUUCGGUUUUUAGCCUAUGUCCACGGGUAAAGAGAGAAGGAAAAUAUUUCACUAAUGAUAUAAGGAUUAUAAGUAUUGUAAUAUUUUGGCUAACUUCCAGAACCCCAAUAUACCCAGUCUCUCACUCACUAAUUAUACAAGAAUAUUAGAACUCUUAAUCUCUCACAUAACUCUUAAUUUUUUCUCUCUCAAAAAAUGGAUUGAGAAUUGAGGAAUGAGAUAAUAGAAAUGAGGGGGUGAACCCCGCUAUUUAUAACCAAAAUUGGCUAUUAGUUUAAUUUUUUUUCUUUGUCAAACCCGUGUGUCUCCAUUUUUUUUUCAAACUUCUUCUUUCUUCUUUUUCUUCUUCAAGUAUUGCGGCACUAUUAAAAAUGACGGGCCGCGUGAGACUUUGGGUGCUCCCUCUUCUAGAAGAGUGGUGCCCCAUUUUUCAACAUUAACUAUAUUUCUCGUAAUUAAUUUGCUUAUUGUUCCCAUUGCAGCGUUAUGCACCCCUGUCAACUUGACUAUAUAGUCCCUUAGAGAAUAAAUUAUAUAUAUGUGCAUAAAACUAAUAUAUUAAAAAUACAACAGAAACUAAAGGCUGAUAAAGUGUUAACAAAAAUAAUAGUAUCUCAAUCAGAAUUAUUGUGUUAAUUGAUUUUUAAUUGACACGACAGUUUUAGCCGAAUGCAUCAUUGUUUGCGUAUAUUUUCCAUGGGAACGCUGAUACCAUAUCCAAAUGCUGACAAAAACUACGUUAAAUCCUGUCAAAUUUAAAUAGUUAACUGCCGAUUCUGUAACCAUAACCGAAUGUACAUAUAUCUCUUUCUUCGUUUUUGUUUCCAAGUAAUUGGUUUAUAGAUCCACGUACUAUAAUAAAAAAGACUUUUCUCCGUGGGAUCCGCGCUCUCGAAAGCAGUUGGUGUAACACUCCACUAUAUUAUUUACUUAAAAAUGCUUAAAAACACAGUUACUCUUAAUAUAGAUACGAAUUUUAAAAGUUUAGCACAAUCCAACAAAAACUUUCUUACAGAAAAGUAAAAGUCAUAUAGAGAUUUCUUAGUUUAUUUAAAAAAGUUAAUUAUUACAUAAAGCCAAGAUACUUAUUUUUUUUAUUAACACAAAGCUGAGCCCAUCAUAAAAUCCCAAGGUCAGUUAUGCCCACAUGCACUUUGUCGUGGUUAGGACUUGGCGCCAGCUUGCCCUACUCAUCGUUACCUGCAAUGUAAGGACUUAGUGAGCUAAUGCCCAGUAAGAUAACACUUUGAUGCAUGUAUAAAUUAUGAUGCAUAUGAAUGACCAUUCUUAAAAUAAACUUAGAAAAUACAAAACAACUUUAUUUGGGCCCUAGGUAGGUUGCACUACAAGGCUGGCACUUUUACUCUUUAAACAUUAUGCCCUUGGGCCUCAUUAGUUGAACUUUUGGGCGUUACGUAUCGCCGUCCCCAAAAUAUUUUUUACAACUUAGCUUUGAGGGCUUGCCCUCCUUAGAACUUUGCCACCUGGUAGUACAACCACCUAUUUUUCAUAAAUUCAUUUUCUGAAACGUCUUCUUCAUAAUGUCGUCCAUGAUGUGCAUGCAUCCAAUGCAACUUAUAACCUUGAUGCAUAACAAAAUCAACAUACAACAUUAUUUAAAAAUAAGAGUCUUUAGUAUAGGCGGCAUAUCCGAUCAUAGCAUAAUUAAGUAUAAAUAUCACAUAUUAGGCGGCAAAGCCGACCAUAGCAUCACAUAUUAGGCGGUAGGGCCGACCAUAUAAAGAUUUAGAAUAUAACUAAUCACACUAUAUUAGCCAUCAUAAUAUAAAGGGAUUUAUUAAAAACAAAAAAUCUAAUUUUUGGAUUUAUUUCUUUAUUAAAUAUAGGGGUAUUUUUAUAGUUAUAGUUUUUUUUUAUUUUCAAAGGUUUUACAAGAUAAAAUAAUCUUUUAAAUUAUUCAACGGUAAAAUUAUUAUUUCGUUUAAAUUAUUUAACGGUGUUAGUGUAAAAAUGACUAAUUAAUACGAAUUUCAAAAGAAAGGUAAUGCAGAAAAUAUGUUAAAAUUUUAUGAUGGUUGGAUGAACAUAAGACAAAAGAAAAAUGGUGAAAUGAUAAUUUCCCUUAUUAUAUAUUACCGAAGUGUUGGCCAAGGACAACCAUAUUAAGAAUUGUUUUAUCAUCAUUUGUAUGCAAAUGAUGAUGUAAGUCAUCAACUUGCUCAGUCAAGAUUUGCAACACUUUACUUUUCCCAAAAGCAGCAGCCCUAUAGUAAACUGGGGAGCUAGAUUUUUGAAGAUUUUAACAGAGAAGAUGAAAGAUGCAAUUCAUUAUCUCGGUAAGAAUUACAUAAUACAAGAUGAUUUUAGCUUAGUGUAUUUAUAGUGCUUCGAUGGAAGCUCGUAGAAUUUUUUAGCUCAUCAACAAACUGCAAAUACGCCAGUAAAAUUGAAAUAACAAACUCAAGAGCUAAAUUAACAACCUGGAAUACAAUGAAUAUUAACCGUCUAUUAAUAACUAACUAGCUAAUUGAUCAACGGUAGAGGAAGCUCUGCAUAACAUUUUUGCCACCUAGGAUAUUCCAGAUCAUCACGUGUUGAUUUCAUCACAGUUCCUAAGUAAGCAGUUGGGCUUGUAUUUAGAAACAUUCCAGUUGGUACUCCAAGAUUAGUGGAUGUUAGAAAAUUGAUGGGUGAAGUAAGACCACAUCUAAAAUGAAAUUGAAAGAAAAUAAAGAACAAACACAAAAGAGGACGCCAGAAAUAACGUGGUUCGGCUUUUAGCGUACGUCCACGGGUGAAGACAAAAGGAAAAUAUUUCACUAGUGAUAUGAAGAUUACAAGUAUUGUAAUAUUUUGGCUCACUACCCAGAAUCCCAAUAUACCUAAUCUCUCACUCACUAGACUCUCAAGAGCUUUAUAAUUUUAAGCUUUUAAAAUCUCUCAAGCUCUCUCCUUAUUAUUUUCUCACAAAUUGAAUGCUUCUCUCAAAAUGUUGGAUACCAAAAACGAUGUAGGGAGCUCCUUUUUGUAGCCAAAAAAUGGCUAUUAAAUUAUUAUUAUUUUUACGACCGACUUUGAAUUCUUUAUUCUUAUUUCUUGUCAAAGUUGUAUGCCUUCAAUUUUUUUGACAAUGGACUCAUGUUCAGCUUCAUCUUCAACAUGGGGUUUCGCUCGAACCGUUUUCAGCCUCCAGUAUACCUUUGUACGCAUCACCAGACUUUCUGGGAAAGUCAACCGAAACUCUGGCCAUGAUAUGUGCUCGUGUGCAUGGGGAUUGCAUGCAUGCCUUCAGACCACGUUUGGAAAUGCAUGGGACAUAUGAAAAUGCAUGGGAUUGCAUACAUGUCUUCAACUUUAAAGUGGGAGGAGAGUGAGUGGAAGAUUUGGUCAUCAUCAAGACUUGGUCAAGUAUGUUAGACCUUAGUGGUUCCGUUGAAUAAUCUCGAGUGCUGAUUUUUCGGCACCAGUUAGUUAUUUUCCAGAUUAUCUGCUACUGUUAUUCUAUUUUCUACCUUAAGUGUUUAGUUCAGAGACUAUAUAUAUGUGUAGCUAAUGGAAUAAAGGAAUAAUAAGUUUAGGCUUUUGACAACACUUCCUCUCGUCUUUCUUUCUCAACUCUAGCUCACUUGUUAACUAACUACAAAUUAAACACAUAAGUGGUAUCAGAGCAGGUUUGAUCAUGGAUACUCGCAGUAAAACUAAUGCUGAAUUCCGCAACAAAGUUAGUGAAAUUCUAGCCCGCCAUAAGUCAAGCUUUGAUCAAGUUAAUGCCACCUUGCAAACGGUCUUGACAGAGCUUCAGGCCCUUCGAGUAUCACGUAGCUCAAACACUGUCAAUACUGAAACCAAUUCCUUUGCCCCUGCAGAAUCCUCACAAAACCGAAACCAACCAAGCCCUUCUCUCCAUGGUCUAACUACUUACAAGACCCAUCACCAUAUAAAUUUGUGGUUUCCAAAGUUUAACGGUGAAGACCCAAGUGGCUGGAUCUACAGAGCAGAAUAAUACUUUGACUUCAAAGAUAUUACCCCUGGUCAAUAAGUUCAACUAGCCUCUUUCCAUUUAGAGGGAAUUGCCUUACAAUGGCUGAGAUGGUUCAUGAAGUUUCGUGGACCUUUAAGUUGGGAGGAGUUCACCAAGGCAGUCCUGCUCUGUUUCAGCCCGACUGACUACGAGGACCCGUCUGAAGCUUUGUCUCGCCUCAAACAGACAACAACAGUAGCAGCCUACCAAGAAGCCUUCGAAAAGCUCUCCCAUCAGAUGGAUGGCUUACCUCAACAUUUUCUCGUUGGCUGUUUUGUUGCAGGACUUCGAGAUGACAUUCGCUUAGACGUUAAGAUCAAACAACCUCGAACCUUGGCAGACGCCAUAGGAGUCGCUCGGCUCGUUGAAGAACAUAAUUUAUUGUAAAGAAAGGCUCGCACGUCCUAUCCUUUCCAAACAACCUCAGUGACGCCUAGGACAAUGCCAAAUACAAUAGCUAGCGUGCUAGGACCUACACCAAUUUUCUUUUGACGAAUCACCAACCAAGAGGCACGCGAACGCAAAGAGAAGGGAUUAUGCUACUACUGUGAUGAGAAAUUCAUGCCAGGCCAUCGUUGUGAGCGACCACAACAAUUUAUGAUAGAAGACUCUCCCCAAUUUAACUGUACUAAUGAUGAAGAAGCUCAACAUGUACCAGAGCAUUAUGAAGUUAUACCGGAAGUCUCUUUUUAUGCUAUUGCAGGUACAACACAUCCUCAAAACAUUCGUGUCCAAGGCAAACUGAAGAAUAAGGAUGUUACGGUUUUAAUAGAUAGGGGAAGUACUCAUAAUUUCAUUGAUCAAGCUAUUAUCUCCAAGUUUGGGUUACCAGUGGUUUGUGACAAGAAGCUUCAGGUCAUGGUUGCAAACCGAGAAUAGAUAGAGUGUGCAGGACAGUGCCAGGGACUCACUCUCACAGUUCAUGGUCAUCCUAUCACUGCAAAUUAUUACAUCCUACCAGUUGCAGCAUGUCAAUUAGUAUUGGGCGUUCAAUGGCUUGAAACUCUUGGGCCUAUCGAGACGGACUACAAGAAAUUGACAAUGACCUUUAGAAAAGGAGAAGGCAUCCAUACCUUCCGAGAAAUGGAACGAGCGGGUAUAAAGGCUCUCACUGGUAAAGAAUUUCUCAAUUUAUAAGGCACUGGUUUUUUCUUUCAAAUUAUUCCUGCUAAUAACAAUAAAGAAUUGAAUGAAUAUCCACCUGACCUCAUAUGCCUCCUAAAUGAAUUUUUUCAUGUAUUUCAACCACAUUCUGGCUUACCACCAAAACAGACACAUGAUCAUCAAAUUCCCUUAGAGCCAAAUACAAAACCAGUGAGUGUAAGGCCAUACCGAUAUCCCUACUACCAAAAAAAUGAAAUCGAAAAAAUGGUUAAAGAGCUCCUACAAGCAGGAUUGGUUCGAUCUAACAGCAAUCCUUUUUCAUCUCCAGUUCUAUUAGUUAAGAAGGCAGAUGGGUCUUGGCGAUUUUGCAUGGAUUACAGGUCUCUGGUGUUAGCCUUUCGAGGAAUUCCUGGAUCAGCCGAGGGUCUUCCAUGGCCGCAGCAAUGUGAAUUGCGGAGUCUCCAUUGGCUUCUUGUACCCCAACAAAUGUUUAGCACUUCGGCGAGCAAGUGACCCCUUCAAGGCCAUUGCAAAAGGAUCUUCCAUAAUUACUUCCAUCGCAAUCUCUCUCUCUCUCUCUCUCUCACACACACACAUACACACUCUUUUGUAUAAUUGAUAAACAGAACAAGCUAUAAGUGUUCUUCGAUAUCCAUACAAUUACUUCCACCGCCAUCACUUAGGUGUAUAAGGUUUGAUGCAUCAUUCUAGAAGUUCUAAACGAAGUUGGCAUAAUCACUUUGCUCAUUUUACUAAUAAAGCUCAAGCAUUACAAGAAUAAUUCAAUAAAAUAAAGUGUCGAAGCGGAAAGGACAAGGAAACGAGAAACAAACCAAGUUUUAAAGGAUAAUCGAUUAUCGAUAAAAAGUUUGUUUACAUUCUACGCUUUUGUUCUCUUAAAUACAUAGAAUACGAAAUUGCUAAAAAGGGUAAAAUUAAGUAUAAAACAAAAUUUUAAUAUAUGAGAUAAAAAGAAAAAAAAAACACAUGCAAUUAAAAAUAAAAUUUCUUGUUAAUCUAGGAGGUUAAUAAGCUUUUAAAUGAAAUUAAUUUUGCCUUUCCAUAAGUUUUGAAGCGGUACAUAUACUAUAAAACGAAUAACUUUAUCUUAAAUUACAGCCUUGGAAAAGUAUAAUGUCAUGUUCUACGUCAUAAAGUUUGCUAAUCAAUGAUGCCAUGAAACAGAAUAGAAUAUUUCUAAAUUAUUGCAAUAGCUUAAUUUUGUCUCCACCCCCCCCCCCCCCCGCCCCACACACAAAUAUAUAUAAGAGUAGUGUUACAGAUCUUAAAUUUUUUAUUCAAAAAAAAUCCCAAAUACUGGGAUAUUUAUUGAUUAGUUGGUGAGAUAAUAUAAUUAAUUCACUUAGAUCUUGUAAAGCAUUAAUGACCACUUAAUUAAUGACACAUCAUUUGGGAUCAAAUUCGGAAUUUCUCUGUACAUAAUAAUCACCCUGUUAUUAAAGUAAACGUGAUUGUGCUUUGACUAAGACUAAAGCCUUUUGCUAUUUUACUCAUUACUUGAUUAUUUCUCUUCUCCCGAGUGGCAGCCAAUCAUUAAAAAAUAAAUAAAAAUCCAAAAAUGUUUGGUAAGUUUCAAACUUACAAUAGAAUUAGGCCUUAUUUUGUAUAGGUAUAUUGUGAAAAUAAAAUGUAGCUAUAAAACAAAAAUUAAUAGUGUACGGUAAAUAUAGCUUUCAAAUGAUAUCUUUACAGAUUUUUAUUGUAGAAGUAUAGAGUAAAACUAACUUAUCUUUCAAAUCAUAGCAGUAACCAUUUAUCAAACACUUUAUUGUUGUAGUUUAAAAGCUACCAUUGCCCGAUCCCAAUAUCAAACAAGAUCUUGAUCUAAGUUAGUUCCAACCACAAUACUAAAUUGGGACUAAAUGACUAAAUAGACUUAAAUUCAAUCAGUUAACUCAUUAAGUUUAUUUAUUUUUUCAAUUUAUUGAAAAAUUUCAGUCAUUAAGUUAUUAAGCUAAUUUUUUAGCUUGUUAAUUAAUCUAAAAAGUCAUAAUGAUCAUUAAAGAUAUUAUGUAAAAUAUUCUUGUCUAACUAAUAUAUUUUCACACUUACCUAAAUAAAACUACUGAUUAGCAUUAAUAUUCAUCUUUAUAACUUGUGAUAAUAUAGUAGUAUAUUUUUAUUAUUUUUAUCUUUUUAUUUUCUUCAAAUUAGAAUUAUCUGUGUUCUUAAUUUUUUAUGAGUAUUUUUUAUAUGAAACAUCAUAUCAAAGUACAAUAAAAUUGAUUAAAAUGUUCUAAUUUAGAAUAUUAAAUGGUUGUAUUCACUUGAACAUGAUUCAUGUUAUGAUGAAAUACUAUCUUAUUUAUGUUCAUUGAGAUUUUAUUAUUUGUUUAACAUUUAAAAUUUGUAAGGAUACAAAUGCAGAAGUAUUGGUUUUCAAAUUUUUUAAGUUGGAAAAAAAUAACUUGAUAAUUAUUUUUAAAAAUUUAGAUAAAAAACAUAUCAUUCAGAUUCAAGUAUUCAAGUCUGUUCAAAAUUCAAACUAACUUGGUCUAUUUAGAUUUUAGAUAAAAAUAAAUAAAUAUCAUCCAAGUAAAUCUAUGAUGGUACAAGCAUAUGAGUAUUAAAAAAUUUCAGCAUUUUGUUUUUCAAAUAUUACAUAACCUAAACUAAGCACAUGCUUCAUAGACUGUGAGUGUGAAUGGAAUUUAAAGAAUGAGGUCAUUCUUCCUUCUCUAUCCUCAUCUCAUCCAUAAGUGCCACCUUUGUCUCCCACUUACUUAUAUAAUUGAUACACAAAACAACAUGUACGUGUUCUUCGAUAUACUUAAUUUUAAUUAUAUAUGUGUGUAUGUGUGUGCCCGCGCUAAUUCAUAAUUUUAAAGUGUGGAAAAUUUUGAGAAAAUGCAUAAACCGCGCGGUUUAAGAGGUUUAAGUUUUAAGCUUCUAAAACUCCACAAUUUUAAAAUUUUCCCAAAUUUUUCGCGUACUUUAAGAUCCCAGACCAAAAAACCGUUAGAGAAUUUGAAGGAUAGAAAAAAAAUUUUAUUAUAGAAAGCUCAAGAACAUUACAAGAAUAAUUCACACACUCUACAAAUCACUCUUAGAAGCUAUGUUUUAGUCCUUAUUGUUUCUUCUUCUUGCACUUGAUACAUACAACAUAAAUAAAAAGAGUAUUUAUAGUACCCAAAACUUAAUUAUAACAACACACAUGAGCUAAAAAAAAUUAAUCACAACCAUUCUUUUAUUCUUAACCACCACACUAUUAUCAAUCUAGCUUAUUUCACUUCACCAACCACACCAAUGACACCAACCUUACCUACCAUAAGAAACUUCUAUGAAGUGGACUUGAGUUUCUUCAAAUUGGAUCAAAUUUAUGAUCCAACAAAAACUAUUUAUAUAUUAAGACAUAAUCAUUAGAAAACAAUAAAGUAAUUCCAUCAGGUCAAGAAAAAGAAUAGAAUAAACUAUUUAAUUUCUAAAGAACUUUUGGCUUUCUGCAAAUAAAAUAAUCACAUUUAUUCUACAACUUUUGUCUCCAUUGCUUAAUUUGUCCGCGGAUGUAAUAAUCUCUAUUUUAUUAAAAUAAAGGCGAUUGUGCUGUGCCUAAGCCUAAAGCCAUUUGCUAUUUUGUCUACUACAUGUGUUACAGGCCAAGCCACAUACCAAGAAUAGACAAGACUUGUCCAUGCAUAUCUUCAGGCGCCUCGUACUCUUCAAAGCAGAUGCCAUUAGAGGUAGUAGUUGAAGGCAUAUCAGGCCAUCAUCCUCCUUGGACGUUGGUUCUUUUGCAAGGCUGGAGUCGUGAUUAAGUAACCAAAUAGCAGUGUCUCUGUGCGUGAUAAGUCAACGAAUCAGUUUGAAGCAAAUGUGGCAAUAUGCACUGCAUUAGCUAGCAAGGGGCCUACACUCGACAUAAAGACCCUUUUUAAGGAAAAUUUUGGAUAUUAGAGAUUAUACAAAUAAAGAGUUUGACCUUGAACAGAACUCAUGCAACAGACUUGAGGCAUCCCAACGGCUCUUAGAAAAUCAUGCACAAGAUUAAGUCAUAAGAUAGCAUCAAUGAUGGAGCCUUCAGUUAUGUACAUAUCUUUGUAAUUAUGAGAUAACAGUAAAUGCUUAAAAUCUCGAUAUAUAAAUAAAUAAAUUCAAUAAUAUACAUAUUUUUACUACUACUCAUGAUCAUAAGUGCGGGCAUUUCUAAAAUACAGAAUGAAUGAGAGAUUUAAUUAUUAGAGUUAUUAUCGUUUCAUAAUAAUUGCAAAAUAUCAUAUGACUGGAAGAAAUAAUUUAGCCUCUCAUGUUACUAAUAUAACUUUGUAAAACCUUUUAUUUUACUACUUUUCUAUUAUAAUUGUUAGUCUAAUGCUGAUGUCAUGCUGACAUUAAAAGGGUAAAAUGACGUUACAUACAAAAACAAAAAUAAAGAUAAAUUGUAUAUAGAUUAAAAAAAUGUUUAAUUAAAAGAAAAGAAGACAAAAGAGGAAUAGCAUAUUGUGAGUCUGUUGGAAUUUUUGCAAUUCCCAUAAACCAAAUAAAUCAUAAUUUGCAUAAACUUUAAUCGCUAAGAUCAUAGAAUAUGAUGAUUUUCAUAUCAUCAUAAUUGAGAGAAGACAUACCUUGAUCUAUAGUAAUUUUCUUGAUUAAAUCUCACCGCAAAGAAUUAAAGAUUGGUAAAAUUGAUUUCUUUCUCUUGACCCCUCUAGAGCGACUCACUUUCUAAUGGAGAGAAAGUAACAUGAUAUCCCUUUUUAUUUUGGAUGGAGAGAGGACCAACUUUAAUAAAACCCUAAUUUCACUUUCUAUCAAAGUAGGCAAUUAGUUUUUCCCAAUUGACCAAUAGAAUUUCAGCCCAUAAUUUAUUUUAUUAUUUAAAUCCUAAAUUAUUACUAAUUUAAUAAUGUGGCAUGUGAACCACUAUAACAUAUUCCAACAUUCUGCCACUUGGCCCAUGCGGCACAUUCAAAUAAAUGGUUUAAUAAUAAUAAACAUUAUACGCAUAAUAAGAGCUAAAUCCUUACUCGGAUUGGUCCAACCAUAAAAUUAUCAUUAAGCAAAAACUAAUACGGAUCAUUACGGUUAAUAACUCAAUGAAAUGAGAGUUAUCAAGACAUUUCUAGACUUAAACUCAUAUUAUUUAACGAGUAAAUGAUGUGUUUUUAUUACUUUUUUAGUUACAUUUUGCAUGAGCAUCUAUUUAAGUUUAAUUUUAAUAAAUUGAUUGUGUUUUACAUCACUUUGUGCUCUGAUUAUGUGCAUGAUUGUAGGUGACCAAAAAGCUCAAGUUUUAUGGAUGGAUGUUGCAGCAGACUAGUAGAGUUGCAGAAAUGACAAAGAACUUGUCUGCAUAGGAAUUAUAACAAGUCUGAAUUAGAGAAGAUGUUGUACCAAUUGCUGUAGCAAUUCAGGAGCAAAAUACAAACAAGACUGCCCACGUGUUGAUCGACAAAGCAUGCUGCAGCCGUUACUGGAUGAGGUACUCUUUUGAGGUUAAUAAGUCACAAGUGUAUUUAGCUCGUGGAAAGCGUUGAAUCUCGAUUCCUAAAAAAUAGCUCAAUAAGCCUAAGUCUUUUAAUGCAAACUGAGUGCUGAGAGAUCGUUUAAGGUAGAUGGGGCACAGCUGUCACUAUCUAAAGUUUGUUCUGAGGUCGUGUGGAUAUUUGUAUUAUCAGCAAAAGCAACAGUCUUGUUAUUGCAUAAAGGGCUCUUUUAAGGUGAAUUUGUAGAGGGACUUUCGGGUAAAGAGGUGGGAGGUUCAUGAAGGUCUUCAAUUUAUCACAACUUUGUUUGGAGUGGGAGACAAUGGUUCAUUCGUAUUUGGAGAUCUGGCAAUGUAGUUUGGAUUAGUAACUUUAGUGUGCCCAAGAGAAAUGUUAUUGAAGGACUCACUACUAAAAAAAUGACCUUUACUGACACUUAGUUUCUGACACUUUAUAAAAAGUAUCAGUAAUUAUGUACAUAUGCACCAUUUUCCGCUUUUAACAAACAAGUAUUAUAAAUUAUUGAUACUAACGUGUCAAUAAAUUAAAUAUUAAAAAUCACUGAUACUAAAGUAUCAAAAGUUUUAAAAAAAUAAUUAGAAUUUGUAAAACUUUGAACUCGAACCUAAGACUUUUAAAAUUUAAAAUACUUAUGUUUGUUCCGCAAACCAUCAGACCGAUAGAAUUAAGACCCAAAUAUUAUAUUAAAAGAUUAAAGAACAAAAAUUAAAAAACAAAAUCCCCAAUAGAUCUCUUCCCCUCAUUUCGUCUAAGUGAAUAAAACUUACAAACGAAAACUUACAAAAUCCCUAAAUCUACCACGCCGCCGACGCACCCAAAACCUCUCCUAUCACUGCCGUCACUCGACUACCCACUGCCGUCGACUCCCAUGCACCAAAGUCUGGUCUCUUUUGUUGUCAUCAUCUCCUGUGCACCAAAGUUCAAAAUCUCCUUUUUUAUGAUUUUGUGUCGUCGCCGGUAAUAAAUCCAUUGUCGUCAUCACCCUAAGGUCGUAACAGCAUCCACCCAUCAUCAAUACUCAGUUAUUCAUCAUUGGUAUAAUAUAUCAGCCUUUGUGGUCGCUGUUGUACUACCUCAAUCUCCGUCGCCGCUUCCGUACUGCCUCAAUCUCUAUUCAAGGUAAGCUCAAUCUUAUGACUGCCUCAAUCUCUGCCUUUUUUAAUUUAUUUCUUUCAUUGGUCUUCUUUCUGUGCUCUCUUUAAUUUCUAAUUGACUACAAUUACAAAUUAAGAUUUAUUUUGAUAAUUUUGUUAUAAUUAUUAUUUUGACGAGAUCAAAUUUGUUUUGAAAUAUUUAUAAAGAAAUUUUAUUUUUCUGUCCAUUAUCGCCAACUUAUUACUUAUACAUGCGACGUGAUAGAAUUUACUUACCGUACACAUUAACUAUACUGAUUUUGAUGAAGUAUUGCUCUUGAACAUGUACUAGAAUUAUUGUUGCAAUGAGUCUUUGAUUAUCGACAUAUUAUUAGCAUCUCUUAAUAGAAAUAUCUAGGUUAUCCAUGAUGACUUUAAAUUGAAAAAUGGGCUUAAUUGAAAAUGGCAUGAUGGGCAAAUAAAAGUCAUGAACAAAAAAGUGAAGUGGAGGGUAAAUGCAAUAGCAUUAGGCAUCUGGCGGCAGUAGAGGCAAGUAGGUGGAGAUGGUCAUGGUGGGUAUUGUAAUGUAAUAAAGAAAAAAGGAGUGGGUUGCAGUUGUAGUUGCCUAUUGUAGAGUGAGAGGGACUCAUGAACCCUUUUGUAAUAUUAACAAAUAUGUACACACAUAAGCUAUACAUUUGUCUAUGUGUACUUAAUUCAACUAGAUUUGGAUUGCUAUGAAGUCGGGUAUGAAAAUUAUGUUUGAUUUUAGUUUUCAAUGGAAAUUUCAAAGAGAAUCCCACGCCAUUGAAAUUUCAAACAGGGAGGAGAGUCAAAUGGUUGUUUCCCUUUUUCUAUUUGGUUCUUCCCAAGUUGAAAUGAAAACGAACAGUAGAAUAACAUGGUCUUGAUUGGGGUGAGCAUUUGACUCGGUUCAAUCCAAACUAAAUCUAAUUGAGUUGUAUUAUGGCAGUUCGGUUCAAUUCGAUCGGGCAAUAAAAAUUAAAUGAUUCAUGUGAUUUAUUUAAUCUAUAAUAAAUAUGAAUAAAAGUGUAUUUGAAAAUAAGGGUAAUAUUAUAAACUUAUGUUGUUAGGGGAAUUAUUAGAGAUUACAAAAAUGGUAGGAGAUAACAGUAACAGGAAAAUUGGCAAUCUACCUUGGGAAAAAUGAAGAGAAUAAUUCUUCUUGCUGCAUUUCUAUUGUCAGCAUUUGGUUUUGCUACGAGUAUGUAUACUUAUAUCAUGGGAAGAACCAGAACUGCAACUAGAGUACAUAGGCAGAUGCAACUAGUUAGGACUGCGGAAAUUUCUUUCUCUAUGGUUCAAUUAGUUGUUACGCUUGCUAAUUUUAUUCUGGCAGAAUUGGGUGUCAAAAACAGCUUUGAUGCAUAUGUUUUCUCACUAGUCUUUGCUAUAAUUGUUGCUGCAUUUAAUAUUAUAUAUGCUGGGGGAGUUUCCAAUUCAUCAGGCUUUGCCUCUCCUAUUGCCCCAGCUGCUGAUCACCAACUAUGAAAUUCCCAGGUAUGAUUGUGAAUAUAAUUGUGAAUAUCAAGCUGCACUGGGGGAAUUCAUGUAAGCAACUCAUCACCUCUAUUACCUCCUACAAAUUUAAAUAAACUUGUGUUAGAAUAUAUGACGGCAUGGCAAUUAUGCUCGAGUCUAGGGAUUAAUUUGUUGUCCCUUGGCUAAUUCUAGCCAUAUGCUACUUGAUCCUAGGCUAUUAAGUGAAUCAAGGCAUUCAUUUAAUGUAGGGGCUCACCAACUAUAUAACCCCUCUUUUGUACAUUCUUUUAUAUGUUGAAAUACAACUUUGCAUCAAUUGUCUCUCUUUUACUUUUUAGUUUGCUUUCUUUUUGUCUUAUUACAAGUUGAUGCAAAGUUUUGAAGUGUUGUGGAAGAAGGAAAUAUAAAAAUUGUGAGAUUCCAUUAACUUAAAUGCAUUUGUAAAUUAGUAAUUCAGUCGUUAAAUGACUCUAAAAGAUUUAUUUUAUAAUUUAUAUUUAUAAUGCUAGAGUGCCUCUGUUAGAUUUAGAAAUCUUUUAUGUAAUUAACGAUUGUUUUUGUAGUACUAUGGCUACAUCAGAGCUGAUAUCAAAUAUUUGAUUGUUUGUAUCUUUUGUAGGUUCAUAACCCAAGUAUUAUUGCUGAGGACGUGGAAGCAAACAACAGCUUGUCUAUGGCCUCAUGUGCAGAUCAUCAAUUGCAGAAUAUCCAGGUAUGAUUGUGAACAUAAAUGAAUCAUCAAGCUGCACUGGGUAAAUUCACAUAAACAACUUAUCACCUCUAUGAGUUCCUACAAAUUUAAAGAAAGUUGUAUGAGACGUUAAGCUUUUGAAAUAUUGUGGAAAAAGGAAAACUAAAAGUAAAACAACAUGCCCUUGAUUGGCCUUUUGUCUUUUUAUAGGGCUCUUUAUUUUAUUUAAUGCCGAGUUACAAUUGGCAAAAUGAGUUGUUUAGAAAUAACUUGAUUGGGACCAUUGUAAUUUUAUAAUUUUUGUUAUAGGUUUUGCCAUGUAAUAAGAGAAUUAGAGACUUUUUAAUGUGAAAUGGCACAUUACAAGAUUAUAGUUGAAGGUUGGCUUGUAUUUGGUAGCAUUGAUUUUAGUAGAAUAAUAGAAUUAGAUGGAACUGAAGGUAAUCUUUAUUAGUAAACCUAGCAUUUGCAGUCUCUUAACUCCACUCAGGCAGCAUAGUUUACAGAUAGUACCACUAUGUUUUUAAUUAAAACUUUAGCUUUGUGUUUUUUUGCUUUUUUGUGGAUAAAUUUUAAUUCAUAAGUAGGUUGUAAAAUUGAGUGUUCUCUCUCUAUACAUAUACUUUAAACAUUAAAAAAAAUGUAUAUGAUGAUUAAACAAUAUGAAGACUUUUUAUUUUAUUUUAAGUCUUAAUUUUUAUUAGUUACUUCACUUAUGAAUUAGCUUGACUUAAUAAAAAACCAUUAGGGCCCUUCUUGCUUGUUCAUCUUCUGUUUUGCUUUCAAAGCUUCUUUUGUUUCAAUUUUAGGAUUUUGUUCAAAUUACUAUUAUAAGUGCUUAAUUAUAAACCUUCUAAAUAUCUACUUUUACCUGUCCAUCUUCUACUGCUCAUCACUCGCUUACGUUUUAAUGGGUUUGUUGCAAAGUUGUUAUUAGUGGCAACAUGUUACAAUAUUGUUGCUUUUACUUCACUUUGAUGAAGAUAUACCUAUUGAGGUUUAUAUCUACAUCCACAUUUGCAUUAAAGUGGUUAGUGUUGGUGUUCACAAGUUGCUUCGGCUUCAAACAUUACUAUAUAAUAAUGUAGAUCAACACUCGUUCAAAAAAAUUUCUUAUUAGCAUGGUUUUCAAGAUAUUUAGUGUUUGCCUGUAUAAUUUUGGAUAGAAGAGUAACAUUAUUGGAGUUCAUUUCAAGUGCAUAAAGUGUUUUGAAUUGUUAUCACACGGAUAUAUUUAAAUGAAUGAUAAUUAAGAAGUUUACAAUUUAAGUUUUGGCGAAUAACUUCUUGUUUUGAAAUUAAAGUUUAAGGGAAUUGAUGAGUACUCGAUGAAACAGCUCUCGCAACUUCGUGAUCAAUAGGCUACAUAUGUUGCCAAGUUAAUUAAAACCUACAAUCGCGAGGUAAUAUAUGAGUAAUUUAGGACCACUUUUGCUUCCAAAUCUCUAAGACUUAUUUUUUGUGGUGUUCUAAUUGAUUUUAUGUGCUUGUAGGUGGGGGAAAAAAAUGAAGCCACGUAUGGAUAUUCAGUACAUUCUUGUGCUUAUUAUUGUUGGUUAAUGUUCGUUGAAACUGAAUUUAGUACUUUGUUGCUUAAAACUUGUCGAAAACUUAAUUUGAUACUUAUGUUCUUUUUUUUUCCAAACAAUGAUGUAGUUGAAUUAUGUUAAUUUAAGUGAUGUAUUUGGGAUAUUUAUUAUGUGAAUUGUGUUGGGAGAUUUGAUAUAUUUAAUAUAUUUAUUUUUUUAAUUGUAAAACAAACUGGAAAAAUAUAAUUAAAAUAAAAAUAUAUUACUAACCAAAAGCAGGAUAACAUCACUAAAUACUGACUCAAUUUUAAAUAUUGAUAUGUAAAUAGUAUCAUUAAAUGUUUACAUUUCGUAUCAUUAUUUUAAUGAUACUAUAGUGACAUGAAUUACUGACACGUAAAUAGUAUCAUUAAGUACUAACGCCAUAGUGUCAUUAUUUUAGUGAUACUACAGUAACACGAAUUACUGACACGAAAAGCACUGACACCAAAAAUUAGUGUCAGUGUGUUCUGGCUGGAGCAUUACUGACACAAUUAACAAGAGUCAGUAAAAGUUAUUACUGACACUAAAUUGGUGUCAGUAAAGCCCAUUUUUCUAGUAGUGACUCCGUCCAAGUUGUUAGGAGCCAUUAUGACACAUUUGGAGUAGUGGGAAAGCUACAAGCAUCCUGCACAGGAGAAAAAUCUUUUAGAUUUUGAUAAGGAAAGCAUAAUUCAUCAAAGGUUACAUGACGAGAGAUAUAAAUUCGAUUGUUUUAUAGAAAAAGACAACAGUAUCCCUUGUGAGUGGUGUUGUAACCAACAAAAAUACAAGGGAGUUUUUUUUUGUCAAACUUAGUUUUAUUGUAAUCCCUCAGAGAGGGAAAGCAACGAAAACCAAAAACUUUAAUUUCAUUGUAACUGGGAGUUUCCUUGAAAAGUAACUCAUGAGGUGUGUACAUCUUAAUAAUUGUUUGUGGCAAUUUAUUAAUGAGAUAUACAGCUGUUAAAAUAGCCUCCACCUAAUAUUUUAAUGGUAACGAAGAUUCAAAUAACAUAGUAAGGGCAGUCUCCAUUAUAUGUCUAUGUUUCUGAUAACUCUAUGAAAUGAGAAUUAUCAUUGCACUUUUAGAUUUAAAUCAAUACUACUUAUUGUGGUUGAGUGAUAAACAAUUUGAUGGUUCAUUAACUGAAUAUAUGUGUUGCUGCAUAUUUGCUAUAGUACUUUGUUUUGAUAAUUCUUAUUUCUAUUCAUUAUUUCCCCUAACCACCCAUUUAAUGAUACUAGCUAAGAAAGAGUCACAAAAUGACCUAUCUUAGUGGAACAUAGCAAAGUAAUAAUUGGUUUUUGAUUGAGUUUUCUGAAUUAAGUUUAACCUGAUUCCAAAAGGGUCAUACUUGAUCUAAAAUUAGUGAUGAACUAGAUAUAGAGAUUCACCUUGCACGGUAAUUAGAAUGUGAAUGUGUAAUGCUAUAUCUUAUGUUAGCAUAACAAUUGGUCACCGUUAAGUUGCAUAACGAUAUAAGACAUCCAACAAGUGACAACUAAGAAUACAUUAGGAUUCUACCCAGUGCUAUAGCAACUGAAUCAAACAUUAGAAAAAUAGUCAAAACCAUUAAGUGAGUUUAAUCACUCAACUACCAUAGUCCCAUUAGUUUUAUCCUUAUUUUGACGUGAGAAUUUUAUUUAUUACAUUUUUAUUUAUUAGAAUUUUAUUUUAAAUAGAUUCACUAGUUUCAUGAAUUUGUUUUAAUUUAAUUUAGAACAAAAUUGUAUUGUUAAGAUUGUUGUACCAACUCAUAUAAUAUCAAUCCAUGUGGAGACAAUAUCGAAUGUUUAUCAUUAUAUUAAUUGUUGUGUAUACUUGCACAUUGACACCAAUAGCACUAGAAAAAGUACAACAGUCUUAUAGCUAAGGAUUUGUUUGACUUCAAAGUUAUUGUUGGUCUAUAAUGACAAUUUAAUUAUUAAUAGAAAAUUUAUAAAAGCUAAACAUCAAUAUAUAUAUAUAUAUAUAUAUGGACUCUAUCUAUUAUGGCCCUUAGGCACCGUACCCUGUUUAUUCGUCUAGAUGAAAGAUAGUAAUAUCGUGUAGCUGUGAAUUGGCCACAUGCACGAAGCAAACUGAGAUUGCAAGUCAUUAGAUAGAAAUUGUUAAUGUAGCAAUUAUUUUAUCCAAGGAAGCAAGAAAAUGUUGGUAUAUAUAACAAUAAAUUAGUUAGGUAGAAUAGAUAUUUGUCUAAGCAAAUAGUUUGUGAAGAACAAUAUGAUGUACAUUAUUUAUAAUUUGGUAAUUGCAAUUGCAAUAAAAUGUAAGUGACUGUAGUAGUAUAUACUAUAUAAUCAAAUGAAUAAAAGUGAUGUUAAUGAAAGUAAAAAUUAUCUAAGAAUGAAAGGAUAGGAAGUAGUUGUAGGAAUUUAAGAAUGUUGAUGAUGCAAUUCGAACAGCUGAAUCCGUCUACUCCACAAAAAUUCAAGCAAAAAAGUAAGAAAAAAAAAACAAAGAAAACACCAAAAUUCGAACCACCGCAUGCAGCAAUGCUAGUGCCUUUGCCGAGGCCUUUCCUUGAUCAAGACUUCCAUCAAAGAUAAAAAUAGUCGUCAAUCCAACCCCGAGCAAAAUUGUCAUUGAUUACCAAAAAAAAAUUAAAGGAAAUUAACCAUAAUAGCCGCAAACACUACCACUUCCGUUCAUCAUUGUUCGCCAUGCAUUGAUUAACAAAAUCACCAUCAAUCAACUCAUCUCCGCCACCACAGCCUUUCGACCUAUUCACCACUAUUGAUCGACGUAUAGAUAACCGAAAUCGAACGCAAAAACUACCACUAAUUGCCUCAAAUUUCUGACCAAACCACCAACUUUUAGAAAAACCUCCACCAGCAUCACACUCACCAUCCUCAAAUCCUCCAUAAUUGCACUGUAUUAAGAUUACUCCCUGACAUUAGUCAAAAGCAAUUACAGUCACAGUUUACAAAACCCUAAGACUAAUAACAAACCAACAACGGAUGGGGGUGGUAGCCUAAUUUUACAUUACUAUUCAUUCUCAAAACCCUAGAUGUUCGAUUAGACUCAAUAUAUUCUAAUGGCUUGCCAGCAAACCAACAAAUAAAAGGGGUACGGUGCCCCUUAGGCAUUAUAGCUAGACCUAUAUAUAUGUUAGGUAAAAGUUUUUAAUUCUCAUUUUAAAGUAUAUUUAUCAAUAAAUAAUUGUGAAAAAUUACCAGCUUAAAAGCCAAAGUGACAAAGUUCUUACAGCUAAGUUUUCAAAAUGAUAGCUAAAACAAAUACAGAGCAAGUAUGAUUGCGAUUCGUAUGUGUCAGUGGGGAUAUGACUUGUAACCGUAGCUAAAGCCUAAAGUUGUUUCUUUGGAUUUUGUUUUUUGAGUUAAAGCUGCUCUUUCACCAUUACCUCUUGUUCGAAAAUUGAUUAGUGAAGCAGACAUACAACUAAAGUGAAAUUGAAAAAUAAUGAGACAAUAGAAUCAUACAGGGACACCAAAAAUUAUGUACUUCGGUUUUUAGCUACAUCCAUGGGUGAAGACAGACGGAAAAUAUUUUACUAGUGAAAAGGAUUUACAGAUAUUCUAAUAUUUUACCUCACUAACCAAAACCCUUAUAUGCCCAAACUCUUAAAUUACCCAGCUUACAACGCAUUCUGCAAGUGUAAACAUGUAGCCAGUAGUGGAUUUCAUUUUAUCAAGGUCUCCUACAGAAUCUGAAUUCACAUAGCCUCUGACAAUAAAUUUUGAUUCUCCAUAACAUAAUGAAACAUUUGAGGUUUCUUUGAUGUAUCUCAGAAUCCUCUUCAUAGUUUUUCAAUGCUCUCCAUCAAGAUUCGUCAUGUAUCGACUGACUACUCCCAUUGCUUGUGCAAUGUCUGGUCUUGUACAAAUCAUAGUAAACAUUAAACUUCUCACUGCUGAUGUAUACGGUACUCAAGAUAUCUUCUUCCUCUCUACUUCAUUACUAAGACACAUACUUGAGGAAAACUUGAAAUUAAUAGGAAGUUGGGUAAAUAUUGGCUUCAAAUUGUGCAUAUUGAAGUGUCGCAAGAUUUUUUUCAAGUAAUUAUUUUGAGAAAGUCAAAUCUUCCAGUUAUUUUUGUCUCAGUGAAUUUGCAUCCCUAAAAUCUUGUCCGUUGAUCCCAAGUCCUUCAUUUCAAACUCCCUAGCCAAUUGUGCCUUCAAUUCUUGGACUCGAUCUUUGUUGGGGCCUGUUACCAACAUGUCAUCCACGUAUAACAGCAAAAUGAUGAAAUCAUUAUCUUCAAACUUCUUGUAAUAUGCACAAUGGUUUGAACUAAAUUUACUGUAUCCAAGGCUGGUAAUGAAGGAAUCAAAUCUCUUAUACCAACACCUCGGCGCCUGUUGGAGACCAUAAAGAUAUUUAUUCAACCUGCAAACCAAAUUCUCUCUAUCUUUUUCGGCAAAACCUUAUAGUUGGAGCAUAUAAAUUUCUUUUUCAAGUUCUCCAUAAAGAAACGCAUUUUUCACAUUUAACUGCUCUAAAUGUAGGUCAAAUGUAGCACACAUCACCAAGAUUGCUCUAACUGUUGUGAGUCGAACCACCGGAGAAAAUAUUUCGUUUAAGUCAAUACUUUCUUUCUGACAUAUCUUUUCACUACCAAUCUUGUACGAUAUCGCUUUACUUGGUCAUUACUAUCAUGCUUGAUCUUGUAGACCUAUUUGUUACCCAUGGUUUUUCUUCCAUGUGGUAGUGAUACAAGUUCUUAUGUUUAGUUCUUAUGUAGACCCUCAAUUUCUUCCUGCAUUAAUGCCAUCCACAAAGCAAUAUCUGAGCUGUUUAAAGCUUCAUGGAAAAUUGAUGGCUCUCCAUCCUCUGUUAGAAGACAAUAUGCAAUAUUGAUCUUUGUGACAUAAUACGAGUACCACGCUGGCAGUCGUCUUUCACGAGUUAACCGACGAACUUCUGGGGCCUCGAACUCGACUGGUUUUUAUUCCUCAUACUAUAGUACUGCUUCAGAAGAAUCUGAAUCUUUUGGAUUAUUUUUCACAUAUACCGGCACAGUCUCUGACUUGUCUUUUACAGUGCUAUCAUCCUCAUCUCUCCUUUGCAGUUGAUCCUCAAUAAAGAUAACAUCUUUGCUGAUGAUGAUUUUGUGGGCAAUGAGGUUCCACAGACGAUGCUCUUUCACUCUAUCAGCAUAUCUCAAGAAGAUGCAUUUUUUAGAUUUUAAAUCCAGCUUUUCUCUUUCGUGGGCAUUAUACAUCAUGUAAACAGGACAUCCAAAUGCAUGUAGGUGAGAGUAAUCUACUGGCUUUCCAGUCUACAUCCCCAUAAGAGUUUUCAACCCAAUUGUCAUAGACGGCUCGUCAAACUGCAUGUAAGUGAGAAUAAGUGGUUCUAUAUGCCAUAAUACGCCUGACAGCUCAUCAAAUCAUGCCCUCUUUAUGUUUCUGAGUCGUGUUUUUAGGUGCUUUUUAAAGGUUUUGUUCACUACCUUAAGUUACAUGUUUGCUUUUGGAUGAGUAUGUGAGUAAAACCUUAAUUCUAUUAUCAGCUUUUUACAAAACUUUUUAAAAUUGUGAUUGUUGAACUACUUACCAUUAUCUGUUAUAAGCACAUAUAGGAUUCCAUAUCUACAUACAGCAAUCCUCUAAAUGAAGUUGGUUAUCUUCUUCUCUAUGAUCUUACUAAGAGGCUUGACCUCACUUUACUAAGUGAAAUAGUCAAUUGCCACAAUGGUAUUUAGUAAUAGCCUAAUCAGAUCGAUCCUCUAUUGUGCAAAUAGCCAGGAUAAGGACAUUGUCGUGAGCUUCUUUGACAUUUGUGAUAGAUAACGGGUGAAGUUCUGAUAGUUCUUAUAAUGCCCAAUCUUCUCUUGCACAUCCGUGUACAUUGUCGCCAAAAAUACCCUUACCUUAAAGCCUUUAAUGCUAAAGACCUUACCCCUGAGUGAUUUCUACAAAUCCCUUCAUGAAUCUCUCUCAACACAUAAUCUACUUCAUUAUUAUUCAAGCAUCAGAAGAAAGACAAUGUAUAUUUUCGUUUGUACAAUACCCCAUUAAUCAAUGUAUACCGGGCUGCUUGGCAUUGAGCUUUCUUACUCAUGUCUUAUCUGUAAGAAAUGUACCGUCUUGAAUGCAAGAGAUUAUUGUAUCCAUCUAUGAGCCCUUCUCAUCUAUCUUUAUCACAUAUGAUUCCUACUUAAUGCUUGGAGAGGUUUUAACUUCCUUCUUGAUUGUUUUAGGCAUUCUAGUGUCUGAUGUGAUAGUUAUUUUGGCUCGGAUAUCUUCUUUGUAAUUUUCUGUGCUUGAAAUCUACUAUAUGUUAAUAACUGAUUUCUUCAUUAUUUGCCUGGUCUUCCUCAAGUACGACUAAUAACUCUAUUAAAUUAGAGUUAUCAUGGCACUUUUAGACUUAAAUCAAGGUUUUUAUUGCAUUUCAGUUAUAUUUUGCAUGAACAUCCAUUUUAGUUUAUUUAUAAUAAAUUGAAUUAUUUUAAAAUAAUUUGUAGUUAGGUUACAUGCAUAAUUGUAGAUGACCGAAAGCUCAAGUUUUAGGAAAGGAAUGCUGCUGCAACAAACUUGCGAAGAUAAUAAAAGAACUUGAAUACAAAAAAAUUGAAACAAAUCUUGAACAGUGCAGAUACUGUAGCCGUUGUUAUAGCAAUUCUAGGGCAAUGAUAGAUUGGAUUGCACGCUCAUCAACUAAAAGAUUGCAAUCAAAGUUUCCAAAAAUGGAGGAUACGUGCCAUAUUCUUUUGGUUUCCCUAAUUAUGAGUUAUAAAAGGAGCAUGCUUGCAAAGGAAAAAGGGAACCGUGACUCAAAGAGAAAAUCUGCAAAAAAAUAACAAGAGAACAAAAAUCAAGAGAUUGAUUGAAGGUUGAAACAGAGGAGAAAUCCCAGAGAUCAAUUAGAAAUCAAUUCUUUUCUUAUUUUCUUGGUUUCUAUUUAUUUAUAGAGAUGUAUUUGAUGGCUGAACCAAUGUUAUUUAUUGUUUUAUCGUAAAUCACGAACUGAAUUUGAUUGUGGUUGAGUGAUAAAUGAUUCUAAUGGAUGUUUGACUGACAUAUAUGUGUUGCUCCGUGUUUUCUACAUCAUUUUAUCUUGAUUGUAUUUAUUUUAAUUUCCUAUUUCGAUUGACCACUCAUUUAGUGGAUACUAACUAAGAAAGAGCCUAAACAAUGUCUAACUUAAUGGAUUUCAUUAAGACAAUACUUGGUUUUAGAUUGGGUUUCCCAAGUUGAGUAAAUCUCAAUUUGAAUGAGGUCAUGCUUGAUCUAAAAUUAGUUAUAAACUAAACAUAAAUAUUCACCUUGUAGGGUAAAUGGAACCUAGAUCAUUUAAUGUUAUAUUUAAUGUUGGCGUAACAAUUGGUCACUGUUGGGUUACAUUAGAUAUAAGAUAUUCAACAGGCGACAGCUGAGGAUGCAUGAGGGAUUCUACCAUGUGUUGUAGUAGAUGUUGUAGCAACGGUACUAUAAUUGAAAAAUAGUCAAUACCAUUAAGUGAGUUUGUUUACUCAACUACUCUCUUUCUAUUGAUUACAUCCUUGUGUUUGACGUGUGAAUUUUCUUUAUUAUAUUUUUUUAAUUAGUUUAUUAAUUUUAUAAAUUAUCUUAUUUUAAUUUAGAACAAAACUGCACUAUUAAGGUUGCUAUAGUAAAUUUGAUAACAUUAAUCCUUAUAGAGACGAUCUGAAUACUCAUCAGUAUAUUACUUGUUGUGUACACUUGCACAUUGACACCCGUAACAUUAGAGAUUUGCAUACCAAUGACUUUAUAUUCCCAUCCUUGGCUUGAAAGCCCUCAUUCAAAUGAUUGGUGAUGAGCUGGAAAUCUAUUUGAAUCCUUGCUCUAUUUGCUCGCACUACUUGAGUUAACUUCAAUCUUGCUAUGAAGGCUUUGUACUACACCUAAUUAUUAGUUUUGUUGAAAUUAAACCUUAAGGCAUAUGAAACCUCUUCUCUUCUAGGCUUCUUAAAAUCACUUCUGUCCAUACUCCUUAGUCAUUAGAAGAACCAUCCACAGUGACCAGCCAAAUCCUGUCUGAACUUCUACUUGAAAAAACUUGUGCACUAUUGACCUCUAUAUCUGGUUCUGUGAACUCCACUACAAACUCUUCUAGUGCUUAUGCUUUGAUCGUUGCUUGUGACCUAUAACUUUUUAAACUCACUCAAUUCCAUCGAUCAUUUCACAAAGCACUUAUAAGCUUUGGGUUUAUGCAAUAUUUGAUGAAAGGUCAAUUCAUCAUUAUCACAACUGGAUACGCCUAAAAGUAUGGCUUAAGUUUGCAAGCAGCUAUGAUUAGGGCUAGGGCCCAUUUUUCCCUUUUUACAUCCCUGGUUUCUACAGUAAACAGAGUUUUCCUAAUGUAAUACACUGGGUGUUAGAUUCUUAUUUCCUCUCUUACCAAAACUGAACUCGUGGCUCAUUGAGAUAUUGCUAAAUACAAAUAUAAUGUAUCACUUUCUAGUGGUGUUGACAGCAAUGGGGCCUUAAAGAUACACUUCUUUAACUGAUGAAAUGCCAUCGCGCACUCCUGCGUCUUUUCUGUCUCAUUUAAUUUCCUCAUUACAUAAAAGAAGAUAAGGCACUUAUAUGUUGCCCUAAACAUAAAUCGAUUUAGUGUCGCAAGUUUUCUCAUAAGGCUUUCUAUGUCCUUAAGUGUUCGAAUAGACUUCAUCUCUACACCACACCAAUCUUCUUGGGAUUUACCUCGAUCCCUCUAUGACUUUCCAUGUGCCUUAAAACUUUCUAGAGCCAACUUUAAAUACACACUUCUCGUGGGUGAGCUUCAUUCUAUAUUUCGUUAACAGCCUAAAGGUCUCUUCCAAAUGCAUUGUAUGCUCGAUCAGAUUUUUAGACUUGGUGAUCAUAUCAUUUAUGUACGCCUUUAUAGUGCACUCGAUCAGUGGCUUGAAUGUUUUAUUUACCAGCCUCUAGUAUGUUGCCGCAAUAUUCUUAAGACCAAAAGGCAUUACCCUGUAACAAAAUAACCACUAGUUAAUAAUAAAUGAAGAUUAACCACUAGUUAAUAAUAAAUGAAGAUUACUCUUCGUCCUACUCAAACAUGGGGAUUUGGUUAUAGCCUGAGAGAGUGUCCAUAAAGCUAAGCAGGCUAUGACUCACGGUAGAGUCUACUAGCUGGUCAAUCUUAAGAAGCCAUCUUUAGGGCAUGCCUUGUUGAGGUCCGUGAAGUAAAUGCACAUUCUAAAUUUUCCAUUGUCUUACUUCAUCAGGACCAUAUUGGAAAUUCAUUUAGGUUUGUUUACUUCCUUGAUAAAGCAUACUUUCAUCAACUUUUCUACUUUAUUGUUUAUGGCAUCGUGUCCCUAUAAAUUAAAGUACCUUCUUUUCUAUUUCACGGAUCUUACAUCUCUACUCAUCGCCAGGUUAUGACAAGCCAUCUUGGGAUUGAUUCCUGGCAUGGCUUUAUCCGAUAAGGUGAAUAUAUCAACAUAAACUCACAAGCAUUUCACCAACCUUGCUUUUAAUUCCUUCCUUAAUUUUGAUCUGAUCUUUACAGUUUUCUUUGACCAUCCUACUUUAUUCUCACUAUUUUCACUUUUUCAAUAGAAUUAUGUCAUCCCUUCUUGGAGUCUCCUAGCAAGUCCAGGGAGGUUAUCUACAUGGUUUCUUUAACCACGGUCGCAUAGUACCCUUUAACAAUCUUCUUGUCACCUUUUAGGACUCCUACCAUACUAUUUAAUCGGUACCUAAGUGCUAAGUAAUGAUUAGACAUUACUAUUAUGUUAAUCCUCAAGGAAGGCCUACUAAAAAUUAUCUAGUAUAAACUGUCUUCUACAACCAACACGAAGUCUACCAUCAUAGACAUCUUGAAUGGUUUCAUACCUAUUGUUACUGGUAGCUUCACAACCCCAAGAGGCUCAACCUUCUUUCACCAAAUCCCUUCAAGAAGGUGCUAGUGUGCGCGAGUCUCAAGUCAGUAAUUCCCAUCUCAUCUAGGAUAGAUUUAAAGAUGUCCAUUAAGCUUCUUGAAUCCACAUGUAUUCUAUUAAACUCCUUGCUCGUAACGUUGCCUUUUAUCACCACGGCAUCCUCAUGCGAGUACUAUACUCUCUUCUCUUUGUCUUAUGUCCACAUAAUUAGGACUUGCUUGGUUUUUGCUUGCUUUAGUGCUGGCAUGUUGAAGAGCACAUCACGAUUGAUCAUUACAUAUCUUCUGUAAGUUUUACGAGCUUUGUUUGAAUCUCCAGCUAAUGCGGGUUUUGUCACUGGCUACUCGUGAUCUAUAUCAUCAGCAUUGCCUUUUGCAGUAAAUUGUUAAUCUGCAAUAGGGUGAUAACCAUCAAUGAAAUCAUUAAGGUAAUAAUUUCUUACAGGAUCCCCUAUUUGGUUCUUAAAGUCAUACCACUGGAUUAUGAUGUGGCUGUGAAUGUCAUAGAUCUCACAUAAUCUACUUCGAUCUCACAUGUUGGAAGCCUUUUUUAAUACUGUAGGGGGAUAUAAUAAACUUCAAUCCUUAUUACAUAGUAUAUUAAUGAAACUUUUAGGGGUGUGUACUGCUUAUAGGCAAUGCUCUAGUCAAUCAUCUGCAUAGCUUUGUCCCUUGGGAAAUUACUCUGAGAAAGGGGAAGAGGUAGUAAGUGAGGCAUGUUGAAUCUGAUGUCUUUUGAAUGGUUGGCUGUUGAGUGUUAUGGUAAGGUUAUUUGAUGGUCGAUUGUGCUCUUCCCAGUGGCCUUGAUUUUGAAGGUGAUUUAGUAAAAGUUUUUCUUGAUGGAAUAAAUAAGGUUUCGGGUGACACAUGUAGGAAUCUCCUCGCAAGUCUAUUUCUUUACUCGUAUUUAGUUUUUCAUUACACCUAACUGACCCACUCUUUUCUUAAGCUCUUUUUCCUUGCUGUAACAUAUGGAAAAAAAUAAUAAUAAUAAAUAUGAGGUGAUUAAAAUUUAAAAUAAAUAAAAGAGGAAGCUGGAAAACAGGGGAAACAUAUACACGUGUGAGAGAGUGAGAGAGACGCUGUCAAAACCGACCCAAAACCUGACCCCUUUGACCCGAAAUCAACCCGGCCAUAUCUUGGGAUUUCGGUGACCCCACCGGUCAAGCUUGGUACCAAUCUGAAGCUUGAAGACUGGCCAUCAUACCCCAGCCGUCAUUUUCACUGAAAACCGAUAGGAUCGCUGUCAUUUCAAGCUUGAUAAACUGCGGCCAAAACUCAUCGCCACCGUCGUUGAUUCUACCAGAAUUUAGCCAUGCCACCACCUCCGUUUUGUUCCCCAUGACUCCCUCUUCAAUUCAUGACCAUCCACAGUCACAGGGAGUCAUUGUUUUACCGCCGGUCAAUUGUUGGAGUUUCACGGCUGCCGAGCUAGAUUCUAGCAUCAUUGUCGCACGUGGGAACUCACCGCCGACACUAUUAGACUCAAUUGUUAACAUAUAUGUUUUUAUAAUGUUGAUUUUGAUGAUAACAAAUAAGAUUAAGAAUGAUUAAUCUUUUAAGUUCAAAUUAUUUUUUAUACAUUUUAAAUAAAUCAUUAUUUUUAUAUUAUAAAGGUUUUAUAUUUAAUGGAAAAAUGAUUUUAUGAAAUUGGUUUUUUUUCAAGUUUAUGAUUUAAUUGAAAGAGUUUUGAAAACUUUGAAAUCAAUAAGUAUUGCUUGAAAUUUUGGAGAAUGACUUAUUUGAAAAGUGUCAUAGCAUUUUGGGCUAUAUCAUAAUUUCAAAAAGUUUUGGGAUUAACAAAGCAUUAUUUUGAAAUUAUGAAAUUGGACCUAUUUGCAAACUUUCAUAACGUUUUGGGCCAUAAUACAGUUUUAUAACGUUUUGGGGUCAAACUAUAAAUUUAGAAAAUAAUUUCAUUGUAGCAAUCACUGUAGCAAACGGCUAACCGUUUAUUUAAAACGGCUAAUCGAUAAUUUCCAGAAAGCAUGUUUUGCAAAGUAUUGUUAAAAUGAUGAUUCUGGAAAAUAACGGUGAACCGUUUACUGAAAACAGUUAACCGAUUAUUUCAAGAUUGCUAACCUUGAACUGUUUAGUAAGAACGGUUAAACCAAAUUUGUUUUGCAGGUCUCUGGAAUUUAACGGCGAAAGGAUAAGCCUAAACGGCAAACCGUUUAUUUGAAAUUUGGCCCAACGGUAACUUUUGACCAGUAUAAACGGUUAACCGUUAAUGGUUAAUGGCGAACCGUUUUCGGGCAGACAGUUUGUAACGGCUAGUUUUUCAGCUCUAACUAUAAAUAAGCUCAUUCAAAUCCAAACGAGAUAGAUCACAACACGACCAUUGAGCUUAUAUUCGAGAAUACAAUCUUCAUAGAGCUUUAAACACAUUCUUACUUCAUCUAUUCACACAUUGGGCAUUGAUUUGUAAUCUUAAAUAUUGUGUGAGAGAAAAAAAAUUUGUAAUCUUUUACUUUGAGUGAUUGUAAGUGUUGGGAUACACUUGGGUUAAGAGAUUGGGGAUAAUCUCUUGUUGUAAAGGUUCAUUGACACCUUGGAAGUCAAGUGUAAGCAUUUGAAGCCUUGGAGGCUUGCUUAGUGAAAUCCUCAAGCCCGGAAAGCUUAGAGGCAUGGACGUAGGCAAGGUUGGCCGAACCACAUAAAAAUCUUCGUGUUUGAAUCUCUCUUCCCUUAUCUUUUUAUAUUGUGAUUGAUUUAAUUGUUAUUGCUUUAAAUUCGUUUUAGAUUUGCAUGAUAUUUUGUUUUGGAAUUGAAUAAUUUCAUAAUCCCAAUUCACCUCCCCUCUUGGGUUGCAUAACUAGAAUUUCAUCAAUAUGAUUGGAACUUUCAGACUUGAGCUUCCCAGCGACCGUUGACUGAAUUCCGGUCACCGUUGACCGGCGAGGGCAAUUCGAUAAUUUCACAUUUUGAGGGCGAUUUUGUAAUUUCUGAGCCUGUAGAUAUUUUAGUAAUUCCUGAAAUUGAGGAUUUGGUAUAAUUACGAUUCCGAGGGUAAUUCAGUGGUUUACGAUUUCAGAGUAUUUUAAUGAUUUACGGAUUCAAGGGUAUUUUGGUAAUUCUAUCGACACGGGAGUUGUAAAUUAUGGAUAAAUGUUCAUUUCAGUUUUAUUGCAUAAAUUUAGUCAUAAUUCUGAUUUACAGAAAAUAAUUAUGUCGCUUCCUUGAUUUAGGAGGAUCCGUAGGCGAGAACUGGUCCACUGACGUAGACGAUAACCGAGUGUGAACACUGUCACUAUGAGUGAAAUAUGCAAAACCUAUUUUCAUAGUUAACUAUGAUAGUAAAGUAUGUUUGCAAAACAAAUGUUUUAAAUGUUCUGAUUUUAUGAUUUUCUUGAAAUGGAUUUUAUUCACGUAUUGAUAUUAUAUUAAAAUGUUUGGUUAAUGGUUUUCUGUAUCGACUUUGAAUAAAAUAUAAUAGUAUUUAAAGAUGAGAAAAGUGGAUUUAGAUGUGAUAAUGAAAAGAAAUGUAUGAUUAGAAUGUACAUGAAUAUGAGUAUAGAAAUUAUUUUUUAAAAUCAUUGGACAGUACCCUUCCCUCCAGAUACAGUGAUACAGAUGAGAUGAGAGACUUUUGGAGCCCGUCUGGACACACAUAGAGGCUUUGGACCGUGUGUUUGGAUGUUUUACCUUUUGGGGGCAUAUGUAUACGGUAUGAUAAUUACAAAGAUACAGAUAUGAGAUACAAAUAGAUAUUGAGAUACAAAUAAGGAUGGCAAAAUCCUCCACGGGUUUGGGGCCCCAUGGAGCCCCACCCCAAAUGGGGAAAAUUUUGAAUAAUUUUUGGGGAAUGGGGUGGGGAGUGGGGGAAAAUAAUCCCCAAAUUUUUAAUGGGGUGGGGUUUGGUUUUGUACUCCCCACCCCACCCCCACCCCAAUUCCCAUUAUAUAUAAAUAUGUUUUUAAUUCUUAUUUAAUAAUUUUUAUUUUAUCAAUUAUAAUGUCAAUUAAUAAUUUUUUUUAAAUUUUUAUGCAAUAUAAACAAGAUAUGAAUGAAAGAAAAUCCUAUAAUAUUUUUCAACUCUGAAACAUUGUUAUAUUUUCUUUUCUCUUUUAAGGUGCUACGCUCUUUAAAUAUUUUUCACUUUUAAUAUCAUUUUAAGAUAUUGUUUCAAACUUUUAGAUAUUUUUUUAAAAGAAUUUAAAUACUUUAUAAUAUGAUGAUAAUUUUAUUUUAAGUCUCUAAUUUUUAAUUUACUAAAAUAAUAUAUUUAUACAUAUUAUAAAAUAGAUAAAUGGGGAAUGGGGUGGGGAUAGGGAAAUCAUUCCCCACAUGGGGAUUCUCCAUCCCCACCCCACUAAAUUUAUUGGGGAAUGGGGUGGGGAAUGGAGGCAAAAAUUUCUAACGGGGUGGGGAAUGGGGUAGGCCUCCCCACCCCCACCCCACCCCAUUGCCAUCCCUAGAUACAAAUGAUACAAAUGAGAUACAGGCCUUUGGGGCCCAUUUGAGUACACACAGAGGCUUUGGGCCGUGUGCUUGGGCGCUUUUGUCCCUUGGGGACUAGAUUAUGCAUGCACAGAUAUGAUGAGAUAUGAGAUGGUAUUUCCCUGUCUAUCUGUGUAGCUUCAGGGUGUGGCGGUACCUAGGUAGUACGUCAUUGCCUGUCCGUUGAGGUCCGGAUACGACGAGAUUUUUCCCCUGGAUAUUUGUUUGGUGAUGAUUUUCAGAUUUUUGUAUUCUAUAUGAUAUUGUGAUAUGAUUUCCAUGGUUAUUAGGUACGAUAUUAUAUAUGUUUUUCAUGGUUAGUAAUUUGAUUUAAAUGUUAAAUGAUUUAUUACUGGUUUCUCGCAUAUGAUUUGAUGAAAUCGUGUUUGGAAAUGAUAUGAUUAUUUCUUUUAAAGUAAGAAUUAAUUUUCAAAAACUACUAUUCACUCACUGAUCUCACUAAGUUUUAUACUCGUCCCGCUUUUAUUAUAUUUUUCCCCCCACCAGGAGGUUGUAGGUACACCAGAUUGACCCAACGACUGUAAAUUAUAUUUUUAGCCUUGGCCACGUGAUGAUGUUAGAAGAUAUAGAUGAUUUUUGUUAGGACAUCCUGGUUAUCUUGUUCUUUGGGUAUUGUAUAAUGUUGUUAUAUUAUUCUUUUGGGAUUAAGAAUAAACUGAGAUAUAUUAAUAUUAGUUAUAAUAUUAUCUUUUGAGACUCUGGAGAUAUCUUGAGUACAACUCAGCAUUUUGGUUGAGGAUGUUGAUCAUUGGUGUUGGUUGUAUAUUUAAUUAUUAUUGGGAGUUUUAUAUUUAUAAAGGAUACGCUGCUGAAUUUUUGGUAAAAUUCUCAUUAAUUAGAUUAUUAUUAAGUCCGUUUUAAAGAGAUUAGAUUGACUCACCAGGGGGAUUUGGGGCGGGUCGUUUCACUUGCACCGUAUCUCUUUCAGCUACUCGCUCCUCAUUCUUACGACCUUUUUCCUUUCAAUCUCUAUGUCUCUAUUUGCUUACUCCUAAGCGGCAGAAUAAGAUUGGAUCAAAGGGCUCCUCAAAUUAUACCACAAAUGCCCUAUCUUUAUUCCUUACUUCAAGCCCUUCAAGGCUUGAAGAUGAUUAAAGGCUUCGAGGUCUAGGAUCGCUCGAUGAUACCUUUUGACAAAUUCUCUAAGGGUAUCAUCCUCACCCUAUGUGAUUUAUAUCAGCUCUAUCAUAUCAUCUUCUGGAGUUAGCCCUCCCUGGAAUUGAUCCACAAAAUCUCUACACAUCUGCUUGAAGCUUUUUAUGUUACCGCACGGCAGCCUUCGAUACCAAACUCGUGCUUGCCUUUCCGACAUCAAUGGAAAUGCUCUACAUCUCUGCAGCCAAUCAAGCCUUGCACUCCAGUCAUGUCAUUGAAUCAUUUAAUGUGCACCAAAAUAUCACUUUUUUCAGAGUAUUUGAGAUCUGGAAAGCGGAAAUCUCUUGUGCGUAUAAUUUUCAUUGAUAGCAAGGAUUGUUGUCUAGCAUGAUUCUCCAACUUAGAGCCCUUCCCCGAUCUUGCAUCUCCUCAAUUACCUGUGGUAGCCUUUGCACCUCACCUUCCAAUUCCCUUUCUCGACUAGGAUUUUGCUCAACUACUUGUUCACGUUCUUGUUCAACCUCUCGCAAAUGCUGACAUAACUCUCUUUCUUCCAUGUUUACUUCCGCGUUUGCAUUUACUAGGUUAUGCUCACCAUGAGGUAUGUGUGAAUGUCAAGAAUUAUUGUUAUAACAUGUGAGUAUAUUGGAAGAAAUCAUGACCAUUAUGGGUUACAUAAUUUGGAAGAUGACAAGUUCGUGAUUUAUGAUGAUUUCUUCAGAAGAAGAUGAAUCCGCAACUUAUGAUGAUUCUGUACCAUGGUUCAAAAGAUGAUGGAUCCAUCAGGUACGAUGACUUUUUAAUAUAUAUAAUUUUUGUUUAAAGAUAGAGAGGAGUGCAAAGCCCAAAUCAAUUCUCAACCACUAUCUUAUAAAAAAAUUAUUAAAUUAAUGAUAACGGUGACUGAUGUACCGUACAAAUUGCCAACAACAUAAAUGAUUGAUUUCUUACUUUUAUGCAAUUUUGUAUAAACUAGGCCUUGGAGCCAUAUGAUACAAGAGUAGACCGGAUUGUUAUUCUUUUUUCAAUUGUUUCUUAAAUUCAUCAGAUGAAGCUGACUUUUUUUUUUUCGCUUUCUUGCUGAAAAAUAUAUUCUUUAGACAGUGACUUUCAUUCUGAUCUAAAUUUUCAUUCGAGCAUAUACAUGUCCGUGUAAGUUGUCAACAUAAUGCAAUCAACUCCAUAUUGAUGAUGACUCCAUCAGGAAGAGAGAGAAGGAAAAAAAAACUUUAUAUUGAUGAUAAUGAGCAAAGAAAUGGAUCAUAAAUUCAUUAUUUAAUUUGAAAUACACACGGUACAUUAUUGUUAUUUGUCACACCAAACCCAUCUUUUACAUGAAGCAAUACGACACACCCAAAGGAAAAAUAUGUAAGAACAAAUAAAUAAAAUAGCGUUAAUUAGAGCUGCAUUACAUAUAAGGAUUGUCAUCAUAUCAUGCAUAUUAAUUAACGACGAUACUUCUUCUUCCUUUCCUUCGAAAGACCCAAGUAAUGAUUCAAACCUUUCUCAAAAUUACCGUAAAGAGGCAAUGCUAUGAGUGCUAAAAGAAUCACUGGAAGGAUAGCUGCAGCGUAGAGAGCGACAGUCCAUCUCUCCCCCAAACGAGCGACGAGCAGAAUUGAAGCCGAGAAAGUAAUCAUGCUUGCUAAUACAGAGAAGAAGAGUAACAUGAAGCCAAUCUUCAGCUUUCUCGGAAGGUGGUCAAGGAAAUCAGAUGACUCACGUGGCGAGGUGAGGAUAGAUAGAAACAUCACAGCGGAUGACAAAGAUAAGGACAACGACGCAACGUCCGUUAUGGUAAAAAGGUAGAAGAUUGGUGAAUUAAGGAAAUUGGGGAACCCCUUAUCAUUGUUACCUCCAGGCACCGUGUAGGCAGCUGCGAAGACGAAGGUCGCGAUGAGGAUUGACAGUAUGGAGCAUGACUCAGAGGUUUCUUUGAUCCAGUCUUGUGCUUUCUUAAGUUGAUCUUCGUGUGUUCGAUUGAAGAGGUCCCCUGCAGUCAUUCCCUUUCUUGUAUCACGGUGCAUGGCAUAAUGGCUAGGCGCUAUGUCUUUUACACACUGCAUAUACACACACACACAUAUAAUGCAUGGAGUCAAUCAGAAAAUAUAAUAUUAGAGAAUGCUUUUAUUUGUAUAAACACAAUGAAUCAAUUAAAUGUGCUUAGAGGACAAAAUUAAAUAUUAUCAAAGGGCUUACCUCGAACCACUGUAACUCCUCCUGAAAUUGGUAAACAGGACCAGGGUGGAUUCCGUGCUCGUAAUGUUUCAUGUCUGCAACAUGGUGCAAUAUUGUAUAGCCAUUUUCGUCAAUUCUUGCGGCCCAUUUUGGCACAUACAGUGGCAUUUUCUCCACAAUGAACUGAAAGAUAUCAUGUCGACGACGCCUUACGGCCACAUGUAAUAUGGUCUGCCCUUUCUGAUUCACGGUAGAUAACAUCGCUUGAGGAUUUUGUCGGAGUAUCUCCUCCAAAAUAGCUCUUAUUCCAUUACUAGCUGCAUAGACUAAUGUCCUAUCCGUUGCUGGGGCGUCUCUAUGAUCAUGAACGGCUUUGUCAGGGUGAACUUUUCCCUUCAGCGCCUCGACCAAUUCUUCAGCCGUAUAAUCAACAAGUUUUAUUCCCACAAGGUCAUCUCCUUUGCCGAAUCCCAAGGAAAUUGUCCUUGUGGAAGUUGUGGCAGUUUCUUGUUCCCUUCUUUCAGGUUUUUUUUCUAGUUUAACCAGCUUUUCGACAAGUGCAAGCGCAUCUUCACGCAUUUUCAUUUUAUUCCAGAUUUUCAUAAUAAUCCCAGAUUCUGGUCAUGCAUCAACAUCUUAUUAAUUUACUAACAAAAUAACGCACGCAAGUACGGAAAAUCCAUUCGUCACAUGAAUUGAAGUUAUUUGACAUUUCCUUUGUACUUCUAAUGUGUUUCAUAUAUGUAGAAGUAAUUAAUGAAAUUCUUAUUGGUCGAACCUGGAAUCGCUCGCCUCCAAAAACCAAUGCCCAUCAUCCGAAAUAAAAUUCCUGCAUUUUGAUUAACCUGAUCAGGCAAAAUUUUACAACUACAUGUAUAUAUUUAUGAUAUGAAAAAUUAAUGCUACCUUAUCGAAAAGGAAACAACUGAAACUCAAGUUAAAAGGAUCAUACACUAAUAUUAAAAGGCAUGUGGCAUAAAAUUUUUAAAAUAUCAGAAAAGUUCAGAUAAGGAAAGGAUUCUAAUCCUUAAAAAAGUGUGAGGGUUGAAAUUUAGGAAGACAUGUGGGUGUCAUUCAAUUGAGACUAAUGAGUAAUGACUAAUCCUAGUGAGGGUUUUUAUUUAAGGAGACAUGUGGGUGUAUUGAGAUGGUAAAAUUUUUCGUCUUGAAAAAAAGAUUUCUAUGGUUCAAGCCCGGUGAGUAACAAAUUGGGUUGCGAUUCAGCUAAACAAUAAUUUAAAAGAAAAAAAAAAUUGGAAAGACCGUCAUUUUCGAAAAUAAAAUACUGCAGUUUGUAGCUAUGGUCCUUAUCGUAAGAAUAUGAAUGAGUUCGUAGAAACUAAAGAUAAAGGGAACUUCAUCUUUACCCCAACUAUAUGAGGCAUUAUACACUUUCCCCAGCAAUAUUUUCAAAAUGGCCAUGUACUGUGGUUAAACGAGAACAUAUUAAAACAAUUAUUUCACUAUUCUGUCCUUGAAAUGGCUUAUUUUAUCCUAGAAAUUAAUGAAUAAAAUAAAAUCUAAAAAGUAUUAUAAAUAUUAAAUAUGUUAAAAUACAGAUUGCAAGAAAUCUGCGGUCAAUUUCUUUGGUCAUUUUUUUUUAUGCUGACGUGCCAAUCGAAAUAUAAAAAUCAGACUUUCCAUUUCAUUUGAUAAAGAUCGAUUUACCCUCCAAAAGCUAAGAUUUUGUUAAAAACUACCGAUAGGCCGAUACAAAGAUAUUUUUCAAAGAUCAGGGAAGAGUACUGGGUGGUAGCUCAAAUAUUUGAGGGUAAUAAAUAGGUUUCUAAAUUAAAAUACAAAACAGGAGCAUGCAAUGAUUACCAAAGACUGCUCCGACUAAAUUUGCAUGCUCUUCUUAUUUUCGCUUGAAAAAACUAACCUCAGUAUUUUUUUUUUAUCUCAAAAUUUAGGCUUUGUUUGGCUUCUAAGCCAUAUAGAAUAAAAAUGUUAGUUAUUAAUAGAAAACUUAUGGGUAUUUUGUAAAAUUCAACACCACUAGAUGUCAAGUAAAAAUUGAAGUAUAGUAUUUAUCGAUAAAUAAUUGUGAGAAGUAACCAACUUAAAAAGCCGAACUGACAAAGUGUUUACAGCUGAUUAAUUGUCAAAAAGCAAGUCAAAACAAAUACUAAAGCUAAAGCCUAAAGCUGUUUGUUCGGGCCUUGAUUCCUGAAUUUAUAGAGUUAUAAUGAUUAGUGAAACCACUAUAUCGUGAUCAUGAACAAAUUAAAGCUGCUCUUUCACCAUUACCUCGCCUCUUCUUUGCAUGGCCCAUGCGAUUGUCAAUCGCAUCAGUCUCCAAAUCUUCUUUGUAAUUGUGGUCGCCAUCCAGAUACAUUCCAAGAUAUGAAAAUAGAACUACGAUUGAAAAUAAAUAUUUUAAGUUCUAAUCAUGUAGCAAAGCAUUUAAAAAAGAAAAGAAAAGAAAAUUCACUAGAAACUCUUUUAUGUGUAAAUAAAAAUUAACUAAAAUAUUUCUUCUAAUUAAUUUGGUUAUUGUUUCCAUUGUAACUGCAUGCACCCACGUCAACAGGACUAUAUAUAUCUCCUUAGAGAUUAAUUUAUAUGUUCAUUAAUUAACAUUUUUUGACAGAAAUGUUGACUUAAACAUUUCUGCUGGUGGGUGCACCAUUUUUUGCUGGCGGAUAGAAUGUUGACAGAAAUAACAGUACUCAGUCGCGGCGGGUGCACCAUUUUUUGCGUAUAUUUUUCAUGAGAACGCUGAUAUUAUGAAAAAGAUACUGACAAAAAUAAAAUGUGUUACAUGCAAUCAAAUUUACAUUGUUAAUUGCUAAUACUGUAACCCCGACCCCGUGUAUUUGCACUUUAUAUGUCGGUGUUUAGUCUCUUUUAUUGUUUUUGUUUCCAAGUAAUUAGUUUAUAUAUAAUAGACUUAAGUCAAUAUUGAUACUUAUUCAUUUUUAUAUUUUUCUGCUGUAAAUAUCUUUUGUAUAUGUAUAUUUUAGUUACAACUGUACACAUGAUACUAGGAAUUAGCUAGCACUUAUCCAGGAAUCAGUUGAACAAAUUCUUCUUUUGUAUUAUAAACAUUCAGUGAACCCAAUGGGAAAUAGUGGAGACAAAUUUUCCAAACCUGGUGCCAAAUAAUAUAUCCACGUACGAGGAUUGAAAAGAGACGCCUGUUUCUUCAUGUCGUCCGCACCCUUGAAAGCAGUUGGCAUUAGAGCUAGUAGUUCAAGACACGUAAAGCCAAUAUGCUCGUCGGACUUUGGGGGCUUGUGGGACGUCGGGGGCUUUGUACGUUUGUCUGCAAGGCUUGAGUCUUGGUCAAGCAACCAAAUCGCAGUCUCUGUACGUAUCCGAGAAAAUUAAUUAAUUAGUUAAGAAAAUAAUAAUAAAUUUUUAACUCUUGAUCUAUAUAUGAAUGAAUGAAUUGGAGAUUUAAUUAUUAUAUAUUACCGAAGUGCUGGCCAAGGACAGCCAUAUGAAGAAUGGUGUUAUCAUCGUAAUCUCUACGAAUAUGACCACGUAAGUCACCAUCUGGCUCAGUCAAGAUUUGCAACAGUUUAGUUUUCCCGAGAGCAGCAGCCCUGUAAACUGGGGUUUCCCCCAAACGAUUUUUAGUCACAAGUAGAUUUUCGUGCGCAUCAACAGACAUUCUGGAAAAGUCAACCAAAACCCUGGCCACGGCGAAAUCUUCGACGACGGCCGCUUCGUGAAGACCAGUGUUUCCAAACGCAUCUCUUUGCUUCAAGGCUUCAAGUCUGGUAUCUGGUGUUAGCCUUUCGAGAAAUUUCUGGAUCAGCUGAGGGUCUUCCAUGGCCGCUGCAAUGUGAAUUGCGGAGUCUCCAUUGGCUGUCCUGUAAUCCAACAACUCUUUAGCAGGCCAAUCAGCAAAGUAAUCCAAGAAGCCUCGACAGUCUCUCUUGAAGACCAUUCCAACAGGAUCUCCCAUCGCCCUCUCUUUUCUCUCUCUCUUUCUCAACUUGUAUAAUUGUUGCACAGAACAAGCUAUACGUGGUCUUCGGUAUCCAUAUAAUAACUUCCAUCGCCAUCGCCUAUAUUUAUAAGGUAUGAUGCAUCCUUAUAGAAGCUCUAACCGAAGUUGGCAUAAUCACUUUGCUUAUAUUACUAAUAAAGCUCAAGCAUUAUAAGAAUAAAAUAAAGUUCUAAAGUGACAAAGCGCCAACUAUGAUAGAAGAACGAAGAUGUAAAAAGAGAAUCGAUUAUUGAUGAGAAGUUGUUCACAUCGUACGGUCUUGUUCCCUCAAAAUCAUAGACUGUGAAAUUACCAACAGAGCAAAAUUAAAUUUUAAUAUAUGAGAUUAAAAAAAAAAAAAGGAAAAGAAAACGCAUGCAAUUGAAAAUGGAAUUUCUUCUUGAUAUACGAGGCCAAUAAGCUCUGAAACUAAAUUAACUUCGUCUUUCGUACGUUUCGAAGAGGUACAAUAUAUGUCCAAAACGAAUAACUGUUAACUGGAAUGCCAGCACCGGAAAAGUAUAAAAGUCAUGUUCUACGUCAUAAAGUUUGUUAAUCAAUGAUGUCAGCAAACAGAAUAGGACAUAUAAAUUAUUCCAACAACUUUAUUUUGUCUCCAUUGCUUUUUACGCGAACAUAGAUAAUAAUCACCAUGUUAUUAAAGUAAACGCGAAUCUGCUUUUGACUAACACUGUAACCUUUUGCUGCUUUACACAUUACUUCAUUAUGUCUCUUGUCGCGGAGUGCCAGCCAAUCAUUAAAAAAUAAAUAAAAAUGCAAAAUUAUUGGAAAGUUUUUAGGAACUUAUAAUAGAAUUAGGCCUUAUUUUGUAUAGAUGUGUUGUGAAAAUAAACUAUAGUUUUUUUUUUUUUAAUACAGGAAAAAUGCAAAGGUCCGCAAGGACGAACCUUAUUGUAGUAUACGGUACGGACAGUUUUUGAAUAACAUCUUUACAGAUUUUAUUGUAGCAGUUUUUUAUAAAAUCAACUUCAUUUACAAACUAUAACAAUAACUAUUUAUUAAACACUUUAUUUCCGUAUUUUAAAAAUUACCACUGCCUUAUCACAAUAUCAAACAAAAAAUUUUGAUCUAAAUCCCAACUACAAUACCAAAUAAGGACUUAGAUAGCUUUUCUUAUUCUAAAAUUUGAAUAGACAUGAAUUUGUCUAAAUUCUGAAUAGAAUUAAACGUCUAAAUCUGAAUAAUAUUUUUUUUUUGAAUCUCUGAAAAUAAGUAUUAAUUUUAUUUUUUUAUCUUUAAAAUUUAAAACAUGUACUUUUAUAUUUGUAUCCUUAUUAAAUUUGAAUGUCAUAUAUAUAUAUAUAUAUAAAAGAACAUAAAUACCAUAAUAUUUCAACAUAUAUAAGAAAAACCACAUUCAAUUGAAUAUAUAAUGAUUUUAGAAUUAUAGUAUAUAAAACACCAUGAGUUUCAAAUUUUAUCAAAAGUUCUCAAUAAUAGUACAUAAUAUAAGAUUAUUAAUGGGUAAAUUUUAAUGGGUGGCUUUUGAAAUAGGCCCUGAGAAAUAAAUUACAAAGUAGUGAUAUUUUUUAUGUUAGAUAUUAGUUGGUUUAUUCAGAUUUCUCUAUUCAGUAUAAAGCCAAAAAAGAGGUACUUUUAUUAAGUCAAAAUUAUCUAAAAAUCAUAUUAAAUUAUGAAAACAAACUCCUCUACUUAAUUAAUUAUGUUAAGUCACGUUAUGUUAUUAAGUAAAGAAACAAACACCCUCUUAAUGACUAAAUUAACCUAAAUUCAAUCAGUUUAAGUCAUUAAGUUUCUUUUUUUUUUUUAACUUAUUAAAAAUUUUCAAUCAUUAAGUUAUUACGUUAUUAAAUCAAUUUUUUUAGCUUCUUACUUAAUCUAAAAAGUCUAAAUGAUAUCUAAAAGAUAUUAUUUAAAGUAUUUCUAUCUAAGUAAUUUAUUUUCGUCCUUACCUAAAUAAAACUUACUAAUUAGCAUUACAAUUCAUCUUGAUAACUUGUAAUUAUAUGGUAGUGUAUUUUUAUUAUUUUUAUCUUCUUAUUUUCUUCAAAGUAGCAUUAUCUAUUUUCAUAAUUUUUUAUGAUUAUUUUUUAUGUGAAACAUUAUAAGAUACAAUAAAAUUGAUUAACACAUUCUAAUUUAGAAUAUUAAGGGGUUGUAUUCACUUGAACAUGGCUCAUGUUUUGAUAAAAUAUUAUCUUAUUUAUGUUCAUUGAGAUUUUAUUAUCUAUUUAACAUUUGAAAUUUGUAAGGUAUAAAUAUAAAGGUACUUGUUUGUAGAUUUUUAAAGUAAGAAAAAAUCACCCAAUAAUUAUUUUCAGAAAUUCAGAUAUUUGAAAAAAAAUAUCAUUCAAAUUCUAGCAUUCAAUUAUUUUUAGAAUUUAGACUAAAUUGGGUCUAUUUAGAUUUCAAAUAAGUGUCAACUAAAUAAAUCUAUGAUGGUAGAAGCAUAUUAGUAUUAAAAAAAAAUCUUUUCUUUUUCCAAAUAUUACAUAAUAUAAACAAAGCACAUGCUUGACAGACUGCGAGUAUGAAUGGAAUUUAAAGCAUAAGGCCAUUCUUCCUUCACUAUCCUCAUCUCAUCCAUAAUGUCAUCUCUAUCUCUCACUUAGGCCUCGUUUGAAAUUAAGGUUGAAACUAAAUAAACUACUUACUUCGUAAUUUGUGACAAAAAUAAUGUUUGGUAAAUUUUGUAAAAACUAUUUUUUUUAUAAGUUUCUCCAUUUUAACAAUAGCUUUAAAAGUAAUUAAGUAGGGGUUGCUUUUCAUAAAUAAAUUAUUAAAUAAGCCACAUCAACUUUUUAAAGUUUUAUUAUAACCUUAAUAAUUUAAAAAAAAAUAACUAUGAUUUAUUUUUCUGUAUAUCUAAUAUAAGCUAUUAGAUAACAUAUUACCACCACAACUACUGUACAUUCUCUCCAGUAUCAAAGUUUUGAUCCACUAAGUUUAUAUUUUUUAUAUUGUACUUUUAUUUUCUAUUGUAAGAUUCAAUAAGACUUGCAUAUGAUAACGUAUAAUUUUUUGAAUUAUGAACAAUUUUACUUGUGAGUCUAGUAAGUGAGAGAUUAGGUGUAUUGGGGUUUUGGGUAGUAAGCCAAAAUAUUACAACACUUGUAAUUAUCAUAUUACUAGUGAAAUAUUUUCCUUCUAUCUUCAUCUGUGGAUGUAGGCUAAAAGUCGAACCACGUAAAUUUUUGUGUUUUCUGUGUGUGCUUGUUCUUCAUUUUCUUCAAAUUUCAUUUUAGUUGUAACUCUGCUUCACCCAUCAAUUUCCUAACACCGAAGUGCUGGCCAAAGGCAGCCGCAUGAGAAUGGAAAUAUCAUCGUUUUUACGGAAAUGAUAAGUCACGAACUUGCUCAGCCAAGUAUUUCAACAAUUUAGUUUUCCCAAGAGCAGUAGCCCUUUAAAGUGGGGUUUCCCCAAAAUAGUUUUUGACCUCUAGUCGAUUUUUGUCCGCACCAUGGUACUGCUUGGAAAAUUCGACCAAAACACUAGUCAUGUCACGUUUGAUGAAGUUUCAAUGAUGAAAGCUUCAAGUUCUCAGCAUGUGGAGAAUAUGACCACAGAGGUAUUGCAGCGGGUGGAGUUUGAUGCAAUUCCAUAUGUACUAGUUAGUAUAACAUCAGAGAAAUGUUCAACUAUGGAGGUGACAUGGAGAUUUGGAGGAGGAAAUCUAUAUGAUUCAUCCUUGUGGUUUCAAAGUUGCUAGAAAGGAGAAUCGUGUGUGCAAAUUGAGUAAAUCUUUAUACGGAUGUAAACUAAUUCUUCAAAUGCAUUGAGUUUGGAUAAUUAUGAACUACGAUUGGCUUGAUCCCAAAUUUUGGGUACGUACAAUUGAAACGACAGUCAUUCUGGAUCCUUAUUGAAGGAUCACCUUAGGAAUGAUGGUUUGUUGGUAGUCGGCUCAGAUUUGGACAAAUUUUCGUCGAGGUGGAGAAUUGUUGAAAAGUCAUGCAUGUGGCAUCCAAAUUCAAGAAGGCAUGCAAAAUUUUAAAUUUGUCAAAUGGACACCAUUGACAUAUUUGCAUGGGUUAGGUAGAAUAGUGCUUGGGUUAGGUGGAAUAGUACUAGCUUCAAGUCUAUAAAUAGAGAGCAUUUUUUCAUUCCAUUUCAUCCCAAAAUUUGUUAAGCUUAUAAGUUUCUAAGUUUUUGAGAGAAGUGAGAGAAGUGUGUUGAUGGAUUUAUAUUUCCUGCAGAGUGUGAGAGUAUUGGGUAUAUUUGGGUUUCUGGGAAGUGAGAUUCGUUACUCAAAUAUUUGUACUCUAUUAAUUGUUAAAUAAACAAUUAUUCUUUCUUGCUUCCAUGGAUAUAGGUUUAAUUACCGACCCACGUUAAAUUUUGUGUCCUUUAUUUUUCUGUAAUUAUUUGGUGCGCUUGAUUCCGCAUUCCGUGCACAACACAUAUUGAUGAUAAUGAGCAAAGAAAUGGAUCAUAAAUUCAUUAUUUAAUUUGAAAUACACACGGUACAUUAUUAGUAUUUGUCACACCAAACCCAUCUUUUACAUGAAGCAAUACGACACACCCAAAGGAAAAAUAUGUAAGAACAAAUAAAAUAAAUACCGUUAAUUAGAGCUGCAUUACAUGUAAGGAUUGUCAUCAUAUCAUGCAUAUUAAUUAACGACAAUGCUUCUUCUUCCCUUCCUUCGAAAGACCCAAGUAAUGAUCCAAACCCUUCUCAAAAUUACCAUAAAGAGGAAAUGCUAUGAGUGCUAAAAGAAUCACUGGAAAGAUAGCCGCAGCGUAGAGAGCGACAGUCCAUCUCUCCCCCAAACGAGCGAUGAGCAGAAUUGAAGCCGAGAAAGUAAUCAUGCUUGUUAAUACAGAGAGGAAGAGUAAAAAGAAGCCAAUCCUCAGCUUUUUUUGGAAGGUGGUCAAGGAAAUCAGAUGACUCACGUGGCGAGGUGAGGAUAGAUAGAAACAUCACAGCGGAUGACAAAGAUAAGGACAACGAGGCAACGUCCGUUAUGGUAAAAAGGUAGAACAUUGGUGAAUCAAGGAAAUUGGGGAACCCCUUAUCAUUGUUACCUCCGGGCACCGUGUAGGCAGCCGCGUAGACGAAGGUCGCGAUGAGAAUUGACAGUGUGGAGCAUGACUCAGAGGUUUCUUUGAUCCAGUCUUGUGCUUUCUUAAGUUGAUCUUCAUGUGUUCGAUUGAAGAGGUCCUCUGCAGUCAUUCUCUUUUUUGCAUCACGGUGCAUGGCAUAAUGGCUAGGCGCUAUGUCUUUUACACACUGCACACACACACACACACAUAUAAUGCAUGGAGUCAAUCAGAAAAUAUAAUAUUAGAGAAUGCUUUUAUUUAUAUAAACACUAUGAAUCAAUUAAAUGUGCUUAGAGGACAAAAUUAAAUAUUAUCAAAGGGCUUACCUCGAACCACUGUAACUCCUCCUGAAAUUGGUAAACAGGACCAGGGCGGAUUCCGUGCUCGUAAUGUUUCAUGUCUGCAACAUGGUGCAAUAUUGUGUAGCCUUUGUCGUCAAUUCUUGUAGCCCAUUUCAGCACAUACAGUGGCAUUUUCUCCAUGAUGAACUGAAAGAUAUCAUGUCGACGACGCCUUAUGGCCACAUGUAAUAUGGUCUGCCCUUUCUGAUUCACGGUAGAUAACAUCGCUUGAGGAUUUUGUCGGAGUAUCUCCUCCAAAAUAUCUCUUAUUCCAUUACUAGCUGCAAAGAGUAAUGUCCUAUCCGUUGCUGGGGCUUUUCUAUGAUCAUAAACUGCUUUGUCAGUGUGAUCUUUUAUCGUCAGCGCCUCGACCAAUUCUUUAGCCGAAUAAUCAACAAGUUUUUUUCCCAUGAGGUCAUCUCCUUUGCUUAAUCCCAAGGAAAUUGUGGUGGGAUUUGUAGAACUUGUGGAAAUUUCUUGUUCCCUUGUUUCAGCCUUUUUUUCUAGUUCAAGUUGAACCAGCAUUUUGACAAGUGCAAGCGCAUGUUCACGCAUUUUCAUUUUCUUCAAGAUUUUCUUCAUAAUCCGAGAUCCUGGUCAUGCAUGCAUCAACAUCUUAUUAAUUAUGAACAAAAUUACGCACGCAAGUACGGCAAAUCCAUUCGUCAAAUAAAUUGAAGUUAUUUGACAUUUCCCAUGUACUUCUAAUGUGUUUCAUAUAUGUAGAAGUAAUUAAUGAAAUUCUUAUUGGUCGAACCUCGAAUCACUCGCCUCGAAAAACCAAUGCACAUCAUCCGAAAUAAAAUUCCUGCAUUUUGAUUAACCUGAUCAGGCAAAAUUUUACAACUACAUGUAUAUAUUUAUGAUCUGAAAAAUUAAUGCUACCGUAUCGAAAAGGAAACCACUCAAACUCAAGUUAAAAGGAUCAUACACUAAUAUUAAAAGGCAUGUGGCAUAAAAUUUUUAAAAUAUCAGAAAAGUUCAAAUCAGGAAAGGAUCCUAAUCCUUAAAGAAGUGUGAGGGUUCAAAUUUAGGAAAACAUGUGGGUGUCAUUCAAUUGAGACUAAUGACUAAUCCUAGUGAGGGUUUUUAUUUAAGGAGACAUGUGGGUGUAUUGAGAUGGUAAAAUUUUUCGCCUUGAAAAAAAGAAUUCUAUGGUUCAAGCCCGGUGAGUAACAAAUUGGGUUGCAAUUCAGCUAAACAAUAAUUUAAAAGAAAAAAAAAUUGGAAAGACCGUCAUUUUCGAAAAUAAAAUACUGCAGUUUGUAGCUAUGGUCCUUAUCGUAAGAAUAUGAAUGAGUUCGUAGAAACUAAAGAUAAAGGGAACUUCAUCUUUACCCCAACUAUAUGAGGCAUUAUACACUUUCCCCAGCAAUAUUUUCAAAAUGGCCAUGUACUGUGGUUAAACGAGAACAUAUUAAAACAAUUAUUUCACUAUUCUGUCCUUGAAAUGGCUUAUUUUAUCCUAGAAAUUAAUGAAUAAAAUAAAAUCUAAAAAGUAUUAUAAAUAUUAAAUAUGUUAAAAUACAGAUUGCAAGAAAUCUGCGGUCAAUUUCUUUGGUCAUUUUUUUUUAUGCUGACGUGCCAAUCGAAAUAUAAAAAUCAGACUUUCCAUUUCAUUUGAUAAAGAUCGAUUUACCCUCCAAAAGCUAAGAUUUUGUUAAAAACUACCGAUAGGCCGAUACAAAGAUAUUUUUCAAAGAUCAGGGAAGAGUACUGGGUGGUAGCUCAAAUAUUUGAGGGUAAUAAAUAGGUUUCUAAAUUAAAAUACAAAACAGGAGCAUGCAAUGAUAUUACCAAAGACUGCUCCGACUAAAUUUGCAUGCUCUUCUUAUUUUCGCUUGAAAAAACUAACCUCAGUAUUAUUUUUUUUUCUCAAAAUUUAGGCUUUGUUUGGCUUCUAAGCCAUAUAGAAUAAAAAUUUUAGUUAUUAAUAGAAAAUUUAUGGAUAUUUUGUAAAAUUAAACACCACUAGAUGUCAAGUAAAAAUUGAAGUAUAGUAUUUAUCGAUAAAUAAUUGUGAGAAGUAACCAACUUAAAAAGCCGAACUGACAAAGUGUUUACAGCUGAUUAAUUGUCACAAAGCAAGUCAAAACAAAUAAUAAAGCUAAAGCCUAAAGCUUUAGCCGUAGCUAAAGCCUAAAGCUGUUUGUUCGGGCCUUGAUUCCUGAAUUUAUAGAGUUAUAAUGAUUAGUGAAACCACUAUAUCGUGAUCAUGAACAAAUUAAAGCUGCUCUUUCACCAUUACCUCGCCUCUUCUUUGCAUGGCCCUUGCGAUUGUCAAUCUUAUCAGUCUCCAAAUCUUCUUUGUAAUUGCAGUCGUCAUCCAGAUACGUUCGAAGACAUGAUAAUAUAACUGCGAUUGAAAAUAAAUAUUUUAAGUUCUAAUCAUGUAGCAAAGCAAUUAAAAAAAAAAUUGGCUGUAUCCUCUUUAUGUGUGAAUACGAAUUAACAAAAAUAUUUCUUCUAAUUAAUUUGGUUAUUGUUUCCAUUGUAACGGCAUGCACCCACGUCGACAGGACUAUAUAUAUCUCCUUAGAGAUUAAUUUAUAUGCGCAUAUAAUUAAUAUAUUAAAAAUGAUAAAGAAACUGAAGGCGGAUAGAAUGUUGACCUAAAUAACAGUAUCUCAGUCGGGGCGGGUGCACCAUUUUUUGCGUAUAUUUUUCAUGAGAACGCUGAUAUUAUAAAAAAGAUACUGAAAAAAAAUAAAAUUUGUUACAUGCAAUCAAAUUUACAUUGUUAAUUGCUAAUACUGUAACCCUGCCCGAGUGCAUGUACACUUUAUAUGUCGGUGUUUAGUCUCUUUUAUUGUUUUUGUUUCCAAGUAAUUAGUUUAUAUAUAAUAGACUUAAGUCAAUAUUGAUACUUGUUCAUUUUUAUAUUUUUCUGCUGUAAAUAUCUUUUGUAUAUGUAUAUUUUAGUUACAACUGUACACAUGAUACUAGGAAUUAGUUGGCACUUAUCCAGGAAUCAGUUGAACAAAUUCUUCUUUUGUAUUAUAAACAUUCAGUAAACCCAAUGGGAAAUAGUGGAGACAAAUUUUCCAAACCUGGUGCCGAAUAAUAUAUCCACGUAUGAGGAUUGAAAAGAGACGCCUUUUUCUUCAUGUCGUCCGCACCCGUGAAAGCAGUUGGCAUUAGAGCUAGUAGUUCAAGACACGUAAAGCCAAUAUGCUCGUCGGACUUUGGGGGCUUGCGGGACGUGGACCAGAGCUCGUCGGACUACAGCGUUCCACGUUUUUCUGCAAGGCUUGAGUCGUGGUUAAGUAACCAAAUAGCCGUCUCUGUACGUAGUCGAGAAAAUUAAUUAAUCAGUUCAGAAAAUAAUAAUAAAUUUUUUAACUCUUGAUCUAUAAACGCAUGAAUUAAUUGGAGAUUUAAUUAGUAUAUGUUACCGAAGUGUUGGGUGAGGACAGCCAUAUGAAGUAUUGUCAUAUCAUCUUUUUCUCUAUGGAAAUGAUAACUUGAGUCACAAAAUUGCUCAGUCAAGAUUUGCAGCACUUUAGUUUUCCCAAGAACGGCAGCCCUAUAAACUGGAGUUUCCCCCAAACCGUUACGAACCCUGAGUAGAUUUUCGUGCGCAUCAACAGACUUUCUGGAAAAGUCAACCAAAACCCUGGCCACGGCGAAAUCUUCGACGACGGCCGCUUCGUGAAGACCAUUGUUUCCAAACUCAUCUGUUUGCUUCAAGACUUCACGUCUGGUCUCUGGUGGUAGCCUUUCGAGAAAUUCCUGGAUCAGCUGAGGGUCUUCCAUGGCCGCUGCAAUGUGAAUCGCUCUGUCCCCGUUGACUGUCCUGUAAUCCAACAAGUCUUUAGCAGUUCGUUGAUCAAAAUACUGCAAGAAGCCUCGACAGUCUCCCUUCAAGGCCAUGCCAACAGGAUCUUCCAUCGCCCUCUCUCUCUCUGUUUCUCACUUGUAUAAUUGAUGCACAGAACAAGCUAUACGUGUUCUUCGAUAUCCAUAUAAUUAAUUACCUCCAUCGCCGUCCCUUAUAUAGAAGUUCUAAACGAAGUUGGCAUAAUCACUUUGCCUAUUUUACUAAUAAAGCUCAAGCAUUAUAAGAAAAAAAAUAAAGUUCUAAAGUGACAAAACGGAAAAGAUGAUAAAAGAACAAAGUUCUGAAAAGAGAAUUGAUUAUUGAUGAAAAGUUGUUUACAUUGUACGGUAUUGUUCCCUUAAAUUCAUAGAAUGUGAAGUUACCAAAAGAGCAAAGUUAAAAAUAAAAUAAAAUUAUUUUGUUUGAGAUAAAAGAGAAAAAGAAAAAGAAAAAGAAAACGCAUGCAAUUAAAAAUGAUAUUUUUUGUUGAUUCAAGAGGCCAAUCACCUCUGAAAUGAAAUUAACUUUUGUCUUUCUAUGUGUUUGGGAACGAUAUAUUAUAUAUGCAAAAACGAACAGUUGUAUCUAAAAUUACAUUUGGGAAAGUAUAAAGAUCACGUUCCACGUCAUAACGUUUGUUAACAAAUGAUGUCAAUAAAAAGAAUAGAAUAUAUAAAUUAUUUCCAGGCUCAAGUUACAGCUCCGAGAAGGUGUAUGGUCCAUGUUGUACAUCAUAAGGUUUGUUAAUCAAUGGUGUCAGAAAAAUAGAGUAGAAUAUAUAUAAUUUAUUUCCACAACUUAAUUUUGUCUCCAUUGCUUUUUCCGCGAAUAUAUAUAAAAAGAGUGGGAGAGAUCCUAACCCUUACUUUAAUAACAUGGUGAUUAUUGUAAACGCGAUUGUGCUUUGACUAGACUAAAGCCUUUUGCUAUUCUACAUGUUAUCAUUAUUUCUCGUCAUGGAGUGGCAGACAAUCAAUAAAAAAUAAAUAAAAAUGUAAAAAUAUUUGGAAAGUUUAAACCUUAUGAUAGAAUUUUGCCUUAUUUUGCAUAGAUGUGUUGUGAAAAUCAACUGUAUACUAUAUUGUAAAUAUGGCUUUGGAAAAAUAUCUUUACAGACUUUUAUCGUACAACUAUAGAAUAAAAUCAAAUUAGCUUCUAAACUAUAGCAGUAACUAUUUAUGAAACACUUUAUUGAUCUAUUUUAAAAGCUUCCACUGCUUAAUUACAAUACCAAACAAGAUGUUGAUCUAAGUUGGUUCCAACCACAAUACCAAAUAGGGACUUACAUUUUAUCAGUUAAGUCAUUAAGUUUAUUUGUUUUUUUAACUUAUUAAAAAUUUCAAUCAUUAAGCUAUUAAGCCAAUUUUCUUAGCUUCUUAUUUAAUCUAAAAAGUCUUAAUAAUGUUAUUAAAGAUAUUAUUUAAAAUAUUCCUAUCCAACUAAUUUAUUUUCAUCUUUACCUAAAUAAAACUUACUAAUUAGCAUACUAUUCAUCUUUAUAACUUGUGAGAAUAUAGUAUAUUUUUUAUUUUAAUCUUUUUUAUUUUCUUCAAAUUAGCAUUAUCUAUUUUCAUAAUUUUUUAUGAGUAUUUUUUAUAUGAAACACCAUAAAGUGCAAUAGAAUUGAUUCACACGUUCUAAUUUAGAAUAUUAAAGGGUUGUAUUCACCUUAACAUGAUUCAUGUUAUGAAAGAAUAAUAUCAUAUUUUGUUCAAUGAGAUUUUAUUAUUUAUUUGACAUUUGAAAUUUAUGAGCGUACAAAUGUAAAAGUAUUGGUUUUUAGAUUUUUAAGUUGAAAAAAAAAAUUAUUGUUCAAAAAUUCAUACUAAAAAAAAAAAUGUUAUUUGGAUUUAAACGUUUAGCUCUAUUCAAAAUUCAGAUUAACUUGGGUCUACUCAAAUUUUAGAUAAAAAAACAAAUGUCACCUAAGUAAAUCUAUGAUGAUACAAGCAUAUUAGUAUUUUAAAAAAAAAAUCAGCAUCUUCUUUUUUCAAAUAUUACACAAUAUAAAUUAAGCUUCAUAGAAUGCGAGUGUGAAUGGAAUUUAAAGCAUAUGGCCAUUCUUCCGUAUCUGUCCUUAUCUCAUCCAUAAGUGCCAUCUCUGUCAGCAAAUCAUUGAAAAAUAAAUAAAAAUAAAAGAGACAAUUAUCAUCCUAUUGCUAAAAGGAAAAAUUUUAAACUUACCAUUUUUUUGCUCGUAGUAACCUAGGGUAUUACAUAUUUUAAAUAAUAAUUCUGACAAAAAAAAUUACAUAUUAUUAUUUGAGAAAAAUAAAUUUAAUUUUUAAAAUAUAAUAAUAAAUUUUUGGUAAGUAUUUUUAAUUUUAUAACUUAAAAGGUACCACUGCCUAACAACAAUAUUAAACAAAACCUUGAUAUAAGUUAAUCCUAAGAAAUUUUUUAUUGCAACUCUUAAGUAAAUUUGUUAUUGUAAAAGAUUCAGUUUUUUUUUUUUGGAAAAAAAAUCAGCAUCUACUUCUUUAUUCAAUAAUUAACAUACUUUUUAAUUGGUUAAUUAUUUAAUUACAUUAAAAUAUUUCAUAUAUUGAUUUUUUGUUAUUAGAUUAAUGAAUUUUGAGUAAAAACUUGGUUGUUAUUCAAUAUUCGACUUCAUGUCUUGGCCUGAUGUGAUGAUUCCAUUGCAUCAAUUGAUUAUACGGCGCUGGGUGGAAUCUCAUCAUCGUUUUCCCUUGAAACAAUUUCUAAUGACGUAAACCAAAAAUUCUUUUUUAUGGUGGAAUAUCAUCAUCGUUUUGCCUUAGCACAAUUUCUAAUUCCUUUCUUGAAUGUCCUUCAACAUUGUGAAAUACAUUAAAAUUUUUCUUAAAUUUUUUAUUCAUAAUGACGUAAUCCAAAAAUUCUUCAAUUUUUUAUUUGAGAAUGGCAUAAUCCAAAAAUUUAAGGGCUCAUAUUUCAUUUAGGAUCAAAAAUAAAUUUCAAAAAAUUAAAACAGAAUUUAAAAAUUAAUUUCAAUUGGAGUUUUGAUGUUAAUUUUCCUUUUAUUAUUUAGCCUUAUAACAACUUAAUCCCCUUCCUAUUCAUGUGAGUGGAUUACGAACCUUAAACCUCUUAUUUUCAACACAAUAAUCUAUUUCGUUUCAACUAAAUGGCAUCAACAAUGUGUUUAUGCAGUAUCUAAAAAUGAUAAUCCCAACAAUGGAAACGUGUUUAGCAUAAUUUUUAAUUAAACUAAAAAAAAUUAAUAUUUAGGUGCUGUGAUUUCAAAGAUAAUUUUUAAUGAAAUAUUAAGUGUUUAUAUAAUUACAAUUUCUUUUCCUUUUCGUCAAUUACAUUACAUCAAGCAGAAACUUAAAAGAAAUAAACAUAAAACAAGCUUCAUCAAGAUUUCAAUAAUUGAUUAGUAUCUUUAGCUAAGCUUCUAUUAGGCAGAAAUAGAAACUGAUUGACAAUACAAAUGGCCAAUAACAUGGAAAAUAUGUCCCUCGAAACAUUACAACUACAAUAAUGUUGCUUAGAACUCGUGACGAGAGAAUAGGAACUACCAUCUUGCAAGUGAUCCGUCAUGCUCGGAUUCCAGUAUGUUGAAAAAAGUGGAUUAUAGUUAAAAAACUGAAUUAUAAGGCUAUUGUGCUGAGAGGAUAAAAGAAAAACAUGCACUGAAAGUGAUGUAACCAACUUGAUUUUUAUUCCUCUGAUCAUUUCAUAUUUAUACAAAGUUGUUGUACUGUGUUAACAGCUGUAACAUCACAAGAUCAAGGGCCUAGGUAAAAUGGUGAUAAGAACCGUUAUUGUACUGUUGUCUCUUUUUACUGCACAGUCUUAGCCAUCCAUCUUGUUUCUUAAAUCUCAGCUGUUUGAUUGGAUGAAGCUUCUAGACUCUUCAAUUUAAGCCAGCCGCCAAUAUUGAAUUCACUGCAGCAAUACAUCAUAUAGCUUGUGUGCUUAUUAUAGAUUCCUUAUUUUAACUCCCCCUCUCAAGCUCAGUUAUCUGGAUAGACAUUGAGCUUACUUCUAACGUAUUUAAAGCUUGCUAUUGGCAAGGCUUUGGUCAAGAUAUCUGCUGCUUGAUUCUUAUUGUUUACAUACUUCACUUUCUAGCUCAUUCGCUGUAAUUUCAUCCCUGACGAAAUUUUCAUCGAUUUCAAUGUGCUUCGUUCUUCCAUGAAAUACGGGGUUUUUAGCAAGUGCAAUGGCACUCUUUUUGUCACACCAUACCGUAGGGAUUUGACUGAGCUCAAUUUCCAAUUCUAAAAGAAGUGACUUCAUCCAACUGAUUUCUGCAGCUCCAUGGGAGAAUGCUUUGUACUUUGCUUCGGUACUUGACUUGGAUAUAACUUUUUGCUUUUUUGAGCUCCAUGAUACUAGAUUCCCAGCCAAAAGGUUGCUAUACCCACUCGCUGAUCUCCUAUCAUCUUGGUCAAUAGCCUAAUCAGCAUCGGUAUAUGUUGUAUGGUGUGUGAUUUCUAAUACUAUGGGUGUCAAUGUGCAAAUGUACACAAUAAGUAAUAUACUAAUAAGUAUUCAGAUUAUCUCCACAUAGACUGAUGUUAUCAAAUUGUCUACGACAAUCUUAACAAUACAGUUCUAUUCUAAAUUAAAAUAAGACAGUUUAUGAAACUAAAUAACUAAUAAAAAAUACAAUAAAUAAAACGCAAUAAAAAAAAUUCUCAUGUCAAACACAAGGAUGUAACCAAUGGGAAUAAAGUAGUUGAGUUAAUAAACUCACUUAAUGGCUUUGACUAUUUUUUCAAUUACAGUGCCAUUGCUACAACAUCUACUACAACACUAGACAGAAUCCCUCAUGCAUCAUCAGCUGUCGCCUAUUGGAUAAAUAUAAUACAAUACCAUUGCUACAACAUCUACUACAACACUGGGCAUAAUCUCUCGUGCAUCCUCAGCUGUCGCCUAUUGGAUAUCUUGUAUCUAAUGCAGCUUAACAGUUACCAAUUGUUAUGCCAACAUUAAAUAUAGCAUUAAAUGAUCUAGAUUUGAUUUACCCUGCAAGGUGAAUCUCCAUGUCUAGUCUUUACUAAUUUUCGAUCAAGUAUGACCCUAUUCAAAUUAAGAUUAACUCAACUUAAGAAACCCAAUGUAAAACCAAGUAUUAUUUUAAUGAGAUCUACAAAGUCAUACCUUUUUUAGGCUCUUUCUUAGUUAGUAUCCACUAAAUGGGUGGUCAGUCAAAAUAUGGAAUUAAAAUAAACAUAAUUAAGACAAAAUGCUAUAGCAAACAUAAAGCAACAAGUGUAUAUCACUCAAACAUCUAUUGAGAUGUUUAUUACUCAACCACAAUCAAAAUCAAUUUAUAAUUUGUGAUAAAAAUAAAUAAAAUUGUUUUAUCCACCAAAUACAUCCCCAUAAAUAAAUAGAAAAUAAGAAAAUAAGAUAAAGAGUUGAAGUCCGCUUAAUCUUACGAUCUUUCCUUCUUGUUCACUGUGAAUCCUCUGUUGCAGCCUGAAAAUCUAUCUUAUUUUAUGUUUUUCUUUUGUUUUUCUCUGUGAUUUUUCUGUGAGUGAUGACUUUCUCUUUUCCUUUGCAAGUGUGCUCCUUUUAUAACCCAAAAUUAGGCAACCGAAAGUUUAACGCGUGCAUCUUCGAUUUUUGAAACUUUAGAUCACAAUCUUUUAAUUGUUGCGCACGAAAUCCAGUCUGUCAUUGCUCCAGGAUUGUACAGCAACAGCUAUAGCAUUUGUACUGUUCCAGAUUUGUUUCAAUUCCUCUAUAGCCAAGUUCUUUCAUUGUCUCUACAAGUCUAUUGCAGCAAUAUUUCUUCCUUAAAACUUGUGCUUUCAGUCACCUAUAAUUAUGCAUAUAAUCUAAGUAUAAAUUAUUUUAAAACAACUCAAUUUAUUAAAAAUAAAGCAAAAUGGAUGUUCAUGCAAAAUAUAACUAAAAUGCAAUAAAAAUAUGUCUUUUACUUUCUAAGUAAUCUUGAUUUAAGUUUAAAAGUGUCAUGAUAACUCUUAUUUCAUAGAGUUAUCACUGUAAUUUCCAUUCUUCUUGUUGGAGUGAAAUAGAGAUCAUGGUCUAUAAUUCCAUUGAGGUAUCUUAAUAUUCUCUUACUCCCCUGCCAAUGUAUUUGCCUUGGAUCCUGCACAAAUUGAGACAACUUGUUAACACUAUAUGCUAUAUUCGGCCUUGUUAUUGUUGUCUAUUGAAGUGCUCCAAUUACACUCUUAUACAAUGUUUUGUCAUCAAAUGCUCUUCCUCCAUCUUUUUUAACAUUUGACUAUACUGGACAUGAGCUUAUGGUAUGCGACUUGGUUUACAAUCGACCAUGUUUGUUUUAGUUAAAACAUCUUGUAUGUACUUUGCUUGACAUAAAUACAUUCCCCUACGAUCUCGCUUAACUUCGAUUCCCAAGAAGUAAUUCAAAUCCCCCAACAUCUUGAGUGCAAAAUUUUGUUUUAAUUUUUUUUUUUUGGUCUGAACCACGAGGUGGUCCUGAGUGGGCCCCAACUGUGGGAGGCACCUUUAAGCCCGUACCACAACCCAGACUAAUCCCCACUCGCACCAGGUUGGCCCAUAAGGGGUAAAGUGCUGGCCAAAGUUGGUUGGUGUGAGUGGUUCGGCACUCUCACUCCUUAAGAGAGGUCAGGGGUUCAAGCCCCGCUCUCGUAUGUAUCAUCACAUUAUUAUUUUCGGUUAUCAGUAUAUUAUCAACAAAAAUCAGUUGGUAGACUGAUUUUUCUUUAUUUUUCCAAUAUAACAAGAAAGCAUAUGAGAUUGCUUUUUGAGCUCAACUUGUGGCUCCAUCAUUGCUCUUCUCUACAUUAUACAAAUAGAACCAUAAGAAAAUUCCCAGCAAACUAAAACCAUAAAUAAACUAAAGAUUAUUAAAUUAAUAGUAAUGGGGACUGAUUUAUAUAAUAAAAGUCCCCAAAAAUGUGGAAAACACAAACCUUGAAACAAUAUAAUUGCAGUGGACAACGAUUUGUUUUUUAAGUGUUUUUUUCUCUUCUAAUCAUUCUUAUUAGUGAAACAAGUAGGUAAAAUUGAAUUUUAAAUUUUGAUACUAACAAUUGAACAAACAUUUUUCAUUGUAUUUAUAAUUACACCAAUUUUUUCAUUAGAUUUAAAAAAAUAGGAGAGACUACGAGAGGAUUGUAAGCCAAUUACAGUAUCCAUUUGCAUUCUUCUUCUUAUUUGAAAACUUUUGCCAUCCCUCGACACCAUCAUGCUUUGUUGUAGUUGUAAUUUCUUUAUUGUUUCUUUUUUGUGAGCUAAAUACUCCAUUGCGGUUACGACAUCGCUCAUCUUGGCCUUGUUCCAGCUUCUUCUUGCGGACUCAUAUUCCUGCCACUGCACAUUCUUUGGUGGUGUUUGGUUGGGAGGAAAGAAUAGAGAAAAGGAAAAUAAUUUAAUUUUAUCUUUAUUUUCAUUUUUUGGUUGAACAAAGUAUAUAAGAAUUUAAUUUCCAUUAUCCUUUAAUUUUUUAACUUGUUUAAUGCCAUUAAUAAUAAUUAUUUAUAAUUUUAUAAGUUAAUAGUAUAAAUAAUUUUAUAUUAAUUAAGUUUAAUGAAUAAUUUAAGAAACUUAAAAAAAUAAAUAAAUGUUAGAGUGCAAUUUAUGCACUAGUUUUGCAUUGUUUACUUCCCUCAAUAUUGAUGUUUCGCACUUAAUAAUAGUGAUUUACUUGUGUUUUACUUUUGUAGGUGCAAUUCUAUUGAUUGGUGAUAAAAUUGAGCUACAAGAUGAUGUUUAAGGAUGAUUGUUCUCUUGGAGAAAUUAUGAGCGUCAGAAGAACUUUGUUGAUAAGGCGUGGGCGCGUGCUGUCAACUGCGGACCUGCAGUUUUUAGUUUAACGUGUUUUGUAUUUUUGGUUAUUUUUGUAAUUACGAAUUUAAUAUUUCAGAUAUUAGUAUUUAUUUUAAAUAGAAUUCUAAAAGAGAAGAGAGAGAGAGUAUUUAAGGGAGGAAUCUAUUGUGAAAAAGGGGUUUGGAGAAAAAGAAAGAAACCCUAGAUCUAAACUUUUAUCUUUUCUCUAUGAAGAACUAAACCUAUUUUUCUGGUUGAAGGAUAAUGAAGCUUUGAUUCAUCACUACUGUGAGAUCUAUUUUAUGCUUUAAUUGUUUUAUUACUUUUUGGGUAUUUGUUUAUUCUUUGAAUUAUUUUCAUGAUUAUGUUUGUUAAUUAGGUAAUUGGCCACUAUUUAAUUAUCAACUUAAUCUAUUGUUAAUUAAAGGAUUCAUCGUAUGAAGAUUUUAAUGUUUGUGACAAAUAACAUAGCAGUGAGUUGUAUUAUGAGAAUAAACAAUCUAAUUUAAAUGAAUCAUCGUGUGUGUUGAUUAGGAUUUGGGUCUCUCUGGUUUUUCAGGCUGUCAAUUGAUUAAAUUCUAUGAUCGUAUCUAGGGAUGUCUAUUGAUUAGGGAAAUAACCAACGGUCGUACCUUGGUUAUCGACUAGUUAAGGAGAGAUUGGCUAUUAGAGGGUCUCAAUAGCUAUAACCGGUCUAUUAAUAAGUAAUAAUAAUCUAUAUUUGAAUCAAUGAUCAGUAGUCGAAUCAAGUUGAGUUAAUUCCUUCAACCAGAGCUUUCUCCAAUUUGAAUUACAACUUUAAUUUGCAUUCUUGUUAUUUUAAUUUGAUUUUUAUUAUUGUUAACAAAAACCCCAUUUUAUGUUUUACGUUUUAAAAGGACUUAAAUAAUUACCGAUCUCUGUGGACACGACCCUGCUCACUCACUAUACACAAUUUAUUUAGAGUAGGAAUUUAUUUUUGUUGGCUUCGACAACCAUCAAUAAACUUGUUUAUUUAUUUAUUUAAUAUGAAAAUAUAAAUUAACCGUUGUCAGAACUUUGACGGACCAUCGCCAGACAGUCGCCCGAUAUCUGCGGGACCAUAGCCAGAACUCUAUCAGACCGUUGCCGAAACUCUGCCGGACCGACAUUUUAUACACACACACACACACACAUAUAUAUAUAUGGUUUUAAAAGGAUUAAAACUAUAAGGCUUUAAAGCCGUGCGGUUUUAAAGCCGUGCAGUUUUAAAACUUUCUCGAACUUUCCUACACUUUAAAAUUCCUAACAAAAAAACUACUGUAUGUAUAUAUAUGUAUGUAUAUAUAUACAUAUAUAUAUAGGAUCGAAGGAUGGAUGUGCUUUCGUUGGAAUAUCAAUUAUUUAAAACUCAAAUUAAACAAUGCUUGGAUUGGGUCGGCUUUAUCCAAUUUUAAAAGUAAUUACCAGCUUUGAAAUAAAUAGAUUUGCUUUGGAACGUGGUUGGUCAAAUUUUAAUAAAGGUACGUGGCGUUGUAUCUAGAUCGAUGCAGAGACAAGUCUGCCUUUGGAACCAGAUCUGACUUAGAACAGAUCAAUAUUCCGCACGUUCUAGUUUCCAGCCGAUAUACGAAUUUUAUUUACCAAAUAUUUGUUAAGUUCUUUAAGCAAGCCUAGCAACAACAUUCAUCUAAGGCUAGGGUGCAUACACAGUACCAGAUCUGGUUCCCGGAAAUGGUGCUCUGAAGGAAUGGAGGGAGAAGAGAAGAUUUACAACUGAGGAUCGAGAUCUGGUCUCUUUGCCUCAGAGGAACGUACAAUUUUUAUGGCAGAUCUGAUAUAGAUCAGUCUGCAAUCAUGCUUUGUAAAAGAGAAAUGCUUUAAAAUUAAAUUGCAAAAAUUUAAAUUACAUAAAGUAAAUUACAGAAAUUUAAAUUACAAAAAUUAAAUUGCGGAAAUUUAAAUAUACAUGAAAUUGAAAUUGCUUUAAAAUAACAUUACAUUUAUUUCUUUAUUUCUUUAUUUCUUUAUUUCUUUUGAUUCGACAGCUUUAUGAGUGGAAAAUCAGAAAAUAGUCUGAAAACAAGGAACUUAGGGAAAAUUCCUUGAAUACAGAAGAUCUUCUUUAAUCCGAGAGAGAGAGAGAGAGAGAAUUCUAGAGAGAAGGAGGAGAAGAAGAGAGAGAAGUUCUAAACCAAAAAUGAAAAACUUGAGGAGUCUAAGUCUUCCUCUUGGUUUUUAUACAAAAUUUUUAAACUGUUCACUGUAGCGGAGCUUUGAGUGCACAAUAAUCUUUGGAAAUCGGCACUGUUCACUGUAGCGGAGGUGAAGCAAACAGUAAGCUUUGGAUCGUAUGUAACAGUAAUCUUUGGAGCGUAUGUUGGAAUAGAAGCUUUGUAGAAAUACGGGUGAAGAGACAUGUGCGCUCCCACUUGUGUCCAGAGGACCACCCGAAAAUGUAAAAUUAUAUAUAUAUAUAUUUUUUUUUUUUUUUUUUUGAAUAGUUACAUGAACUAUUUACAAUGCUUUAAUGGAGAGAAAAUUCCAAAACAAUCAUCUUCAUUUUCAUCUCCGAGAGAAACGGUUGGCUCUUCAUCUUCGUCUUCAUCUUCGGAGGAGUCAGCCACUGAUGACUUUGACCGGGAGGCGAGGAGUUGUUCCAUGGCUUUGAAGUAUUCUUCUUCUGUCUUGGCACUUGCCAAAAGAGACUGGGCUUUGGACUUUUGGGUAAGGAAAGUUUGCUGGGCUUUGGAGUCUUUUAUAGAGGGUUGAAGGAAGCCUUUGGAUGAUAACCAAUUUGUGAUAAGGUUAUCGGUUAAUUUGGAUUUCUCAUCAAAUUUUGACCACCAUUUUACUUUAAAUGUUCUUUGAAGGAUGAGCUGGGCAUCUUGAGUAUGAAGCCUAAGGUUCCACAUCCAUACCCAUGGAAGGAAGAAAUUUGUACAGAAACAGAGAAAUGGGGGAAAUCUUUUUUCGGAUUCAGAAGGAAUAUAGUGGGCUUUAAAGAGGUUUAAACAGUGGGUGGCAUUUGGGGUUAAAAUUUGUGGUGCAGGACCAAAGGAAUUCCACCAAUGAUGGAACCAGUUUGGAAGGCUUUGGACGGUUAUCUUCGAGUUGAAGAAAAAUAACCAGGAGUGGGAUUUUUUGGGGUUUUGGAUAAAAAAUGUGUUAUACCAGGCUUGUUGGUAAUCCCAGUAGGAAUAAGUCCGACAAUGAGGUAAACGUGUUUGAAAAUUUAAAGGGAAGGUUUUAAAAUUAUGGAGUAGGUCACCCCAUUGGUUUGGGCUCAAAACUUUUAAAAUAGUAGCCGUGGAAUAGGCUGGCUCUGAAUGUGACUCACUGAGAAAGAAAUGUUUAAAUUUUACUGACUCUAUGAUUUCUAAAAUGCUUUGAUAAUAGGACUGGGGUUUUGUUAAAUCCCAUGAUUUGAAAAACCAGCCCUUAGGGAAAAACUUUGAAAUUGCUUGGAAAGGAUCAGCAUGGUAAAAUCCAUCUUCAAUUGAUAAAAUGUUUUGAAAAUGGGUUUUAUCAAACCAAUCGGAUGAUUUCUUUGAAAGUGUUGGCUGGGAAAGUACAAUUUGGGAAGAUGAACUUUCACCAGAGACAACCACAUUUUGAGAGGAAGGUUUUGAAAUUUCUUUGGAGAUUUCUUUUUCUUCUUUUGGAAGAAUCUGGCUUUGGGAAAGGUUUUGUAGAGCGAGCAUAAGCUCAGGUGAUUUUGUAAUGGAACUCAUCCAUUGCUUUACUUGGUCAUCAGAAGAAGUGGUUUUGUAUUGGGCUUCAUGUGCUUCAACCAAUUCAAUCCAGGAUUUAAUGGGCAUGGCUGAAGAAAGCAAUUUUUCUUUAGAAGGCGUUAGUUGGGGUUCUUUAGGGGUUGCUUGAGAUUCAGCGUCUUUAAGGACAGCUUUGCCUUUAUCCUUCUUCUUUGGCGGCAUUAUCUGUUUUGAAGAAAUUCUCUGGUUAGAAAAUCAAGAACAGAAUUCGUAUCUCCUUUAAUAAAUUCAAUAUCAAAAUCAAAAACACUUAAAAUGGCUUGCCAACGUGCAAAAAUCUGUUUGGAUGCAAUAUUUUGAACAUCUUUUUCCAAAACAUGUUUUGCAGCUUUGCAAUCAAUUCUAAGUAAAAAAUUUUGGUUUAACAAAUCACUUUGAAAUUUAGAGAUGCAUAAAACAAUUGAUAAAAUUUCUUUUUUAAUGGUGGAAUAAUUCUUUUGACAAUCGUUCCAAUGUGCAGAAACAUAUUGUACUAUUUGUUCUUUACCAUUCUCUUUUUGCUUUAAUAUGCCUCCAUAACCUAAAUCUGAUGCAUCUGUUUCAACAACUUUAGGCAAUGUAGGAUUAGCAAGGAAUAAACAUGGAAUGCUUUUUACUAUGGUCUUUAUAUGCUGAACAAUUUUUGUAUGCUCGUCAGACCAUGCAACAGGGGUUUUCUUUAGCUUAUUAUGCAAUGGUUUGGCAAUCCUAUUUAUGUUGGGACAGAAAUCAAGAACAUAAUUAAGACUGCCCAAAAAUCUUUGUAACUGGGUCUUAUCAAGGAUUUUAUCAGGAAACUUGUCUGUAAAGGCAAGGGACCUUUCAAUAGGAGUAAUGGUUCCUUUAGAAAUAUAAUGACCUAGGAACCUGACUCUAGUUUGGAAUAAUGAAAUCUUUGAACUAGAAAAGGCUAGACCAGCUUUCCUAGUGGCAUAAUAGAAAGUCUUUAAGUGUUUGAAAUGUUGAUCAAUUGAUUGAGAAAAAAUCAACACAUCGUCUAUAUAGACAAUGCAAAACUCAGAAUAAGGGUUGUAAAUGUCAUUCAUUAUUCUUUGGAAUUCUGAGGGUGCAUUCUUUAAACCAAAUGGCAUAACAGUCCACUCAUACUGUCCAAAAGGAACAGUAAAAGCAGUUUUGUAACGAUCUUUUGGAUGAAUUUGAAUUUGCCAAAAACCAUAUUUCAUGUCAAAUUUUGAAAAAAUAAGAGCAGAACAUAAUUUUUGAAGCAAAUCCUUUUUAUUAGGUAUGGGAUACCUAAUCCAUUUUAAAGCUUUGUUUAAAGGUUUGUAAUUUAUUACAAGUCUUGGUAUGCCUCUUUCAAUUUCAGAAUUUUUAUUCACGUAAAAAGCAGCACAAGACCAUGGGGAUCUGAACUUUACAAUGAGUCUUUUUGACUCUAAAUCCUUUAUUUUAUUUUUACAAAGUUGUUCCAAUUCCAUAUUCAUCUGGAUUGGACGGGCUUUAGUGGGUAUCUGCUUUUCAUCAAAAGAGUUUUCAUAAGGUAAAUCAACUAAGUGUUGUUUCCUAUCCCAAAAAGCAGAAGGUAGAUCAGCACAAAUUUCUUUUUCAAUAAGGGUUUUGAAAUCAGAAAUUUGUCUUUUAAUGAAGUCAUUUUGUAAAUGGGUCUCAAUUCUUUUUAAAUUUAAAUCCUUUUUUAAAAAAAACAAGUCAUUUUGUUUAGAUUUAAGAACGACAUUGAUAUGGUUUUGAUAGACAGAGCAAGCUUUAACAAUGUUUAGAUUUCUUGUUUUUGGUUUUUCAAUAAAAGGAAAAAUAAGUUUUUUGGAUUUUGCUUUAAAAGAUAUACUAUCGUAAUUGACAGUAUAUGAGGUAAUCAAAUUUAUAAAUGGGGUUCCUAAAAUGACAGCAUGGUGUAUGUCAUUUGUAAGGUAAAUCAACUAAGUGUUGUUUCCUAUCCUAUUACCAGCUUUAAAACAAAUCACCACUAGAAAAUAUUUGAUUAAAGUCACCUUAAUCUUUUCAAAUGAUUUUGCAAUAGACGUCAUUGCCCUUUUUGACACUGGUGCUGAUUUAAAUUGCAUAAGAGAAGAUAUUGUCCCUAAAAGAUUUCAUGAGAAAACUAAAGAAAGACUUUCUGCCGCCAAUAAUUCAUAACUUAAAGUCAACUCUAAAGUCGAAGCUUCUAUUCAUAAUAAUGAUUUUGAAUUCAGAACUUCUUAUAAGAUCUGCCAUAAAAAUUGUACGUUCCUCUGAGGCAAAGAGACCAGAUCUCGAUCUUCAGUUGUAAAUCUUCUUUUCUCCCUCCAUUCCUUCAGAGCACCAUUUCCGGGAACCGGAUCUGGUACUGUGUAUGCACCCUAGCCUUAGAUGAAUGUUGUUGCUAGGCUUGCUUAAAUAACUUAACAAAUAUUUGGUAAAUAAAAUUGGUAUAUCGGCUGGAAACUAGAACGUGCGGAAUAUUGAUCUGUUCUAAGUCAGAUCUGGUUCCAAAGGCAAACUUGUCUCUGCAUCGAUCUAGAUACAACGCCACGUACCUUUAUUAAAAUUUGACCAACCGCGUUCCAAAGCAAAUCUAUUUAUUUCAAAGCUGGUAAUUACUUUUAAAAUUGGAUAAAGCUGACCCAAUCCAAGCAUUGUUUAAUUUGAGUUUUAAAUAAUUGAUAUUCCAACGAAAGCACAUCCAUCCUUCGAUCCUAUUUCCUUCUGGUAUCAGAGCCAAGGGGAGGAUUGUGUAAAGCAGUUUAUAGAUUUUGUGUUUAAAGACUUGUGUUUUAUUUUAAAGUUUUGUUGUGUGGUGAAUUCCUUACUGGUAGUAAGUCCCGUUUUAGGAUAAGAUUUUCCGCUUAGGGCUGUAAAACCAUACCUGUAGCCAUUCUUUCAAAACCAUAAAUAGACCAUAGGUUUUUACCCAUGGACCCUAUACACUGUAGAACAUCAUCCUUUUCUAGCUCUUCUUCUGGGAAGACUAGUGAUUCAAAGCAUGUUGUGAGUUCAGAAGAAUUCUUUAUUGAGAACUUUGAUAAAGCAAUAGAUUGUUGGGAACUUCCUAAAAUUUCUAAAGAAAAGAUUUACAAAACAAAAAAGCUUGAUUUCUUAAAGAAUGAUUAUAUUAUAAAGACUGAAGAGCGUGACAUAACUCUUUCAAAUCCAUUUGAAACAAUUCACUUGUUUUCUGAGCAUUCUUUAAAGAAAUUAAAAGAAAAGAAUUUCAAUUAUAUUCAUAUCGGCCUAAUUCAAGUCGGAAUAAAACCUUUAACCAAAGAAGGCUUGGAUACUUCUAUCCUUGCUGUCCUAAGAGAUGGGCGAUUCAUCUCUUUUGAUGAUUCUUUGCUAAGUAGCAUCGAAUCCAGUCUUUGUAAAGGUCCAAUUUCAUUUGAUUGUUAUCCAAACAUAACAAUUUCCCUUAAAGAUAAAAAUAUUUUGAAAAGCAUGAUUUUACAAAUCAAGACUCAUAAUUACAAUAUGAUUGAGGGAUCCAUCCCAGUUGCUUUGAUUUUUAAAAUUUCUUAUAAAGCUAUGAUCACUGCAUUCAGUACACAACAUAAAUUCCAGUCAAAAAGAGAUGAGACUCUUCUCUUGCAGACUGAUUUGUCUAGAGCCAACACUGUCAUUCAAAAACCCAUCCAAUGGAAAGAUGUCCAUCUUCCAGAAGAAUGGAUUCUUGAAGGAGCCGCUCCACCAGCGAUUCCAAAACAACUUGAGCCUAAUACAGAGUUGCAAAAUGUGACUCAGUAUUCUGAUGGAAAAGUCAAAUUGUCAUUCAGAAGAUCUGCUUCAACUAGAUUUUCUGAUAAAGAGUCGUGCUCAAGUAUUCCUUCAUUAGAAAUGAAAUUUACAAAAAUCCCUUCUGUUAUAAAUCUUCCUUUUUAGAGUCAACCUAGGUUUUCUACUUCAGAUAUACCUAGCACUUCUAUACGAUCUGUUGACUAUGCCACUAGUGUUCCUAUUUACACUAGUAGUCAACAUGAACAAAGACAUGAAGAGAAGGAACCUUCUCCUCCAACCUCUCCUACUUUUUCUCCAGUCACAGAAAAUGUCAUAAAUGUUAUUGAAAAGAAUUUUGAGCUUGAUAAAAAUCUUCUUCAUAAUAAUUUUUAUUCAGAUACUAAUAAAGAAAAAACACUUUGGUUUUUUAAAUAUUUUUUGAAUCAAAGAAAAGAAAUCCAACAAAUCUAUUAUGAAUUUGUGAAUUUACAUCAAAUUCAUAUAUUGUUUUUUGAUUGGUUCGAAAUAUAUUCUUCUGAGAACAACAUUUCUUAUCCUUUUAACGAGUCAAGCCCUAUUAUUAUUAGAAAAAAAAUCCCUGAUUGGAAACUUACUGAUAGUAAUAGAACCAUCGAAUCUGAACAUCCACCUUUUAGGAGUAUAAUCAUAGACCAUGGUGAACCUCCUAUCGAAAUCAGAGCUUCUCCUUACAAAAUCCCUAAACCAAAUGAUUCUGAUAUAAAUUUAAGUAGUAUUAUCCAACAGAAUAAUUUCUGUAAUACUAACUUAAAUACUAUCAGAAAACAGUUGACUAGAAUAGAAAACCAAUUCCAAAAGUCAACCAUAGCUGUUUCUUCUACUCCUAUUCCAUCAAAAUCGGAUUCUGGCAAGAAGCUUAAAGAGCCUAUUUUCAAACCUUUUCAGGUUUCGAAAACUAGUCAAAAGCUUGUUUAUGAGUCAAAAUCAGAUUUUGCUAAAGCCAUUAGAGAACAACUAGAUAGGAUAGAAGCUGCUUCUUCCUCAUCUAGCAAAGUUCAGAUAGCUCCUGAUACUCCUCAAUCUAGCAAGAUUGGAGUAUUAGAACAAGACCAAAUGUCUGAUCAAACUUCUAUUGCCUCCUCUGAUCUAGAAGCCUUUAAAGAAGAACCUAUUCCUAAAGCCAAUAAAAUCCAAUGGGAAUUAGUCCUUCCCACUGUUAAGUCUCCACCUGAUUUGACCAUAAACAACAGGCCUAGUGCAUUAAAUCAAUCUCGAUACAAUGCAUCCUCUGUCUAUGAGUGGAAUUUAGAUGGAAUGUCUGAGUACAACAUCCUAGGAUUGUUGCAACAGAUGACCAUGGCAGCUAAUGCUUAUAAAACCCAAUCAGGAACUUCUGACAGAGCCAUUGCAGAAAUCCUUAUUGCUGGUUUUACAGGUCAACUCAAAGGUUGGUGGGAUCAUCUUCUCACCCAACAACAACAAUUAGAUAUUCUUACUGGGAAAUAGGAUCGAAGGAUGGAUGUGCUUUCGUUGGAAUAUCAAUUAUUUAAAACUCAAAUUAAACAAUGCUUGGAUUGGGUCGGCUUUAUCCAAUUUUAAAAGUAAUUACCAGCUUUGAAAUAAAUAGAUUUGCUUUGGAACGCGGUUGGUCAAAUUUUAAUAAAGGUACGUGGCGUUGUAUCUAGAUCAAUGCAGAGACAAGUCUGCCUUUGGAACCAGAUCUGACUUAGAACAUAUCAAUAUUCCGCACGUUCUAGUUUCUAGCCGAUAUACCAAUUUUAUUUACCAAAUAUUUGUUAAGUUCUUUAAGCAAGCCUAGCAACAACAUUCAUCUAAGGCUAGGGUGCAUACACAGUACCAGAUCCAGUUCCCGAAAAUAGUGCUCUGAAGGAAUGGAGGGAGAAGAGAAGAUUUACAACUGAGGAUCGAGAUCUUGUCUUUUUGCCUAAGAGGAACGUACAAUUUUUAUGGCAGAUCUGAUAUAGAUCAGUCUGCAAUCAUGCUUUGUAAAAGAGAAAUGCUUUAAAAUUAAAUUGCAGAAAUUUAAAUUACAUAAAGUAAAUUGCAAAAAUUUAAAUUACAAAAAUUAAAUUGCGGAAAUUUAAAUAUACAUGAAAUUGAAAUUGCUUUAAAAUAACAUUACAUUUAUUUCUUUAUUUCUUUUGAUUCGAAAGCUUUAUGAGUGGAAAAUCAGAAAAUAGUCUGAAAACAAGGAACUUAGGGAAAAUUCCUUGAAUACAGAAGAUCUUCUUUAAUCCGAGAGAGAGAGAGAGAGAGAGAAUUCUAGAGAGAAGGAGGAUAAGAAGAGAGAGAAGUUCUAAAACCAAAAAUGAAAAACCUGAGGAGUCUAAGUCUUCCUCUUGGUUUUUAUACAAAAUUUUUAAACUGUUCACUGUAGCGGAGCUUUGAGUGCACAGUAAUCUUUGGAAAUCGCCACUGUUCACAGUAGCGGAGGUGAAGCAAACAGUAAGCUUUGGGUCGUAUGUAACAGUAAUCUUUGGAGCGUAUAUUGGAAUAGAAGCUUUGUAGAAAUACGGGUGAAGAGACAUGUGCGCUCCCACUUGUGUCCAGAGGACCACCCGAAAAUGUAAAAUGUACAGAAACAGAGAAAGGGAGGAAAUCUUUUUUCGGAUUUAGAAGGAAUAUAGUGGGCUUUAAAGAGGUUUAAACAGUGGGUGGCAUUUGGGGUUAAAAUUUGUGGUGUAGGACCAAAAGAAUUCCACCAAUGAUGGAACCAGUUUGGAAGGCUUUGGACGGUUAUCUUCGAGUUGAAGAAAAAUAACCAGGAGUGGGAUUUUUUGGGGUUUUGGAUUAAAAAAAUGUGUUAUAUCAGGCUUGUUGGUAAUCCCAGUAGGAAUAAGUCCGACAAUGAGGUAAACGUGUUUGAAAAUUUAAAGGGAAGGUUUUAAAAUUAUGGAGUAGGUCACCCCAUUGGUUUGGGCUCAAAACUUUUAAAAUAGUAGCCGUGGAAUAGGCUGGCUCUGAAUGUGACUCACUGAGAAAGAAAUGUUUAAAUUUUACUGACUCUGUGAUUUCUAAAAUGCUUUGAUAAUAGGACUGGGGUUUUGUUAAAUCCCAUUGUUUGAAAAACCAGCCCUUAGGGAAAAACUUUGAAAUUGCUUGGAAAGGAUCAGCAUGGUAAAAUCCAUCUUCUAUUGAUAAAAUGUUUUGAAAAUGGGUUUUAUCAAACCAAUCGGAUGAUUUCUUUGAAAGUGUUGGCUGGGAAAGUACAAUUUGGGAAGAUGAACUUUCACCAGAGACAACCACAUUUUGAGAGGAAGGUUUUGAAAUUUCUUUGGAGAUUUCUUUUUCUUCUUUUGGAAGAAUCUGGCUUUGGGAAAGGUUUUAUAGAGCGAGCAUAAGCUCAGGUGAUUUUGUAAUGGAACUCAUCCAUUUCUUUACUUGGUCAUCAGAAGAAGUGGUUUUGUAUUGGGCUUCAUGUGCUUCAACCAAUUCAAUCCAGGAUUUAAUGGGCAUGGCUUAAGAAAGCAAUUUUUCUUUAGAAGGCGUUAGUUGGGGUUCUUUAGGGGUUGCUUGAGAUUCAGCGUCUUUAAGGACAACUUUGCCUUUAUCCUUCUUCUUUGGCGGCAUUAUCUGUUUUGAAGAAAUUCUCUGGUUAGAAAAUCAAGAACAGAAUUCGUAUCUCCUUUAAUAAAUUCAAUAUCAAAAUCAAAAACACUUAAAAUGGCUUGCCAACGUGCAAAAAUCUGUUUGGAUGCAAUAUUUUGAACAUCUUUUUCCAAAACAUGUUUUGCAGCUUUGCAAUCAAUUCUAAGGAUAAAGGCAAAGUUGUCCUUAAAGACGCUGAAUCUCAAGCAACCCCUAAAGAACCCCAACUAACGCCUUCUAAAGAAAAAUUGUUUUCUUCAGCCAUGCCCAUUAAAUCCUGGAUUGAAUUGAUUGAAGCACAUGAAGCCCAAUACAAAACCACUUCUUCUGAUGACCAAGUAAAGCAAUGGAUGAGUUCCAUUACAAAAUCACCUGAGCUUAUGCUCGCUCUACAAAACCAUUCCCAAAGCCAGAUUCUUCCAAAAGAAGAAAAAGAAAUCUCCAAAGAAAUUUCAAAACCUUCUUCUCAAAAUGUGGUUGUCUCUGGUGAAAGUUCAUCUUCCCAAAUUGUACUUUCCCAGCCAACACUUUCAAAGAAAUCAUCCGAUUGGUUUGAUAAAACCCAUUUUCAAAACAUUUUAUCAAUAGAAGAUGGAUUUUACCAUGCUGAUCCUUUCCAAGCAAUUUCAAAGUUUUUCCCUAAGGGCUGGUUUUUCAAACCAUGGGAUUUAACAAAACCCCAGUCCUAUUAUCAAAGCAUUUUAGAAAUCACAGAGUCAGUAAAAUUUAAACAUUUCUUUCUCAGUGAGUCACAUUCAGAGCCAGCCUAUUCCACGGCUACUAUUUUAAAAGUUUUGAGCCCAAACCAAUGGGGUGACCUACUCCAUAAUUUUAAAACCUUCCCUUUAAAUUUUCAAACACGUUUACCUCAUUGUCGGACUUAUUCCUACUGGGAUUACCAACAAGCCUGAUAUAACACAUUUUUUUAUCCAAAACCCCAAAAAAUCCCACUCCUGGUUAUUUUUCUUCAACUCGAAGAUAACCGUCCAAAGCCUUCCAAACUGGUUCCAUCAUUGGUGGAAUUCUUUUGGUCCUACACCACAAAUUUUAACCCCAAAUGCCACCCACUGUUUAAACCUCUUUAAAGCCCACUAUAUUCCUUCUAAAUCCGAAAAAAGAUUUCCCCCCUUUCUCUGUUUCUGUACAUUUUACAUUUUCGGGUGGUCCUCUGGACACAAGUGGGAGCGCACAUGUCUCUUCACCCGUAUUUCUACAAAGCUUCUAUUCCAAUAUACGCUCCAAAGAUUACUGUUACAUACGACCCAAAGCUUACUGUUUGCUUCACCUCCGCUACUGUGAACAGUGGCGAUUUCCAAAGAUUACUGUGCACUCAAAGCUCCGCUACAGUGAACAGUUUAAAAAUUUUGUAUAAAAACCAAGAGGAAGACUUAGACUCCUCAGGUUUUUCAUUUUUGGUUUUAGAACUUCUCUCUCUUCUUAUCCUCCUUCUCUCUAGAAUUCUCUCUCUCUCUCUCUCUCGGAUUAAAGAAGAUCUUCUGUAUUCAAGGAAUUUUCCCUAAGUUCCUUGUUUUCAGACUAUUUUCUGAUUUUCCACUCAUAAAGCUUUCGAAUCAAAAGAAAUAAAGAAAUAAAUGUAAUGUUAUUUUAAAGCAAUUUCAAUUUCAUGUAUAUUUAAAUUUCCGCAAUUUAAUUUUUGUAAUUUAAAUUUCUGCAAUUUACUUUAUGUAAUUUAAAUUUCUGCAAUUUAAUUUUAAAGCAUUUCUCUUUUACAAAGCAUGAUUGCAGACUGAUCUAUAUCAGAUCUGCCAUAAAAAUUGUACGUUCCUCUGAGGCAAAAAGACAAGAUCUCAAUCCUCAGUUGUAAAUCUUCUCUUCUCCCUCCAUUCCUUCAGAGCACCAUUUUCGGGAACUGGAUCUGGUACUGUGUAUGCACCCUAGCCUUAGAUAAAUGUUGUUGCUAGGCUUGCUUAAAGAACUUAACAAAUAUUUGGUAAAUAAAAUUGGUAUAUCGGCUAGAAACUAGAACGUGCGGAAUAUUGAUAUGUUCUAAGUCAGAUCUGGUUCCAAAGGCAGACUUGUCUCUGCAUUGAUCUAGAUACAACGCCACGUACCUUUAUUAAAAUUUGACCAACCGCGUUCCAAAGCAAAUCUAUUUAUUUCAAAGCUGGUAAUUACUUUUAAAAUUGGAUAAAGCCGACCCAAUCCAAGCAUUGUUUAAUUUGAGUUUUAAAUAAUUGAUAUUCCAACGAAAGCACAUCCAUCCUUCGAUCCUAUUUCCCAGUAAGAAUAUCUAAUUGUUGUUGUUGGGUGAGAAGAUGAUCCCACCAACCUUUGAGUUGACCUGUAAAACCAGCAAUAAGGAUUUCUGCAAUGGCUCUGUCAGAAGUUCCUGAUUGGGUUUUAUAAGCAUUAGCUGCCAUGGUCAUCUGUUGCAACAAUCCUAGGAUGUUGUACUCAGACAUUCCAUCUAAAUUCCACUCAUAGACAGAGGAUGCAUUGUAUCGAGAUUGAUUUAAUGGACUAGGCCUGUUGUUUAUGGUCAAAUCAGGUGGAGACUUAACAGUGGGAAGGACUAAUUCCCAUUGGAUUUUAUUGGCUUUAGGAAUAGGUUCUUCUUUAAAGGCUUCUAGAUCAGAGGAGGCAAUAGAAGUUUGAUCAGACAUUUGGUCUUGUUCUAAUACUCCAAUCUUGCUAGAUUGAGGAGUAUCAGGAGCUAUCUGAACUUUGCUAGAUGAGGAAGAAGCAGCUUCUAUCCUAUCUAGUUGUUCUCUAAUGGCUUUAGCAAAAUCUGAUUUUGACUCAUAAACAAGCUUUUGACUAGUUUUCGAAACCUGAAAAGGUUUGAAAAUAGGCUCUUUAAGCUUCUUGCCAGAAUCCGAUUUUGAUGGAAUAGGAGUAGAAGAAACAGCUAUGGUUGACUUUUGGAAUUGGUUUUCUAUUCUAGUCAACUGUCUUCCGAUAGUAUUUAAGUUAGUAUUACAGAAAUUAUUCUGUUGGAUAAUACUACUUAAAUUUAUAUCAGAAUCAUUUGGUUUAGGGAUUUUGUAAGGAGAAGCUCUGAUUUCGAUAGGAGGUUCACCAUGGUCUAUGAUUUAUGAUUUACCAUGCUGAUCCUUUCCAAGCAAUUUCAAAGUUUUUCUCUAAGGGCUGGUUUUUCAAACCAUGGGAUUUAACAAAACCCCAGUCCUAUUAUCAAAGCAUUUUAGAAAUCACAGCGUCAGUAAAAUUUAAACAUUUCUUUCUCAGUGAGUCACAUUCAGAGCCAGCCUAUUCCACGGCUACUAUUUUAAAAGUUUUGAGCCCAAACCAAUGGGGUGACCUACUCCAUAAUUUUAAAACCUUCCCUUUAAAUUUUCAAACACGUUUACCUCAUUGUCGGACUUAUUCCUACUGGGAUUACCAACAAGCCUGAUAUAACACAUUUUUUUAUCCAAAACCCCAAAAAAUCCCACUCCUGGUUAUUUUUCUUCAACUCGAAGAUAACCGUCCAAAGCCUUCCAAACUGGUUCCAUCAUUGGUGGAAUUCCUUUGGUCCUACACCACAAAUUUUAACCCCAAAUGCCACCCACUGUUUAAACCUCUUUAAAGCCCACUAUAUUCCUUCUGAAUCCGAAAAAAGAUUUCCCCCCUUUCUCUGUUUCUGUACAAAUUUCUUCCUUCCAUGGGUAUGGAUGUGGAACCUUAGGCUUCAUACUCAAGAUGCCCAGCUCAUCCUUCAAAGAACAUUUAAAGUUAAAUGGUGGUCAAAAUUUGAUGAGAAAUCCAAAUUAACCGAUAACCUUAUCACAAAUUGGUUAUCAUCCAAAGGCUUCCUUCAACCCUCUAUAAAAGACUCCAAAGCCCAGCAAACUUUCCUUACCCAAAAGUCCAAAGCCCAGUCUCUUUUGGUAAGUGCCAAGACAGAAGAAGAAUACUUCAAAGCCAUGGAACAACUCCUCGCCUCCUGGUCAAAGUCAUCAGUGGCUGACUCCUCUGAAGAUGAAGACGAAGAUGAAGAGCCAACCGUUUCUCUCGGAGAUGAAAAUGAAGAUGAUUGUUUUGGAAUUUUCUCUCCAUUAAAGCAUUGUAAAUAGUUCAUGUAACUAUUCAAAAAAUAAAUAAAUAAAUAAAUAAAUAAUAAUAAUUUUACAUUUUCGGGUGGUCCUCUGGACACAAGUGGGAGCGCACAUGUCUCUUCACCCGUAUUUCUACAAAGCUUCUAUUCCAACAUACGCUCCAAAGAUUACUAUUACAUACGAUCCAAAGCUUACUGUUUGCUUCACCUCCGCUACAGUGAACAGUGCCGAUUUCCAAAGAUUACUGUGCACUCAAAGCUCCGCUACAGUGAACAGUUUAAAAAUUUUGUAUAAAAACCAAAAGGAAGACUUAGACUCCUCAGGUUUUUCAUUUUUGGUUUUAGAACUUCUUAUAUAUAUACAUACAUACAAUAGUUUUCUAAUCAAGGAUCCAUGAGUUUAAUAAAGUCAUGGAUUAGUUAAAAGAUAAAAUAAAUAUAGACUCUAAUGCACUAUAUUUUUUCAUAUAGUGUAUUAAAAUUUAAUUUUUUUUCUCUUUUAGCUAAUCCCUGACUUUAAUAAAGUCAGGGAUUGAUAUCACACACACACACACAGCCAUAAGCUCACAUGCUCCUCCCCUUUCUUUAAACCAGACAUGGCCUUAAUACAAACCUUUUAUAAGGUAGUUCCCUUCUAAUGAAAAUUGCCAAUAACAUAAAUGAUGAUUGAUUUCAUACUUUUACGUUAUUGAAUCUUUUGUACAGUAAAAUUAUGCUUUGGAGUCAUUUGAAACAAUAAGAGAGUGAAUUAUUAUUCUUCCUUUAACUGUUUUUAAAUUCUUUAGAUGAAGCUGAAUUUUUUACUUUCUUGGUGACUAAUACUUUGGACAAUGACUUGUGGCCUGAUAUAAAUUUUCAUCUAAGCAUAUACAUGUUGGUGUUAGUUGUCAAUAUAAUGCAAUCAACUUCAUUGUCAAUAAUGAGUACACAAAUAAGGUCUUAUUUGGUAUUAAAGUUGAGCAGUUGUAAUUUAAAAACUACAACAAUAAAGUGUUUGGUAAAUAUUAACAUUUACGGUUUAGAAUGUAAGAUGAUUUAAUCCACACUUAUAUGAUAAAAAAUUUAUCAUAUGAUUUGUCAAAAUUAUCAUAUUAUACAUUAUUGAUUGUUAUUUCAUAAUUACAAUUUUUUUUACAGUAGUUGUAACUUAAAAGUUACAAUAUCCAAAAACCAAACAUGGCCUAACUAUAUUAGACAUAUUCAUUAUUUUAUUUGAAAUACACACUUGUACAUUAUUAUUAUUUGAAUCCCUUAGUUAGCUACUUGUGCCUUGUUCUUCAUAAUUUUAUAUCACAUGUGCAUGUAUGACAGUUAAAAUUUAAUUAUUUUUAUAUUCUUAUCUAAUAAUUAUGAAUUAUAUCUUUUAAAAAAUUAGUAAAAAGGCCAGCUCAACACUGAACCCAAAUUGUAGAGUUUUAUAUUCCAAUGUGUCUUCUUCUUCUUCUUUCGGGGAAAAUGUUCAUAAAUUCCAAGAAAUAGACCUUCAAAUUAGCCAUAAAUGUAGCAUAGAACCCAAUGUGUCUUCUUCUUCUUCUUCUUUCGAGAAAAAUGUUCAUAAAUUCCAAAUAAUAGACCUUCAAAUUAGACCAACAAGCACGUAGAUCAACUUGCAUGAGGUUAUUCUAGCUUAACUAAGGUUCUCGAUUCAAGGCUUGGGAAAGCAGCUGCGUUAAAUAGUUGUUGGGAGAGUUUUACCGCCCUAGUGGUCAUACCCGACUCAAAUCUGGAUUAGUUGAGACCCAAUGUAGUUAUUGGAUACCAGAUGGCUUAAUACACCGAAAAAAAAAUAGACCUUCAAAUUAGCCACAAAUGCAGCGUUGAAAGGAAACUGCAUUAGUGCUAAAACAGUCACUGGAAAGAAAACAACAGCGUAGAGAGUGGCUUUCCAUUUCUUCUCCGAAUGAAUCAGAAUUGAAGCCAAGAAAGUGAUCAUGCUGGUUAGUAAAGAGAAGAAGAGUAAAGUGAAGCCAAUGGUCAGCUUGCUUGGAAGUACGCUAAGGAAAUCAGAUGAAUCAAAUGACGACGUGAAGAUAGAGAGAAGCAUUACAACGGAUGACAAAGAUAAAGCUAAGGUGAAAACGUCCAUUACAGUAAAAACGUAGAAUAGUGGUGACUCAAGGAAAUGGGGAAACCCCUUAUCAUUGGUCCCUCAAGGCACCAUGAAGUUAGCUGUAAAGAUGACAGUCGCGAUGAGAAUUGUCAGAGUCGAGGAUGAUUGAGAGUUUCUUUGAUCCAUUUUUGUGCUUAUCUAAGUUGAUCUUGAUGUGUUAGAUCGAAGAGGUCACUUGCAAUCAUUCUCUUGUUUUAAUCACGGUACAUCGCAUAACGGGGAGGCGCUACGUCUUUUACACACUGCAUAUAAUAAUGCAUGCAUGGAGACAAUUAAAAAAAAAAAAUUAGAGUAAGCUUUUAUACAUUAAACCAUUUCGCAAUGUUGUAAACUCAUUUGACAAUAUUAUAAAAAUUCAUCCUGCCCCUCCCCCUCCCCCCGGUGUUGAUGUUUACUAGCGUAGUGACAGUAUAGGGACUGCGUUCCUUCGUAUUAUUAAGCUUUAGCUUCUGUUAGGCUCGCCUUCUUUAUAAAAAAAAAUAUAUAUUAUAAAAAUUCAUAUCGCACUUUAACAAAAUGUAGGAUCUCUUCUUAAAAAAUGCACUACAUAUAUAGCGUACUUGUAUGGUUUAGAAUCUUAAAUUUUAUUAAAAUCUAAAAAAAACUAUUAUGACAGUCUUGAUGGAACGACGGUUUCCCUUUAAGGCCAUUCCAUAAGGAUUGCAGCCCUUCGUUUUCCACAUGUUAUCCAUAUGAUCCGUCUCUAUAGCGUUAUCCUCAUCACAUCCGUACGAUCCAUUUCGCUAUCUCUCUCGCUCUCUCACUUGUAUAUAUAAUUGAUACAAAGAACAAGCUGUACGUAGAUGUCCUUCAAUAUCCUUGGUUUUAAUUGUCUUAGUAUUAUAAGGUCCGUUCCUUGCAUCCUUAUGCAAGUUCUAAACGAAGUUGGCAUAAUUUUAAGAAUAUUAAUAAUGGUAAAGUUAAUCUAUCGAUGGGGUCAGGAAAAAGAAUAGAACAGAUUAUUUAAUUUUCAACAGCUUAAUUUUGUCUCUCCGCGAAUAUAAUAAUCACAUUUAUUCUGCUACUUUUGUGCCCAUCGCUUAUUUUAUCCGCGAAUAUAACAAUCACACGUUUUUAAAGUAAAGGCGAUUUUGGAAGAAGGCUGUACGGUUUGGAAAGAGGUUUCGACUGAUAUAUAAAAAAGAAGAAAAAAAAAAAGUGAAUUUACUCCAAGGCCUUUGGCGCAACUAUACAUAAACAUAUAAAUUACACUUGAAAAGGGUGAAUAAUCAAUUAAAGCGGCGGGCGCUACAACCGACCGUAAAAGAGAGGAAAUCCGCCACAUUUCCUUCUGAAAAGGUCCUUGAUUUUAUCCAAAAGCGUGCUGUGCCCGUUACAGGCCAAUCCUUGGUCACUCUCAUGACUAAGGUUUUGUCUGGCCGCCACAAUCAUUAAAACAAGAGGGAAAAUAAAUGGGAAAUUAUCAAUUUUUCAUCUGAUUGGUAAAAAUGCAAAAAUAAUUGAAAAUUUUAGAACUUAUCAAUUUUUUUUUUCGCUAGAAAAAAUAUAUGAGAUUUGACAGAGAAUUAGGUCUUGAUUAUUACUGAUGUAUUGUUGGAAAAAAAGUUGCAAUUAUAACAUAAAAUUAUGCGACAAAUAUAGUUUUUAAAUAGUAAUUUUAAUAACAAUAGUAAAAAUUUAUAGGUUUUCAUCAUACAAAUUUAAAAUUAAAUCAAACUUAAUUUUCAAAUCACAACAAUAAGUGUUUACCAAAUACUUUUAAUUCUGUUGUUUAAAAAUUACCACUACCCAACCACAAUAACACAAGGCCUUCAUCUAAGUUAAUCCCGGCAAAUUUCUGAUUGUAACUCAAAAAAAUCAUAUUAGUAUUAAAAAAAUCAACACCUAUUUUUUAUUAAAAUUUUUUAAAUAUCCUAUUAUAUGAACAAAACACAUGCUCGAUUUUUUUUUUUCAAUUAAACCUUGAUCAGUAAGGCAAUUUAUUAAAUUAAAAAGCAGGGAACAGUUAUUUAGGGGACAUAAUAAACUAUAUCCCGCAAAAUAAUUUUAGAAGAACCAAUACAGAUGGGUGGCCUACAUAACAAGACGGUUUAGCCGAAAACGAAAAAAUAAAAAAUAAAAAAACCAUCACUCCGUAUUAGCAUUAUUAUGAGCUAGGCAGCUCAGGCCCGAAUGAGCUAGGCAGCCGCCGCACAGCCCCUCGAAAGUAUGGCUAAUACGAAAAUUCAUUCGACUCACUAGAUGACAACAAUUAAACACAUGCUCGAUCGAAAUGCCAGUAUGAAUGGAAUUUUAAAUCAUCAAAAUCUUUAACCAAUGAUUAACACACUUGUUGUUAUUCAAUGGAGUUGUGAUUUUUACACCCCUCCAAAGUCCUUAUAAUUAAUCCCCCUUUUACAUACACGUGACUACUAGAAGUUUUGAAAAUUAUGAUACUUUAAUUUAAUUCCCAAUCAACCCUUCAUAAACAUUUCUACAUCUCUAAGGUAAUUGUCUACUUCCUAAUGUCCCUUGUAAUUAAAUGAUGAAGGCUGAUUUUGCUUUAUUUCUAUUUUCAGUAUCGUUCAAAGAACAUCAACGGCCCCAUUUCAUUUUCACUUUGGGUGUGAAGCUAAAAGAUCUAUGUUAUCUUCAAUUAAGUAUUCCUUUUUCUUAAAUGCUCUUUUAUCUCUCUUUUUCUAAAACCUAAAUCAUUCAAAAAAAAAAUUGUAAAAUUUCACCCAAUUUAGCCGAAAAAUUGCCAUUCCUACGGUAUUGAUAAUUGAGGAGUGAACAACUUGCAUCUAUCAGCGGGAUUGCGGGAAAAAGAAAACCUAGAAAGAGAGUUUGCUCUUGAAGGGUUGUAAGUUUGUUCAGGGGUUAUUCGUAGAAUAAAUAUUAGAUAAUUGUAAGCACCGAAAUUUAAAAACUCUUUUAAAUGGAUUUGUUUAGAAAAAAAAAGGUUCAUAAGAGUUCCGGAAGGGGUGCUAAUAGCUCAACUCCAUUCAAUAUUCGACGUUAUGUCUUGGCUGGAUGUGAUGAUUCAUUGAUUCCAUUGCAUCAAUCAAUCGUCCGGUGGAAUAUCAUAUUAUUUUGCCUUAAAAUAAUUUCUAAUUUCUUUCUUGAAUGUUCUACAACAUUCUGAAAUACAUCAAUUUAUGCUUAAUUUUUUAUUUCAUAAUCCAAAAUUCAAGUGUUCAUUUGAUUUACGAUUCAGAAAUAAUUUUCAAAAAUAAAAAAUGAAUCUAAAAAUGUGUUGAAGGUUUUAAUGUGUUUAUUUUCUUUAUGAUUUAUAUUAAUGGCAACCUAAUCAUCUCCCUACCUAUGUGAAAGAGAUUUGAAUUCUAAACCUCUUUUUUCAAGAAAAGGGAUUUUCACCAACCUAACUAAAUGAUGCAAGUUUAAUAUGUUUAUAUAAUAUCCAAAAACAAUAAUUUCAACAACUGAAACAUGUUUAACAUAAUUUCUAAUUAAGUUAAAAAAAAAACAUGUUUACGAUAUCCCCUGUUCUUUGUGUCUACAUAAUGUAUGGUCCAUCAUGUGCAAAUUUUAUGAACUUGAAUCCAGUAGCCCCUGAUAAGAGACACAGCAUUCCAAUAAAAUAGGAUAUUCUUUAUUAGAAGCUCACUCCAUAUACAUGUGUGUGUGUGUGUGUUUGUGUCAAGAAUCAUUGCUAUUAUAACAUGUGCAUUAGAAGAAAUCAUGAUCAUUAUGGAUUACAUAAUUUGGUGGAAGAUGAAUUUGUGAUUUAUGAUCAUUUUCUUAUUAUCAUAAUUUUAAAGGUGAUGAAUCCGUUAUUUAUUAUUAUUUUUAAUAUAUUUAAUGAAUUUUCUUUUUAAGAUAGCGGGGUGUGUAAAGGCCAAAUCAAUUUUUAUGAUAUGUCUUAUAAAAAAUUAUUAAAUUAAUGAUAAUGGAGACUGAUUUAGAAUAGAAAUUGCCAAAACAACAGAAAUGAUGAUUGGUUUCUUACUUUUUGUCUUUUGUAUAAGUUAGACCUUGAAGCCAUUUAAUUGAAGCAAGAGGACAGUGAAUUCAAUUGUUUUUUAAAUUCGCCGGAUGCAGCUGAAUUUUAUUUUUCUUUCUUGAUGAAUAAUACUUUGGACAUUGACUUUUGUUUUGAUCUAAAUUUUUAUCAGCGCAUAUACACGUUCGCGUUGGUUGUCAAUAUAAUGCAAUUAACUUCACUGACGAUAAUGAGUAACAAUUACAUGUGUUAACACAUUCAAUAUUUAAUUCGAAAUACACCCAGUACAUUAAUAUUUUACAUGACAUGAUACAACACACCCAAAGGAAAAACCACUGUUAGAACCAAGCAAAAUAAUUAGAGGUACAAUACAUAUAAAGAUUGCCAUCCUAUCAUGCAUACAACUUAGAAAUAACGCGUCUACUUCUUCUUCUUCUUCUUCUUCCAAGGAAAAUUAUUCAUAAAUUCCAAGUAAUAGACCUUCCCAUUAGCCAAAAAAUCAGCACAGUAAGGAAACUCCAUGAGUGCUAAAACAAUCACUGGAAAGAUAGCAGCGGCAUAGAGAGCAGCGGUCCAUUUCUUCUCCAUACGAAUGAUGAGUAGAAGUGAAGCCGAGAAAGUAAUCAUGCUUGUUAGUACAGAAAAGAAGAGCAAAGUGAAGCCAACCACCAACUUGCGCGGAAGUUCUCUAAGGAAAUCAGAUGACUCACGUGGCGACGUGAGGAUGGAUAGGAACAUAACAACGGAUGACAAAGAUAAGGCCAAGGAGGCAACGUCCAUUACAGUAAAAACAUAGAAAAGUGGUGACUUAAGGAAAUGGGGAAACCCCUUAUCAUUGUUACCUCCAGGUAUCGUGAAGGCAGCUGUAAAGACGACGGUUGCGAUUAGGAUUGCCAGCACGGAGCAUGCCUGAGAGGUUUCUUUGAUCCAUUCUUGUGCUUUCCUAAGUUGAUCUUCAUGUGUUAGAUUAAAGAGGUCACUUGCAGUCAUCUUAUUUUUUUCGUCGCGGUGCAUAGCAUAAUGGCGAGGCAUUAUCUCUUUUACAUGCUGCAUACACACACACACACGUUAAAUAGGGACGGAGGCCUAUACACAUAGCCACAUGUGUAGUCAUUACCUCUGUAGCAUUUUAAAAUAUAGAUUCAAGGUUUUACUCAAUUGUAAAAAACUUCUAAGAGCGUUGUAAAAGGUUUUACACAAUUAAAGAAAAAAAAAUGUUUUAUAAAAUAAUGAAAUGGUGAAUCACCUGAGAAUGAAUAUACAUAUACAUACAUAUAUACAUAUAUAUAGAGAGAGAGAGAGAGUGAGGGGGAGGGGACAGAGAGAGGGAGAGAGUACUAAUUUAGUCCAAGAUUGUGUACUUUAUUAAAGUUUAAGAACACUAUUAAACCACAUAGUAUAUAUAGGGGGAGAGAGCGAACGAGCUAUUAUUUAAUAACAGAUCUCUUAAGUUAGUAAAGUAAAGAAUAAAUUAAAAGACAAAUAAAAGUGCAGUGUAUUUUAUCUAGUAAUAUAUAUUGAUGUAUGUGUUUUUCUUAUUUUUUAACUUGUCCCUUAUUUUGGUAAGUUAAGGAGAUCCUUCAAUGAAAAAAAUUAUUUUACAUAUAUGAAGAUACUCAAAUAUGGUGUGUACACAAAUUUUUUGUGUGGAUUUUAGGUUUUAUAACCGUUUGAAAGCCUUUCACAUUAUUUCAAAAAUAUUUUACACUGUUCUAAAAUCCUAUAUCUGCAUGAAAAUUCAUGUGCACAUAAGUUAUAUAUAUAUAUAUAUAUAACUGAAUAAAUUACAUUUUGUGGGACAAAAUUAAAUAUUAUCGAAGGGCUUACCUCGAACAAUUGUAACUCCUCCUGAAAUUGGAGAACAGGGCCAGGGCGGGUUCCUUCUUUAUAAUGUUUCAUGUCUGCGACAUGGUGCAGUAAUGUGUAGCCUUUCUUGUCAAUUCUUGAAGCCCAUUUGGGCACAGACAGUUGCAUUUCCUUCGUGAUGAGUUCAAAGACCUUAUAUUGACGACGCUUUACGGCCACAUGUAAUAUAUUCUGCUCUUUCUCAUUCAAGUUAUCUAACAAUAUUGCUUGAGGAUGUUGAUGGAUUAGCUCCUUCAAAAUCUCUGUUAUUCCAUUGCUUGCUGCAAAGAGUAGCGUCAACCUGAUUGCCCAAUUCUUAUCCUUUUUAUGAUUAGGAACUCCUUUGAUAGUGCAAUCUUUCUUCACAAACAAUUCGACCAAUUCUGCAGCUGAAAAAUCAACAAAUUUUUUUGCCUUGAUCAUAUUUCCUUUGUUAGUGCAAUCUUUCUUCAGCAGCAAUUCGUCCAAUUCUCCAGCUGAAAAAUCAACAAGUUUUUUUGCCUUGAGCAUAUUUCCUUUGCCUAAUCCUAAGGAAAUUGUGGAAAUAUUAUCUUGCCAAGUUGUGGAACUUUCUGGGUCCGGCGAGAAAAUUUCUGGGUUCGGCAAGGAACUUGUGGAACUUUCGGGGUUCGACGAGGAAAUUUCUGGGUUCGGCAAGGAAGUUGAGGAACUUUCUGGGCUCGGCAAGGAAAUUUCUGGGUUCUGCUCUCCAUCCCCAAGAAAAAGGGUUUCUUCUUUAACCAGCUUUUUGAGCAGUUUAUUCGCAUUUUUAUGCAUUUGCUUUUUCAUCCAGAUUUUCUUUAUCGCCGGACGUCCUGGUCAUGCAUGCAUCAACAUCUUGUUAAUUUAUAAACAAUUUCGCACGCAAGUACGGCAAAUCCAUUCAUCAACUGAAUGAAUUGCUCAAGUUAUGUUACAUUUCCCCUGUUCUGCUGCGUAAUUCAUAAAUGUAGAAGUAAUUAAUGAAAUUAUUAUUGGUCGCACCUUCAAUCACUUGCCCCCAAAUGCCAAUGUACAUCUUCCAAAUUGGAAUUCCUGCAUUUUGAUUAACUGCUCAGGCGCAAUUUUACAACUAUAAGUAUAUUUAUACGAUAUGAAAAUAUGAAAAAUUAAUGCCGCCACAUCAAAAAGGAAACCGUUCCCUAUAAUAAAAUACUGUAUGUCUGGACAAAAAUAUUGUGUCUGGAAAAAUUAAUACCACCCUUCUAGAAGGUGGGCGCGCUCAUUUUGAAAAAGGAGGCGCUGCUUCCUUCUUUGACUCGAAUAAAUGAAAAAAAAGAAGGAAAAAAAGAGUGAUGCAGCACCGCAUAGGUAAAAAGAAAUAAAAUAAUAAAAUAAUAUUUUUAAUUGAAAACGAAGGGAAAUGAAGCCUAUAAAUAGAAGGGUUCAUUUCCCUUCCCAGCAUCCAAUUCUUCUCUUCUUCUUUAGAUCCAUUUUGAGAGGAGAAAAAGUCAGUGAGAGUUGAGUGAUUAGUGAGUGAGAGAUUGGGUGUAUUGAGGUUCUAGAUAAUGAACUAAAAUAUUACAAUACUUAUAAUCUUAAUUUCACUAGUAAAAUAUUUUCUUUCUGUCUUCGCCCAUGGACGUAAACUAAAAGUCAAACCACGUAAAUUUUGAUGUCCCUGUGUGAUUCUGUUGUCUCAUUAUUUCUCAAUUUUACUUUAGUUGCCUGUAUGCUUCACCAAUCAAUUUCCAACAUGUCUUUGUAUCAAUCGGUAGUUAAGGUCCUCAUCAUGAGAAUUUGUACAAGUCCAUAGAAAUUAAAGAAAAAAGGAACUUCAUCUUUUCCCCCUUACAAUUUAAGGUAUUUCACACUUCCCCCCUUAGUAUUUUCAAAAUUGGCAUAUUGUUAUUGCGUCUAGAGGAUUCCACUUCACUGUGAUGAUUCUUCAUCUAUAUCUAGUGUAUUUUUGAGUUACCAAAAAAAAAAAUAAAGGAACAAAUCGACGUCUAAAAGAAAAACUAGCUUUUAUAUUAUACUAUUUAUUGUUUAUUUAGGUCUCAAAACUAAUAUUCUGUUUGGUUUCUAAGAGACAAUUGCUCUAAAAUGAAAGUUUUAGUUAUUAAUGGAAAAUUCGUGGGUAUUUGGUUAAGCUAAACCACUAGAUGUCAUAAAAGUUCUUUUUUUAUUCUCAUUUUUGGAGUAAACUUAUCAAUAAAUAAUUGUGAAAAAUAAUCAAUUUAAAAGGCAAACUGAGAAAGUGUUUACAGCUGAGUCGUCAAAAAGAUAGCCAAAACAAAUAUUAUGACUUGUAACCACAGCUAAAGCCGUUUGUUCGGAUUUUCAUUUUUCAAUUUAUAGAGUUAUAAUGAUUAAUGAAACCACUAUAUUAUGAUUAUGAACAAAUUAAAGCUGCCUCAACACUACCUCUCGUCCGCUUUCUGCAGGCGACGCAAUUAUCAAUUUUACCAGUCUCCAAAUCUUCUUUGUAAUUGUAGUCAACGUAAUCGUCAUCAUCAUACGUUGGAAGACCUGCAAUUAGAAAUUGCAAUUGUAACGGCAUGCAUCGAAGUCAACUGGACUAUAUAUCCCCUUAGAGAUGGAACUAUAUAUAUGUGUAUAUAUAAUUAAUAUAUAAAAAAUGCUAAAGAAAUUGAAGGCUGAUAGAAUGUUAACAGGGAUAACGGUAUAUCAAGUCGGGCUUACUACACGGUAAUCUCGGCCAGACGUACCGUUGUUUUUGUUGAAUUUUUCUUUCUUAGUAGUAAUUUUCCCAUGAAGGAUCUCUUAAGUUAUUAAGUUAAUUGCCAACAAAGUAACCCCGAACGGAUGUAUUUGCACUUCAUUAAUCAGCUUUAAUCUCUUUCAUAUGGUUUUUGUAUCCACGAAAGCAAGAAAUAAAUGAAUAUAUUCACGUACAAGAAUAGACAAGACUCGUCCAUAUAUCCGCGGUCUUCGAAUAACUCUUGAAAGCAGAUGGCAUUAGAGCUAGUAGUUGAAGACAUGUCAAGCCAUCAGGCCCCUCGGACGUUAGUUUGUUCGCAAGGCUUGAGUGGUGUUUAAGUAACCAAAUAGCAGUGUCUGUACGUAUUGAAGCAGAUUAAUUAAUUAGUUAAUUAAGAAGACAACUAAUAAAUUUUUAAACUUUAAUCUUUUUUUUUAAUUAAUAACCACAAAAAAAAAAUGGGGUUAGGCGGGAUCCCUGCUUAUCAUAUAAAUCAAUACAAAAAUAAUUACAUAAGAAUAAUAACAUAACCCAAAACCUUCUAAAACAGAUGAAAAUAAAAUUUAAUUUAACUAUUGAUCUAUAUAUGAAUGAAUGAAAGAGAGAUUUAAUUACUAUAUUUUACCGAAGUGUUGGCCAAGGACAGCCAUAUGAAGAACGGUCUUGCCAUCAUUUCUACGGAAAUGAUGACGUAAGUCACCAACUUGCUCAGUGCAGAUUUGCAACAGUUUAGUUUUCCCAAGAGCAGCAGCCCUGUAAACUGGGGUUUCCCCCAAACCGUUUUUAGCCUCAAGUAGAUUUUUGUACGCAUCACCAGACUGUCUGGAAAAGUCAAUCAAAACCCUGGCCACGUCAAAAUUUUCGACGACGGCCGCUUCGUGAAGACCAUUGUUUCCAAACGCAUCUGUUUGCUUCAAGACUUCAAGUCUGGUCUCCGAUGUUAGACUUUCGAGAAAUUCCUGGAUCAGCUGAGGGUCUUCCAUGGCCGCUGCAAUGUGAAUUGCUCUGUCCCCGUUGACUGUUCUGUAAUCCAACAAGUCUUUAGCAGUUCGUUGAGCAAAGUACUGCAAGAAGCCUCGACAGUCUCCCUUCAAGGCCAUUCCAUAAGGAUCCAUUUCUCUCUCUCUCUCUCUCUCUCUCUCUCACUCACUCACUCACGCGUGUUCUUAGACGAUUUUAAUUUUUAUUGCCUUAAUAUAUAUAGGUUUAAUCAUUCUGGAAGUUCUAAACGAAGUUAUCAAAUUGGCACAAUCACUUUGCAUAUUAUAUUAGUAGGGCUCAAGCAUAUUAAUUAUAAGAAUAGAAUAAAGGUGAAGUUAAUCUCUCGGGUCAGGCAGAAGAAUAGAAUAAAUUGUUUCCAACAGCUUUGCUGGUCCCUAUUCCUUUUUCUGUGAAUAUAAUAAUCACAUUUAUUCUACAACUUCUAUCUCCAUUGCUUUUUAAUUUCCGCGAAUAUAAUAAUCACAUUUAUUCUAAAGUAUUAAAAUACCUAAAAAUUUUGAAUUUAAAAAAAAAUCAUCUUUUUUUUUCACCUAGGCGUUAAGAAAGUUGGAAUUUGUUAGGAAAUGUUUGCAAAAUGAUAAUUUUACUCUUGUAAUAUAAACAUUGACGGAUUCCAACGUUUAAUUUCAGAAUAUUUUGACUUUUAAUAAUUUCUAAUUUCCUUCUUGCAUGUUUUUCGACAUCGUUAAAUACAUUAAGCUUAUUCUUCAAUUUUUAUUUCAUAAUGACAUAAUCCAAAAUUUUGACGAUUCAUUGGAUUUAUGAUUAUUCAAAAAUAUUUUUCAAAACUCAAAACAGAAUCUAAAAAAUUGAGUUGAAGUUCUAAUAUUAUCUGUUUAUUUUUAACAUUUAUCCAAUUCUCUUCCCUAUUAGCGGGGUCGAAAAUUGACCAACUUAGAAAGCCAAACUGACAAGAUGUUUACAGCUGAGCUUUCAAAAAGCUAGCCAAAACAAAUACAGCCCAAGUACAAUCGAGAGUCGUCUGUGUAAGUGGGUUAUGACUUGUGACCGUAGCUAAAGUUGUUUGUUCGGGUUUCGAUUUUCGAAUUUAGCGUUAUAAAGAAGCCACUAUUUCAUGAUUAUGAUGAACAAAUUAAAGCUGCUCUUUCGCCAUUACUCUUCUCUGCAAUCCUACCUGUCUUCAAAUCUCUUUUAUAAUUGUAGUCAACGAUAUCCUCAUCCAGAUACGUUUGGAAGACAUGCGAGUAAAAAUGCGAUUAAAUUUAACUCUCUAUAUUUUAAGUUCUAAUGAUGUAGACCUGCAAGUAUUUAUUUAUUUAUUUAUUUUUAAAUUUCACUUCAUCGUAUACAUGUAUAAAUGCAAAUUAAAUAAUAAUUAUUUCUCCUAAUUAAUUUGCUUAUUGUUUCCACUGCAAAGGCAUGCACCUAAGUCAACUGGACCAUAUAUCUCAUAAGAGAUGGAACUAUACGUACAUAAUUAAUGUAUAAAAAAUGCUAAAGAAAAUGAAGGUGAAUAGAGCGUUGACAGAAAUAAUAGUAUAGUAAAUCGGGGUUUAUUAUGUUAAUUAAUUGAUUUUUAAUUAAGUAUAAGUCGAUAAUCUCGGCCGGGUGUACCACUGUUUCUGUCAAAUUUUUCAAUCUUACUCAUUAUAUAUAAAUAUCAUGCAUAUGUUUUUCAUAAGAGAACUGAUAUUCAGUCAAAAUACGAACAAAAAUAAAGUAAAUCUGGCCAGGUUUACAUAGUUAAAUGCCAACAUAGUAACCCUGGCUAGGUGUAUAUAUACUGUAUUUGUCAGCGUUUAAGUCUAUUUUAUCAUUUUUUUUCUCCAUGAAAGGUAGUAAUUAGUUUAUAUAUCUACGUAUUAAGAAUGUAUGGACAAGACUCGUCCAUAUCUUCAUGCGCUUCGUAAUCUUGAAGAUAAUAAUAAAUUUUUAUACUCUUGAUCUAUAAAGAAAUAAAUUCAUUAAUUUAUGUAUAUAAAUUCACCAUUAAUUACUCAUGAUCACCAGCUCGUUUCUAAAAUGCAGAUUGAACCAGAGAUUUAAUUAUUAUUACCGAAGUGCUUGGCAAGGACAGCAAUAUGAAGAAUGGAGAUAUUAUCCCAACAAAUCUUCAGCUGUUAGUUGAGCAAAGUAAUCCAAGAAGCCAUCAUCACAUUCUCUCAUUAAGGCCAUUCCAUAAGCAUCUUCCUUCGUUACCCUCAUCUCAUCCAUAAACAUAAGCGCCAUCUCGCUUCUCUCUCUCUCACUUGUAUAAUUGAUACACUGAACAAGCUGUGUUCUUCGAUUUCCUUAAGUUUAAUUGUCUCAAUAUAAGUUGGCAUAAUCACUUUGCUUAAUUUCUUAAUGAAGCUCAAGCAUUAUAAGAAUAAAAUAAAGAUAAAGUAUUUAACCUAUCGGGUUCAGAAAAGGAAUAGAACAAAUUAUUUCAACGAUUUUUGUCUGCAUUGCUUUUUGAUUGAAUAUACAUAAUAACCACCAAUUCACCAUGUUCUCAUAACGUAAAGGUGCUUGUGCUUUGCCUAAGCCUUAAGGUUUUUGCUAUUUUAUAAAGAAAUCAUGACCAUUAUGGAUUACAUUGAAACGACCUGCCCCAAAUCAUAGGGAUGAGUCUAUUUAGUCUCAUCAAACUGAAUAGAUUAUAAUCUAAUUAGCAGGGAUUCUGCCGAAAAUUUGAUAAAGUUUUCUUUAUAAAUAUAACACUUCGAGCUUGUAAAUAUGUAAUACAAGUACUCCCAAAAUAAAUCAAUAUACAAGCAACUCCAAGGAUCAACAUUCUCAGUGAAAAAUACUGAAUUAUUACAUAAGAUAUCUCCAGAGUAUCGAAAGAUUAUAUUAGAACUAAUAUUAAUAUAUAUUAGUUUAUUCUUCAUCCCAAAAGAAUAAUACAACAAAAUUUAUACAAUUUAAAAAGAAAAAGAUGAUCUGGAUGUCUUAACAAAAAAAAUCAUCUAUAUUUUAUAAUAUCAUCACGUGACUAAAACUCAAAAUAUAUCUACAGUUGUUGGGUUGAUUUGGUGUACCUGCAACCUCUUAUUGUGGGGGGGGGGGGGGGGGAAGGGGGAAUAUAAUAAAACGAAAUGAGUAUAAAACUCAUUGAGCUCAGUGAGUGGAUAUUAGUUUUUUUUUUAAAAUAAAAUUACUAAAAAAAAUAAUUUAAUCUUUCUUUGAACGAUCCCAUAAAAAUAUCAUAAGAACUUAAAUAAAUUUAUUUAAUUUAAAUCAUGCACUGAUAUAACAAUAAUACAUAAUGCUGCAUAAAAUCAAGGAAAUCAUAACACUUAUAAUAACAGAGCGUGAAUGCCGAAAUUAUGACUAAACAAGUACCCAUGAGAAAUAAUCUUGUCAUAUCCUAACCUCAAUGGACGGGCAAUGAUGUACUAUCUAGAUACUAUCAUGCCCUCGGGCUACACGAAUAGACAGGGAGGUGCCAUCUCAUAUCUCAUCAUAUUUGUACAUGCAUAAUCUAAUCCCCAAAGGAUAAAAACACCCAAGCACACAGCUCAAAACCUUUAUGUGUAUUUAGACGGGCCCCAAAGGCCUGUAUCUCAUCUGUAUCUGUAUUAUUGUUAUCAUCAUAUCACAUGCAUAUGCCCCCAAAAGGCAGAAGUGCCUCGAAAUAAAUUUUGUUCACGCAUUGAUAUUUUAUUAAAAUGUUUGGUUAAUGGUUUUUCGUAUUGAUUUCGAAUAAAUUAUGAUAGUAUUUUAAAGGCGAGAAAGGUGAAUUUAGAUGUGAUAAUGAAAAGAAAAUGGAUUUUAAGUAUGUUAAAUAGAAAAGAAACAAGAUAUAUAUUAUGAUUAUAUGUUUAUGUAUAUGUGUAUAAAACGUUGUUUGUAAAAUCAUUGGACAAUAUCCUUCCUUGGUUAUAGUGAUACAGAUAUGAUGAGACUUUUAGGGCCUGUUUGAUCACAUAUAGAGGCUUUGGGCCGUGUGUUCAGAACAUUUAAAAUAUUUAUUUUGCAAACGUAUUUUACUAUCAUAAUUAACUAUGAAAAUAAGUUUUGUAUAUUUUACUCACGGUGAUGAUUUUUAGAUUCGGUUAUCGCCCAUGUUCGAGGACUGGUUUUCGCUUGCAGAUCCUUCUAAAUUAAGGAAAUGACAUAAUUAUUUUCUGUAAAUCGAAAUUAGGACUAAAUUUAUGUAAUAAACUCGAAACGAACAUCUAUCCAUAAUUUACAACUUUCGUGUCGAUAAAAUUACUAAAAUAUCAUCGAAUCAUUAAAUCAUUAGAAUACUUUAAAAUUGUAAAUCACUACAAUACCCUUGAAAUCGUAAUUACAUCCAAUCCUCAAUUUCAGAAAUUAUUAAAAUCUAUAUCAGGUCAGAAAUUACAAAAUCACCCUCAAAAUGUGAAAUUACCGAAUUGCCCUCACUAAGGUCAAGUGUGAAAUUUUCAGCCAUGAUGAGUCUAAUGGUGCCUGCAGUGACCUCCCACGUGUGCAGACGGUGGCAGAUCGAAGUCCCAAAGCCGUGAGCUUUCCGGCGGGCGAUCGACAGCAAUCCGGCCGUUUCGGGUGGCGGGAUUGGUCGGAAAAUGAUGAGGGUGAGCUAAGGAUCAAGAUCCAGGCAGUGGCAUCAUCCAAAACUGGCGGAAUCGACAACGAGAAGAGGUGGGUUUUGCCGCAGCUUUUCGAGCUUCAAAAGGCGGCGUUCCGGUCAGUUUUCGGCGGCUAGGAUGGUACAGAAACGAUGGCCGUCUUCCAAGCUUCAAAUCGGUACCUUGAUCGGCCGGAGGGGGUCAGAAUUGCGAGAUAUGGCCGGGUCGAUUUUGUGUCAAACGGGUCAGGUUUUCGGGUCGGUUUGAUAGCUUCCUCCCUCCCUCUCUCACACGUGUGGUCUCUUCCUGUCCUUCAAGCCUUUUAUUUAUUUAUUUUUUAUUAUUAUUUUCUUAACCGCUUUUUUUUUUCACAUAUGUUACAUACAUAAUUUGGAAGGUGAGGAGUUCGUGAUUUAUGAUGAUUUUUUUACCACAGUUCGAAAGAUGAUGAAUCCAUAAUUUUUGAUGAUUUUUUAAUAUAUAUAUAUAUAUAUAUAUAUAUAUAUAUAUAUAUAUAUAUAUAUACCAGAAGGAAAUAGGAUCGAAGGAUGGAUGUGCUUUCGGAAAAACUUUAUUAUUAAGAAAUAUGAAUUACACAAUUGUUCGAAUUGGAACGGCUUUGUCAAAGUUUAAAACUAAAUCGGUACGUGGCGUUGUUACACCUUAGACCACCAAUUAAGGCCUUGAGGUCUGAUCAAACUUAGACUUUAUCAGGAUCCCUGCACUAUGGUUUCCAGCCUGAUAUACCAAAUUAGCUUUCUUUUACCAAAUAAUAAUUAGAUUCUUUAAAUUGAUCUGCUUUGGAUCGCGGUUAGUUGAUUUUAAAAUUAUUUUACCAGAUCUUUAUUAGGUUCUUUAAGCAAGCCUAGCAACAAUCAUACAUCUAAAGGCUAGGGUGUAUACACAGUACCAGAUCCGGUUCCCGGAAAUGGUGCUCUGAAGGAAUGGAGGGAGAAGAGAAGAUUUACAACUGAGGAUCGAGAUCUGGUCUCUUUACCUCAGAGGAACGUACAAAUUUUAUGGCAGAUCUGAUACAGAUCAGUCUGCGAUCAUGCUUUGUAAAAGAAAAAAUGCUUUAAAAUUAAAUUGUAAAAAUUCAAACUACAUAAAUGAAAUUGCGGAAAUUAAAUUGCUUUAAAUUAAAUUACAGAAACAUAAAUCCUACAUGUUUGCUUUGUUGCUUUGUACUUGAUACAAUUUUUCAGAUCUGAAAGAAAAGAAAGAUUGAAAGACGGGAAGAUUACAAGACAGGAAACUUCCUUGAUGUCUUGAUCAUUUACAAGACAGGAAAGGUUCCCUGGAUUUCUUGAUCCAAACUUCCCAAGAGGAGAGAGAGAGAAGAAGAGAGAGAGAGAGAGAGAGGAAAAACGAAAGAAAGAAAAACUAGAUCUGAAACUUCUGAGGAGUCUCAGUCUUCCUCUUGAAUUAUAUACAUUGACUUUAAACUGUACCGGGGCUGUAGCUUUAAACUGUAGCGGGAACGGAGUUGCUUGAAACAGUGAUCUUUGGAGCAUACAGUGUUUUCUAAUUUUACAAACUUUAAAUAAAUUCGGGUGAAGAGACAUGUGCGCUCUCACUUGUGUCCAAAGGACCACCCGAGGGUACAAAAAUACAAAAGUACAGAGGAAAAUACUGGAAUACCUUUUUUUUUUUUUUUUUUUAGUACAGGAAUAUUACAAAUAAUAAUCUAAUGCUUUAUUGGUGAGAAUAUUCCGAAGCAGUUAGGAAUAUUACAAAUAAUAAUCUAAUGCUUUAUUGGUGAGAAUAUCCCGAAGCAGUCAUCUUCAUUUUCAUCACCAAGGGAAAUAAAAGGUUCUGUUUCACCUGAUGAGCUUGAAGAGGAAGAUGCAACGGACGGCUCAGAUCUUGAAGCAAGGAGUUGCUCCAUAACUUUGAAGUAUUCUUCUUUUGUUUUGCAGAGGCUAAUAAGGAUUGAGCCUUGGAUUUUUUAGAUAAGAAGGUGCUCUGGGCUUUGGUUAUGUCUUUACUUGGGCCUAAGAGGCCUUUUGUAGUAAGCCAUGACCGAAUGGUGGAUUUGAAUAAUUUUGACUUUUCAUCAAACUUUGACCACCAUUUGACUUUGAAUGUUCUUUGUAGGACUAAUUGGUUUUCUUGAGUGUGGUAUCGGAAAUUCCACAUCCAGACCCAAGGAAGGAAGAAAUUUGUACAAAAACAGAGGAAAGGAGGAAACCUUUUCUCAGACUCAGAAGGAAUGUAAUGAGCUUUAAAAAGGCUUAAACAGUUCAUGGCAUUCAAGGUGAGAAUGUCAGGACUUGGGCCAAAAUAGUUCCACCAAUUUUGAAACCAAUUUGGAAGGCUUUGUAUGGUUAUUUUUGAAUUAAAGAAAAAUAACCAUGAGUGGGAUUUCUUUGGAUUUUGUAUAAAAAAUGUAUUGCACCAGGCUUGUUGGUAGUCCCAGUAGGAGAAAAAUAAACAGUGUUUUAUCCGCAUUUGAAAAUUUACGGGAAAGGUUUGAUAUUUGUGGAGUUGGUCACCCCAUUGUUUUGGACUUAGGACUUUAAGGAUGGUAGCCGUAGAAUAGGCUGGUUCAGUGUGGGUUUCACUGAGAAAGAAAUGUUUAAAUUUUACAGAUUCAGUAAUCUCAAGAAUGCUUUGAUAAUAGGACUGGGGUUUUGAUAAAUCCCAUGGUUUAAAAAACCAGCCUUUAGGGAAAAUCUUUGUAAUUGCUUGAAAUGGAUCAGAAUGAUAAAACCCAUCUUCAAUAGUUAAAACGUUUUGAUGGAAAAUUUUAUCAUACCAAUCGGAAGUUUUCUUUGAAGGUGUUGGCUGGGAAAGCACAAUUUGAUAAGAUGAGCUCUCACCAAAAACAACAACAGAUUGAGAAGAAGGUUUUGAAAUCUCUUUAGAAAUCUUUUUUCUCUCUCAGAAACUUGAGAAAGUGCUUUAGAUUUUGAAAUACCUUGCAGAGCAAGCAUAAGUUCUGGGGACUUUGUAAUUAAUUCCAUCCACUCUUUUACUUGCUGUUCGGAGGAGAUGGCUUUGUAUUGGGUUUCUUGUUCUUCUUCGACCAUUUCAAUCCAGGAUUUAAUGGGCAUGGCAGAAGAAAGAAGUUUUUCUUUAAAGGGAGUAGUUUGAGGUUCUUUGGAGGUCUUUAUAGGCUCAGUAUCUUUAAGAACAGCUUUACCCUUGUCUCUUUUCUUUGGCGGCAUUAUCUGUUUUGGAGAAAUUCCCGAAUUAGAAAAUCAGGAACAGAAUUUGUAUUACCUUUAAUAAAUUCAAUAUCAAAAUAAAAAACACUUAAAAUAGCUUGCCACCGUGCAAAAAUCUGUUUUGAUGCAAUGUUUUGAACAUCUUUUUCCAAAACAUGUUUUGCAGCUUUGCAAUCGAUUCUAAGUAAAAAGUUUUGAUUUAGCAAAUCACUUUGGAAUUUUGAAAUGCAUAAAACAAUUGAAAUAAUUUCUUUUUUAAUAGUAGAAUAGUUUUUCUGGCAAUCAUUCCAGUGUGCAGAAACAUAUUGUAUUAUCUGUUCUCUAUCAUUAUCUUUUUGUUUUAAUAUGCCUCCAUAACCUAAAUCAGAUGCAUCAGUUUCAACAAUUUUAGGUAAUGCAGGAUUUGCAAGAUACAAACAUGGGAUGCUUUUAAUAGAAUUCUUUAUAACUCUAACAACUUUAGUAUGAUCAUCAGUCCAUGCGACAUGAUUUUUCUUUAACCUAUCAUGCAAAGGUUUUGACAUCCUAUUGAUAUUUGGAUAGAAAUCAAGUACAUAAUUUAAACUUCCUAGGAAUCUUUGUAGUUGAGUCUUGUCUAAGAUUUUGUCUGGAAACUUGUCAGCAAAGACAAGAGAACGCUCAAUAGGAGUAAUGGUUCCUUUAGAAAUAUGAUGACCAAGGAACCUGAUUCUUGUUUGAAAUAGAGAAACUUUGGAACUAGAAAUAGCUAGCCCAACUUUCCUAGUGGCCAAGUAAAAAGUCUUUAAAUGUUUGAAAUGUUGAUCGAUGGUUUGAGAGAAAAUCAAAACAUCAUCUAUAUAAACAAUGCAAAAUUCAGAAAAAGGGUUAUAAAUAUCGUUCAUAAUCCUUUGAAAUUCCGAAGGUGCAUUUUUUAAACCAAAUGGCAUGACAGUCCAUUCAUACUGUCCGAAUGGAACAGUAAAAGCAGUUUUGUAACGGUCUUUAGGAUGGAUUUGAAUUUGCCAAAAACCUGACUUCAUGUCAAAUUUUGAAAAUAUGAAAGUAGAAUGUAGUUUUUGAAGCAAAUCCUUUUUAUUAGGUAUUAGGUACCUAAUCCAUUUUAAUGCUUUAUUAAGAGGUUUAUAAUUAAUCACUAGUCUUGGUGUUCCUCUUUCAAUUUCAGAAUUUUUGUUUACGUAAAAAGCAGCACAAAACCAGGGGGAUCUAGAUUUUACAAUGAGUUCUUUAGACUCUAAAUCUUUGAUUUCAUUUUUACAAUGUUGUUCCAAAUCCAUGUUCAUUUGAAUUGGACGGGCUUUAGUAGGAAUUUGUUUUUCAUCGAAAGAAUUUUCAUAAGGUAAAUCUACCAAAUGUUGUUUUCUAUUCCAAAAGGCAGAUGGUAAAUCAGCACAUAUUUCUUUUUCAAUGAGAUCUUUAAAUUCAGAGAUUUUUCUUUGUAUAAAUUCAUUUUGUAACUGGUUUUCAAUUCUUUGUAGAUUUAAAUCCUUUUUUAAACAAAACAAGUCAUUUUGUUUGGAUUUGAGUAUGGAAUUGAUUUGGUUCUAGUAAACAGAACAAGCUUCAACAAUAUUUAAAUUUCUUGUUUUUGGUUUCUCAAUAAAGGGAAAAUUAGCUUUUUGGAUUUUGCUUUAAAAGAUAUACUAUCAUAAUUGACAGUAUAUGGGGUAAUCAAGUUUAUAAAAGGAGUUCCUAAAAUGACAGCAUGAUGUAUGUCAUUUGUAAGGAUAAAAGAAGUUCUAAAUUCAAAAUCAUUAUUAUGAAUAGAAGCUUCGACUUUAGAGUUGACUUUAAGUUUUGAAUUAUUGGUGGCAGAAAGUAUUUCUUUAGUUUUCUCAUGAAAUCUUUUAGGGACAAUGUCUUCUCUUAUACAAUUUAAAUCGGCACCAAUGUCAAAAAGGGCAAUGGCGUCAAUUGCAAAAUCUUUAGAAAAAAUUAAAGUAGUUUUAAUCAAAUAUUUUCUGGUGGUGAUUUGUUUUAAAACAAACAGAAAAUCAUUUGGUACUGAUUCAAUGUUGUCUAAUCUUUGUUCUCCAUUAUCACCAUCGUCAGAUUCUUUAUCUGAAUUAUCCUAUAAUUAUUUUUGUAAGAGAAGUUGGAUAGUUUCAGAAUCAUUCUUUUGUUUUUCUUUUAACUCUUUUAUUUCGAGUUUAAUGUCUUUGAUCUCUUUUUGAAGAUCUUGGAUAUUAGGGGUUGUUUUCUUUAUUUUCUUUUUGUCUAAAAUUUGGGUGAGAUCAUAAGAACUCUUUUUAAUGAUUGGAAUUUUGGAAGUCUCUGCUUUAUUAGAAUCCAGGGUCUUUAAAAGUUUAUCAAGAUAUUCUUUUUGAAGAUUCGGAUCAUAAAUAUGUUUAACUAGUUUAAGAAAAAUUUCUUGGUCUUUAGUUAAAACAUUGAUUUUCUUUAAAUAAGAAUCUGACUCAGAAUCACUACUGCUAUAUGUAGAGGUUUCUGAAUCAAUUAUCUCAUCGACCUGAAGGGAAUCACUGUCUCCCGACAUGGAAGACUCAGAGUCAGAAGACUCUAUAAGAAGAGAGGCAACUUUGGAGAGGGUUUCUUCAUCGAGUCAUAACUCAUGAAGCUUUCGGUUCAUUCUGCAAUACUUUGCAGUAUGGCCUUUUAUACCACACUUAUGGCAAAUGGCUUCUUUGUAAUUGAAAGGGGUUUUGUUUUUAGGUUUAAAUUCCUUUUUCUUAGAGAAGUUGGGCUUCUUAUGAGGCCUCGAAGGUUUCUUAUAAGAAGAUUCUCUAAAAUUUUGGAAUGGCUUCCUAUGGCUUUUGGAUUUGUAAUGUCUUCUGUGAGGUUUGAAAGAACACUCACCAUUACAACCUUUGGAGGUGGAAGUUUUAAAGGGGUCAUAGUUGAAUUGCUUACAGAAACUACCUAAUUCUUGCUUGGAUUUCCUAAGCUCCCAUUUAAGUCGUUUCUGUAGUUUCAAAUCUUGACAGAUCUUUAAUCCUUCCUUGUUAAUAAAACUAACAAGUUCACCGUAGGUGAGCUCAUCAUAAGGGAUACGAUUAUCGUAUAAGGAUUUAAUGGAAUUCCUAACCUUUUCACCUAAAAGGGUAGGUAAACCCGCAAGGAAUUUCUCUUUCCAAGUUAUAUGAUUUGCAUCAUCUCUGAGAAAGAGUCUGGUAAAGAAAGUGGUUUUGUAGCUUUGGAAUUCACUAAGUGUUCUACAUCUUAAAUUAUGUAGUAACUCAGCGUUUUUAUCUCUAAGGUGAGAGGGAUCACCUAUGAAAUGAAGGGAAAUUGUGAGGAUUAAAGUGGCAACAGCAUCUUGAAUUGGGUUAUUAAACUCAUCAAGAAUGGGUGUUUUAUCCUCAUCGAUUUGUAUGGAAUUAAGAAUAUCUAAUUGUUGCUGUUGAGUGAGAAGAUGAUCCCACCAACCUUUAAGUUGACCUGUAAAUCCAGCAAUGAGGAUUUCUGCAAUGGCUUUGUCAGAAGUUCCUGAUUGGGUUUUAUACGCAUUAGCUGCCAUGGUCAUCUGUUGCAACAAUCCUAGAAUGUUAUACUCAGACAUUCCAUCUAAAUUCCACUCAUAGACAGAGGAUGCAUUAUAUCGAGAUUGAUUUAAUGCACUAGGCCUAUUGUCUAUGGUCAAAUCAGGUGGAGACUUUAUAGUGGGAAGGGCUAAUUCCCAAUGAAUUUUAUUGGCUUUAGGAAUAGGUUCUUCUUUAAAGGCUUCUAGAUCAGAAGAGGCAAUAGACAUUUGAUCAGACAUUUGGUCUUGUUCUAAUACUCCAAUCUUACUAGAUUGAGGAGUAUCAGGGGCUAUCUGAACUUUGCUAGAUGAGGAAGAAGCAGCUUCUAUCCUAUCUAGUUGUUCUCUAAUGGCUUUAGCAAAAUCUGAUUUUGACUCAUGCACUAGCUUUUGACUAGUUUUCGAAACCUGAAAAGGUUUGAAAAUAGGCUCUUUAAGCUUUUUGUCAGAAUCCGAUUUUGAUGGAACAGGAGAAGUAGAGGAAACAGCUAUGGUUGACUUUUGGAAUUGAUUUUCUAUCCUAGUCAACUGUUUUCCGAUAGUAUUUAAGUUAGUAUUAUAGAAAUUAUUCUGUUGGAUAAUACUACUUAAAUUCGCAUCAGAAUCAUUAGGUUUUGGAAUUUUGUAAGGAGAAGCUCUAAUUUGGACAAGAGGUUCGCCGUGAUCAACGGUUAAACUCUGAAGAGGUGGAUGUUCAGAUUCUAUGGUUCUAUCACUAUCAGUAAGUUUCCACUCAGGGAUUUUCUUCCUAAUAGUAAUAGGAUUUGACUCUUUGAAAGGGUAGGAAAUGUUGUUAUCAUAAGAGUAUAUCUCGAACCAAUCAAAAAAUAAUAUAUGAACUUGAUGAAGGUUUACAACUUCAUAAUAGAUUUGUUAGAUUUGUUUUCUUUGAUUUAAAAAAUGUUUAAAACACCAAAGUCUUUUUUCUUUAUUUGUUUCUGAAUAAAAAUCAUUAUGAGGAAGAUUUUUAUCAAGUUCAAAAUUCUUUUCAAUUACAUUUAUGACAUUUUCUGUGACUGUAGAAAAAGUAGGAGAGGUUGGAGGAGAAGGUUCCUUCUCUUCCUGUCUUUGUUCAUGUUGACUGCUAGUGUAAAUAGGGUGAGGAACACUAGUGGCAUAGUCAACAGAUUGUAUAGAAGUGCUAGGUAUAUCUGAAGUAGAAAACCUAGGUUGACUCUGCAAAGGAAGAUUUAUAACAGAAGGGAUUUUUGUAAAUUUUCUUUCCAAUGAGGAAAUACUUGAGCACGACUCUUUAUCAAAAAAUCUGGUUGAGGCUGAUCUUCUGAAUGAUAGUUUGACUUUUCCAUCUGAAUACUGAGUCACAUUUUGCAACCUGUAUUAGGCUCAAGUUGUUUUGGAAUCGCUGGUGGAGCGGCUCCUUCAAGGACCCAUUCCUCUGGAAGAUUGACAUCUUUCCAUUGGAUUGGUUUUGGAAUGACAGUGUUGGCUUUAGACAAGUGAGUCUGCAAGAGAAGAGUUUCAUCUCUUUUUUACUGGAAUUUGUGUUGCGUACUGAAUGCAGAAAUCAUUGCUUUGUAGGAAAUUUUGAAAAUUAAAGCAACUGGGACAGAUCCCUUAAUCAUAUUGUAAUUAUGUGUCUUGAUUUGUAAAAUCAUACUUUUCAGAAUAUUUUUGUCUUUAAGGGAGAUUGUUAUGUUCGGAUAACAAUCAAAGGAGAUUGGACCUUUACAGAGACUAGAUUCAAUGCUACUUAGCAAAGAAUCAUCAAAAGAGAUGAAUUGCCCAUCUCUUAGGACAGCAAGGAUGGAAGUAUCCAAGCCUUCUUUAGUCAGGGGUUUUAUACCAACUUAGAUUAAACCUAUGUGGAUGUAAUUAAAAUUCUUUUCUUUUAAUUUCUUUAAAGAUUUUUCUGAAAACAAAUGAAUUGUUUCAAAAGGCUCAGAAAGGGUUAUGUCACGUUCUUCAGUCUUUAUUACAUAAUCAUUUUUUAAAAAAAUCAAGUUUCUUUGUUUUGUAAAUCUUUUCUUUAGAAAUUCUUGGAAGUUCCCAAUAAUCAAUUGCUUUAUCAAAGUUCUCAAUAAUGAAUUCUUCUGAACUCACAACAUGCUUUGAAUCACUAGUCUUCCCAGAAGAAGAGCUAGAAAAGGACGAUGUUCUACAGUGUAUAGGUUCCAUGGGUAAAAACCUAUGGUCUAUUCUUGGUUUUGAAAGAAUGGCUACAUGUAUGGUUUUACAGCCCUAUGCGGAAAACUUAUCCUAAGACGGGACUUACUACCAGUAAAGAAUUCACCACACAACAAAACUUCAAAAUAAAACACAAGUAUAUAUAUAUAUAUAUAUAUAUAUAUAUAUAUAUAUAUAUAUAAAAUUUUUGUUUUAAGAUAGAGAGGUUGGGAAGCCCAAAUCAAUUUUUAAUUAUAAUCUUAUCAAAAAUUAUUAAAUUAAUGGUAAUGGGACCGAUUUACCGUACAAAUUGCCAACAACAUAAAUGGUGAUUGAUUUGUUACUUUUAUGCAAUUUUAUAUAAACUGAGCCUUGGAGCCAUAUGAUACAAGAAGAGUCCGAAUUAUUAUUAUUAUUAUUUUUUCAAUUGUUUCUUAAAUUCGUGGAUGAAGCUGAAUGUUUUUUUUUUUGUCCUUUCUUGAUGAAAAAUAUAUAUAUUCUUUGGAUAGUGACUUUUAUUCUGAUCUAAAUUUUCAUUUGAGCACAUACAUGUGGGUGUAAGUUGUCAAUAUAAUGCAAUGAUGAUUCUACCAAAAAAAGAAAAUAUUCAUAUUGAUGAUAAUGAGUAAACAGAUAGAUCAUAAAUUCAUUAUUUAAUUUGAAAUACACACAGUACAUUAUUAUUAUUUGCCACACCAAACCCAUCUUUUACAUGAAGUAAAACGACACACCCAAAGGAAAAAUAUAUGUGAGAACAAAUGAGAUAAAUAGUGUUAAUUAGAGCUGCAUUACAUAUAAGGAUUGUCAUCAUAUCAUGCGUACGUAUUAAUUAUUAACGCCAAUGCGCCCUCUUCUUCUUCUUCGAAGGUCCCCAGUAAUCCUUAAAAUUAGCCGCAAAAUUAGCAUAGACAGGAAACUCCAUGAGUGCUAAAACAACCACUGGAAAGAUAGCAGCAGCGUAGAGAGUGGCGGUCCAUUUCUUCCUCAAACGAAUAAUGAGCAGAAGUGAAGCCGAGAAAGUAAUCAUGCUUGUUAAUACAGAGAAGAAGAGUAAAAUGAAGCCAGUCGUCAGCUUGAACGGAAGGUUGCUAAGGAAAUCAGAUGACUCACGAGGCGAGGUGAGGAUAGAUAGAAACAUCACAACGGAUGACAAAGAUAAGGACAGCGAGGCAACGUCCGUUACGGUAAAAACGUAGAAGAGUGGUGACGUAAGGAAAUGAGGAAACCCCUUUUCAUUGUUACCUCCAGGUACCGUGAAGGCAGCUGUAAAGACGACGGUCGCGAUUAGGAUUGCCAGUACGGAGCAUGCCUGAGCGGUUUCUUUGAUCCAUUCUUGUGCUUUCCCAAGUUGAUCUUCAUGUGUUAGAUCGAAGAGGUCACUUGCAGUGAUGUUCUUUUCUUUGUCGCGGUGCAUGGCAUAAUGGCGAGGCAUUAUCUCUUUUACACACUGCAUACACACACACACAUAUAUAAUGCAUGGAGUCCAUCAGAAAAUAUAAAUAUAUAAUAUUAGAGUAUGCUUUUAUUUAUAUGAACACAACGAAUAAAUUAAAUGUACUUGGGGGACAAAAUUAAAUAUUAUCAAAGGGCUUACCUUGAACCACUGUAACUCCUCCUGAAAUUGGAGAACAGGACCAGGGCGGGUUCCUUGCUUAUAAUGUUUCAUGUCUGCGACAUGGUGCAAUAAUGUAUAGCCUUUUUUGUCAAUUUUUGCAGCCCAUUUGGGCACGUACAGUUGCAUUUUAUUCAUGAUGAGUUCAAAGACCUUAGGUUGACGACGCUCUACGGCCACAUGUAAUAUAUUCUGCUCAUUCAGCUCAUUCGCUUCAGAUAAUAUUGCUUGAGGAUCUUGUCGGAGUAUCUCGUCCAAAAUUUCUGUAAUUCCGUUGCUAGCUGCAAAGUGUAAUGUCCUAUCCUGUGUUGUGGCGUUUUCACCAUCCUCAACUGGGUCCUUAGUGCCAUCUUUUUUCCUCAGCACCUCGAUCAAUUCUUCAGCUGAAAGAUCAACAAGUUUUUUUCCCAAGAUGUCCUUUCCUUUGCCCAAUCCCAAGGUAAUUGUUUUCGGUUUUCCGGGAAUUUCUUGUUCCGUUGUUUCGGAAUUUUCUUGUUCCGUUGUUUCCGCCAAUCCCAACCUUUUUAUUUCAGCCAGCCUUUCGACAAGGGCAUCCGCAUCUUCAUGCGUUUUCUUUUCCUUCCAGAUUUCCUCAAUCCAUGAACAUCCUGGUGAUGCAUGCAUCAACAUCUUAUUAAUUUAUGAACAAAAUUAUGCACGCAAACGGCAAAACCGUUCAUCAAAUGAAUUGAAGUUAUUAGACAUUUCCCUGUACUUCUAAUGUGUCUCAUAUAUGUAGAAGUAAUUAAUGAAAUUAUUAUUUGUCGCACCUUCAAUCACCUGCCUCCAAAUACCAAUAUACAUCUUCCAAAUUGACAUUCCUGCAUUUUGAUUAACCUGGUCAGGUAAAAUUUUAUAUGCACAUAAUUAUGAUAUGAAAAAUUAAUGCUAACGCAUCGAAAAGGAAACCGCUCGGACUCAAGUUAAAAGCGUGGGGGUUUAAAUAUAAGGAGACAUGUGGAUGCAAUUUAUUUGAGAUGGUAAAUAUUUUAAUCUGCAAUAUGUAGAUAAGGUCCUUACCAUAAGAUAUGCAUGAGUCCAUAGAAACUAAAGAAAAGGGAACAUCUUUCCCCCAACUAUUUGAGGUAUUAUAUACUUUUCCUCGCGAUAUUUUCAAAACGGUCAUGUACCUCGUUGUUAAAGAGAGAAUACAUUAAAACAAUCCUUUUUACUAUUUUGUCCUUGAAACAAUAUACUUUUAUCCUAAAAAUUAAUGAAUAAAAUAAAAUCUAAAUAAUUAUUUCAAUAUUAAAUUUGUUAAAAUAUAGAUUGCAACAAAUCUCCGAUCGGUCUCUUUUGUAAUUAUUUUUUCUGACGUGCCAAUGAAAAUAUGAAAAUCAGACUUUCUAUUUGAUACAGAGAUAUUUUUCAAAGAUAAAGGUAGACUGGAUAGUAGCUCAAAUGUUUAAGGGGAACAAAUAGGUUUCUAACAAACAAUACAAAAAAAGAGCAUGCAAUGAUAAUACCAUUAGAUGUCAAAAUUAAGGCUUCGUUUGCCUUCUGGGCUAUAUAGAAUGAAAAUUUUCGUUACUAAUAGAAAAUUUAUGGGUAUUUUAUAAAAUUAAACACUACUAGAUGUCAAGUAAAAAUUGGAGUAUAUUAUCAAUAAAUAAUUGUGAAAAAUAACCUACUUAAUUAAAAGCCAAACUGACAAAGUGUUUGCGGCUGAUUAGGUGUGCAAAAAGCUAGCCGAAACAAAUAUAGCCCAAUUACGAUCCAGAGUCGUAUGCGUAGGGGGGUUAUGACUUAUAACCGUAGCUAAAUCCUAAAGCUGUUAGUUCGGGUUUUGAUUUUUGAAUUUAUAGAGUUAUAAUGAUUAAUGAAACCUCUAUACUAUGAUUAACAAAUUAAAGCUGCUCUUUCAGCAUUACCUCGCCUCUUCUUUGUGUGGCCGCGGCGAUUGUCAAUCUUAUCAGUCUCUAUAUCUUCUUUAUAAUUGCAGUCGUCAUCCAUACACGUUGGAAGACCUGCAAUUAGAACUACAAUUGAAUUUAGCUAUAUAUAUUCUAAGUUCUAAUAAUGUAACAAAGCACUUUUUUUUUUUAAAUUUAUGCUUAAAUACAAAUUAACUAAAAUAUUUCUCCUAAUGAAUUUUCUUAUGUUCCCAUCGUAGCCGCAUCCACCCAUGACAACGGGACUAUAUAGAUCCGUUUGGGGUAAUUGCGCUGCCACAGUGUAGCUCCUCCACCUCCUUGAUUUUAAGAAGAUUCUCUUAAAGUAAAGGGUAGAGCAGCUACCCCAAACGGCCUCCAUAUCCCUUUAGAGAUUAAAUUAUAGUUGCAUAUAAUUAAUCUAUUAAAAACAUUAAGAAAAAGUAAAGGCGGAUAGAGUGUUGGGCAGAAAUAACAGUAUCUCAGUCGGGGCAGGUGGACCAUUGUUUCCGUAUAUUUUCCAUGAGAACGCUGAUAUUAUGAAAAAAAAAAAUACUGAAAGAAACAAAAUUAAAUGCAAUCAAAUUUGCAUGGUUAAUUGCUAAUACUGUAACCCGGACCGAAUGUAUGUAUAAUAGACAAAGUCAAUAUUGAUGCUUAUUCAUUUUUAUAACUUUUCUCUGCUGUAAAUCUCUUUUAUGUAUAUUUUAGUUACGAUCGACCGUACAAUCAGUGGAACAAAUUGUUGUCUUGUAUUACAAAUAUUGAGUGAACUCAAUGAGAAAUAGUAGAGUCAUAUUUUCCAAACCUGACAUCAAACAAUGUAUCCACGCACGAUAAUGGAAAGGACUCUUGAUCAUUUCCUUCGUGUCAUCCGCACUCUUGAAAGCAUCUGGCAUUAGAGCUAGUAGUUCAAGACAUGUAAAGCCCUUAAGCUUGUCGGACGUGGACGAGAGCUCGUCGGACUUCAGCGUUGCACGUUUUUCUGCACCUGUUGCACGUUUUUCUGCAAGGGUUGAGUCGUGGUUAAGUAACCAAAUAGCCGUCUCUGUACGUAGUCGAGAAAAUUAAUUAAUCAGUUAAGAAAAUAAUAAUAAAUUUUUUAACUCUGGAUCUAUAAACGCAUGAAUUAAUUGGAGAUUUAAUUAUUAUAUAUUACCGAAGUGUUGGCUGAGGACAGCCAUAUGAAGAAUUGUCUUAUCAUCUUUGUUUCUACUGAAAUGACAACGUAAGUCACCAACUUGCUCAGUCAGCAUUUGCAACACUUUAGUUUUCCCGAGAGCAGCAGCCCUUUAAACUGUGGUUUCCCCCAAACAAUUUUUAGUCUCAAGUAAUUCCCUGUACGCAUCACCAGACUUUCUGGAAAAGUCAACCAAAACCCUGGCCACGGCGAAAUCUUCGACGACGGCCGCUUCGUGAAGACCAUUGUUUCCAAACUCAUCUGUUUGCUUCAAGACUUCACGUCUGGUCUCUGGUGUUAGCCUUUCGAGAAAUUUCUGGAUCAGCUGAGGGUCUUCCAUGGCCGCUGCAAUGUGAAUUGCUCUGUCCCCGUUGACUGUCCUGUAAUCCAACAAGUCUUUAGCAGUUCGUUGAUCAAAGUACUGCAAGAAGCCUCGACAGUCUCCCUUCAAGGCCAUGCCAACAGGAUCUUCCAUCGCCCUCUCUCUCUCUCUGUUUCUCACUUGUAUAAUUGAUGCACAGAACAAGCUAUACGUGUUCUUCGAUAUCCAUAUAAUUAAUUACCUCCAUCGCCGUCCCUUAUAUAGAAGUUCUAAACGAAGUUGGCAUAAUCACUUUGCCUAUUUUACUAAUAAAGCUCAAGCAUUAUAAGAAAAAAAAUAAAGUUCUAAAGUAACAAAACGGAAAAGAUGAUAAAAGAACAAAGUUUUGAAAAGAGAAUUGAUUAUUGAUGAAAAGUUGUUUACAUUGUACGUGUAUUAUUCCCUUGAAAUUCAUAGAAUGUGAAGUUACCAAAAGAGCAAAGUUAAAAAUAAAAUAAAAUAAUUAUGUUUGAGGUAAAAGAGAGAAAGAAUAAGAAAAAGAAAACGCACGCAAUUAAAAAUGAAAUUAGCUUUUGUCUUCCUGUACGUUUGGGAACGAUAUAUUAUAUAUGCAAAAACGAAUAGUUUUGGGAAAGUAUAAAGUUCAUGCUCUACGUCAUAAAGUUUGUUAAUCAAUGACGUCAGAAAAAAGAGUAGAAUAUAUAAAUUAUUUCCAAACUCAAGUUACAACUCGGAGAAGGUGAAAAGUCCAUGCUGUACAUCAUAAGGUCUGUUAAUCAACGGUGUCAGAAAAAUAGAGUAGAAUAUAUAUAAUUUAUUUCCACAACUUAAUUUUGUCUCCAUUGCUUUUUCCGCGAAUAUAUAUAAAGAGUAGGAGAGAUCCUAAUCCUUACUUUAAUAACAUGGUGAUUAUUGUAAACGCGAUUGUGCUUUGACUAAGACUAAAGCCUUUUGCUAUUCUACAUGUUACUUCAUUAUUUCUCGUCAUGGAGUGGCAGCCAAUCAUUAAAAAAUAAAUAAAAAUGUAAAAAUAUUUAGAAAGUUAAAACUUAUGAUAGAAUUUGGCCUUAUUUUUUAUAGAUGUGUUGUAAAAAUGAAUUGUAUUUAUAAAAUAAAAGAUAAUAGCAUACGGUAAAUAUGACUUUAGAAUAAUAUCUUUAUAGACUUUUAUCGUACAACUGUAGAAUAAAAUCAACUUAACUUCCAAACCAUAGCAGUAACUAUUUACCAAAUACUUUAUUGAUAUAUUUUAAAAACUACCACUGCUCAAUUACAAUACCAAACAAGGUGUUCUAAGUUGGUUCCAACCACAAUACGAAAUAGGGACUUACAUUCUAUAAGUUAAAGUCAUUAAGUUUAUUUGUUUUUUUAACUUAUUAAAAAUUUUCAAUCAUUAAGCUAUUAAGCCUAUUUUCUUAGCUUCUUAUUUAAUCUAAAAAGUCUGAAUAAUGUUAUUAAAAGAUAUUAUUUAAAAUAUUCCUAUCCAACUAAUUUAUUUUCAUCUUUACCUAAAUAAAACUUACUAAUUAGCAUACUAUUCAUCUUUAUAACUUGUGAGAAUAUAGUAUAUUUUUUUAUUUUAAUCUUUUUAUUUUCUUCAAAUUAGCAUUAUCUAUUUUCAUAAUUUUUUAUGAGUAUUUUUUAUAUAAAACAUCAUAAAGUGCAAUAAAAUUGAUUCACAUCUUCUAAUUUAGAAUAUUAAAGGGUUGUAUUCACCUGAACAUGAUUCAUAUUAUGAUAAAAUAAUAUCAUAUUAUCCGCGAAUAUAAUAAUCUCCAUUUUAUUUAAGUAAAGGCGAUUGUGCUGUGCCUAAGCGUAAAGCCAUUUGCUAUUUUGGCGGCUACAUGUGUUACAGGCCAAUCCACGAGCCAAGAAUAGACAAGACAUGUCCAUGCAUAUCUUCGUGCGCCUCGUACUCUUAAAAGCGGAUGCCAUUAGAGCCAGUGGUUGAAGGCAUGUCAAGCCAUCGUCCUUCUUGGACUUGGUUCUUUUCCAAGACUGGACUCGCGAUUAAGUAACCAAAUAGCAGUGUCUCUGUGCGUGAUAAGUCCACGAAUCAUCAGUUUGAAGCAACUGUGGCAACAUGCGCUGCAUUAGCUAGCCAGGUGUCUACACUCUACACAAAGACCCCUUUAAGGCAAAUUCUGGAUGUUAGAGAUUAUACUAAUGAAGAAUUUGGUCACCUUGAACAUAACUCAAUAGCAACAGACCUGAUGCCUCCCAACGGCUCCUAGAAUAUCAUGCAUAAGAUUAAGUCAUGAGAUUGCAUCAACGAUGAAGCCUUUAGUUUAUGUAAAUAUCUUUGUAAUUAUGAGAUGUGUUUUAUUCCUUUUAAAGCAUGAUACAACUUGUAUAUAUGCUGUACGAUUUGUUUGAGUAGAAACAAUCUCAAUUACUUUCUCAUAUUUACAUUUUCCACAGCACGUAUUCAAGCAGGACAGAAAUGUAAUUAAUUAAUUAAUUAAAAAGAUAGCAAUAAAUGUUUAAACUCUUGAUAUAUAAAUAAAUAAAUAAAUUCAUUAAUAUAAAUAUAUUCACUACUACUCAUAUAUAAAUAAAUAAAUUCACUGAUAUACAUAUUUUAGUUUUCUAAAAUACAGAAUGAAUGGAAAGAUUUAAUCAUUAUUACCCAAGUGUUUGGCAAGGACAGCAAUAUGAAGAAUGGAAAUUUUGUCCCAACAAAUAUUCGGCAGUUAGUUGAGUAAAGUAAUCCAAGAAGGCCUCACAGUCUCUCUUUAAGGUCAUUUGUUAUCAUCUCCACUGCUAUCUAUCUCUUUCUCACUUGUACAGUUGAUACACAAAACAAGUUGUACGUACCCGUUCUUCGAUAUCCGUAAUUUUAAAAUUGACCAUUUUCUCACUCUAAGAAAUUUGGGAUAUGACAUAAUAGAACUAGAUCUCGAUUGUAUUGCGGUGUUGUGGAAAAAAAAAAAGGAUAUAGCUAAAAUAAAAGUCAAUAUUUUAUGAUAAAUAUAGUUUUAAAAUAAUUUCGAUAAAAAUAAUAAAGAAUAUUAUAGAUUUUCAUUGUACAAGUGUGGGAUAAAAUUAACUUAAUUUUCAAAUCAUAAGUCAAUAAUAAUAAAUAUUUGCCAAACAUUUUAAUGUUGUAGUUUAAAAAGCUACUCUAUGCACAUCCUUGAUUGUACAAGCAUAUUAUUAUUAAAAAAAUUAUUAUCUAUUUUUUUGUUAAUUACUUCUUUUCCCAAUUAUUGCAAAAUAUAGACAAAACUCAUGCUUGGUCGAACGUUUUUAUUGUUAAUAGAUUAUUGUAAGUUGACUAUAAACUUGGUUGAUAUUCAGUAUUCGACGUAAUGUCUUGGCCGGAUGCGGUUAUUCCAUUGCAUCAAUUAAUUGUACGGUUGAAUACCAUGAUUGUUUUGCCUUAAAACAUUUUCUAAUUUCUUUCUUGGACGUUCUUCAAUAUUGAGAAAUAUAUUUAAUUUUCUCCGAUUUUUUUUUUUCUUUCAUAGUGACAUAAUCCAAAAAUUUAAGGGUCCAUUUGAUUACAAUUCAAAAAUAAUUUAAACAAAUAUAAUCUCAAAAUUUGUGUUGAAGUUUUAAUGUGUUUACUUUUUAUUAUUUAGCCUGACAGCACUCAAUUCCCUCUCCACCUGUGUGAACGGAAUUUAACUCCUAAAUCUCUUGUUUCAAGAAACUAAAAGAGAUUUUAUUAUCUUAACUAAAUGGUAACUACAAGCUUUAAUGUCUUUAUAUAAUAUUUAAAACAAACAAUUUCAACAACUGAAACAUGUUUAACAAAAUUUCUAAUUAAUAAAAAAUAAAAAUACUUGUUUAGGUGGUGUGAUUUCAAAGGUAAUAUUUACUUAAGCAUUUACAAUUUUAUUUUCCUUUCAGCUAAUUACAUUAUAUCAAGCAGUAACUUGACCAAAAUAAGCAUAAAACAAGCUUCAUCAAGAUUCAAUAUUGAUUAUAUUCUGUUAGCUUCUAUUCUGUUACAUUAUACCUGUUAGGCUUGCCACCAAAUAAAAGCUGGCGCAGUUGUGUGUCACUUUGCACGUUCAUCUACUUAGCAUCAGGACAAUGCUUAGAUGCCCAUUUUCGGAACCUGUUAACGGCAGCUUCUUGCUCUGCUCUGGCCACCUUCUCAAUCUCAGAAAGAUAUUCCCGAUCAACCAACAUCCCCUCAGUUUCCAUUUUAACUAGAAUCUCACCGAAUGGUUGCCAGUAUUCCGGAUAAAAGUCAAACAUGGAUUUUCCUGGAACUGGUUUCCCAUCAAGUUUCCAUGACAUUUCUAAAAGUAUUUUUUUUCAAGCUCUUACAAAGCUUCAGUGUGUUUAUUGAAUCAAAGGCAGAAUAAGAGAUCCACAAUUCUCGCUCCUCUCUUUGAAGCUCUUCAACAGGAGCAAUGGUGCUUAUUUUGCCAGCAGAUCCAUCCUUUUUCAACUUUCUCCUGCCAAAGAUAUCUUUCAUUGAUAUUUUGCCCAUGAAACCCUCAUCUGUGUUGUCCUUAGACAUGUCUUUCUGAUAAGCUUUCUUAUCCUCAGACAUGACUUUCCGAUCACCUGUAAGUGCUUCAGACUGUAACCACCCUCUGUGUGUCUCGAUGAAUCCCAAAGCUGUGCCAUAUGCAUUGUGUCAGCAUGAAAACCAGAAACCUUCAGCCCAUAGUUCUCAAGGACAUGGUUAUCAGAGCUAUAGUUAUGCCAAACCUACACAAAUGAUAGCUGUUAAUAUAAGAUCAUAUGAAAAAGCAGACGACAUAAUUUUUUUUUCUUUUUUUGUGAUCCAAGUAAACUAAUACGGAGUAAAGCAGUUUGUUUAGCUAAGUAAAGGAAAUUGGAUCAGUUACGUCUAUAGAAGGUGGAAACAGCUAGAAAUCCACCAUAAAAAGAGAGAGAGAGAGAGAGAGAGCACAGAGAGAGGAAACAGCUCUGCAACUGAGCAGAGUAUUUCCUUUCUUUGAUCGGCGUACAACAUAUUUUCCUCAACUAACAUAAAUAGCUAUCUAAGGGGGAAAUUGGAGUUUUAGGUUUCAUCAAAUCUAUGAACUGUACCACACGGGUAGGAGAACAUAGCAUAGAUGUAAGGGUAAACUUGUAACCCAGUAGACAGCAAUGGGAACCCUAGCUUAAAUUGGAAAAGAGCAACAAAACUUGAAAAAAUGCACAGCGUAGGCAGUCACCGUAAAUCUUAAACCUGUCACUGCAAAGCAAUGACAAUAAGACUCCAUCUAAUUAAACCAUAAUAUGUGAAAAAUCAGUUAUCCAGAAAUUUACUAAAGCGCAUAACCAGCUGCAAGUCCAAUGCUUGAACCGUGCACCAAUCACAUAAUGACUGGUGCAGAUUAUCAAAGAAAUAUCCGCCAAUCCAUUUCUCCCUACUGCUAACCAGAUGAUAAUUAUUCUAAUUAAAAAAAAGCGUGCAUAUGAAAAGGACUAUAAACAAGAAAAAGACGUGGUGAAGGGGGAGGAAGGGCUCACCUUUUUGAUGGAUGGAUCCUCAAAAAAUGGAGCAAAUUCAUUCAAAAGGUCCCUGCCACCACCGUCAAGAAGAUCAACCCAGAUGCAGGACUUCCCAUUUCCAAAAUCUGCUUCUGGUCCAGAAUAAAUACUGAAGCAUAUCACUUCUCCAUGAUCAACAGGUGUCUCUUGCUUCACAUCAAUUUUGGCCACCUAUAAACAUGCUAUAAUUAGAUUCCUGUAUGCACAAAACUAGGGUAUCUACAUUGAGUAAAAUGUGUGCUUGUAUACAGGAAGACAUGCAAGGUAGAAGUAAAAAAGAAGGCAACUAAGUACAUCACUCAUUACCUGCCGGCAAAAAAAAAAAAAAAAAAGUACCAAUUUCAACUAGAAGAAGAAAAGAACAAAGUACCUCAGUAUCACAUGCAUGGACAAGAUGCUUAUAUUUGUUUGUAAGCAUCCAUACAACCUUCUUUGCGGCAGAAACAUUAUCGACAACCAUAACAUUGCUGUAGAAGCUAGCAAGUUUACUGCGAAGAAUCUCGAGUUUUUCACUAUUUUCAUUUUCUGAAGCCUUUAUGUUCUGGCCAGUACCUUCUGCAGCAUCAUUCUUAGGAUUCUUUUGAUUACUUCGCUUAGAACUAACUAGUUUUGGAGGAGGUGAAUAGGAACUACCAUCUUCAAAGCACUCAAUCUCUGAGUUCCUGAAAUCUGACAAGUUGGGAGCUGUCAAAACAGUGGCUCCUUUUCUCUCUUGAUAUUCUGCAACUUCCUUUUCAUAUCGCAAGCACUCCAUAUUAGUCUUCUUGUCUAAGGGUAUUUGAUCAUUCACAAAGUCUUUGCUUUUUUCUUCACUGCCAGUAACUUCUUGUUUAAUAACAGCCAUCACAGAUCCAGGAUGAUUCGUAGGAUGACCACCUACUGCACCAUUUCAGAAAUCUGCCAGUCCCUAACAAUGGGCUUCUUCUGCUGCUUAAAUUUCUGAAAAUAAUGUUGCUUAGAACUCGUGAUUGAAGACUAGAAACUACUGUCUUGCAAGCACUCAGUCUUUGAUGAAGUAAGUGAUCUGUCAUGCUUGGAUUCCAGUAUGUUGAUAACAGUGGAAAUGGCAGCUCUUUUUCUCUCUUGAGCUUUUGCAUCUUCCUUCUCAUCUCUCGAGCUCUCUGUAUUUGUCUGACAAGAUUCUGAUUCUUUCAUUACAUGCAGUCUGGUCGUUUCUGUCAUCCACCCUCUCAAACUGCGGACAGUAUUUUUUGCAGAAAAUGUUUCAUUACUGGAAAUAGAAGGAUUAGGACGAUAGUAGGAUGCAACCUCCAGAAAUUGAUUUUUGUAAAGUUUUUCUUCUCUUUUUUCAUCUGUUUUUGGCAGAUCAAAAGUUCCUUUUGAGGAGUACUUUCCUUCAAAACUGUUGAGAUCUUGGCAGAAAGGGACCAUCUUAGCUGGCGCAGCACCCACCGAAAGUCUAUAAGCAUAUUUUUUAAUGGGAAAUCUCCUAGCAUUGUUAAAAGAACUAUAAAAUCGGGGAAAACUACUCGAUAUCAUAAUGUUGGGAAAGGUAGUGUUGGUUACGCAGCCUUCUUUCCUGAAAUUUUUUUCAAUGGAAACAAUAUCAAAGGCAGCAGAAGGUAAAGCAACCAUGAUAAUAUACAACUUGCUGCAUGCCAAGUAAGAAAGGCGGAACAUCUCAAACAGCACCAAUAAGAAUUUAGCACCAUAUGCACAGCUCAAACCCACUGAACACUGAACAUCAGUACAGGAUGACAUUCGAGACAUAACAUAUCAUACAUAAUCACACAUAGCAUCGAUAUGACAAACCGAAACCCAGUUAACAGAAAUAAAAUGUGGGUGUUACAUAAUCUUCAAAAGUCAAAACCCAGAUGGCAAAAGCUAUGCACGCAAAAAUACAAUCUUUUUAACCUCUCCAAUUCAACAAAGCAAAACUGUAAGUGGGUAUCAAAUAACCCUAAAAAGUCAGAAUGAAAAAGCAAUAAACAGCACAAAAACACAACAAAUAAUUUCAUAACAUAACAAAUGAGAGCCAAAAAUAUAUAUGUAAAAAAAUUGAACCGAACCUUUUAAAAGAAGUGAGAGAGACAUGAGGAGAGGAGCAAGGAGUCCACUUUCUGGUGGUGAGAUUCGGGGAGACUCCCAUGACCGUUAUCAAGUUCGUAACUUUUGUUCUGCUAAACAGCAGCUUGUUGCCAGUGGUGGUUGUGCUUGUAAGAGCCGUUUUGAAGGGUUUAAGAGGGGGCAGAACGGUAAUAAAGGUGGGAUUCUGAGGGUGGGGUUUAAGAGUAUGGCGGUUCUGUGUCUGUUUCUGUAGCUGAAAUACGGAGUGUGGCCAUCAACAAUCUCAACUCAGCACUGGCGCCCUUUAUUAUUAUUAUUAUUAUUAUUAUUAUUAUUUAUUCUUAUUUUUAUUUUAUUUUUUAUUUUUUUUUACUUUUGGGUAAUUUUUCAAAAUCUCCCUUCAGGUAUGGUGAAUUUCCAAGUAGAUGACGAGAAUUGUUUAUUUUUGAAAACCCUCUACAAAAUUUUGAAGUUUGACUUUUGUUAACUGGUUGAGUAAAAUCAUAAAACUACUUGACAAAGUGAAAUACUCAAGCUUUACGUGUGUAAUCAUUCAUAAUUAUAGAUAAUUUACUAUUUAUUUGAGAUUAAGGUUUAACUUAAAUUUUCGGAUUCCUAGUAUAGUAUUAUAGAAUUCAUAAUAAACACCAAACCAAAUCUAGCACUUCAACACUUUCUCUCAUAAUUCAUUUAUAAAAACUAUUAAAUAAAUAGACUAAUCACAUCGCCUUGCUCUUUCUUGACAAUAUCUAAGUCAAAAACUACCACAUUUGAGGUAAAAUUAAAACAAAAAAAAUCUAAAAACAAAAAAUAAAGAAAUUUAAUGUUUCUAAUUUUCUCAUUAAAUUAAAUGUAACGGUAAAUCAAUAAAUAAAGAGUGGCUAGUUAAAAAAGACUAUCAAUUUUGUUAAACACAUUUUGAUUGCAAAAGGCACUAUUUGUACACAAACCAUUUUUGGAUUUGGUUGUUUUAGUGGCUCUAAAGAAAUUAAUUGCCUUUUCAGUAUGACUUGUUUAAUAAACAUAAGUAUUUAUUUAUUUAAUUUAAUGAGCUCUUUUCAAAUUUAUUGUUGUUGUUUAAAUUUUUUGGUAGAACUUCUAAAGGCUAAAUAAGUUAUUUUACUUUUAUCUGCAAAAGUUCAAAUUUUGAGUAGAAGUUAAAAAGUUUUUUUUUAAUUAUUAAAAUAUUAAAAUUAUCCUUUAUUUAUUUGAGAAUCUUAUUCAUUCAUUUCACAAUAUAACUUUAAAAUAAUUUUAUAACUUUUACUAAAUGCUCUUAUUGACAACUAAAUAAUUAAAAAAAAUUAGAAAAAUCUCUACUUACAAAAGUUUUACUGACAAUAAUUCUACUCAAACAAAUUUUAUUUGAAAAGUUAUAUCUAAUAGAGAUUAAAAGUAUCAUGAUCAUUUGUUAUUAUGUAUUGGUACGAGUUUUUUUCUUUUAUUUUUAUUUUUUCCCAAAAUUUUUUUAUAUGAACUUUUACAAAGAUUUCCCUCUGAAAUUGAGUAUAUAUUUGUAGGUAAGUCAGGCCUUGAUUGUAUCUAAGGGCGUUGUGAUGCUUUCUCAGUUAAGAGAUGAUCAACAAAAAAUUUAACAAAUGAUGAGAGGAUUAUAAUCAAUAAAAUGACUUUUCCAUCUAAUUGCAAAUAGAUUAUACCUCAGGGGAGAUUACGAAAACGUACGCACAAGAGAACAAACAUUGUAUACAGUGACUGAUGUUGACUUUGCCACGUGGGUACUUGUGAUGUGUGGCUCUGUAGUUGUCAGAUUUCUGUCAAUUUUUUAAAAUUUUUAUAAUAAAUCCCACUUUUUAACCCAAAAAAAAUAUUUAUGCGGCGUUUACUAAAUUGAAAUCGGAAUGAAUUGAAAUUGAAAUAAGUAGAAAUAAGAAUGUUGUAGAAUUAGAAUAGAGAAUGAGAAUUAAAAUAAGUUGUUUAUCUCAACUAUAAGAAUCUGAAUCGAAAUCAGAAUGAGUUAGAUUUGUAUUAAUGUGUUUACUUUAUCUUGUAAUCGGAAUCAGAAUAAAUUAAAUUGUUAUAAAUUACUAAAAAGUCGUUAAUAAUAAUGACAAUAAUAUUCAUUAAAAAAUAAAUAACAAUAACAAUAAUUAAUAAAAAUAAAAAUAAUAAAUUUAAUAUAAUCUAAUAGUAAUAACAACAUUUAAAUAUUAUAAAAUAAUAAAUAAAAUUAAUAAAUUUUAAUAAAAUAAUAAUAAUGGCAUUAUUAUUAUUAUUGUUAUUAUUAUUAUUAUUAUUACAACAACAACAGCAGCAGCACCACCAGCAGCAACAAUAACAACAACAACAACAACAACAAUAAUAAUAAUAAAUGACCUACUUGAGGGCAAUAUUAGAGUAAGCUUUUAUAUGCAAAACCAUUUCACAAUGUUGUAGACUCAUUUACAAUAUUAUAAAAAUUCAUAUUGCACUUUAAUAAAGUGUGAGAUCUCUCAUUAAAAAUGAACUAUAUAGAUAUAUAGGGUAGUAAUAUAGUUUAGAAUCUUGAAUCUUAUUAAAGUUUGAAAAAACUAUCAUGUCAAUCUUGACAAAAAUAAUGGUUUCCCUUGAAAGCCAUUCCAUAAAGAUCGCCUUUUCGUUUUCCACAUGUUAUCCAUAUGAUCUAUCUCUAGCGUUAUCCUCACCUCAUCCGUAUGAUCCAUUUCUCUUUCUUUCACUCACUUGUAUAUAUAAUUGAUACACAGAACAAGCUGUAUGUAGAUGUUCUUUGGUAUCCUUAAUUUUAAGGUAAAUGCCAAGUUACUUUUAACUAUAUUUUAUGCCACACAUACAAAUCAUGCAGAUCACACUAAUAUGUUACUGUCAUUGUGUGUGGCAUAAGUUACAGUUGAAUAUAACUUAGGGGGUCCUAAUUUUAAUUGUCUUUGUCUUAGUAUCAUAAGGUCCAUUCGAUGCAUCCUUCUACAAGUUCAAAGCGACGUUGGCACAAUUAUAAGAAUAAGAGUAAUGGUAAAGUUAAUCUAUCGAUGGCGUCAGGAAAAAGAAUAGAAUAAAUUAUUUAAUUUCUAACAGCUUAAUUUUGUCUCUCCGCGAAUAUAAUAAUCACAUUUAUUCUACUACUUUUGUCUCCAUUGCUUAAUUUAUCCGCGAAUAUGAUAGUCACACGUUUUUAAAGUAAAGGCGAUUUUGGAAGAAGCCUGUACGGUUUGGGAAGAGGAUACUUCAAGGCCCUGGGCACAACCAUACAUAAUAUAGAAAUUACACUUGAAAAAGGAUGAAUAAUUAAUUAAAGCAGCUGGUGCUUGCUACAACUGAUUGUAAAAGAGAGAAAAUCCGCCGCAUUACCUUCUGAGGAGGUCUCCUUGAUAUCCAAAAACGUGCUGUGCCUAGGCCCAAAGCCUUUUGCUAUUUUACCGAUUACUGCCCGUUGCAGGCCAAUUCUUGGUCGCUCUCAUAAAUAAGGUUUUGUCUGGCCGCCACAGUCAUUAAAACAUGAGUGAAAAUAAAUGGGAAAUUAUCAAUUUCUCGUUUGAUUGGUGAAAAUGCAAAAAUAGUUGAAAAUUUUAAAACUUCUCAUUUUUCUUUUCUUUUCCACUAGAAAAAAUAUGGGAUCUGACAGAGAAUUAGGUGUUGAUUGAUAUGAUCUAUUGUUAAAAAAAAGUUAUAAUUAUAAAAUAAAAUUGUUCGAUAAAUAUAGUUUAAAAAUAAUAAAUUUAAUAAAAUAGUAAAGAUUUAUAGGUUUUAUCGUAUAGAUGUAAAAUUAAAUCAAACUUAACUUUCAAAUUAGAACAACAAGUAUUUACCAAAUACUGUUAAAUAUGUAGCUUAAAAACUACCACUACUCAACCACAAUAACACAAUGCCUUGAUCUAAGUUAAUCCCAACAAACUUCCAAUUGUAACUAAAUAAAAAAAAUCAUAUUAGAAGUAAAAAAAUCAACAUCUAUUUUUUAUUGAUUUUUUUUUCAAAUAUCAUGUUAUAUGAACAAAACACAUGCCUGACUUCUUUUUUUCAAUUAAACCUUGACCAGUAAGGCAAUUUAUUAAAUUAAAAAGCAGGGAACACUUAUGUAGGGGAUAUAAUAAACUAUAUCCUGAAAAAUAAUUAAAAACCUGAAACAGUGGGAUCAAGAUCCUCUUCUGAUCUGAUCUUGAUUUGAGCAAAUUGUAUUAAUGUGAUUGGUGUUUAAUAAAUUCAAAAGAAAAAACAGUUAAAUCCUAAUUAUUCACUAACAUUAAAAGACAGAUAACACAAGAUCUGUAAAACAUCAGCAGUGCUCAGAUCAAAAGAAGAUCCUAAUCCGAAACAGUGAGCCCUGACCAAUUUUUUGGUUUACCAGAUAACCAAAAAAAAUGAAAAAUAAAAAACCAUUUCUCCGUUAGCGUUAUUAUGAGAGACGAACUUGGAAGCCUCUGGAAGUUCAGAGUCCCAGCAAGUGAAAGGACCAGCUUAGGCCCGAAUGAGCUUUGCUGCCGCCACACACACACAGGCCACAGCCUCUGGAAAGAUGUAGCUAAUACGAAAAUUCAUUUGACUCACUAGAUGACAACAAUUAAACACGUGCUUGAUCGAAUGCGCGUGUGAACGGAGUUUUAAAUCACCAAGGUCUUUAACCAACAAUUAACACUUGUUGUUAAUCAAUAGAUUUGUGCUUUUGACACCCCUCUAAAGUUAAUCAGGAAUGCUCAGAUCAUAAGAAGAUCCUAAUCCAUUUAAAAUACAUCUUACAAUUAGAAGCUUUGAAAAUUAUGAUACUUUAAUUUAAUUCCCAAUCAACCCUUGAUAAAUAUUUCUACAUCUCUAAAAGACCUAUCUACUUCCUAAUGUCUAUUGUAAUUAAAUGAUGAGGGCUGGUUUUGUUUUAUUUCUAUUUUCAGUAUCGCUUAGAGAAGGUCGAUGACCUGUUUGAUUUUCAUUUUAGUUGUGAAGCUAAAAGACCUAAGUCAUCUUCAAUUAAAUAUUCUUUUUUUUUUUAAAUGUUCUUUUAUCUCUCUUUUUCUAAAACCUAAGUCAUUAAAAAAAAAACUGUAAAAUUUCACCCAAUUUAGCCGAAAAAUUGCCAUUCUUACUGUACUGAUAAUUGAGGAGUGAACAACUUGCGUCUAUCAGCGGGAUUGCGGGAAAAAGAAAACCUAGAAAGUGAGUUUGCUCUUGAAGAGUUGUAAGUUUCUUCAAGGGUUACUUGUUGAAUAAAUGUCAGAUAAUUGUAAGCACCGAAAUUUAAAAACUCUUUUAAAUGGAUUUAUUUAGAAAAAGGGUUCAUAAGAGUUUUGCUGUUUUGGAGGGGGUGCUAACAGCUCGACUCCAUUCAAUAUUCGACGUUAUGUCUUGGCCGGAUGCGAUGAUUCAUUGAUUCCAUUGCAUCAAUCAAUUGUGCUAUUUUGCCUUAAAGCAAUUUCUAAUUUCUUUCUUGAAUGUUCUACAACAUUCUGACAUACAUCAAUUUAUGCUUAAUUUUUUAUUUCAUAAUCCAAAAUUUAAGGGUUCAUUUGAUUUACGAUUCAAAAAUAAUUUUUAAAAAUAAAAAAUGAAUUUAAAAAUGUGUUGAAGGUUUUAAUGUGUUCAUUUUUCUUUAUUAUUUAUAUUAAUGGCAACCUAAUCAUCUCUCCACCUAUGUGAGAGAGGUUCGAAUCGUAAACCCCUUUUUUCAAGAAAAGGGAUUCUACCAACCUAAAUAAAUGAUGCAAAUUUUAACAAGUUUAUAUAAUAUCCAAAAAUGAUAAUUUGAACAACUGAAACACGUUUAACGUAAUUUCUAAUUAAAAAAAAGAAAAAAACAUGUUUAGUUGUUGUGAUUUUAAAGGUAAUUCUUAAUGAAGUAUUAAGUUUCAUAAAAUUACAGUCUUGUUUUCCUUUUAGAUAAUUGCAUUACAUCAAGGAGUAUCUUAGAACAAAAUAAAAAUGAAACAAGCUUCGUCAAGAUUUCAAUAUUUAUUAUCUUUAGCUUAGCUUCUAUUCUGUUAUGUUAAACUAAAAAAAGUAAUUAAGUUAAUGGUAUGGAGACUGAUUUACACAACACAAAUUGCCAACAACGUAUACUUUAAUUUGUAGUUAACAUGGAAAAUAUAUACUUCGAAACGGUAUGAUUACAAUAUUCAUUACCAUCAUGCCUCUUCUAGCUGUAUUUUAUGUGUGCCUACGUAGUGUACGGUCCAUCAUGUGCAAAUUUUAUCAAUUUGAAUCCAGCGGCUCCUGAUAAGAGACACUGCAUUCCAAUAAAAUAUGAAUCAUUGCUCACUUCAUAUAUGUGUAUGUGUGUGUUUGUGUCAAGAAUCACUGCUAAUAUAACAUGUGCAUUGGAAGAAAUCAUUAUCAUUAUGGAUUACAUAAUUUGGUAGUAAAUGAAUUCAUGAUUUAUGAUUAUUUUUUUAUUAUCAUAGUUCAUAAGAUGAUGAAUCCGUGAUUUAUGAUGACUUUUAAUAUAUUUAAUUAAUUUUCUUUUUAAGAUAGAGGGGUGUGCAAAGCCCAAGACAAACAUAAAUGAUGAUUGAUUUCUUACUUUUAUGUUACUGAAUCUUUUGUAUAAGUUGGACCUUGAAGCCAUGUUAGACCUUGAAGCCAUUUAAUAGCAACAAGAAGACAGUGAAUUCAAUUGUUUUUUAAAUUCGCCGGAUGAAACUGAAUUUUCCUUUUCUUUCUUGAUGAAUAAUAAUUUGGACAUCGACUUUUAUUCUGAUCUAAAUUUUUAUCAGCGCAUGUACAUGUUCGCGUCAGUUGUCAACAUAAUGCAAUCAACUUAACUGACUAUAAUGAGUAACAAUUAAAUGUAUUACACACAGUACGUUAAUAUUAUUUGUCACACCAAACCCAUCUUUUACAUGACAUGAUACAACACACCCAGAGGAAAAACUAUUGUAAGAACAAGUAAAAUAACUAUCAUGAAUUAGAGCUAAAAUACAUAUAAAGAUUGUCAUCGUAUCAUGCAUAAAACUUAGAUAUAAUGCGUCUACUUCUUCUUCUUCUUCUUCUUCUUCCAAGGAAGCUUAUUCAUAAAUUCCAAGUAAUAGACCUUCCCACCAACCAAAAAAUCGGCACAGUAAGGAAACUCCAUGAGUGCUAAAACAAUCACUGGAAAGAUAGCAGCAGCAUAGAGAGCGGCGGUCCAUUUCUUCUCCAUACGAAUGAUGAGCAGAAGUGAAGCCGAGAAAGUAAUCAUGCUUGUUAGUACAGAAAAGAAGAGCAAAGUGAAGCCAACCAGCAACUUGCGCGGAAGUUCUCUAAGGAAAUCAGAUGACUCACGUGGCGACGUGAGGAUAGAUAGGAACAUAACAACGGAUGACAAUGAUAAGGCCAAGGAGGCAACGUCCAUUACGGUAAAAACGUAGAAAAGUGGUGACUUAAGGAAAUGGGGAAACCCCUUAUCAUUGUUACCUCCAGGUAUCGUGAAGGCAGCUGUAAAGACGACGGUUGCGAUUAGGAUUGCCAGCACGGAGCAUGCCUGAGAGGUUUCUUUGAUCCAUUCUUGUGCUUUCCCAAGUUGAUCUUCAUGUGUUAUAUUGAAGAGGUCCCUUGCAGUCAUCUUAUUGUUUUCAUCGCGGUGCAUGGCAUAAUGGCGAGGCAUUAUCUCUUUUACACUCUGCAUUAUACACACACGUUAAAUAGGGACGGAGUCCUACAUACGCAUAGCCACAUGUGUAGUCAUUAUCUCUGUAACAUUUUAAAAUAUAGAUUCAAGGAUUUACUCAAUUGUAAAAAACUUCCAAGAGGGUUGUAAAAGGUUUACACAAUUAAAGAAAAAAAAGUGUUUUAUAAAAUCAUGAAAUGGUGAAUCACUUGAGAAUGAAUAUACAUAUACAUCCAUACAUACGUGUGUGUAUAUAUAUAUAGGGAGAGAGAGAGAGAGAGAGAGAGAAGGGGGGAGAGAGUGAACUAAUUUGGUCCAAGAUCUAGGAUUUUAUUAAAGUCUAAGAAAACUAAUAAAUCACAUAGUGGGAGAGAAGGGGAGAGAGAGCGCGUGGACAAGCUGAUAUUUAAUAAUAGAUCUCUUAAGUUAUUAAAAUAAAGGAUAAACUAAAUGACAAGUAAAAGUGCAAUGUAUUUUAUCCAUUAAUAUAUUAAUGUGUGUUGUUCUUGUCUUUUAAUUUAUCUCUUAUUUGGUAACCUAAAGAAAUUCUUCAUUGAAAAAAAAUAUUAUAUAUAUAUAUAUAUGAAGAUACUUAGGUAUGGCGGCUACACAAAUUUUUGUGUGGAUUUUAGGCUUCACAACCAUAUGAAAGCUUUCCACAUUAUUAUAAAAAAUAUUUUACACUGUCCUAAAAUCCUAAAUCUGCAUGAAAAUUUAUGUGCACAAUGGUUUUAUAUAUAUAAGGCCGAAUAAUUACAUUUUAUGGGACAAAAUUAAAUAUUAUCAAAGGGCUUACCUCGAACAAUUGUAACUCCUCCUGAAAUUGGAGAACAGGGCCAGGGCGGGUUCCUUCUUUAUAAUGUUUCAUGUCUGCAACAUGGUGCAAUAAUGUGUAGCCUUUCUUGUCAAUUCUUGAAGCCCAUUUGGGCACAGACAGUCGCAUUUCCUUCGUGAUGAGUUCAAAGACUUUAUAUUGACGACGCUUUACGGCCACAUGUAAUAUAUUCUGCUCUUUCUCAUUCAAGUUAUCUAACAAUAUUGCUUGAGGAUGUUGAUGGAUUAUCUCCUUCAAAAUCUCUGUUAUUCCAUUGCUUGCUGCAAAGAGUAAUGUCAACCUGAACGCCCAAUUCUUAUCCUUUUUAUAAUUAUGAACUGCUUUAUUAGUGCAAUCUUUCUUCACAAACAAUUCGACCAAUUCUCCAGCUGAAAAAUCAACAAAUUUUUUUGCCUUGAUCAUAUUUCCUUUGUUAGUGCAAUCUUUCUUCAGCAGCAAUUCGUCCAAUUCUCCUGCUGAAAAAUCAACAAGUUUUUUUGCCUUGAGCAUAUUUCCUUUGCCUAAUCCUAAGGAAAUUGUGGAAAUAUUAGCUGGCGAAGUUGUGGAACUUUCUGGGUCCGGCGAGAAAAUUUCUGGGUUCUGCUCUCCAUCCCCAAGACAAGGGGUUUCUUUAACGAGCAUUUUGAGCAGUUUAUCCGCAUUUCUAUGCAUUUGCUUUUUCAUCCAGAUUUUCUUUAUACCGGGACAUCCUGGUCAUGCAUGCAUCAACACCUUGUUAAUUUAUAAACAAAAUUUCGCGCGGCAAGUACGGCAAAUCCAUUCAUCAACUGAAUGAAUUGAUCAAGUUAUGUUACAUUUCCCCUGUUCCUUGUGUAAUUCAUAUAUGUAGAAGUAAUUAAUAAAAUUAUUAUUGAUCGCACCUUCAAUCACUUGCCUCCAAAUGCCAGUGUACAUCUUCCAAAUUGGAAUUCCUGCAUUUGGAUUAACUACUCAGCCGCAGUAUUACAACUAUAUGUAUUAUACGAUAUGAAAAAUUAAUGCUACCACAUAAAAAAGGAAACCGCUCGGAUCAAUUAAAAAGUUUUUUUUUUUUUUUGGGGGGGGGGGGGGGGGGAAUAAAAUACCGCACGUCUAUGUAUCAAUUGGUAGUUAAGGUCCUUUUCAUAAGAAUUUCUACAAGUCCAUAGAAAUUAAAGAAAAAAAGAACUUCAUCUUUUCCCCGUAUUAUUUAAGGUAUUUCACACUUCUCCCCUUAGUAUUUUCAAAAUUUGCAUACUGUUAUUGCGUCUAGAGGAUUCCACUUCACUGUAACGAUUCUUCAUUUAUAUCUAGUAUACUUUUGAGUUACACCCAAAAAAGAAAAAAAGAAAAAAUCGACGUCUAAAAAGAAAAACUAACUUUUAGUCUAAAAAGAAAAAACUAACUUCUAUAUUAUAUUAUCUAUUACUUAUUUAGUUCUCAAAACUAAUAUUCUGUUUGGCUUCUAAGAGACAAUUGCUCUAAAAUGAAAGUUUUAGUUAUUAAUGGAAAAUUCGUGGGUGUUUGGUAAAGCUAAACCACUGGAUGUCAUAAAAGUUCCUUUUUUUUUUUAUUCUCAUUUUGGAGUAAACUUAUCAAUAAAUAAUUGUGAAAAAUAACCAAUUUAAAAGGCUAACUGGGAAAGCGUUUACAAAUAUUAUGACUUGUAAUCGCAGCUAAAGCUGUUUGUUCGGAUUUUCAUUUUUCAAUUUAUAGAGUUAUAAUGAUUAAUGAAACCACUAUAUGAUGAUUAUGGACAAAUUAAAGCUGCUUCAACACUACCUCUCAUCCGCUUUCUGCAGGCGACGCAAUUGUCAAUUUCACCAGUCUCCAAAUCUUCUUUGUUAUUGCGGUCAACGUAAUCGUCAUCAUCAUACGUUGGAAGACCUGCAAUUAGAAAUUGCAAUUGUAACGGCAUGCACCGAAGUCAACUGGACUAUAUAUCCCCUUAGAGAUGGAACUAUAUCUAUGUGUAUAUAUAAUUAAUAUAUAAAAAAUGCUAAAGAAAUUGAAGGCUGCUAGAAUGUUGACAGGGAUAACGGUAUAUCAAGUCGGGCUUACUACAUGGUAAUCUCGGCCAGAUGUACCCUUGUUUUUGUUGAAUUGUUCUUUGUUAAUAGUAAUGUUCCAAUGAAAGAUCUCCAAAUAGCAGUGUCUGUACGUAUUCAUGCAAGCAGAUUCAUUAAUUAGUUAAUUAAGAAGAUAAAUUAAUAAAUUUUUUAAAACUUUAAUUUAACACUUGAUCUGUUAUGAAUGGAUGAGAGAUUUAUUAAUUAAUUACUACAUAUUACCGAAGUGUUGGCCAAGGACAGCCAUAUGAAGAACGGUCUUGUCAUCAUUUCCAUAGAAAUGGUGACGUAAGUCGCCAACUUGCUCAGUCAAGAUUUGCAACACUUUAGUUUUCCCAAGAGCAGCAGCCCUGUUGUGAGAGUUUGUAAUAUAAUGUGUUUGGUUAACAGGAAAGUUAACGAGAAAAUGAAGAAGAAGAGAUAAGAAGAAUCUAGAGUUUAUUGGAUCUAAUUACACUUUUCAAUAAUGAUCUAAGCUUUGUUUUUAUACAAAGAUCAAUUCACAUACUCAAGUCUGUUAUAACAAAUACACGUGCUUAACAAACUUGUUAACAGUAAUCUGAGUCAGCUAACUAACUUGAACACGUCAGCAGUGGAAUUAUCUUAUGCCCGCAACUCCAUACUCUAAUCAUGCUCUGUAACAUCCCCUCUCAAGCUAAACUUUCCAGGAUGAACGUUUAGCUUGCUUCGAAGGUAAUGAAACUGAUCAAAAGUUAAUGGCUUGGUAAGUAUGUCUGCAGUUUGAUCUUCACUAGGAACGAAUUGCACAACUAUCUUCUUUGCUGCUACUUUCUCCCUGAUGAAAUGAAUAUCCAGUUCCACAUGCUUGGUUUUAGCAUGAUACACUGGAUUGUAAGCUAAGGCUAUAGCACCUUGAUUAUCACACCACAUUAUAGGAGCUGCGGCAAGCUUGAUUUUGAGUUCAUCAAGCAGUGCUUGAAUCCAUACAGCUUCAGAUGUGGCCUGAGCUAAAGCUCUAUACUCAGCUUCAGUACUGGACCUUGAUACCACUGGUUGCUUCUUAGAACACCAGGAAACUAAGUUUGAGCCAAUGUAAACUGCAUACCCAGCAACUGAUUUUCUAUCAUCUUUAUCACACGCCCAGUCUGAGUCACUGAAGCAAUUCAUUUGUAAAGUUCCAAAAUGAUAAAAAUGCAGACCAAAAUGAAUUGAGCCCUUCAAAUAUCUGAGAAGUCUCUUACAAGCUUCCCAAUGUUCUGAAGUUGGUGAAGACAAAUAUUGACUAAGUUUAUUAACAGAGAAAGCUAUCUCAGGCCUUGUAAGUGUCACAUAUUGCAAAGCUCCAAUUAUGCUUCUAUACUGAGAUGCAUUAGUAAUGGUUGAACCUGAUCCUUUUCUGAGCUGAUGUCCAGUAGACAUAGGAGUAGGAACAGGGCUACAAUCUGCCAUAUUAUGCUUAGCUAAGAGAUCAGCUAUAUACUUUGCUUGAGAGAGAUAGAAUCCAUUUGAAGUUUUUGAGACUUCAAUCCCAAGAAAAUAAUUCAACUCUCCUAAGUCCUUCAAAGCAAAAGUUUUCUGCAUAUUAAGAAUCACUUGCUGCACCAGCUGAUAACUAGAACCAGUAACAAUGAUAUCAUCCACAUAUACAAGCACAAGCAAAAUAUGACCAUUUUCCCACUUAUAGAAGAGUGAACUAUCAGACUUAGAGUUGAGGAACCUCCAUUGAGAUACCAUAGCAGAUUUGAACCUGUCAAACCAUGCUCUGGGGGCCUGUUUUAAUCCAUAGAUUGCCUUCUUGAGUUUACAGACAUGAGUAGGUCUGGUGGAAUCAGUAAACCCUGCAGGCUGGGCCAUAUAAACAUUUUCAACCAAAAUACCAUUUAAGAAGGCAUUAUUGAUAUUAACCUGUCUUAGAAUCCACUUAUUCAUAACAGCUAAGCUUAAAACUAUUCUGACAGUAGAUGCUUUCACAACUGGACUGAAGGUUUCAGUGUAAUCUUCUCCAUGUGUUUGAUGAAAUCCUUUUGCUACAAGCCGUGCUUUGUAUCUAGAAAUGGUACCAUCUGAGUUGUGCUUAAUUCUGAAAACCCACUUACUUCCUAUCACUUUGACAGGAGCUGAAGGUGAAACUAAGUCCCAAGUAUCAUUAUUUUUAAGUGCUUGAUACUCCUCUUGCAUUGCCUUGAACCACUUUGGAUUAGAUAUUGCUUGGGUUAUAGAUGUAGGUUCUGAAGGUGUAGCCAAAAGAUCAGCAAGAUAUGAUUUAGGCUUAAAAAUACCAGCCUUUGAUCUAGUUAUCAUAUGGUGUCCUACUGGAGGAGCAGUAGGUAUGACAUGAGGUGGGGAGUUAAUAUGGCUUGGUAAAGAUAGAUUAUGUGAUUGGUCUGUGGGAGAAGAUAUAGGAGAAGAAGAUAGAGAUGGUGAAGGAGCAUAUACCUCUCUAGGAGCUGGAGAUGAAGUCUCUGAGGAAUCACUUGCUGAUUGAGGUUGCAGAGGAGAUUGUAUUGGAAAAUGAGUAAAAGAAGGAAGAACAGAAGAGACUGUAUUUGAUGAAACACAAGACUGAGAGACAGAAGAAAAAUCUGAACCAGACACAUAUGGAAAGGAAUUUUCAUAAAAAAUGACAUGAUUUGAGAUAUACACUCGACCAGAGGAAUGAAGACACUGAUACCCUUUAUAGUGGCUGCUGUAGCCAAGAAAGACACAUCUUCUUGACCUAAAAGCAAGCUUGUGUUUAUUGUAUGGCCUGAGAUAGGGAAAACAAGCACAACCAAAAAUUCUAAGAAAGUUAUAAUCUGGUGAUUGAGCAAAGAGCUUUUGAUAAGGAGAAAUGUUAUUUAAGGUUGGAGUAGGUAACCUAUUGAUGAGAAAAACAGCCGUGUGAAAAGCAUUCCACCAAAAUUUGAGUGGCAAAUUUGCUUGAGCUAACAAGGUAAGGCCAAUGUCUACAAUAUGCCUAUGCUUUCUCUCUAUUCUACCAUUUUGAUGGUGAAUAUAAGGACAAGGAUGCCUAAACUGAAUUCCAGACUGAGCAAGAUAAGUAGAAAAACUUCUAAACUCCCCUCCCCAAUCUGUUUGCACAGUUUUAAUAUUUUUACUCAAGAACUUUUCAAUGAAACUUCUGAAGGUUUGAAACACUUGUAGUGCAUCAGACUUAGCAGCCAAAGGAAAAAUCCACGUAAACCUACUGAAAUCAUCUAAGAUUGACAGAUAGUAGGAGUAGCCUUGUGUUGAAGUAACAUGUGAGGGACCCCAGAGAUCAGAAUAUAAAAGCUGAAGAGGUUCAGUUGUUUUUGUGGCAACAGAAUCAAAAUGUAACAAAUGACUUUUUCCAAAUUGACAAGCAGAACAAAAAUUCAAGACUUUGGUUUUAUUGAAAAUACCAGCAGUACAACUUUUCAAUACAGUUUUAAGAGUAUGAAAAGCAGGAUGCCCUAGCCUUUUGUGAAGCAAAUUAACAUCUAUUUCACUUGCUCUAGCUAUGAAAGCUUUCUUACAUGAUAGAUGAUGAACUGUAUCAGAACUGUUUAGUGAACCAGAAGGAUUACAAGACAUAGAAGGAAAAUAAGCAAACAUAGACUCAAAUUUAUUGGAAGAAGAUUGACAUAACAAAGCUGUGCUAGCUUGAGAGAAUUGAGAUGCACUUUGAACUUGAUACAAUCCUCCUUUUGCAAUUCCUCUAAGCAAAAUGAUCCCUGAGCUCCUGGCCUUAAUGAAGCAAACAUUUGCAAAGAAUUCAAUAGAAACAUUAUUAUCAGCUAAGAGUUUGGAGACACUGAGUAAAUUUUUGGUUAUUUGAGGAACAUGAAGAACAUGAUUUAGUAAUAAAGAUUCAUAUGUGGUUGUGUUUAGCAAUACUGAUCCAAUGAGAUUAAUAUGCAAGGAGGAACCAUCUCCAACAAGUAGUUUUUCAUUUCCAGUAUAAGCUUUUGGUGCUAGAAGUUUACCUGAAUCAUUAGUGAUGUGAUUGGUAGCACCACUAUCAAUGUACCAGGUAGGAUCUUCAACUAUCUCUGGAGCAGGCACUAAUGGAGCUGAGGAAGAACCACCACUGUUAUAAUCUUCAUUGGAACAAAAAACAGGUGCAGAAGGUGUGAAACCUGAGGAGCUGCCAGGAUGAGCAACAUAAAGUGCAGUGGGAUCUGAGUACAUCACAUAGCCUUGAUAACCAGAACCUCUUGGCAUAUUAGAAUUUCCAAGAUUAGGUUGACCAAACAUAUUGCCAGGCUGAGGAUAAAAACCUCUACCAUAAACUCCAUUAUAAGAUCGACCACCAUUGUUUCCAAAACCUCUUCCAAAAUUCCUUUGACCAGGCCUAAAGUUGCCAUUAAAUGCUCCUCUAGCUUGAUUCUUAGAAGGCACAAAAGCAGAGUUGUACCUGUUUCUGCAUUUAUUUGCUCCAUGCCCAGGUAUAAAACAUAUUUGGCAGAUGAUUGUUGAAUUAAAAUCACUUGUCUAACCCAUACUAUUUCCACCAAAACCAGAGUUAUAAGCACCUCCAUUGUUAUAUUUUUGGUUACCACCAGCAUUUUUCCCAGAAUUAUAUUGCUUCUGAGCUAUAUUAGCUGUCAGAUGAUGUGUAACAUCACUAGCAAUUUUGCCUUUUUUCUGCUCAACUCUAUUUUCAUGACUUAAUAACAAGGAAUAAAAUUCAUCAAGACCUAUGUUGUCACCUCUAGCUAAAACACUAGUAACCAGAGAUUCAUAAUCUGAAGAGUCCAAUCCAGUUAACACAUGUUGAAGAAAGUCAUUCAACUCAACUGGUUUUCCAGCCAAGGCUAAGCUAUCAGAUAACCUUUUCAUUUUAGCAAAGUAAUCAAUCAUAGACAUAGAUCCUUUUUUAAGUGUUUGAAUCUGCAUUUUAAGUGGCAUAAUUCUAGCCUGAGACUGAGAGAUAAACAUACUUGUGAGUGCAUCUAGAAGCUCUUUAGCUGUGGAGCAAUGAAUCACUGUUGCAAGUAAGUUUUGUUGGAUGGACGACAUCAUCCAACUUAGAAUCAAUUGAUCAGUCUUAGUCCAAGCUGUAUAUUCUGGAUUGAUCUCUUGAUCCUCCACUAGAGUUGAUUGACUAGUAAUAGUGCUUGCUGACGAGAGAAACUUUUCUGGACAAAUUCGAUCACCAUUGACAAAGCUUUCUAAACCGUUUCCUUUGAUUGAUGUUAAGAUCUGAGUACGCCAAACAAUGAAAUUAUUCUGAUCUAGUUUGACUGGAGUUGCAAAGCUAUAAGAUCCAGAAAUCUGAUUAGAGCUCAUCAUGUUUGCUCUGAUACCAUGUGAGAGUUUGUAAUAUAAUGUGUUUGGUUAACAGGAAAGUUAACGAGAAAAUGAAGAAGAAGAGAUAAGAAGAAUCUAGAGUUUAUUGGAUCUAAUUACACUUUUCAAUAAUGAUCUAAGCUCUGUUUUUAUACAAAGAUCAAUUCACAUACUCAAGUCUGUUAUAACAAAUACACGUGCUUAACAAACUUGUUAACAGUAAUCUGAGUCAGCUAACUAACUUGAACACGUCAGCAGUGGAAUUAUCUAAUGCCCGCAACUCCAUACUCUAAUCAUGCUCUGUAACACCUGUAAACUGGGGUUUCCCCCAAACCGUUUUUAGCUUCAAGUUGAUUUUUGUACGCAUCACCAGACUUUCUGGAAAAGUCAACCAAAACCCUGGCCACGUCGAAGUUUUUGACGAUGGCCGCUUCGUGAAGACCGGUGUUUCCAAACGCAUCUUUUUGCUUCAAAACUUCGAGUCUGUUCUCCGGUUCUAGCCUUUCGAGCAAUUCCUGGAUCAGCUGAGGGUCUUCCAUGGCCGCUGCAACGUGAAUUGCUGAGUCUCUAUUGACCGUCCUGUAAUCCAACAACUCUGCAGGUGGUUGACGAAAGUAAACCAAGAAACCUUGACGGUCUCCAUUUAAGGCCAUUCCAUAAGGAUCCAUCUUUCUCUCUCUCACUCACACUCUUGAAUAUAUAAGCUUUAAUGCAUCAUUGUUGAAGUUCUAAACGAAGUUAUCAAAUUGGCACAAUCACUUUGCAUUUUAUAUUCAUAGAGCUCAAGCAUAUUAAUUAUAAGAAUAAAAUAUAGGUGAAGUUUAUCUCUUGGGUCAGGCAGAAGAAUAGAAUAUAUUAUUUCCAACAGCUUUGGCGGGUUCUUAUUGCUUUUGCUGCGAAUUUAAUAAUCACAUUUAUUUUACAGCUUCUGCCUCCAUUGCUUUUGAUUUCCGCGAAUAUAAUAAUCACAUUUAUUCUAAAGUGUUAAAAUACCUGAAAAUUUUGACACUUACGAUUUCUCCACCCGAGUUUGUUUUUUAUAAAAAAAAAUCAUCUUUUUUUCGCCUUGACGUUAACGAAGUUGGAAUUUGUUAGGAAAUGCUUGCAAAAUGAAAGUUCUGCUCUUGUAAUAUAAACAAUGUCGGAUUUGAACGUUUAAUAUCAGAAUAUUUUGAUUUGCCCCAAAACAAUUUAUAAUUUCCUUCUUGCAUGUUUUUCGACAUCGUGAAAUACAUUAACCUUAAUCUUCAAUUUUUAUUUCAUAAUGACAUAAUCCAAAAGCUUGAGGAUUCAUUUGAUUUAUGAUUCAAAAAUAUUUUUCAAAACUCAAAACUCAAAACAGAAUCUAAAAAAUUGAGUUGAAGUUUUAAUAUUAUCUGUUUAGUUUUAACAUUUAUCCAAUUCUCUUCCCUAUUAGCGGGGUUGAAAAUUAACCAACUUAAAAAGCCAAACUGACAAGAUGUGUACAGCUGAGCUUUCAAAACGCUAGCCAAAACAAAUACAGCCCAAGUACAAUCGAGAGUGUUGAGAAGUGAAUACAAAUCUGGAAUUGUGGUUGAAUAUGACAUGUCAGUUUGAUGUUUCGAAACCGGAUGAUAUGUCGGUUAGGUGGCAUAAGAGAGCCGUAUGACAAGGCUGGUUGAUCAGCCGAGUGAUUAAGUUAAGCACGUGCUGAGGCUGAAAAGAGUUGAAUGAAUUCUUUGUAUAUUAUUCAACCACCAUAUCAUGAGUUUAUAUACAAGAUACAAAAGCAGAGGAAUGCCGAAAUCUAAGGCAAACCCAUUAAUGUGAUUCCUUUCCAUAGCUGUACAAAAGUAAGAAAGGAACCAAAUAAAAUCAUAUAAUUAUACAAUCAAUUCAAAUCUUCGUGAUUGACUUCUCAAUCUUUAACAUUCCCCCUCAAGUUGGAGUGUAUAUUCAUAACACCCAACUUGCGAAGUAGAUGAUGAAACUGAGCUGAACCAAGAGCUUUAGUAAAAAUAUCAGCUGGUUGUUGGCUGGUGUGUACAUGGGCUGUUUGAAUCAUGCCGGUUUGAAGUUUCUCACGUAUAAGAUGACAAUCAAUCUCGAUAUGCUUUGUACGCUCGUGGAAAACAGAAUUUGAAGCAAUGUGAAUGGCUGCCUUGUUAUCACAAUAUAACAUAACUGCUUGCGAAUGUUUCACCUUCAAGUCUUCAAGUAAAUAUUUUAACCAAGUAAUUUCGCAACAAGUGGUUGCCCUAGAUCUGUAUUCAGCCUCAGCUGAAGAUCGAGAGACAGUUGUUUGCUUAUUUGUUUUCCAAGAGAUCAGUGAUUCUCCAAGCAUGAUGCAAUAUCCAGUAAUCGACCUUCGAGUAUCUCUACAUCGUGCCCAAUCCGCAUCACAAUAAGCCUUCAACUGAAUUGAGCUAUGUGCUGACAGGAAUAUCCCUUGGCCUGGUGCUUGCUUAAUGUAUCGUAAAACUCGAUGUGCUGCAUCUAAGUGUGAUGUACGUGGCUUGUCCAUGAAUUGACUUAGCACAUGUACUGCAUACACCAAAUCUGGUCGUGUUAUAGUUAAGUAAAUCAAUCUACCAACGAGCUUCCGAUAUGAUGAUGGUUCUGUCAAUAAAUCCCCAUCCGAUGCACUUAAAUUUAAGUUUUGCUCCAAAGGAAUUUUUGUUGGUUUUGCACCUAGAAAACCCGUGUCUUCAAGGAUUUCAAGAGCAUAUUUUCUUUGACAGAGAUGAAUCCCAUUUCUCGAGCGUGCAACCUCAAUGCCUAAGAAAUAUUUCAAGCUUCCAAGAUCCUUGAGUUUGAAACGACCAUUCAAAAAUUCUUUAAGUUCUUGAAUUUUCUUCAAAUUAUUUCCAGCUAAGAUCACAUCAUCAACAUACACCAAAACAACAGUGAAAUUUCCUUCCUCUGAUUGGACGAACAUUGAAUAAUCUGCCUUUGAUUGCUUGUAGCCAGCAUCUCUAAGAGCGGAAGAAAGUUUAGCAAACCAUUGUCUAGAUGCUUGCUUUAGACCAUACAAUGACUUGUUGAGUUUGCAAAACCUUGUGUCCCCCUUUCGUCCAAAUCCAGGAGGGAGAUCCAUGUAGACAUCUUCAUGAAGAUCUCCAUGCAAGAACGCAUUGUUAACAUCAAGUUGAUGGAGAUGCCAUUUUUGUGUAGCUGCAAUUGCAAGUAAUACACGAACUGUCACUAACUUGGCAACUGGAGCAAAUGUUUCUGUAUAAUCAAGCCCUUCUAUUUGGCUGAAACCUUUCGCAACCAAACGUGCUUUAUAUCGUUCAACAGAACCAUCGGGUUUAUACUUGACUUUGAAAACCCAUUUACACCCUACUGAUUUUUUGCCAGGAGGAAGAGAAGUCAAGGUCCAUGUCUGGUUGUUUUCAAGAGCAUCUAUUUCUACUCUCAUAGCAUCUCGCCAAUUUUUGUCUCGAAAUGCCUGCAAGAAGGACUUAGGUUCUGUUUGAAGAGAAAUGGAAGAGGUGAAAGCUCGAUGAGGAGAAGACAAACAAUCAUAAGAUAAAAAAUUACAUAAAGGAUAAGGAUUACCAAGAGAAGAGACCGUAGCUGAUUCCGACGAUUGAGACAUCUGAGAUGGGAGUCUAUGUUGGAUAUGGAAGUCAUGCAAAUACCCAGGAGGUUUAGUUGGGCGAGAAGAUCUACGGGGCACAAUAGAAGCAUUGAAAUCCAUAUUUGAAAUAUCAGUGGCUUGCUCUAGAGCUGGUGUGGGAUUAUCAUUGCAAUUUUGGGGCACAUUCUCGUCAUUUGGAAUAGGAAAUGGCAUGGGCAAAACUGGAGAAUGUGAUGGACUUGAAUAAUUAGAGAAAGGAAAUUGAUCUUCAUAGAAAAUGACAUCACGAGAUGUGAAAACUCUAUGAUUUUCUAUUUCAUAGACUCGAUAUCCUUUUUGUCCAUAAGGGUAACCAAUGAAUAUGCAACGAGUAGCACGUGCAUCAAACUUGGAUGGUUUUUUAGCGUGUGUGGAAGCAAAGCAUAAACAACCAAAAACACGCAGAUGGUUAUAAGAUGGUCUAAUUUUAUACAACAUUUCAUAUGGAGAUUUUCCAGAUAAAAUAGGUGUAGGUAUCCUAUUAAUCAAAUAUGUGGCUGUAAGAAUGGCUUCACCCCAAAAAUAUUUUGGUAAAUUAGCUUGAAAAAGUAAUGCACGUGCUACAUUAAGGAGAUGUCGGUGUUUCCGUUCUACCACUCCAUUUUGUUGUGGGGUGGAGACACAACUAGUCUGAUGAAUAAUUCCUUUGUUAGAAUAAUAAAGUGGCAUGAUGAAUUCUUGGCCAUUGUCACUACGGAUGGUUUUAACCUUUGAAGAAAAUUGUGUCUCAACAAGUUGUACAAAUGAUUGUAAAUGGUGACGGGUUUCAGACUUAUGACGCAUUAGAUAAACCCAUGUGCAUCGAGUGUGAUCAUCCACAAUGGUCAAAAAAUAAUGGGCUCCUGAAAUAGAAGAUGUUUGAUAGCCUCCCCAAAUAUCAACAUGCAAUAACUCAAAAGGUGCAGUAGAAGAUAUUGAACUUAAAGAAAAUUCUACUCUUGUUUGCUUUGCUAAAGGACACACUGGACAAUUACCAAUGUCGCAAGCUUUAAUGUCAAGUACAUUGGUAGAAAGUAGAUGAAGAGAUUUAUUUGAUAAAUGUCCUAAACGACGAUGCCAUAAUUGAGAAGGAAAAGAGUUCACUGAUUGACAGGUGACUUCCUUGAGCACAUUCAAGUAGUAUAGACCAUCCCGUUCAGUUCCCGUCCCAAUCGUCUUUCUCGAGCGUAGGUCCUGAAUUACACAAGAUUGGGAGGAGAAGAUAAAUGAAUAUUGUGAAUUUUGGGAAAGCUUGCUUACAGAAAUUAAGUUGAAAUGAAAGGUAGGUACACACAUAACAUUGGUCAAAGUAAAUUGUGAAGAAAAAUGAAUGGAUCCAAUGUGUGUGACAGGAGCUAAUGAACCAUUUGGUAGUUUGACAGUUUGAUUUUUCACUGGCGUAGAAUAUGUUAAAUAAGAUGGGGAACAAACCAUGUGAUCUGUAGCACCACUAUCUAUGAUCCAUGGAGUACAUUCUAAGGAUGAGGAGAGGCAUAUGAAUUUACCUGACAAGUGAGUCAUGGCAGAAGUACCUACAUGAUGUGCCAUAGGACCUGCUUUAUUAACAUUGUUCAAGAGCUCAAGAAUUUGCUUGCAUUGUUCCUGAGUAAAUGAAUAACCACUUGAUUCUUUACAAUCUGCAGCAAGUGAGGAUGUUUGAUUGGCACUUGGUUUAGAAUUUCCUUUCCGAUUUCGGUGAUCUGGAGGAAAUCCAUGAAUAUGAUAACACUUGUCAACUGUAUGGCCAACCCAUCCGCAAUGAUCACAUUUUGGGCGUUCACGUUUUCCGUCUUUUCUCUUCUCCACAUCCUUGUAUUCUUUCCUUUCUCGUGAGUUCAUUUUUGCAGCAAGUGCAGCAGCUUCUGGUGCAAUGGUUUGAUUUGAAGAUACCGCACGCUGACGCUCAUCUUGAAGCACCAAUGAAUAUGACUUGUUCAUAUUCGGAAGUGGAUCCAUCAAUAAAAUCUGUCCGCGAGUUGCAGAAUAUGAUUCAUUUAGUCCCAUAAGGAACUUCAUGGUUUUGUGACUUUGCUGAUAUUGGAUAACUGCUUUCAUUGAGCCACAAGAACACGUUGGAAUUGAACAAAGUGCAUCCAGUUCAUCCCACAAUGCUUUCAGCUUAGUAUAGUAUGUUGCUAUCGACAUGGUAUCCUGCACCAAGUUAUGGAUUUCUUUUUCAACUUGAAAAAUAUAUGGACCAUUUACCUGUGAAAGUCGUUCUUUUAAAUCCGCCCAAAUCUCACUUGCAAGUUUGCAAUAGAUCACACUAAGGGAGAUUUCUUUUGAUAUAGAGUUGAGCAGCCAUGAUUUGACCAUAUCGUUGCAGCGAUUCCAGUGCUGUGACUCAGCGGCUGAAGCGUCUCCAGGAUGCUGGAUAGAUCCAUCAAUAAACCCGAUUUUGUUCUUCGCACUUAAUGCCAUAAUCAUUGCACGGCUCCAGGUAUUAUAGUUGUCUUCAGUUAAGGGCUGUGACACUAAUAUUACUCCUGGAUGAUCAGAGUGAUGAAGGAAUAAUGGGUUACUUGGAUCUUCAUGGCUGGAGAUUGGUGAUGAAGUUUUUUCUUUGUUUGCCAUGGAUUGAUGGCUUUAAAAAAAUCAGAUUGCUGGGAUGAGCAGAAGAAUCUGGUUACCAGAAUCUUGCUCUGAUACCAUGAAAAGAGUUGAAUGAAUUCUGUGUAUAUUAUUCAGCCACCAUAUCAUGAGUUUAUAUACAAGAUACAAAAGCAGAGGAAUGCCGAAAUCUAAGGCAAACCCAUUAAUGUGAUUCCUUUCCAUAGCUGUACAAAAGUAAGAAAGGAAACAAAUAAAAUCAUAUAAUUAUACAAUCAAUUCAAAUCUUCGUGAUUGACUUCUCAAUCUUUAACAGAGGCACACGACUUCACUUAUUCUAAACGGCAGAAGAAGGCAGCGUUUUGGAUGCAGUUACUACACGUGUCUUGAGGCUGGUUUAAACGGCUGGUAAAGCUGUUAAAGAAAGCGGGAAAAUCAACAAACCCAGGGCUGUUACGCUGGCUUCUGGGGGUUGUUUCUAGAGCAAUCUAGGCGUGUAUAUAACGCUUCAUGGUCUCGUAUUUGGCUUGCUCAAGUGUGUAACAUUUUCUCAGAUUACUUGUAUCUUGUAAACACCAAAUCAGUCAAAGCUCUUUCUCUUUUUCACAGUGGAUGUAGGUCAAUUGGUGGCUGAGCCACUUAACUCUUUUAUGUUCGUGUGUGAUUGUUUCUGCUUUCUUUAAGCUUGUUAUCUAUUGAUUCGAAUUGAUGAUUUCACAAAGCUUUAGUUGGUCAUAAUUAGUUCUUGGAUUAAAGCUAAGUCGAGUGAAUCUUGGGGGAUUAAGAUCGGUUCUUGACUGGUUUUGGUCCUACAGAGAGUCGUAUGUGUAAGCUGGUUAUGACUUGUAACCGUAGCUAAAGUCGUUUGUUCGGGUUUUGAUUUUCGAAUUUAGCGUUAUAAAGAAGCCACUAUUUCAUUAUUAUAAACAAAUUAAAGCUGCUCUUUCGCCAUUACUCUUCUCUGCCUGGCUGAUGCGAUUCUGCAAUCCUACCUGUCUUCAAAUCUCUUUUAUAAUUGUAGUCAACGAUAUCCUCAUCCAGAUACGUUUGGAAGACCUACAAUUAAAAAUGCGAUUGAAUUAGAUUAGUUCUAAUGAUGUAGACCUGCAAGUAUUUAUUUUUUAUUUUUUAAUUUCACUUCAUCGCGUAUAUGUAUAAAUGCAAAUUAAAUCAUAAUUAUUUCUCCUAAUUAAUUUGGUUAUUGUUUCCACUGCAAAGGCAUGCACCUAAGUCAACUGGACCAUAUAUCUCAUAAGAGAUGAAACUAUACGUACAUAAUUAAUGUAUAAAAAAUGCUAAAGAAAAUAAAGGUGAAUAGAGCGUUGACAGAAAUAAUAGUAUAGUAAAUCGGGGUUUAUUAUGUUAAUUAAUUGAUUUUUAAUUAAGUAUAAGUCGCUAAUCUCAGCCGGGUGUACCACUGUUUCUGUCAAAUUUUUCAAUCUUACUCAUGAUAAAUAAAUAUCAUGCAUAUGUUUUUCAUAAGAGAACUGAUAUUCAGUCAAAAUACUAACAAAAAUAAAGUAAAUCCGGCCAGGUUUACAUAAUUAAAUGCCAACAUAGUAACCCUGGCUAGGUGUAUAUAUACUGUAUUUGUCAGCGUUUAAGUCUAUUUUAUCAUUUUUUUUUCUCCAUGAAAGGUAGUAAUUAGUUUAUAUAUCUACGUAUUAAGAAUGUAUGGACAAGACUCGUCCAUAUCUUCAUGCGCUUCGUAAUCUUGAAGAUAAUAAUAAAUUUUUAUACUCUUGAUCUAUAAAGAAAUAAAUUCAUUAAUUUAUGUAUAUAAAUUCACCAUUAAUUACUCAUUUCUAAAAUGCAGAUUGAACCAGAGAUUUAAUUAUUAUUACCGAAGUGCUUGGCAAGGACAGCAAUAUGAAGAAUGAAGAUAUUAUCCCAACAAAUCUUCAGCUGUUAGUUGAGCAAAGUAAUCCAAGAAGCCAUCAUCACAUUCUCUCAUUAAGGCCAUUCCAUAAGCAUCUUCCUUCGUUAUCCUCAUCUCAUCCAUAAACAUAAGCGCCAUCUCGCUUCUCUCUCUCACUUGUAUAAUUGAUACACUGAACAAGCUGUGUUCUUCGAUUUCCUUAAGUUUAAUUGUCUCAAUAUAAGUUGGCAUAAUCACUUUGCUUAAUUUCUUAAUGAAGCUCAAGCAUUAUAAGAAUAAAAUAAAGAUAAAGUAUUUAACCUAUCGGGUUCAGAAAAGGAAUAGAACAAAUUAUUUCAACGACUUUUGUCUGCAUUGCUUUUUCAUCGAAUAUACAUAAUAACCACCAAUUCACCAUAUUCUCAUAACGUAAAGGCGCUUGUGCUUUGCCUAAGCCUUAAGGUUUUUGCUAUUUUAUAAAGAAAUUAUGACCAUUAUGGAUUACAUUGAAAUGACCUGCCCCGAAUUAUAGGGAUGAGUCUAUUUAGUCUCAUCAAACUGAAUAGAUAAUAAUUUAAUUAGCAGAGAUUCUGCCCAAAAUUUGAUAAAGUUUUUUUUUUUAUAAAUAUAACACUUGGAGCUUGUAAAUAUGUAAUACAAGUACUCUCAAAAUAAAUUAAUAUACAAGCAACUCCAAGGAUCAACAUUCUCAGUGAAAAUACUGAAUUAUUACCUAAGAUAUCUCUAGAGUAUCGAAAGAUUAUAUUAGAACUAAUAUUAAUAUACAUUAGUUUAUUCUUAAUCCCAAAAGAAUAAUACAACAAAAUUUAUACAAUCUAAAAAGAAAAAGAUGAUUUGGAUGUCCUAACAAAAAAAAUCAUCUAUAUUUUCUAAUACCAUCACGUGACUAAAACUUAAAAUAUAUCUACAGUCGUUGGGUCGAUUUGGUGUACCUGCAACCUCUUAUUGUGGGGGGGAAGGGGGGAAUAUAAUAAAACGAAAUGAGUAUAAAAUUCAUUGAGCUCAGUGAGUAGAUAUUAGUUUUUUUUUUGAAAAAUAAAUUUACUAAAAAAAAUAAAUUUAAUCUUUCUUUGAACGAUCCCAUCAAAAUAUUAUAAGAACUUAAAUAAAUUUAUUUAAUUUAAAUCAUGCACUGAUAUAACAAUAAUACAUAAUACUGCAUAAAAUCAAGGAAAUCAUAACACUUAUAAUAACAGAGAGUGAAUGCCGAAAUUAUGACUAAACAAGUACCCAUGAGAAAUAAUCUUGUCAUAUCCUAACCUCAACGGACGGGUAAUGAUUUACUAUCUAGAUACUAUCAUGCCCUCGGGCUACACGAAUAGACAGGGAGUUGCCAUCUCAUAUCUCAUCAUAUCUAUACAUGCAUAAUCUAAUCCCCAAAGGAUAAAAACACCCAAGCACACAGCUCAAAACUUUUAUGUGUAUUUAGACGAGCCCCAAAGGUCUGUAUCUCAUCUGUAUCAUCUGUAUCUGUAUUAUUGUUAUCAUCAUAUCACAUGCACAUGCCCCCAAAAGGCAGAAGUGCCUCGAAAUAAAUUUUGUUCACGCAUUGAUAUUUUAUUAAAAUGUUUGGUUAAUGAUUUUUCCUAUUGAUUUUGAAUAAAUUAUGAUAGUAUUUUAAAGGCGAGAAAUGUAUUUUUAGAUGUGAUAAUGAAAAGAAAAUGGAUUUUAAGUAUGUUAAAUAGAAAAGAAACAAGAUUUAUAUUAUGAUUAUAUGUUUAUGUAUAUGUGUAUAAAAUGUUGUUUGUAAAAUCAUUGGACAAUAUCCUUCCUCGGUUACAGUGAUACAGAUAUAAUGAGGCUUUUAGAGCUCGUCUGAUCACAUAUAAAGGCUUUGGGCCGUGUGUUCAGAACAUUUAAAAUAUUUUAUUUCGCAAACAUGUUUUACUAUCAUAAUUAACUAUGAAAAUAAGUUUUGUAUAUUUUUCUCACAGUGACGAUUUUUAGAUUCGGUUAUCGCCCAUGUUCAAGGACUGGUUCUCACUCGCAGGUCUUUCUAAAUUAAGGAAAUGACAUAAUUAUUUUCCGUAAAUCGAAAUUAGGACUAAAUUUAUGCAAUAAACUCGAAACGAACAUUUAUUUAUAAUUUACAACUUUUAUGUUGAUAAAAUUAUUAAAAUACCAUCGAAUCCGUAAAUCAUUAGAAUACUCUGAAAUUGUAAAUCACUAUAAUACCCUUGAAAUCGUAAUUACAUCAAAUCCUCAAUUUCAGAAAUUAUUAAAAUCUAUAUUGGGUCAAAAAUUACAAAAUCACCCUCAAAAUGUGAAAUUACCGAAUUGCCCUAGCUAACAGUAACUCGGAAGGUCAAGUGUGAAAUUUUCAGCCACGAUGAGUCUAAUGGUGCCUGCAGUGACCUCCCACGUGUGGAGACGGUGGCAGAUCGAAGUCCCAAAGCCGUGAGCUUUCCGGCGGCCGAUCGACAGAAAUCCGGCCGUUUCGGGUGGCGGGACUGGUCGGAAAAUGAUGAGGGUGAGCUAAGGAUCAAGAUCCAGGCAGUGGCGUCAUCCAAAACUGGCGGAAUCGACAACGAGAAGAGGUGGGUUUUGCCGCAGCUUUUCGAGCUUCAAAAGGCGGCGUUCCGGUCAGUUUUCGGCGGCGAGGAUGGUCCAGAAACGAUGGCCGUCUUCCAAGCUUCAAAUCGGUAUCUUGAUCGGCCGGAGGGGGUCGGAAUUGCGAGAUAUGCCCGGGUCGAUUUUGUGUCAAACGGGUCAGGUUUUCCGGGUCGGUUUGACAUCUUCCUCCCUCCCUCUCUCACACGCGUGGUCUCUUCCUGUCCUUCAAGCCUUUUAUUUAUUUAUUUAUUAUUAUUAUUUUCUUAACCGCUUUUUUUUUUUUCUUCACAUAUGUUACGUACAUAAUUUGGAAGGUGAGGAGUUCGUGAUUUAUAAUGAUUUCUUCGGAAAAAGAUGGAUACGUAACUUAUGAUGACACUACUAGAAAAAUGAGUUUUACUGACACUAAUUUAGCGUCAGUAAUUACUUUUAUUGACACUUGUUAAUUGUGUCAGUGUUGCUCAAGCCAGAACACACUGACACUAAUUUUUAGUGUCAGUAAUUUUUGUGUCAGUAAUUUGUUUCACUAUAGUAUCACUAAAAUAAUGACACGAUGAUGUUGGUAUUUAAUGAUACUAUUUACACGUCAGUGAUUUAUGUGACUAUAGUAUCAAUAAUAAGCUAGCUCGAUAAUAUAAAAAAUUAUUAAUGUCAAUUUAAAUAUUUAGUGUCAGUAUUUAAUAAUGUUAUGCAGGAUUGGUUAAUAAAUUUUUUUUAUUCUAAUUAUAUUUUUCCUGAAUGUUUUACAACCAAAAGAAAGCUCAAAAUAUAUUAAAUAUAUAAAAUGUCACAAUAUAAUUCACAUAAUAAACAUCCCAAAUACAUCACUCAAAUUCACAUGAUUCAACUACACCACUAUCUGGAAAAGAAAAAUAUAAGUACUAAAUUAAGUUUUCAACAACCACAAAGUACUAAUUUAGUUUCCACCAAAAAGAAGCACAAGAACAUCACUCAACAUCCAUCUGCAGCUUCAUUUUUUUCCCACCUACAACAACAUAAAAUCAAUUAGUAUGGAAAUAGAUUAUCGAAAACAAAUUGAUUGUGAGUAGUUAAACAGAGCAAUUGAAGGAUGUUUCAACAACUAAUAAAACAAUAAGAAAUAAGAUUACAAUAAUACUGAAAGUUAUAGAAAUAAAGAACCUUAGCUUAAGUUGUCUGAAGAAACCAUGUUGGAUAACCUGCUACAAGUCACAGAAAACAAAACAUCUAAGUCAAUCUAAUUAAAAACUUCCUAUUUUUUAUAAUCAAACAACAGAAAUCUGCAAUCAAAACAUCCAUUUGCCCACUCAAACUUUCAGCCUUAGCAUAAACUUCUUUCACUUUAAUCUCAUAAAACUUGUCAAAUUUAUGAAACUCUCAUCAAGCCUUCUAAAAAACUACCGCUCUCAUUCCCCUCCUUCCUCAACAAUCCUCAAAAGUAUUUUCAUUGCAAAAUAGCCCAAAAAAAUUAUAGGAGUUGUUUUGACUUUAGAAUAGCAACAAAACAGCCCCGGGAAAUCUGUAGGGGCUGUUGUGCAGUGAAAACAGCCACUAGAAAUUUACAGGGGCUGUCUUGUUGCUGUUCUAUAGUAGAAACAGCCCCUGCAAAUUAACACUUUCAAAUGAAUUAGAAAAGAAAAUAAUGUUACCUAUGAUAGUCAUCAUUGUUGAAGUCAUAGCAGAUAGCCUGCAAAUUAACAAUAAUAACAGCAUUUACAUCAGUUUAUGAAACUGCUUUUAUUGGUUUUUUUUUUUGCAAGGAUAUGUAUAUAAAUAAUAGUGCAUUUAAACUUACAUAUAUAAUGCAUCUUAGAUCAGCCAUUAAUGUGGUAUAGUUUUUGUAAAGUACCCUAUUUACCUCAGAAACUUCAUUUUCCUCUAUGCCAAGAUUUUGAAUUAUCUAUUAUACACAAAGUAAAUUUGUAGAAACUAGUUAUACAUUUGUUAAACAAAUAAACAACUUAAAUGACAAAAGUUUACUAACUGAAUAGAAAUGCACCAAGGUCAUUAUAAAUUGGCACUACUUACUGAAAUGAUCAACAACAUUGACACUAACACCUCAUACAUAAAUUCAGAUUUUAAGCGUAUAAAGAGAGUUCAAAUGAAUGAUUGCUUAUACAUUUUAUAACAGAUUUUACAACAAUAAAGUAGAUAAAUGGCAACUCUACUAGAGGUAUGUUUCUAGUAUAAGGAAUCAAGCAUAAGUAAAGGAGCAAGGUAGUAUCUUAUCAUCCGCAUAAUCAACACACCAUGACAGAAAUCGAAUCAAAUAAAUACUACGAGUGCCGAAUGGAAGAAAGAAAUUAAAACAUUUUCUGUAAAAUAUUAUUAUUAAUCAAUAACAUGUCUUAAUAUAAAGCGAAAAGUUUCCGAUGAUAAUAUAAAUAUCCAAAACUAUAUAGUCAAAUACUCAAAAGCUGAAACCAAAAUAUCAGAAAAAAAUUUAUAAAAGCAAUAACAUGUGAUGUCUUAUCAUUUACAUUUUUCGAUAAACAUACUUGCCGCAUGCGAAGCACGGGACAUCCUCAAGCCUGGCAAGUCAUUGACGACAUGGUUUCCCUUAUUUGCCGCUUAUGCAAAGGUGAAACGCUACCUCAUUCUUUAAAACACAUCAAAGUUUGCUGUCUUCUCCAGCCAUAUUUCAAUCUGAAAAGGAGCAUUACAAGAGCAACAAUCAGCUCCUGAAUGUGAUAUUAUAAAAAGAAUUCUGUAUCACAUAUAUCCAAAUGACCUGAACAUCAACACAAAAUAUUAAUCAUCCUAGAGGGAAAUCAACAUUGCUGACAAAACCACGUCUACCAAAUAUAAUGUACACAGAAUUAUCCAAAAAUAUGAUGACCUAAGAUCCUCCAAAUCACCAGCUUUAAAUAAAAAAGUCCCCCCAAAUCACCAUCAAAAUUUGACUACACUGGGAGAAUGACGAAGAAGCAGAAAAUCAAAAAGAAAAAGCUAUAUCGUCCAUUCUUGCAAUUUCUGAAAAUGAAGGAAUAUGAAGAGGACCAUCCACAGCAGGUUUUUAUGUUGCACGUAUGAUACAUUAGUAAACCAUGCAGAAAUUGAAAGAAAGCACAAAAAGAUAAAGCAUCCAUUUACCUUGGCUUUCUGGACGGGUCGUCCUCGAGAUUCAUCCCUCAUAUCAACUGUCGAGGUCAUGAUCUCUGCAAGAGUACAUGUUAAUUACUGAACAAAUUGAAACUUCAUGGGUGGGGUAAAAGAUGUCUUAACUGGAAAUUAGAAAAUCUUACUCUUCUCAACAGCCAAACCAUUGUUUUUCAGAAUUUCAGCAACUGUGACAACUGUGGCAAUAGCUGCAGAAAUAACGAGAAAAAAGAAGCUUUAAGCGCAGAAUAAGCCAUCAUAAACAUUAUGUCAGAACAAAGUAAGAAAGACUUGUUUGAGCCCAGUAAUGGCAUUGGCAUGGACUAGAUGGAAUAAAAUGCAUUCAAAUGAAAGCUAAUUCGAGCACAAGUAUGUUUAUCGAAAAAUGUAAAUGAUAAGACAUCACAUGAUAUUGAAGAAAUCAGGAGCAAUAAAAACUGUUCACAGGAUAAAUUAAAAAGUGGAAUCUCAACUCACUGUCUCAGGCGGCCGGCGCGAUGGCGACGGCUGAACGCGGCUGCAAAAGCAAUAAUUUAGACUGGAGGGUGAGAUGGUGACCAGAGACGGAGAAAGUGAGAGCGACUAAACGAGCGUGAAAGAGAGGGGUUGUUGCUGCUGUGUGUGCCUUCAGAGAGAGAGUGAAAGCGAGCGAGCUACUGCAGUGUGUGGUGCGACCCGCUGGGCUGCCGCCGCCGCCGCCGCCGCGUGGGCUGCGUGUGCCGUUGUCAUCGUGCGUGCUACUAAGGCCUUAGAGAGGGGCUGCCGCUGGUUAGCGCUUAGGGAGAGUUAGGGAUUUAGGCACUUGGAAUUUUAGGGAUUUGGAUUUUAGUUUGUUUGAGAGGGAACAAAUUUUGGUGGAGGGAGAUCGAAAAUUUUGUGUUAAAUUAUAGCAAAGGGUUUGUAGUUAAUUAUAUACGGUUUAACCAAACAAAGAAAAUAUGCACACAAGUGGUUUGUAGUUUGAAAUUAAAAUUUUAACUUCGGACAUAUUGAGUUCGAGUCCAAGUAAAAACAUAAUUAGAAUUAUAUUUGUUUUUAUCACUGAUACUAAAGUAUCAGUAAUUACUGAGUUUUAUGCUACUGACACUUUAGUACCAGUGAUUUAUGAUACAUAUUUGUUAAAUGGAAAAAAUGAUCCAAAUGUAUAACAUUACUGACACUUUUUACGAAGUGUCAGAAACGAAGUGUCAGUAAAGGUCAUUUUUGUAGUAGUGUGAUUUUUUUAUCAUAGUUCGGAAGAUGAUGAAUCCAUAAUUUAUGAUGAUUUUUUAAUAUAUAUAUAGUGGUUUUUCAAUCAGGGAUUCCUGACUUUAAUAAAGUCAGGGAUCAGCUAAAAGACAAAUAUACAGUGUAUUUGAGUAUGUAUUUAUUUUAUCUUUUAGUUAAUUCCUGACUUUAUUAAAGUCAGGGAUCCCUGAUUGGAAAACUACUAUAUAUAUAUAUAUAUAUAUAAUUUUUGUUUUAAGAUAGAGAGGUUGCGAAGCCCAAAUCAAUUUUUAAUUAUAAUCUUAUCAAAAACUAUUAAAUUAAUGGUAAUGGGACCAAUUUACUGUACAAAUUGCCAACAACAUAAAUUGUGAUUGAUUUGUUACUUUUAUGCAAUUUUGUAUAAACUGAGCCUUGGAGCCAUAUGAUACAAGAAGAGUCUGAAUUAUUAUUAUUAUUAUUAUUAUUUCAAUUGUUUUUUAAAUUCGUGGAUGAAGCUGAAUGUUUUUUUUUUUCCUUUCUUGAUGAAAAAUAUAUUCUUUGGAUAAUGACUUUCAUUCUGAUCUAAAUUUUCAUUUGAGCACAUACAUGUGGGUGUAAGUUGUCAAUAUAAUGCAAUAAUGAUUCUAUAAAAAAAAAAAAAAAAUUUCAUGUUGAUGAUAAUGAGUAAACAGAUAGAUCAUACAUUCAUUAUUUAAUUUGAAAUACACACAGUACAUUAUUAUUAUUUGCCACACCAAACCCAUUUUUUACAUGAAGUAAUACGACACACCCAAAGGAAUAAUGAGCAGAAGUGAAGCCGAGAAAGUAAUCAUGCUUGCUAAUACAGAGAAGAAGAGUAAAAUGAAGCCAGUCGUCAGCUUGAACGGAAGGUUGCUAAGGAAAUCAGAUGACUCACGUGGCGAGGUGAGGAUAGAUAGAAACAUCACAACGGAUGACAAAGAUAAGGACAGCGAGGCAACGUCCGUUACGGUAAAAACGUAGAAGAGUGGUGACGUAAGGAAAUUGGGAAACCCCCUAUCAUUGUUACCUCCAGGUACCGUGAAGGCAGCUGUAAAGACGACGGUUGCGAUUAGGAUUGCCAGUACGGAGCAUGCCUGAGCGGUUUCUUUGAUCCAUUCUUGUGCUUUCCUAAGUUGAUCUUCAUGUGUUAGAUCGAAGAGGUCACUUGCAGUGAUGUUCUUUUUUUUGUCGCGGUGCAUGUAUAAUGGCGAGGCAUUAUCUCUUUUACGCGCUGCAUAUGCACACACACACAUCUAUAAUGCAUGGAGUCCAUCAGAAAAUAUAAAUAUAUAAUAUUAGAGUAUGCUUUUAUUUAUAUAAACACAACGAAUAAAUUAAAUGUACUUGGGGGACAAAAUUAAAUAUUAUCAAAGGGCUUACCUCGAACCACUGUAACUCCUCCUGAAAUUGGAGAACAGGACCAGGGCGGAUUCCUUGCUUAUAAUGUUUCAUGUCUGCAACGUGGUGAAAUAAUGUAUAGCCUUUUUUGUCAAUUCUGGCAGCCCAUUUGGGCACGUACAGUUGCAUUUCCUUCAUGAUGAGUUCAAAGACCUUAUGUUGACGACGCUUUACGGCCACAUGUAAUAUAUUCUGCUCUUUCCGCUCAUUCACGUCAGAUAAUAUUGCUUGAGGAUCUCGUUGGAGUAUCACCUCCAAAAUUUCUGUUAUUCCGUUGCUAGCUGCAAACCGUAAUGUCCUAUCCUCUGUUGUGUCGUUUUUACGAUCAUCAACUUCUUCCUUAUUUCUUUUUCCCUCAGCACCUCGAUCAAUUCUUCAGCUGAAAGAUCAACAAGUUUUUUUCCCAAGAUGUCCCUUCCUUUGCCGAAUCCCAAGGAAAUUGCGGAAAUUUCUUGUUUCUCUUUCGUUGUUUCAGCCUUUUGGGGAUUAGAGGAAGGGUUCAACCUUUCUAUUUCAACCAGCCUUUUGACAAGUACAACAGCAUCUUCAUGCAUUUUCUUUUCCUUCCAGAUUUCCUCAAUCCAUGAACAUCCUGGUCAUGCAUGCAUCAACAUCUUAUUAAUUUAUGAAAAAAAAUUUGCACGCAAACGGCAAAACCGUUCAUCAAAUGAAUUGAAGUUAUUAGACAUUUCCCCUGUACUUCUAAUGUGUCUCAUUUUUGUAGAAGUAAUUAAUGAGAUUAUUAUUGGUCGAACCUUUAAUCACUUGCCUCCAAAAACCAAUGCACAUCUUCCGAAUUAAAAUUCUUGCAUUUUGAUUAACCUGAUCAGGAAAAAUUUUACAACUACAUGUACAUAUUUAUGAUAUGAAAAAUUAAUGCUAACACAGCGAAAAGGAAACCGCUCGGACUCAAGUUAGAAGUGAGGCGGUUUAAAUAUGAAGAGACAUGUGGAUGCCAUUUAGUUGAGAUGGUACAUAUUUUUGUCUGUAAUUUGUAGAUAAGGUCCUUAUCAUAAGAACAUGUAUGAGUCCAUAGAAACUAAAGAAAAAGGGAACUUCACCUUUGCCCCAACUAUUUGAGGCGUUAUAUACUUUUCCUCAUGAUAUUUUCAAAAUGGUCAUGUACCCUCGUUGUAAAGAAGAAAAUACAUUAAAACAAUCGUUUCACUAUUUUGUCCUUGAAACAACAUACUUUUAUCCUAGAAAUUAAUGAAUAAAAUAAAAUCUAAAUAAUUAUUUUAAUAUUAAAUUUGUUAAAAUAUAGAUUGCAACAAAUCUCUGAUCAAUCUCUUUGUCAUUUUUUUCCCCCUAACGUGCCAAUGAAAAUAUGAAAAGCAGACUUUCUAUUUGAUACAGAGAUAUUUUUCAAAGAUCAGGGGGAGAGUGGAUAGUAGCUCAAAUGUUUCGGGGGAACAAAUAGGUUUCUAAAGAAAAAUACAAAACAGGAGUAUACAAUGAUAUAUUUUGCAUGCUGUUGUUAAUUUCGUUUGAAAGAACUAACCUUAGUAUUAUUUUAUUUAUUGAUCUUUUAGUCUCAAAAUUAAGACUUCCUUUGGCUUCUAACAAAUAUAGAUCAAACUUUAGUUAUUAAUAGAAAAUUUAUGGGUAUUUUAUAAAAUUGAGCACCACUAGAUGUCAACUAAAAAUUUGAGUAGAUUUAUCAAUAAGUAACUGUGAAGAAAAAAAAAAACCAACUUAAAAGCCAAACUGACAAAGUGUUUACAAGUGAUUAGUUGUGCAAAAAGCUAGCCAAAACAAAUACAGCCCAAGUACGAUCGACAGUCGUACGCCGUAGCUAACGCCUAAAUCUGUUUGUUCGGAUUUUCAUUUUUCAAUUUAUGGAGUUAUAAUGAUUAAUGAAACCACUAUAUUAUGAUUAUGAACAAAUUAAAGCUGCUCUUUCACCAUUACCUUGCCUCUUCUUCGUGUGGCCCAUGCGAUUGUCAAUCUUAUGAGUCUCCAAAUCUUCUUUGUAAUUGCAGUCGUCAUCCAGAUACGUUUGAAGAAAUGGAAAUAGAACUACGAUUGAAAGUCAAUAUUGUAAGUUCUAAUUAUGUAGCAAAGCAUUUAAAAAUAAAAAAAUUCACUAAUCCCUCUCUAUGUGUAAAUACAAAUUAACUAAAAUGUUUCUUCUAAUUAAUUUGCUUAUUGUUUCCAUUGUAACCGCAUGCACCCAUAUCAACAAGACUGUAUAUCUCCCUAGAGAUUAAAUUAUAUGUGCAUAUAAUCAAUAUAUUAAAAAUGUUAAAAAAACUGAAGGCGGAUAGAGUAUUGACAGAUACAACAGUAUCUCAGUCGGGGCGGGUGUACCCUUGUUUGCGUAUACCUUCCAUGAGAACGCUGAUAUUAUGAAAAAAAUACUGAGAAAAAACAACAUUAAAUGCUAUCAAAUUUACAUAGUUAAUUGCUAAUACUGUAACCCCGACCGAGUGUGUAUCCACUUCAUAUGUCGGUGUUUAGUCUCUUUUUCCGUUUUUUUUCCAAGUAAUUAGUUUAUGUAUAAUAGACUCAAGUCAAUAUUGAUACUUAUUCAUUUUUAUAUUUUUCUGCUGUAAAUAUCUUUUAUGUAUAUUUUAGUUACAACUGUACACAUGAUACUAGGAAUUGUUGUCACUUGUCAAGGAAUCGGUUGAAAAAAUUCUUCUCUUGUAUUAUAAAUAUUCAGUGAACUCAAAUGAGAAAUAGUGGAGUCACAUUUUCCAAACCUGACAUCAAACAAUAUAUCCACGUACGAUAAUGGAAAGGACUCCUCAUUUUCUUCGUGGCAUCCCCACUCUUGAAAGCAGUUGGCAUUAGAGCUAGUAGUUCAAGACAUGUCAAGCGAUUAAGCCUGUUGGGCUUGGACGAGGGCCCGUCGCACGUGGACAAGAGCUCGUCGGACGGCGGUGUUGCACGUUUGUCUGCAAGUCUUGAGUCGUGGUUAAGUAACCAAAUAGCAGUCUCUGUACGUAUUUAAGAAAAUUAAUUAAUUAGUUAAGAAAAUAAAUAAUAAAAUUUUUUUUAACUUUUGAUCUAUAAAUGAAUGAAUGAAUUGGAGAUUUAACUAUUAUUUAUUACCGAAGUGUUGGCCAAUGACAGCCAUAUGAAGAAUUGUCAUAUCAUCUUCCUUUCUACGGAAAUGACAACGUAAGUCACCAACUUGCUCAGUCAAGAUUUGCAACAGUUUAGUUUUCCCGAGAGCAGCAGCCCUGUAAACUGGGGUUUCCCCCAAACCGUUGCAAGCCUCAACUAGACCCUUGUACGCAUCACCGGACUUUCUGGAAAAGUCAACCAAAAUACUGGCCACGUCAUAAUUUUCGACGACGGCCGCUUCGUGAAGACCGGUGUUUGUAAACGCAUCUGUUUGCUUCAAGACUCCAAGUCUGGUCUCCGGUGUUAGCCUUUCGAGAAAUUCCUGGAUCAGCCGAGGGUCUUCCAUGGCCGCUGCAAUGUGAAUUGCGGAGUCUCCAUUGGCUGUCCUGUUAUCCAACAACUCUUUAGCAGGCCAAUCAGCAAAGCACUCCAAGAAGCCUCGACAGUCUCCGUUCAAGGCCAUUCCAACAGGAUCUCCCAUCGCCCUCUCUCUCUCUCUCUCUCUCUCUCUCUCUCACUUGUAUAAUUGAUGCACAGAACAAGCUAUACGAUGUUCUUCGAUAUCCAUAUAAUUAAUUACUUCCAUCGCCGUCCCUUAUAUAGAAGUUCUAAACGAAGUUGGCAUAAUCACUUUGCCUAUUUUACUAAUAAAGCUCGAGCAUUAUAAGGGAAAAAAAAAAAGUUCGAAAGUGACAAAACGGAAAAGAUGGUAAAAGAACAAAGUUCUGAAAAGAGAAGUGAUUAUUGAUGAAAAUUUGUUUACAUUGUACGGUAUUGUUCCUUAAAUUCAUAGAAUGUGAAGUUACCAAAAGAGCAAAGUUAAAAGUAAAAUAAAAUUAUUAUGUUUGAGAUAAAAGAGAAAAAGAAUAAGAAAAAGAAAACGCAUGCAAUUAAAAAUGAUAUUUUUUGUUGAUUCAAGAGGCCAAUCACCUCUGAAAUGAAAUUAACUUUUGUCUUUCUAUGUGUUUGGGAACGAUAUAUUAUAUAUGCAAAAACGAACAGUUGUAUCUAAAAUUACAUUUGGGAAAGUAUAAAGAUCACGUUCCACGUCAUAACGUUUGUUAACAAAUGAUGUCAAUAAAAAGAAUAGAAUAUAUAAAUUAUUUCCAGGCUCAAGUUACAGCUCCGAGAAGGUGUAGGGUCCAUGUUGUACAUCAUAAGGUUUGUUAAUCAAUGGUGUCAGAAAAAUAGAGUAGAAUAUAUAUAAUUUAUUUCCACAACUUAAUUUUGUCUCCAUUGCUUUUUCCGCGAAUAUAUAUAAAAAGAGUGGGAGAGAUCCUAACCCUUACUUUAAUAACAUGGUGAUUAUUGUAAACGCGAUUGUGCUUUGACUAGACUAAAGCCUUUUGCUAUUCUACAUGUUAUCAUUAUUUCUCGUCAUGGAGUGGCAGCCAAUCAUUAAAAAAUAAAUAAAAAUGUAAAAAUAUUUGGAAAGUUUAAAACUUAUGAUAGAAUUCGGCCUUAUUUUGUAUAGAUGUGUUGUGAAAAUCAACUGUAUACUAUACUGUAAAUAUAGCUUUGGAAAAAUAUCUUUACAGACUUUUAUUGUAAAAUCAACUUAACUUCCAAACCAUAACAGUAACUAUUUAUUAAAUACUUUAUUGAUCUAUUUUAAAAGCUUUCACUGCUCAAUUACAAUACCAAACAAGAUGUUGACCUAAGUUGGUUCCAACCACAAUACCAAAUAGGGACUUACAUUCUAUCAGUUAAGUCAUUAAGUUUAUUUCUUUUUUUAACUUAUUACAAAUUUUCAACCAUUAAGCUAUUAAGCUAUUAAGCCAAUUUUCUUACCUUCUUAUUUAAUCUAAAAAGUCUGAAUAAUGUUAUUAAAGAUAUUAUUUAAAAUAUUCCUAUCCAACUAAUUUAUUUUCAUCUUUACCUAAAUAUAUAAAACUUACUAAUUAGCAUACUAUUCAUCUUUAUAACUUGUGAGAAUAUAGUAUAUUUUUUAUUUUAAUCUUUUUUAUUUUCUUCAAAUUAGCAUUAUCUAUUUUUGUAAUUUUUUAUGAGUAUUUUUUUAUAUGAAACACCAUAAAGUGCAAUAGAAUUGAUUCACACGUUCUAAUUUAGAAUAUUAAAGGGUUGUAUUCACCUUAACAUGAUUCAUGUUAUGAUAGAAUAAUAUCAUAUUUUUGUUCAAUGAGAUUUUAUUAUUUAUUUGACAUUUGAAAUUUAUGAGCGUACAAAUGUAAAAGUAUUGGUUUUUAGAUUUUUAAGUUGAAAAAAAUAAUUAUCGUUCAAAAAUUCAUAUUAAAAAAAUAUGUUAUUUGGAUUUAAACGUUUAGCUCUAUUCAAAAUUCAGAUUAACUUGGGUCUACUCAAAUUUUAGAUAAAAAAAACAAAUGUCACCUAAGUAAAUCUAUGAUGAUACAAGCAUAUUAGUAUUUAAAAAAAAAAAUCAGCAUCUUCUUUUUUUAAAUAUUACACAAUAUAAAUUAAGCUUCAUAGAAUGCGAGUGUGAAUGGAAUUUAAAGCAUAUGGCCAUUCUUCCGUAGCUGUCCUUAUCUCAUCCAUAAGUGCCAUCUCUGUCUCUCACGUAGUCACUGUAUAAUUGAGACACAAAACAAGCUAUACGUGUUCUUCGAUAUCCUUAAUUUUACUUGUCUUAAUAUAUAUGAGUAGGUUUGAUGCAUCCUUCUACAAAUUCUCUAAACUAAGUUGGCAUAAUUAUAAGAAUAAAAUAAAGUUAGUCCGUCGGGUCAAGAAAAAGAAUAGAAUAAAUUAUUUAAUUUCAAAACAACUUUAAUCCUUCCGCGAACAUAAUAAUCACAUUUAUUCUACCGUGUUCUUCGAUAUCCUUAAUUUUACUUGUCUUAAUAUAUAUGAGGUAGGUUUGAUGCACCCUUCUACAAAUUCUCUAAACGAAGUUUGUAAUAAUUAUAAGAAUAAAAUAAAUUUAGUCUGUUGGGUCAGGAAAAAGAACAGAAUAAAUUAUUUAAUUUCCAAACAACUUUUGUCUUUCCGCGAAUAUAAUAAUCAAAUUUAUUCUACCGCUUUUGUCUCCAUUGCUGAAUUUGUCCGCGAAUAUAAUAAUCUCCAUUUUAUUUAAGUAAAGGCGAUUGUACUGUGCCUAAGCGUAAAGCCAUUUGCUAUUUUGGCGGCUACAUGUGUUACAGGCCAAUCCACGUGCCAAGAAUAGACAGGACUUGUCCAUGCAUAUCAUAAAGUGCAAUAAAAUUGAUUCACAUGUUGUAAUUUAGAAUAUUAAAGGGUUGUAUUUGAUAAGGAAAAAGAUGAUAAGGAAAGAACUCAAUCAUUGGAAAAUCAUGAAGAUCAAUUUACGGAAAGAACUCAAUCAUUGGAAAAUCAUGGAGAUUAAUUUGCAGAAUGCAUAGCACUAUCAAAGGGAUUUCCAACGUCUAGAUUAUCUCUAUAGAAUAUCUUCAAUGAUUUAAUUCUUUUAUAAAUAUUCCUUUUAUGCUAGCAGUACAUAAAUUUCAUGCAUUAGUGGGUAUGAUUUGGCCAUUAGUUAGGACAGCAAUAAGUAACUGGACUCGCGAUUAAGUAACCAAAUAGCAGUGUCUCUGUGCGUGAUAAGUCAAACGAAUCAUCAGUUUGAAGCAACUGUGGCAACAUGCGCUGCAUUAGCUAGCAAGGGGUCGACACUCAACACGAAGACCCCUUUAAGGCAAAUUCUGGAUGUUAGAGAUUAUACUAAUGAAGAAUUUGAUCACCGUGAACAUAACUCAAUAGCAACAGACCUGAUGCAUCCCAACGGCUCCUAGAAUAUCAUGCAUAAGAUUAAGUCAUGAGAUUGCAUCAACGAUCAAGCCUUUAUUUUAUGUAAAAAAACAAUCUCAAUUACUUUCUCAUAUUUACAUUUUCCACAGUACGUAUGUAUUCAAGCAGGACAGAAAUGUAAUUAAUUAAUUAAAAAGAUAGCAAUAAAUGUUUAAACUCUUGAUAUAUAAAUAAAUAUAUUCAUUAAUAUAAAUAUAUUCACUACUACUCAUAUAUAAAUAAAUAAAUUCAUUAAUAUACAUAUUUUAGUUUUCUGAAAUACAGAAUGAAUGGAAAGAUUUAAUCAUUAUUACCCAAGUGUUUGGCAAGGACAGCAAUAUGAAGAAUGGAAAUUUUGUCCCAACAAAUCUUCGGCAGUUAGUUGAGCAAAGUAAUCCAAGAAGGCUUCACAGUCUCUCUUCAAGGCCAUUUGUUAUCAUCUCCACUGCUAUCUAUCUCUUUCUCACUUGUACAAUUGACACACAGAACAAGUUGUACGUACCCGUUCUUCGAUAUCCGUAAUUUUAAAAUUGACCAUUUUCUCACUCUAAGAAAUUUGGGAUAUGACAUAGAACUAGAUCUCGAUUGUAUUGCGGUGUUGUGGAAAAAAAAAGGAUAUAACUAAAAUAAAAGUCAAUAUUUUAUGAUCAAUAUAGUUUUUAAAUAAUUUCGAUAAAAAUAAUAAAGAAUAUUAUAGAUUUUCAUUCUACAAGUGUGGAAUAAAAUUAACUUAAUUUUCAAAUCAUAAGUCAAUAAUAAUAAAUAUUUGCCAAAUAUUUUAAUGUUGUAGUUUAAAAAGCUACUCUAUACACAUCCUUGAUUGUACAAGCAUAUUAUUAUUAAAAAAAUUAUCUAUUUUUUUGUUAAUUACUUCUUUUUCCAAUUAUUGCAAAAUAUAGACAAAACUCAUGCUUGGUCGAACGUUUUUAUUGUUAAUAGAUUAUUGUAAGUUGACUAUAAACUUGGUUGAUAUUCAGUAUUCGACGUAAUGUCUUGGCCGGAUGUGGUUUGUUUGAGGGAAAUACUCCGACGAGACCAGACGUGAUGAGCAGAUGUUUGGUGGCAGAAGUCUGCGAGCAGGUGUGUCCUGUAAGAGCCAGGUAGCAGGGGAACAGGGGCAGGAAUAUCCUGCUCAUCCACGACCACGUCAUCCGCGAGGCCAAUUUCCUGUAAGAAGCAUAAAGCCAUUCCUGCUGUAUUCUUGCUAAGGGUUGAUUCGAGGAGACCCGGUCAACGACAGUUGGCGAGACAUGCUCUCCAGCCCGAGAAUCUAGGCACGAAGGCCACGCAACCACCCACGACUACGGAAAUGGGGAAUCCACGUUCGAGAGGUGGGAGGAUAACGGGCGUAGACUGCGGAAAACUGGGAUUCAGAGGAAGCCUAUAAAAAAGUUGCCAACGAAGGUAAAAGGGUUAGCAAUUUUGAGAUUAGAACAGAGAUUAAAGAAAUUUUAAAGAAGAGAAAACUACCCAAAAGCCAUAAGAUCUGUGGCAAGCGUACCCCGAACCUUCAUAUCUGACUUGAGCGUCGGAGGGUUUACGCCGGGAAAACAACUGGCGUGCUCUGACUUGUUUCUGUGGACGCAGGAAUACUUGGAGACAAAAGCAUACUAGGAGAGAUCCUGGUCGAGGUGAGGUUGAUCGAGCAGAUAUCCUGGUAGUAGAAAGAGCGUAACCAGAAUCUCGCAUCAACAUAGUUAUUCCAUUGCAUCAAUUAAUUGCACGGUUGAAUACCAUAAUUGUUUUGCCUUAAAACAUUUUCUAAUUUCUUUCUUGGACGUUCUUCAAUAUUGAGAAAUAUAUUUAAUUUUCUCCGAAUUUUUUUUCUUUCAUAGUGACAUAAUCCAAAAAUUUAAGGGUCCAUUUGAUUACAAUUCAAAAAUAAUUUAAACAAAUAUAAUCUCAAAAUUUGUGUUGAAGUUUUAAUGUGUUUACUUUUUAUUAUUUAGCCUGACAGCACUCAAUUCCCUCUCCACCUGUGUGAACGGAAUUUAACUCCUAAAUCUCUUGUUUCAAGAAACUAAAAGAGAUUUUAUUAUCUUAACUAAAUGGUAACUACAAGCUUUAAUGUCUUUAUAUAAUAUUUAAAACAAACAAUUUCAACAACUGAAACAUGUUUAACAAAAUUUCUAAUUAAUAAAAAAUAAAAAUACUUGUUUAGGUGGUGUGAUUUCAAAGGUAAUAUUUACUUAAGCAUUUACAAUUUUAUUUUCCUUUCAGCUAAUUACAUUAUAUCAAGCAGUAACUUGACCAAAAUAAGCAUAAAACAAGCUUCAUCAAGAUUCAAUAUUGAUUAUAUUCUGUUAGCUUCUAUUCUGUUACAUUAUACCUGUUAGGCUUGCCACCAAAUAAAAGCUGGCGCAGUUGUGUGUCACUUUGCACGUUCAUCUACUUAGCAUCAGGACAAUGCUUAGAUGCCCAUUUUCGGAACCUGUUAACGGCAGCUUCUUGCUCUGCUCUGGCCACCUUCUCAAUCUCAGAAAGAUAUUCCCGAUCAACCAACAUCCCCUCAGUUUCCAUUUUAACUAGAAUCUCACCGAAUGGUUGCCAGUAUUCCGGAUAAAAGUAUUUUUUUUCAAGCUCUUACAAAGCUUCAGUGUGUUUAUUGAAUCAAAGGCAGAAUAAGAGAUCCACAAUUCUCGCUCCUCUCUUUGAAGCUCUUCAACAGGAGCAAUGGUGCUUAUUUUGCCAGCAGAUCCAUCCUUUUUCAACUUUCUCCUGCCAAAGAUAUCUUUCAUUGAUAUUUUGCCCAUGAAACGCUCAUCUGUGUUGUCCUUAGACAUGUCUUUCUGAUAAGCUUUCUUAUCCUCAGACAUGACUUUCCGAUCACCUGUAAGUGAUUCAGACUGUAACCACCCUCUGUGUGUCUCGAUGAAUCCCAAAGCUGUGCCAUAUGCAUUGUGUCAGCAUGAAAACCAGAAACCUUCAGCCCAUAGUUCUCAAGGACAUGGUUAUCAAAGCUAUAGUUAUGCCAAACCUACACAAAUGAUAGCUGUUAAUAUAAGAUCAUAUGAAAAAGCAGACGACAUAAUUUUUUUUUCUUUUUUUGUGAUCCAAGUAAACUAAUACAGAGUAAAGCAGUUUGUUUAGCUAAGUAAAGGAAAUUGGAUCAGUUACGUCUAUAGAAGGUGGAAACAGCUAGAAAUCCACCAUAAAAAGAGAGAGAGAGAGAGAGAGAGAGCACAGAGAGAGGAAACAGCUCUGCAACUGAGCAGAGUAUUUCCUUUCUUUGAUCGGCGUACAACAUAUUUUCCUCAACUAACAUAAAUAGCUAUCUAAGGGGGAAAUUGGAGUUUUAGGUUUCAUCAAAUCUAUGAACUGUACCACACGGGUAGGAGAACAUAGCAUAGAUGUAGAGGUAAACUUGUAACCCAGUAGACAGCAAUGGGAACCCUAGCUUAAAUUGGAAAAGAGCAACAAAACUUGAGGAGAAAAUGCACAGCGUAGGCAGUCACCGUAAAUCUUAAACCUGUCACUGCAAAGCAAUGACAAUAAAACUCCAUCUAAUUAAACCAUAAUAUGUGAAAAAUCAGUUAUCCAGAAAUUUACUAAAGCGCAUAACCAGCUGCAAGUCCAAUGCUUGAACCGUGCACCAAUCACAUAAUGACUGGUGCAGAUUAUCAAAGAAAUAUCCGCCAAUCCAUUUCUCCAUACUGCUAACCAGAUGAUAAUUAUUCUAAUUAAAAAAAAGCGUGCAUAUGAAAGGGACUAUAAACAAGAAAAAGAUGGGGUGAAGGGGGAGGAAGGGCUCACUUUUUUGAUGGAUGGAUCCUCAAAAGAUGGAGCAAAUUCAUUAAAAAGGUCCCUGCCACCACCGUCAAGAAGAUCAACCCAGAUGCAGGACUUCCCAUUUCCAAAAUCUGCUUCUGGUCCAGAAUAAAUACUGAAGCAUAUCACUUCUCCAUGAUCAACAGGUGUCUCUUGCUUCACAUCAAUUUUGGCCAC